CCCAUCCACCAUCUCCGCUCUCAAACCCUACCUCUCGCCACCCCCUUCCCUCGACCUCUUCUCCGCCAUCGCCUUCCCUUCACGCACCGCAAUCACCUCCCUUUCCGCGGCCGCCGCCGACAUCAGUCACCCUCUCCUGUCGCCGCAUGGCGAUGCAUUCAUUAUCGCCGCGCUGGGCAAGGACGCCGAGCUCAUGGACGACAACUUCGUCCAUAAGCUCUGUUCAAAUACUAACCGGGUUAGAAUUUUAGUCCCUCCGACUGCGACUCCGAGCGGCUUAGUUGAAGCGCUAGGAGACGGACGCAAUCGGAGGGUGUUGUGUCCAGUCCCGGUCGUGGUGGGACUGGUUGAGCCUCCUGUGGUCCCGGAUUUUCUCCGAGACUUGGAGGCCAAGCGUUGGGUUCCGGUUAGGGUUAAUGCGUACGAGACGCGGUGGGCCGGGCCGGGGUGCGCUAAGCAAGUGGUGGAGAGGAUUGAGGAGGGAGCGUUGGAUGCGAUGGUGUUCACGAGCACUGCGGAGGUGGAGGGCUUACUGAAGAGCUUCAAAGAGUUUGGGCUGGAUUGGGAGAUUGCCAAGAAGAGGUGUCCCAAGAUGUUGGUUGCGGCCCACGGGCCCAUCACGGCGGCUGGGGCCCACAUGCUUGGGGUUAGAGUUGAUUUGGUGAGCUCUCAAUUUGAUAGCUUUCAAGGCGUCGUUGAUGCUUUACACACUGAGAUUUCAAGGCUGAGUUAGAUUUGAAGCAAAAGUCUCAUGGAAAAAGAUUUUGUAUGUAACAGUGUAAUGUUAAUGUGAAACAAACAACUGCUUCUGUUAACUUAAUACCAAGGGCUAUGGAAAUUGGAAAAACACAACGACUUAUACUAUAUUAUAUUAUAUUUAUAUGCCGUUAUCUAUAUAUAUAAAGCAAAAGGCAGAGAAUGGUGAAACAUUCAAAAUACCAGAAAAUGCCCUUGGUUAAUGCAAACAUUAAGAAUUAAAAUUAUUAAUUAAAUGAGGAUAAUAUGGUAAAUUCACAAUUUUUCAUAUUAAAAAAAUUAAAAUUAAAAGAAAAUUCAGAUAAUGGAUCCUAUUUUUAUAGAACACAACUAUCCAUUAUCUUUUUUAAUUCUAAAAUAAAAUAAAAUAUUUGUAAAAAAAAACCUCUCGCAGGCGCAGAAGCGCAUGCAGAGAGGCUAGUUAAUAUUAAAAUUAAUAUUAUACAGCAAAAACAUUUCUAAUGCUUAUGGUAGAAACAAGCUAGAGAACAACAAAUUCACUACAAACAGAAACAGCCAACUCUCUCAGUUAAGUACUUCAUCUUGUAUAUAUAUAUAUAUAUAUCUUUGUUUUUAAUUGGUAAUAUGCAUCUAAAAUCAUAAUCCUGCUGCUGCUGCUGCUGCUGCUUCAAUAGUUGGGUUAUUUUUCUGGUUGCUUUUCCACUCUGAUAAAAGCUUCAAUGUAUUCUCCAUUGAUGGCCGAUCAGAUGGCCUACUCCUAGUGCAAAGUGUAGCAACCUCAAGUACCAGUUUUAUCUCCUCUCGCACCGGAACGUUCGUACCAACUUCAUUCUCAUUGUAAAUUUCUCUCAGAGCAACUUCCCUUGACUUGCUCUGUAUGCUUGCUCCUGAAUUCGUCAACCUGCCAUUGCUUAAAAUUUCCAGCAUGAUCUCCCCAAAGCUGUAUACAUCCCUGUAUAGCUCCUCUUUUGUGGCACUAUUGGUAUCACCUGUUCAAACAUUUACAAACAAAGUUUUCAACAACUGUUUUUGGGUCCAAACAAAAGAAGAAAAUGAGUAAUGACAGAAUUGAUAGAGGCUAAUCGCAAAAGAAAUCGAGGUGUUCAGAUAAUUCUCUUUCACAGCUUCUACAGGCAAAAUAUCUUCUAGAUUUGCUAGUCUUCAUUGUAUCAGGUGACUGACUCUACUUUUAUGCACAUCACAAACUUUCUUGUUAGGACUUCACUGAGUUCCAGAGGGUUAAAUACUUAAGGUUGCUCAGGUAUAUAUAUUCUCUACUUUGGUUAUGGUAUUGGUGAUGGAAGGCCUUAAAUUAUAUGUUUGGCAUGGCAGGGUAAAACUUUUUGAAGACAACUAUCACAUAAUUGAUGAUCUCUACUACACGAAAGAACACAUUUUGUUAUGCAUACCUGUAUCCCUUUUGGAAGUUGCUGCUGCUAAAGAACCUUUGUUCAACUCGAGCAGAUGCUUGAACCCGAAUUCUGACAACUGAGGUUCCAUAUUUUCAUCAAACACUAUAUUACUCGACCUCAAGUCUCCAUGAGCAAUUGCAGGAUAACAGUCAUGGUGAAGGAAGCAUAAUCCCUUUGCGAUGCCGAUCACAAUUUUGUACUUGGCUGCCCAUUCCCUUUUCACUCUUAUCUUUUCAGCCAAAUUUCCAUUGGGGGUGUAAUCGUACAAGAGAUAAGCCAGAUGCUUGUUGUAGCAAAAUCCGUGCAAUCGAGCCAGAUUCUUAUGCCUUGCAUUCCCUAUUUGGGUAAUAAAUUCCAACAUAACUCCCAUUCUCUUUGCUUCCCAUUCAAUCUUCUUCACUGAAACUGUGAUUCCUGUGGGCAGAACUGCUUUGCAUGCUGAAGCUGACAAUGGAGGCAGUGCAUCCAUGGAUUCUAUAGAACUGAAGCUCAUCAAUACAUCAUUUGCUGUGAAUUGAGGAAGUCCAGCAAAUGAGAUCAUCUUCCAUUGGCUUUUGCUGCCUCUUUGGAUAUAAAUUAUCCCCAGAAUUGAUAGAGUAAUGAACAUAAUUACACCUGCACACAGUAGCAGGACCCAUAUAAGCUUCCCGGCACCUCUGCUUCCAAAUAUCGCCACUGAACUCGGACAUGGCCUCAGAGGUUUUCCACAUAGCUUUGGAUUUCCAAUGAAUGCGCUACUUCCCAUUGCUCUUAAUAGCUUUGCAGAAGGAAUGGUUCCAGAAAUAUCAUUGAAAGACACAUUUAGAAGUAAUAAGCUCGAAGAAGAACCAAACUUGGCAGGUAUUGGUCCACUGAAACUAUUAUGUGACAGGUCUAGGACACCAAGGGUAGGAACACCUGCAAGCUCCUCAGGUAUAUGACCGGAUAAAUUAUUGUUAGCUAAAGCAAACCUCUCAAGAGCCUGGCAGUUAGAAACACUUUCUGGAACGGUUCCUUCUAAACUGUUCAUGCUCAGUUCAACAACAGAUAUGGAUUUGCAGUUUUGGAAUGGGGGAAGAUAGCCAAGGAUACCACAUGAAGAUGCAGAAAAAUUCUGAAGAAGUGGCGAAGACCAUGUUUGUGCAGGAAUUGUACCCCCUAAUUCUGGAUUAUUAGAAACAUUUAAGUACUCAAGCUUGGGAGCUUGUGAUAUAUCUAUUGGAAUCCCACCAGUAAGCUUGUUCCCAGAUAAGUCAACAUAUGUGAUAUCAGGAAGACGGCUAAAUUUCAAGGGGAUCUCACCUGAGAAUGAGUUAUCUUCAAGUCGAAGACGAACAAGAGAAGAACAAUUGGAGAGAGAUGUGGAAAGACCGCCUGUAAAAUUGUUUGAAAAGAGCAUCAACUUAAAUAGCACACCUUGCAAACAGAUAUCUGCUGGAAUGCUGCCAUUGAAGUUGUUUGUAGAGACAUCCACCCACUUGAGGUUUGAGUUCCUGCCCAAGCUCUGUGGAAGGUUCCCAGAGAAGAAAUUGUUCCAUAUAAGAAGAGUCUCUAGUGACGGAAGCUCUGCAAUUCCUUCAGGAACUGUGCCACUCAUGUCAUUGUAAAAAAGACUGAGCAGUCUAAGGCUCUUCAACUCUAAAAGGCUCUCGGGGAUAGGCCCAGAAAGCAGAUUAUCAGAAAGAUCCAAGCUUGCGAGAGACCUGAUUUUGCUAAAUUCCCCUGGUAGCAGUCCACUGAGCUGGUUUCUGAAGAGAAAAAGUGACUCAAGCUUGGUGAGAUUGCCAAGUUCCCUUGGUAUUGAGCCGGAGAGGUUUGCAUAAGCAAUAUCAAGAUACUGAAGCUCACUCAUGUUGCCUAAUUGCCACGGGAUGCUUCCCUGAUAAAAAUUGUAGCCAAUCUCCACAUGGGUGACUGUUUUGAGCUUGCCCAGUUCUGGUGGUAUGCUUCCACUGAUCAUAUUCCCUGCAAGAUGAAGAAACUCCAGGCUCUUGAAAGAACCAUAUUCUGAUGGGAUUGGUCCCUUGAAAUAACUUCCAGCUAAAUUGAGGACCUUUAGAUGUGGAAGCUGUGAAACCUCAGUAGGCAAUGACCCUGAAAAGCUGUUGCUAAAGGCAUCAAGCACAACCAAGUUUCCAAGACCUGAGACUCCACCAGGAAAGUGACCAGAAAAGUUGUUUCUGCUAAUAUCCAAGCUUCUUAGACUGGUGAGGUUGAAAAUUCCCACAGGGAGCUGGCCAGAGAAUGAAUUGUAACUGAGGUUGAGAUCAACAAGCUCAGUGAAGACGUUAAAUUGCUUUCCAGAAAUUGCACCACCAAGCAUCUUCAUUGACAGGUCUAAACCAGUAACAGUGGAGUUCUUGUUACAUUUGACACCAGACCAAGAACAUGCGUAGAUUUUCCCAGAUGGGUUAUAUCCGGAAGGCACAAACCAGUCUUCCAAACUACCAUGGUCAUCUACAAGCUCAGAUUUUAAGCUCAGAAGGGUGUCUGAGUAUAGAUCAGCUGCUGAAACCGCCACAAAGAACAUCAAAGGGAUAAGCAGAAAAUUUAAGUAGAAGAAGCAAUGGAAAAUCUCCAUCGGAACUCGCAGUUGAGAUGAGAGAGGGACAAUUUUAGAGACCCGAAGAAAGAAAAAUGUGUCAGAUUAUUAUAAGGUAUCCGUUUGUUUUGGUGAGACUUUAGCGAGAGAUGCAUGGGAACUAGCGAAAGGAGGAGGGCUCAACAAAGAAAGGGAAUGGGGACUGGCUGAUAUACUUUUGAUUAGUUGAAAUGAGAAUAUAAUAUAAUUAAAUUGUAUGUUAGGUUGCUUUUGGGUGCAGGAGGGACCUCUAUUUGCUUUGGGUUUAUUUGGAUGGUGUUGGCCAUUAAGAAUAAAGCUUUUCAUCUCACAGGAAGGCAGGGAAUCUCUUUUUCCCACUGGAAAGAAUCCAAUAAGAGAGCAGAGAGCAGAGAGCAGAGAGCAGUGACUUGAAUUCUGAAUUGGUAUUUGCGCACCGUGGGACAUAAGUUAACAGGAGAGAGGAUCAAUCAAUAUCCAUGUUUAUGUAUUAUCGAAAAUAGUAAAGGUGUAUUCUGUACAGUCUCUUUCGGCUGGAUGGCUUCUCCAAGCAAAUUGCUCCUCGCUAUUAUAUUAUAACAAGAUAUGUAUUCUUUGGUAAUUAUAAAAAGACUACUCUGUUUAGGCCUAAUAAGUAACCAACACCUUUGUGAUGUUCAGGUACAAAGUUUCACUCAAAAAAGGUUCCUAGUGCAACUUGAGGAGAUGAUUCAUUAGUUAAUUCGAAUACGUGAUUAAUUGUUUAAUUUAUUAUUUUUGGACUAUCAACUGUUCUUUGAUUGUGAUUCUUAUAAGAUAAUCUUCUCAGUAAUGAUGGUCCAUUAUGCAUGUUUAUUGCCUUUUGCUGUUUCCUUGCAAUAAUGGCUGUCACCUACAGUGUCCAUGGUGCACAUCAGCACAAGGGUGGGCACAAGAAACACUCUCAUGCAAGGAUAUCACUUUAACACAAUGACACGCGAGGUAUCUUUUUCACAUGUUAUUGUGUUAUUAGUCAGAUAUAGCAAAAUAAUGUUAUCUCCGUUACAAGUGAGUUUUUCUAGGUGGGCACAAUAAAUAAUUUCAAAACUUUGAGAAAAAAAUAUGAACAAUACAUACACUGGGGAGGGAGGGGCACAAUUUCAAAGCUUAAAAAAAAAGAAUUUAUAUGCAGCCAAAUCAGCUUCAAGGUAAUAACUUCUUGUUAAUGAGAUUGUAAUAAGUACAAGAAUUGAUAAAUAUGAUUGAGGAUAUUUGAAAUGACAGUGGCAGGUGCUGAGGAGCAGUGCAGUGCAGGGGGAAAGGGAAGGUAAAGGAGUAAAGACAAGGUUUCUGUUCAAUAAAAGAAGUCACCUUUUUCUUGAUUUAUGAUCAGCAGAGCCUUUUGUGUUCCUUGAGGGAAGGACAUUCGCAAAAGGGUUUCGCCCAUUCUUGAAUCUUGACCUUAACAGUGAAUUCCAGGGAUGAGAGAUCGUGUGCGUGCGCGCGUGUUUUCUUGAACCUUUUUUGUUCACAACAUUUUUGCUAUACAUUUUCUAAAAUUGAACGAUUUUAUUGAGCGGUAUGCUGUGGCCUCUAUGGCAGUGGCCCCCCAGGAGGUUAUAUUACAGUGGAAACAUUUUGCCUUUGUUAAGUAUGUAGGGAUGGAUUAGUUAACUCAGAGGCAUUGAAACCCUUCAAACAAAACCAGAUCUCUGUUGUUGGAUCAUGAUGGAGGUAAAAUUGAGAUAGGUUUCCUUAAGCACACAUCAUGUACAUGUACAUCCUUAUGGGUGGAGAAAAACUUCCAAGUUUUUCUAUCUUUCUUCCCGUGUCACUUAUUAAAGGAUGAUAGAGAUAAGAAGAAUGGGGCAAUGAAACGAAAAUGGGGAAGUGUUUCUCCUAUGGAUGGGCGGCUUUGUGAUGAAAUGGGUCAAUAUCUACUUUUAGGUUAAAACGUGUGAUGCCCAGAAGAAAAGCAAAUAGAGGAAACAUAACUGGAACAGAGGAAAGUAAAAGUUAAAACUGCUAAAAAGCAUUAGAGUUUUUAGAAUUAAUGUAUUAAAAGUGUAUAAAAAGGACCAGAAAAGCCUGUCUUAUUAUUAUCAGUACAGAAACAGAAGCACUUAUUUUGGUUUAAUACAAAAUGGAAAAAUCUAGGGCCAUACAUACAAAGUACAAAGUUUACAAACAUACAUGUCAUGCAAAUCUCUGUUGAUUCAAAGGAAACAGUUCCAAUUGGUAAUUCAAGUUUUGGGUUUACCAUUAUCACGGCUCACGAGACCAGAGGGGCCUGCAAGCAAGCAAUGGUUCACUAACUUCACACACAGAGACAGAGCUACCCUGACAAUUAAAUCCCUCAGGAAAUCUCGUGACUCUCUUAAUGUAAACCGGCUGCUAUGCCAUAUAAUGCCAUAUAUAAACACUCACACUUUUUAAAGUACUGCAUCUGCUCUGCUGCAAGACAUUGCACAUUUUGUCAUCUUCCUAUUUCACUUUGCCGCUUGCUUGUGGUGGCUCUGUGAUAAAAGUGGCAACAACCGUUCUUUAAGAAUCUAUGGUUCUUUUUUGGCCCAAGUAAAAGUGAUGGUAUAAAUGAGUGAUCAAAACAUGGUAUCUUGUGUUUUAGCCCGGAAGAUGAUGCAAUGGUGUUGAAUGUUGAUAAAAAACAAAAAACAAAAAAAACUAGCCGAAGAAGUUUCCAACCGACAGGGUAGGUUUGAAAUUGAAAAGCAAACUUCACUAUUUCAAGUUUCAACCUCUGCUUUGAUUUGAAUUGGAUUUGCGUUUGCCCGUGUGCUGAGAACAUGACAUCUUUUUAUUUAGGAAAGUAAUUUACCCGAAUUGGAUUCCCAUUAGAGUCAAAAAGUGUAACAGCUUAUUAUAUUUGAUCUGAUACCUCCCUCUUCCAAUCAUAUACAUGAAGUACAAUUAAAAAAUUAUUAAACCUAGAUUUUCUCAGAAAUUCUGUUUUACCCCCAUUCUUCAUAUGUGGGGCAAGAUACCCACUGAUCACCUUGCUUUGAAAUGAGAUAUGCUGUACAUGAAGUUAGUUGGGUCUCGUUUGGGGGGAAGAUUUUCAUGCAACGAGGAUAAUAUUUUUUGUUAUUUUCACUCAAUAGCGUAAUGAUAUACAGAAUAAUUUUUUCACAUGUCAUUAUAUUAUUGGACGAAAAUAGCAAAAUAAUCCUAUCCUCGUAGUAAGAAAGUUUGUCUGCUAAUUUAGAGAUUAAAAUAGGGGAAACAUUCAGUCAAAAUAUUAGUGGUGCAGAAACUAACAAGCAAAAUGGGAUUAACAUUUUGCUAAAAAAAAAGGCAUCAAUCAAUCAAUCAUGCAUAAAGUAUUGUAUAAUACAAAAAAGAAAAGAAAAGAAAAGCAAAGAUAGAGUGGGUGGAGUUAAUAAAGUGAUUGAAGAAAGGGACCCUCUUCAUCCAUCCAGGAUCUAACUCUAUAACACUCAUCCAUCUUUCAAUUAUAGUAGUUUUCACUUGUGCUUUUGAUUGUUAGUAAUAACCCUUAAACCUGUCUUAAGCGUUAUAUCACCAUUAUCAGCAUAAUCAUCCUACUUAGAUCUAACAUCAUUCAGGAUUUCGUGAAAAAAUAGAUACGGGAAUGCUAGAGUAAAUGUAUAACCUUCACAUAUACAACUCUCAAUCACCAAAAGUAAUGUUCGGUAACAAUAAUAAACUCUCUGAAAUAUACAUGGUUGCAAUUUACUUGUUUGCGCCUCUGUUUUUUUUCACUGCAUCUUUUAGCACACAAAGCUUAGAGUCUUAUAUUAUACAGCAUAUUUGGGAAGAAUUGAAAUAUCAUUUUGUUAAGUACAUCUUCUACAAGACCAGUUUUGUAUGCAUCAAGGACUCGAGUAAAGAGAAGAAAAAUGAAAUGGAAGAAAUCAAGUAUAACAGCCUAUAUACUGACAAGGUUUGGUCCUUGAAAGUUGAAACUGCAAACGGAAUUUGGAUAAAGAAAACAAGUGGAAGAAAUGGUCUUCCAUCUUUGUAUGACUUCAUAUUUCAUGUGAUAACAGUCAAUUUAUGUUUUAUUCUACAGUAGACCGUGUAAUGCAAAUCAAAACCCCGGUGACUCUUUAAAAAAAUGAGGAAAAAGAAAACCACCCCGUUGAACCAAUAGCUCAUGACAAAGGUCGUAAAAAUGACUAAAGAAUGUUGAUACAACAUCAAACCUCCAAACGGACAGCAGAGUCGAGCUUCAAACGAUUUAGUCGAACAGUCCCAAGAAUGUACUCGGGCAACUCCGCCUCUUCUUUUGCCUGCAAGCAAAGUAUGUGUUUAUCACAUGCAACCAGGUUACAUCAAUAUUUUUGCAAUGUUACUAGAAGCUCUCUUUAUUUAUCCUUCUCCCUAUUGGUUAUACCUCUCUCUCUCUCUCUCUCUCUCUCUCUCUCUCUAACAAGUUCAGAACACGUUUAUACCAAAAGAAGACCAAAAGUUGAUAUAAGGAACACUGUACCCAAUAAUGCAACAAUCAUAAAGACACAAACCUCUAUCAAAAUGGCAAGGUCAACCACUAUGCUCGUGACAUAUCCUAGGACAAGUCCGAUGACACUCCUUGCUACAGAUGAUGAUCCAAUAUCCACAUCAAUCUGAAAAGUUGUAGUAGUUUAUUUCAUUAAAAAAAACAAGCAGAAUAUAGCAGGACAAUCAUUAGAGAUGCCCCAUAAGCAAUCAAGAAAGGUUAAUAAUGCUUGAAAUAACAGUUUUAGUUCUACACUGUCAAGUAAGUCUCUGCUUGUAUCAUAGAAAAACUGCACUAGGAAAAAGCCACUCAUAGAUUUGUUAUUGCUACAAAUAGUUAUAUAGAUCCUUUGAAAGUUUGUUCAGUUACUAAACUUACCAAACUAGAAAAAACUCAAAAAUAAUUUUACAGUUGACUGAAGGUUGAGGAACACAUCAGGAUCCUCAAAUAGAGGGAACUGCACAAUAAUAUGAUAAAAUUACCUCUAGAAAGUUGUCUUGUCUGAAAUAUUUGCAAGUCACAGCUUUUCCCAAUAGGCAAGCUUUUGUUCCAACAGCACGCUUGACCAUCCAAUAUCCCUGUAACAGUAGACAACCAUUAGCUACUCUUUUCCAUCAAACGUAGAACACCCACGCGCUUAUGCAUCCUUUAGAGUUAAAGCAUAACAUACCUCAACGAUACUAGGAAUUAACUUAAAUCGUGCAUCACGAAACAUGUCACUCCCAUCCACAAAUUGAGCAAACAAAGAACCUGGCUUUGCAGGUCUGUCAGAAGCAUAGUAAAGUGCCAAACUAUAGUUUGGUUUUGCGGGAACCUGAAACAGAAAAACGACAUGUCAUAAAGAUAGUAAGAGGGCAGUUCACUUAUCAACAUAGUUCAACGUAUACCUCUCAUUAUCUUCUAAACCUAGCAUUAUUGGUCUGUAAAUGACAAACAGUCAUCCCAUUUCCUAGCAAAGGAAUGGUUUGGGAGGAAUACAUAUACGUACCUGGAGAUUAAUGACAAGUACAAAUGGAAGCUUCUUUCCAGCCUGUGACUGAAAUCAAGAAGUGUAUGCUUAGACAGAAAUCAGAAAUGAACUUUCAAAUUAACAAUUUACUUUAUCAAUAUAAAAGCAAUUCGAACAUGAAAAACUAACUCUACCUGAAGAAGACUCCGUGGAUGGAGUGCAAUCCUAUCUAAGCUUUUAUCAACUUUGAACCAAUCUACUGCUAUGAGCUUGAGAAGGGGAUCUCCUCCCAUUACCUGGAAAGAGUUAGUCAGCAAUAAGCAUAAGAAGAUGACCGGAAGUCAUCGAAUUUUGUGCAGAAUGUUCCAAGGAAAAAAAAGGGAAACUAAACCAAACACCACAUACGGAUCAAAUGUACAAACACAGUGCAAGUUCUCAGUCAAAUUAGUUCAAGGCAGAGUACAGCCCACCUUGGAAUUGUCCUUUAGGUAGUUCUUUCCCCUGAUCAUAAAUCCCGUACCGCUUGGACAUGUCCAACAGUUUGUGUCAGCCUCAUCCUUCCCAUUGCGCAAUGAACCACGGAAUUGGCUUGGAUCAAUCAUGACAGGAGCCACUUCAGAAUCCAGUUCCUUAUUAGCAUCUGCAGCUGUAUCCAGAAUGACCUGUACUUAAGCACUGAUAAUUUUUUAAAAAGGGUAAACAAUAAUGACAAACCAGUCUUUGAAUGUAUUCAUGUCUUUUGGUUCUUAAAUAAGUAAAAAGCUUUAUAAAACAGAAAGCAAAAAGAAGGGACACCAUUCUAGUACGCAGGAAGUUUACAUAAGAUAGCUUCACUCUUGAACUGAUGAUAAUAAUUUAUAGUAGCAUAAUAGAUCAAUGCAUAAUUAAAAGUACUUAGAUGUGAGCAAACCUGAGGUUCGUUUCAAGGCCAAGUUCAAUUUUGAAUCCUGCAAAGUAUAGAGGGUGGCUAUUAAUAUCUGGAAUUCAAAAUAAUAUCUCAAUACAAAUGUGAGAUGCAUUCAAUUGGACCACAAAUAGUGUUCCAUUCCAAGAUGAAGAAAACCAGAAAAGGAAAACCUUGUUGUCAAGUUCUUCGUCAGAAGAUGAAGAGUCCGCAGACAUUGCAUCAUAAAACUCAUCCUUGACUUCUGACUCCUCAAAUUCAGCAUUGGAAACGGAAACUUCAGAUAGUUUUGAUUGGAUAACUGUAGUAGAAGAUUCGAAUUUGAGUGCAGGAUUUGCUCCAAUAUAUUCCUUAAGACCUGAACAAUUACAAAAACAAAAGAAACAUAACUGCCUUUGCAAUAAACAUUUUACGAAAUACUUGAGAUAUCUCAUGUUAUAUGGUUUCGGAAAUCAGUUUAAGGGUAGGUUUUGUGACAGUUCUCACAUGAAGGUUUUUUUUUUUUUUAUAGCAUAGAACAUUCGGAUCAUAAAUUCAAAACAAAACAGAAAAAUAUAGAUAAUUAAUGUCUCAACCUCCCACUUGGCACAAUAAUGCAUAAGGUACACUCUUUUCAAACUUUGAGCAGUGAUUUUUCUUCCAUCUGCACCAGCCCGCAGAAUUUAUCUCUAACAUUUGAGUGACAAGACAUCUUGGAGUAUUUGAACCCAUGGAUGUGUUCAAAUUUCUAAUCUCCCAAGUAGAUGCUGCGAUACAAAUUAAAAACAUAAAAAGAACACCAACUUAAUGAAGAAACAGAGACUUUCUGAUAGCAGAAAUUGAGCUUCAUUGAUGAGAACAAAAAAAAAAAAAGAAGCGUCAUCAGAUUUGGAAAAAAAUGUCAUCAAGUGCUACAAAUCUGUGCUAGCAAGCCAGUCAAUUCAUCCUAAAAUUUGCAAGGGUUUUAUAAAACCACAGCAAGUGGUACAAAUCUGUGAUAGCAAGCUUCACUAAUUAUCAAUUUCUUCUGUAAAGCAGAUAAAAUCUCUUACGAUUUAUUUUUGUACGACGAUAUCCAGAUCUUGGAGGCUUCUUCUUAUGAACAGCUGGGAAAUGCAAGAUUGCUGCAUUAAGAAUAACAAAAGAUAUCAGCAAAAUAGGAAGGCAAAAGCCAUGUUUUCUAGAGGACAAAAAUGAAGCAAGCGACAGUUAAGCUCUACUCCCUACUUCACAAAGUGAAAUUAUGCUCAGAUUGAUAUCGUCUUACUAUAUGUUCCGUCUUGUCCGCAAAACCAUUGCCUAGAAAAUAUAAAAUCUCUUUUCGAAUGCCACCUGUAUAACAUGUUAAGUAACAAAUGAAAACCUCAUGAUGAUGAAACAAUAAACAGAAUGCAGACUGACUUUAUUAUGUUAAGAAGCCAUGUUCUAUUAACUAAUGCAUUGCAAAAUUUCCACUAUAUAUAAAACAUUAAAUAAGGGCUUGAUCAGUAGAAUUAAGACGAAGGUAUUUUCUCCAAGAUUAGAGAGAGCUAGUCACAUAUAACAUCAUUACCGAGUAAGAUACCUAGGAUCAAAUGUCCCAUAGACAACAUCCAGGUGCCCAUCAUAAGAAUCUAACAGCUCCAAGUCACCUGUCAGCAUAUCCCACCUGAAACGAAAACUAUUAGACAGAGAAAAUUUGUUUAGUGAUAUAUUUAUUAUGUAAGACAACUUACUCAUAUCUCUGAUGUCGCCCAAGGUUUAAAAGCACUUCGAAAGCAGUAUCUGCACUUGCAUCGAUGACAGCAACAGCCUUGACAAUAACACCUUUACCACUCUACCAACAGUGGAAUUAAUAACGCAUGAGAUGAUGCUGAGAAUGUGAUGCAUUCUCUUACAUGCGCGCACAAACAAACACACAGAUGCUCACACACAAAUACAGAAAAAUGCACGUAUCUAUCUACAAUGAGAUACCUCAGAGUUAGCAACAUCUUCAAAUAUUCUAACACCUGAAACCAAAAACAACAUACGCAUGAAGAAAAUAAAUCAGAAGAUUGCAUGGUUCACUGAAAUCACCAAACUGCAGUCCUAAAAAUUCAGUAAGAGAAAGAGAUAACUAUUCUUUGCCUGCUGAUGUCUAUCAAGUGAUUAGUAUGAGAAGAAUACCAUUAAUUGUUCGCACACAUUUCCACUCAUAUGCUUCAAUUGCAUCAUUGAUAUCUCUUUCGAAGUAUCCAUCUGUACUACCAUUUGCACCCAAGCUUGAGGACUGGCACAAAAGCGUCUCUGGUCCUGUAAUACAAAGAUUAUUAUUUUUUAAUUAAUAUAGAACUAGUAUUAUGUCUCUCAACUCUCAAAUUUGAAGAAAAAAAGAAAUGGAUGCUUGUGAUUAUGCGUUCAAUAAACAUGUAAAAGAACUUAUCUAAGAACACAAGCAACCGAUAUAACCAAGCACCCAAAAAGACUAUUUUUCAAACCAGAUUGUAAAAAAAUUAUUUCUCUAACAUAAAUUUCAUUAAAUAUGUCAAUUCAAUGACCAAUGACCAAUGAACUUUGGGACCCUGAACCAACUCAGUCCCAUUGUAAACAUUAAAAAAUAAGCCAUUUACAUACUACCUUACCUUGCCCAAUUCUUAUAAGCUUUUUCAAUCCACUUGCAUAGCGCCUUACUCUAGGUCGAUGGACAUCGAGAUUGAGCCUUCAAUAUUAACAGAGCAAGAAAAAAGGUCAUUUAAAAAGAAUAUGAUAUGCACAUUGAAGAGAAUCAAAUUAGUUGACUUAAUGAUAAGCCUGUAUGGUAGGACAUUCAAAAGAGAUUAAAAAAAGAACACGAUAAUAGAAUAUAUCAAGUUAUAGUGCAAGCGUACAGAUUCCAUCAUCAUAUAUGGAAUCCAACAAUAAAAACGUGGGUCCUAAUCAACAUGGCUAAUAUGAAUUACUAUGCACGUGUAUCACCAAUCCAGGAAUUAUAAGCGUACUCGGUCUCCAUGUUCAGUUUGUUUCUGGCACUACCUCCUCUUGUCAGCUCGAACUCAGCCUGUAAUCAGAAGCAGAGUUCCAGUGUAUUAAACACAACAAUGAACUGGAAACAUGCAAUUCUCAAUCGCAUUUGGAACUACAGUUUCAACAUUUGGAAAAUAAAGUACUGGCUCUGUCACAAGGACGACGGUAAAUGUUCAAUUCGCAAAGUAAGAACACUCUCUACAAGGAUAAGUGCCGCCUAAAUUUUGUACUAUUUUUGUUUUUUUCUAUGUUAGCCAUGGAAUUUUGGUAGGAAACUUGACGUACCUGUUGCUUGGCUUGAUCAAAGGCCUCCAGCCAUUUUUGGGCUUCUCCAGCCGUAACACAAGCAAUCUUCAGAAACCAAUUAAUUGUCAACCAUCUCAUCAAAUAAGAGAAAGGAAAUCCAAAUGUAAUGUGUAAAAAGAAUCAUUUCAACAAGCCUAGGAAUAUCACAGAGUAUGAGAAAUGGCUCAAAACUAACAAACACUUGCCAAGAUCACCAAUUCAGUAUAUGAAAAUUCACAAAAGUAACUCUAUUCAAUAUAUUCGCAUCAUUUCUUGUAAACUGAAACAAUGACAUUCGCAUUCUAGCAGUAGCUGCAAAAAUGAAUAGUUAAUAUGGCGCCAAAACUUACUUCUCCCUUCUUUGAUUCAUCCAAUCGAUUGAAAAACCGUAGAACGUAAACAUCCUGCAAAAAGAGAGAAACAAGCAUCCACAGCAGCUUGAAAAUGCUCCAAAUUAACUAAUAAAUUCAAUGGUUGCAUUGUAUAGAAUCACUUAAAAGUUAAAAGUAGAUAUAAAUUUACCCCAUAGUAGACCUUUCGACGCCCAACCUCCUCCAGCAUAAGUGUAGGCCCAACAACGCCCCUCCGAAUGGGUUUCUGGCCGACGCAGAGCAUAUAUUUACAAACAAGGAAAUUGAAAAAGAAAAUGGAAUUGGUAAUUAAUUAAGUAAGAAAGGAAUUGAAUUAGGCUUACAAUGCCGGGGUUCUCGUGAGGGUCACGCUUGUACAUCUCGACAUACUUGCCGCGGAUGAAGAGGAAGCGGAGGUGACAAUACUCGUGGCCGAUGGAGUUGACGCCCAAAUGAUAAACCCAACCAAAAUACUCAAAUGUGGAGGACCCUCUCUGAUCUUCUCCUCCUCCUCCUCCUCCUCCUCCUCCUCCGCCGAGUCCCAGUAAUCCGCUCAUCGUGCUCACCUCGGACCGUUCGCUCCCCACCUUCUUCAACGUCGACGGCGACGACGAUGACGAGGGAGACGGUAACGCAUCCAUCGUGCUCAAAAGCUAGCCUAGCCUACUAGGAGGCAGAGGCAGGGGAAGCUAUAUAUUAAUUAAUUGGGAGCUGCUUAGCUUUGUGCGAUCGAUCCUUCUCUCAGGGAAACGAUCGGGGGAGGUCCGAGAGGAGCGAGAGAGAGAGAGAGAGAUCAUGGAGGGAGGGAGAGGGAGGAAGAUGAUGAUCACUCUCCCAUUGCUUUCUUGCAAUCCUGUAUUUGCUAUCUUUGAAUUUCUACUUUCUAUAUUUUCCAACUUACAAUUAACCAGCGGGAAAAUCGGUGUGGCCUUCCUUCUUAUAUGUAAUUCGUUUCUUCUUGUAGGCGUGGGGGGACCGUACGUUUACGUUGUUGGUGUUGUGGGCUCCACUUCACAUUGAUGGAGGGGGGUCAACAUGCAGAAUUUGGCAGUACACGGACUUGCUACGUAAAUUAGUAAUAAACGAAACGCGUCGUAUUUAUAUUUGUAUCCCCUUGUAAUUAAUAAAAUACGGAAUUAAAAUACAUUAUGAACUAAUUUACCCAAAUAAGCUAAUCUUCCAAAUAAAAAAGUGCAUUAAUAACCAACCUUCUAAAACAAGUACAACGAGCUUUGAUUUGGAACUUCCCUAGCCUCUAAUGAUGGAUGAUGAUAAGUACUAUUUCUUUUGGAAGGACGAUUGGGACAAAUAACUCGUAUGGGUUUUUUCAUGUAGCAAUUUGGCAUUACUGCUUCUGCAUGGGAAAAAUAACUCGUAUGGUUUUAAUGCAUGACACGUUUUUUCUCUUUUGGUUAAUACAUGGCACGUUAGUUUUAAGAUGCGUAAUUGAAUGGUUUAAACGGGAAGGGAUUGGGAUCAAGUCAAGUGCAAUAUAGCUUUUGCCCCAUCCCUCUCGGGAUGGUGAGAUUCUUACAGUUCAUAAUUUUCCCAUGACCUUUUGCCUUGUGGUUGUAUUUCCGUCUAAUUCAAGUAAACCAAUUCCCAGGACCACACAACAUCAAGAGAGAGCUGAUGAGACAAGAGAGACUCAAGCUAAAACACUUUUCAUUCUUUCAUGUCAAUGUAGCGUCACUUCCACAUUGCUCUUUUAACUCUCAGAAGACGUUUUCAAUGACAGAUUCUCUAACAUCAGAUGAUCAAGUUCACCUUCAAAGGGUUCUUUACACUAGCCAAUUAAGAAAAAAGAAAUUUAGGUGCACCAACCAGAUCAAAACUAAAAGCUCACAACAUUUAAUACAUUGAUAAGCCAAUUCUCACCCAACGUAGUUCAUAGAACUUACUACUGCCAAAACUUACGACAAACAUAAAAACGGAAUUUCAACAAAAUGCCAACGAGCCAUCCCUGACAGAAUUACAUUAUCCUUCAGUUGGAUUUCCUCCUUGGUCCACAUCAUAUUCAUCAUCGUCAUCAUCCUCGUCCUCGUCCUCGUCCUCAUCAUCAUCAUAUAUGCUGCUCCGAUGAAGCCUAUUGACUUCACUAUUUGCAUCCUCUUCACUAAGAAAUUCCAGUCCAUACUUCGUGUCUCGGUGUUUAACCAAAAGCCAGCGCAGCAAUCUAUCUUCCUUGUUCAAGUAAUGCAGCUCCUUGUUGAUGUUAGGUGUAGCCAUCAUCGUCAUUUGCAUUAGUUGACCCUAUACCAUAUACCAAAUUGAUUUAUAAUAAAAUUUUAUCUGGUCAAAAUGAGAUAAGAAUUUGUUUGUAUUCAGAAAGAAAUACCAACUAGACAACAUACGGAGAUAGAAAAAGGACAGAAUCCUAUGAAAGUAUCAUCCAUGAUUUUGCGAUACAUUGUCCUUUCUAAUUUCUAGGUAUGAAAUACAAAUUAAUUAUAUAUAUCAACAGGAAGCUUCAGUGGCAUCAUCGUGACCCUAAAGUUAUAGCAAAAUAGCAUCUAACAAGUUCACUUUGAAAACAUCCGCAAAUGCAAUGCAAUAAACAAUAGGCUUGCUCUCACAUUGCAAAAUGAAACAAUACAAAACAACUAAAAGAGGCCCGAAAUCUAAGUUACAAUAACAACUAUUUCACUAGGUUGCAGAAAAAACAAACCCACCUGAUAAUAUCUGCCAUCAAGCUUCUUAAUACCAUAGCCCAACUGAACAGUGCCAAAUGACUUCAUGUCAGUAAGAACUCCAUUUCUUCUGUAAACAUGUUUGCUUACUCUAGCAACCAAGUCCAUCAGAGCCUCCUUCCUUACAUGGGGUUUCACCAGAAGCAUACAAUCAUACAGAGGCAUUUCUUUCUCUUUUCCUUUUGUGCAGCUCAACUGCCUUUUUAAAACUGUACGCAUAUACACAAAUAUCAUUAACAGAAAUCCAAGGCCAGCAAAUUAUAAACCCUAAAUCAAUGAAAAAAUGAACUUCCAACAAUGUUGUAUAAUUUAUAAAUUAUAUUCACAGUUAAAAUUGAAGAUUAUUAACCAAAAUCAUAAUUAUUUUGAAUUAUAAAUUAUAAAUUUAUACCAAAAUCAUGCAAAAUAAAAGGAUAUAUAAAUAUAAAGUACCAUAAUUGAUAUAAAACAUGGGGGGAAAACGAAAAAGUUAAGCAUAAUAGUACUACAAAGAAAAAUACUUGAAAUGAAAGGCUAGGCCUCUAAGUCUUAACUCUUCCUCCUCUCCAUAUCCUCCGAGCCGGUCACGGCCUGGUGGUGGUGGUCUUUCGUGAGAGAGAGAGAGAGAGAGAGAGAGAGAGAGAGAGAGAGAGGGAGGGAGGGAGACGGCUCAGAGGAGAGAGAGGCAGCGUGAUGGUUUUCUUUAAAGUCAGGAAUUUUUUUUUAAAAAAAAAGAACCCCACCCGCCCAGACCCGCCUAGCGCCCGCCUAGGCGGUGUCCUUCCGCCUAGCGUCCGCCUAGGAGCCUAGGAGCCUAGGUGCCGCCUUUUCGAACACUCACAGGUCCAUUAGAAGAUGAAAGUUGAACAUUUUCAGCAGCCCCUUGAAAAACGAAAAAGUUAAGCAUCAUAGUACUACAAAGAAAAAUACUUGAAAUGAAAGGCUAGGCCUCUAAGUCUAACUCUUCCUCCUCUCCAUAUCCUCCGAGCCGGUCGCGGCCUGGUGGUGGUGGUGGUCUUUCGUGAGAGAGGGAGACGGCUCAGGGGGGGGGGGAGAGGCAGCGUGAGGAUUUUCUUUAAAGUCACGAAAUUUUUUUUUUAAAAAAAGAACCCGACCCGCCCAGACCCGCCUAGGUGGUGUCCACCGGCCUAGGAGCCUAGGUGCCGCCUUUUCGAACACUCACAGGUCCAUUCGGCAGCAAAUAAAGAUGAAAGCUGAACAUUUUCAGCAGCCCCUUGAAAAUAAAAAUAAAAAGGACUAAUGUAAACAAAUUAGUAUAUACAUAAUCACAACCACCACAACCCAUACCCGACGUCAACGAAUCCCAAAACAUGACAACCCUAAAUCCCCAAAAUAACAGCCCUAAUUAGACUCAGACGAAGUUACGGGGAAAAUAAAACCAAUUUAUAAUGGCUGAUAAAGCAAACAGAAAAUGAACCAAGAAUUGGAAAAUUAAAAUCAAAGGAAUGAGACAAUUGCGUCCAAAAGUUAAAAUCCAAGGGGAAAGGGGCGGGGAAGGAGCUCAGUACCUUGUAGUCUUUCUUAGGGGACUGAGAAAGCUUCAAAGAGCGCCCGCCCAGACGGAGACGGAGGAGAAGGCGAAGGCGAACAGGCCGAUAAAAAUGGAGUUAAUAUCAUUCUCUGUGAUCUCUAAAUCUGGGCCCGUAAAUUAUGAACAAACGGAUGAAAAUGGGCCACGUUCCCCAAACAUUUUCACCUAACGCCAGCCCGAUCCAAUUUUUUGAUGGAUCAACGAUCCCACUAAGGCCUAACCUCACCCGUUGAAGAGGUUGGUGUAUGAUAGCAGAAGAGCACGUGGUUGGCACGUGUAGACCAAAAGGCCUGCCUCAGCGUCUUUCGGGGUUCAAAUCGAUCCGUUCGUAGGCCGGACCUCAACGAAGGCGGUUUCAGACUCAAACCGCCAAAACAAUUUAAAAAAGAGAAGGCCCAAACCGCCCAACGAAAGUCUGUUGUUGACAAAGGCAACACGUGUUGAUAAGAACAACCCCUACAGCCAUUCACUUGAAGACACGUGGUUUGUCGGUCCCUUUCUCGGCAACUAAGGUUCUUACCAUACAUAUCGUUAGCCCAUCUAUCGUACCAAAUUUACAAACGCACCAACACACAGUCAAUCGAAAUUCGUAAUUUUAAAAAGAGAAAGUGCAACAUGGUAAUUGAAUAUUGGUAAAAGUGCAAAACCAAGUUGGUCAAAUUUUACCAAGCGGGUAAAGCCUAGCCUACUCACGCGCCUUGGACGGUUCCAAACCUCACGCCACGUCACGCGAAUUACCGAAACCUCUCUAUAAAUACACACUCACACAUGCUGUUCAAAAUAUAGGCAUUCCUUUUGCUAAAGCAAAUUUCCAGAAGCGUCAUAAGUAAUAUCAUUUUCUUUUUUCUUUUUCAUUUUCGUUCUUUCUGCUCUCUCUUCUCCUCGGGGAAAAUGGGGACGGCGAUUCUUCGCUCCCAGGAUUGUCUUCGAGGGCGGUUUCGCCACGAAGCCCUAACCCUAACCCCUCGCUCCGGAUCACGCCGAAGCCCUAAUUUUUCUAACCCGAACCCUAAUCCCAGCCCCAACUAUGGGUCUAACGCUAAUCUUCAUCAAUCUCGCCGCCGGAAGAGAAGUCCGAUGGGAUUCCAAUCCAAUCAACAUGAUCGCGCCCGAGAUCGGUACUCUGAUCGCGCCAUGGUUGCGAAGGUCCCGGCCAAAAACCUGGUGAUGGGCCAGGUCAAGAUCCUGAGGCGCGGGGAGGCCUUGAGCCCGGAGAAGAACAACCGAGGACUCGGAGUUGUUUCCGGCGAUGCUGGCAAGCCGAGGGCAAAGAGCGAAGAUGUUCCAGAUUUGGUACUGGGAUCGACGGACCGUUUGGGCCCCGACCCGGAGACCGUGCAGAAGCAGAUUAAGGUUGCAGAAUUCAAGGUCAUGGAUGCGAUUUACGCUGGAUCGAGCGCCUUCUACGCGUCUCCACCCCCGAGCUCAGUGCCUUUGCCUGCUUUUUUGGGAAGAAACGGCACGGCGACGAGCGAUCUGCGUCGGCUGCUGCGACUCGAUUCGGUGUGACCACUCGGUGGCAUUCGAUGGCUGGAAUGCAGGGGAAAGGGUCUGGCUUGGCAAUCUGGCAGUAGGGGUGCUUGAAUCAAUUGAUAGAUGAUGAAUACGAGAGAGUGUUGGGUAUUGUUCGGUUUGUCUCAAUUGCUUCCUUUAUUUUUUCAAGAGGAAAGUUAUAUUGAGUGCUAGCAAAUGAUAGCGUGUUGCGAAGUUUCUUAAUAUGAAAGAAGAAGAAGAAAAGGAGUAAGUAGUAGGAAGUUUGGGUCUUGCUUUGUAUAUCCUCAAGUAGGAGUAAAUGCGUGUGAGUUAAUGGGCUCGUAGAAGUUAUAAUGAUGUAAUUUGAGUCUGCGUCUGUUUCGUCUUCUAUUCUCUCACUAUAAUGUUAGUAGUGUGUACUCAUAACUCAUCAAGAACAAAAGAAUGUGUUAGUUUUACAUUUGUUGGAAUAAAAUCUUAGAUUUGUACUGCUUAAUGUUGCUGGCAAUUUUGCAAGUUCUCUCUCCCGCCGUUGGUUUGAAUGUUCUUUGGAUGCUUAUCGUUGUUGUUGUUGAUGCCAAGCCUCUGGUGCUGAUGAUUGGAAAUGGGAUUCGAAGUUUUUCUUGUUGGAAAUGGUUUCGGGAAUAAUAUAUGUGCCCUGCCCCUACAACAAGGCUGCUGCAAUUUCAUUUCUUGUUGGUAAAUAAAAGAAUCUGUUAAAACCAAAACCUCUGGCUCACACAAGAAGCCAGCAGCACUGCAAGGCACAAGGCUCAAUCCUGUGAUCAAAUAAGAAAUGGACAUUAUUAUUUUUGAAGGGUUUCUUUCUUGCUUGCAUGCUGCAGUGAACACAAGAGAUUGCUCUGGGUCUGAGAAUCCUGAGAUCGUGUAAAUAAAGGCAUAGAUAUUGAUUUGAUACUGCUGCUGACUUAAUUGUAAGGGUGGUCGUGUGCUUACUUCAUUUAUAUCCACUAGACUCUAAAACAUGUCACACUGUUGAGUUGUUUGGCCUACGACUAACAGAGCUAUCAACUUCGGGAUAUUCAGGCACUAUCUUCUUCCAGAACCAGUGCUUUCUCCACAUCAGUAUCAUCUCUUCAAUAGGAAUUCCCUUGGUUUCAGGCAGGAACACGUAAACGAACACCGUCAUCACAGUAAUCCACCCAGCAAAGAAGAGAAAGAUCCCGAAUUUUAACGCACAUAGGAGGGCAAGAAAAGACUGUGCUAUGAUGAAGGUGAACAGAAGGUUCACAGCCACUGUAAUGCUUUGUCCGGCUGAUCGGGUUUCCAGUGGGAAUAUCUCGCUUGGCACUGUCCAGCCGAGCGGACCCCAUGACCAUCCGAAAGCUACCACGAAGAGGCAGAUCACUGCCACCACCAAUACUGAGAAUCCUUUUGAUAGCUCUUGAUUCUCACCCAACUUGACCCCCAAGAUUAUGGCGACUAUGACCUGUUUCACAUUCAAGAGGAGAGAAUAUUAAGUGUUUAGAAAGCCUUCUAGAAAUCCAAAGGAAAGAAGGAAUUUUAAUCAAUUGUUAGUGUUUAUGAAGAGAGAUCAAUUUUACCUGGCAUAUAAUCAUCAUUAUUCCACCACUAAUGAGCAAAACUCUUCGACCGAGCUUGUCAACUAUUGCAAUAGAUAUCAGUGUAGAUGAAACAAGAACUGCUCCAGUUAAAGCAGAGGAGUAGAGAGAAGCAUUUCCGCCAAACCCCAUACUUUGAAACAACACUGGAGCAUAGAAGAGAAUUGAAUUUAUGCCUGUGAGGAUCUGGAAUGUUGGCAUGAAGAUUGCCAUAACCAAUUGAGGCCUGUUCCUUCUAUCCAGGAUGUUUCUGAAAGGGUGCUUUAUUGCACUAGCAAACUCACUUGCAUCUAACAUGUCCUGAAACUCUGCACUGACAUUUUCGGUUCCUCUGAUUCUCUCCAGAAGUUUUCGUCCUUCUUCUUUACUUCCUUGUUCAAUUAAGCUAUUUGGUGUCUCAGGAAGAAAUAUUCCUCCCACUGUCAUUACUAUAGCAGGUACUAUAGCCAGGCCUAGAGAGAGCCUCCAACCCCAUGGUUCGAGCUUUUGUGUUCCGUAGUUUACCAUGUUUGCUAUGAAGAUUCCUAGCGUAGUUGCCAACUGAAACAUCAUGUUUAAGCCUCCUCGAAGAUGAGUUGGUGCCAUCUCUGAUAGAUAUAGUGGAAUAGCCUUUUAAGACACAAGGAGGCAGAAAAAAUCAGUUUUAUUUGAACAUUGAGGGUGCUUAACCAUACAGUUGGUUAUAUUCUGAUUCAUCUACAGUCUAUGGUCAAUAAAUUGUUGCUAGAAAGAAGUCAUUGUCUCUUCUGUAAAUUAGAUACAUUUGAGUCCUUAAUUAAUAUUCUCACAUUCGUGCUUCUCACCCUGUCAUUUGGCUCAUGUGGUAGGCCUUAAAGGAAAACAAAUUUACAUUUGGUAGUGAUUAAGGGUAAGCAAAGUGUGAUACCUGAUUUCCAAAUCCGAUACCAAUACCAAGCAUGAUCCGACCCAAGAGAAGCAUGGCCAAAUUGGCAGCUGCAGCAUUUAGAGUUGCUCCAACAAGGAAACUGAUUCCACCACAGAUUAUACUUCCGCGCCGUCCAUAGUUUCUUGUAACUGGAGAAGCCACCAAAGAUGCAACUAAACCGGCAAGAUACAGAGAAGAGGUGAAUGCUGCAAGACCUUGGUUGUCGUACUUGCAGUAGUUGUUUUCAUGUGCAAGCAUUUUUUGUUUGUACACCGUUUUGAAGAAUUUAUGAAGAAAUCCAUCCAUUGAGGUAACCCCACCUAUUGAUUGUUAACCAACAUUUUAAAUGAAAUCUUCAGUAAGACUAUCCCCUCAAUAUUUCACACGCAUUCAGUUACAAAUUAACGCUGAAGUUCCAAUAGUUUGUGAUAGCUUCAUUUUCUGCUGAUUGAUUCUUUCAUGACCAUCAAAAAGUAGAGUAAAAUUCACAUGAAUCAAUCUGCUGAUAGAAUAACCACGACAUUUUUCACACUUUCUAAAUUCUUAUAUUAUAUUAGAACAAAAAGUAGCAGAAAUCAGGAAUUGCAAUCUAGAUCUCGUUAGAGCAGCCACCGGAAACACUGCAUGUUGUUAAUUCAGUUUCUGUUCCGUUGUUACUGGUUUCAAUGAUAAUUAAUCUCAUCACCAUUUGUUGCAUGUUAAACUUGUAUUUCUCUGUUUCUCAACCAGAUUUCUUAACCAGGGAAAAGUGAUGCAUAUUUUUCUCCCUUCUCUUUUUUAGCCAGCCAGAUAUGCAGAAUUUAUAAUACCAGGUAAAAAAGCAGAACUUUUCAACAUUAACUUUGCUUUCGUGUCAUCAUUCUAUACCUGUACGUCUUGGUAGAUUACCUCAUCAAAGCCAAAAAAAGCCCAGAAUCUAAAGAAAAGAGCUUGCCAAAAAAGCAGGUGGGUGGGUGCGGUGAGGAAAUGAAAAGAUUACCUGAAAUUCCGAUAUCAUAACCGAAAAGUGAGCCGCCAACGGCAGCAACAACGCAGGCAACGAUAACAUAAGCGGUGAGCUUGCCUUGGUACUGCUCUGCUCUCUCCUUGGCCACGCCGGCUGGAGCAAAAGACCCACCUGCCAUUUCCAAACAGAGAGGAGCUGCUUCUGAAACUUCACCAAUUUCUCUGAGAUUCUGAUGGUGCAACACACAGAAACAACGUUUUCAACCUUGUGAAAUGAAAUGAAUGAAUAUGAUGAGCCUGCCUCACUUGGGUUUGGUUCGGGGUUUUUCUAUCAAAAUCCCAGUUGACUGAAAUGAAAAUGAAAUCCCCACUUGGCUCUCUGAAAUAGGACAGAAGUAAUAUCCCGCAGUGUAGAGCUUAGAAAAAGAAAGAAAGAAAAUUUGUUUAUGUUGACGUGUGUGUGAGCAAAGAAAGGGGAAACUCUAGUUUAUUGUCUUUUCUGUUGACUAGCCCCUUGAUGCGUGCCAAUUGGUUUUCUUUUUUAUUUUUAUUUUUAUUUUUGAAAUUAAGAAAAAAUAACAGGGUAGUUAUGUUUCAUAAAAGUAGGACUUAUUAUUUUAUUUUGUUUUUAAUUUUAAUUUUUUUAAUAUUAAAAAAUAUGAAUUUACUAUAUUAUCCUCAUUUAAUUAAUAAUUUCAAUUCUUAAUGUUUGAAUUAACAAAGGGCAUUUUUUAGUAUUUUGAAUGUUUCACUAUUCUCUGCCUUUUGCUUUAUAUAUAUAGAUUUUCACUGCCUUGUAAAGUCGUAUUGAUGUCACGUGGUGUGUUGUAUGCCACUGGAGUGCGGAAGUUAUGCGGGGAAGAGUGAAUAGCUCCCCUUUUUUUUGUUGCAAUGUUAUAACUAACAAUGGUCGACAUAUCUAAUUCUUACCUUAACCUGGAUUUUUUUAAAGAUCUUGCCAUAAAUUUUCCAUUUUGGUUAAUUUUACAUGGUAAUUGUACCGUACGGAUUAUCCUUUCGUUAUCCCAAGUGGAUGAGACAUUCAUUUAUGGUAAUUAAUAAAAAGCAACAAACAGAUCCCUUCACAUAAGGAAAUGCAAUUCCUUGAAUAUUUAGGGUAUCCACAAUCAUGCUCUCUAUUUUUUCGUUAAAAUUUAGCUAAAAACACUAGAAAAUUAUUUUAAGAGCUCUCUAUAAAAUUUCAACUCCAAUCAUACUCUAUAGUUUAAAGAGUAAUAAAUGUUUUUAAUUAAUGCUCUUACAUUUGAAUUUUGAGUUUAUUAUUUCAUUGUGUGUGGAUAGCCCUGUUAUGGUGCGUGAAUAAAAAGAGAGUAUUGAAUUGAGUCAGUGAUUUAAUGCCGUAUCUACAAUAUUCAAGAAUGAAAUCAUGAAGCUAGAGAGAGAGAGAGAGAGAGAGAGAGAGAGAGAGGUCUCAAUUCACUUUUAUGAUGAUGAUGAGUCAAAAUGAGGAUGGUCUUUUUUGUUGAAUUGUAGCCUCCACUGUACACUUUGGUGGGCUGGGCAGAUUGUUGCAUGCUUUUGGUUUCAUAUUUGAUGCAGAAUCUCAGAUGUUGUCUGCUCUGUUUGGAGUUGGGUGAGUGAGACACAUCAUGUAUGUAUGGUAUAGUCUUAGUCUUACUUUUGCAAGCCUUUAGCCACUCCGCAAUUAUAUUAGCUCUAAAGUUCGAUGCUUUGGAUCACACACAAAAAGGGCAAAGAAAAGGUGCUGGAUUUUAGUAAGAUAAUCUUCUUCUUUUUUAUAUUUUUAAUAUUCUGGAUUUUAGUAAUUCUUGUAAUUUAAGAUGAGCAGCUGGCUGUUGAACUUGAACCUCUUGAAUGAUUGUUGGUUAGUUUGCCUCUUGAAUGAUUGUUGGGGAAUAUCCCAAUCAAUAUUUCUUUCUUUCUAGUAUUGCAGGCAAAUCUGAUAGAUGAGGUCCCAGAAAAAGCAAAAAGGUGGUGAAAGUUGGGCUAUUUUAUGAAAGUUUUCCUCCUCAUAUUCAAUAGCACCAAAGUUAGGCUUAGGAUAGAUAGAUGAACUUCCCAAUGUGGAGGGUAUCUUUUCUCAAUAUAAACAAGUAAAUAAAACAAGGGUUUAAAAAGACAAGUCACAGCAACGAAUUCAAGGCUGAGUGAGUGGAUUCUACAAACAUCAAGAUCAUUGUACAAUUUGUCAUCUCAGUCUUAUCAACAAAUAUCAAGAAAAGAAAAAGACAUUUGACCAUUUCAUUUUAUUUUGUUUAUUGAUUACGUUUACCAUUUUGAUUAUGAAUCCAAAAGAAAUGAGAGAGAGGUUAGGCAUAUGAGGUUGCGUGUUGUGGUCCAACUAACCUCGGUGGUUUCUUUUCGUGGAUCAACUACUAAUUCCACAACAAAGUCACACUAAUUUAUUAGAUAUUAAUAAUCAGAAAGGUUGAAUUGUGUGUGAUUUUUCUGCGGUUCCCUCUUAUCGCAUUCAUAACAAUAAGCAGAAAUUUCUCAACCAGAUCGUUUCAUUGGAAAGGUUUGAUUACAUUUUGUUUCUCUUCUCUAUAUACCCCUGCUUUAAGCUUCCAUGAUGCCUAGAAGCAAACUCCCCAAUUUACUGACAGAAAGCAUUUUAAAAGGUAAUUCAUCCUCGUUGGUUAAUAUACUCGCAUGUGAUGCAGACUACAUAUAUACUUCUUUUAGUUUCCACUCAAAAUAUACCACUUAAGAAUCCCCUGCAAUUUGAAAAGGAAAGAAGUAGUUAAAAUAGCAUACCAGAGCGUUGUGGGUACAAACACUUCUGUAAGUUGAAGGUUUCUUACCAGAAUCCCAAGGCUUUCUUACUCUCAUUUCUGCAAAAGUUGAUUGAAAUGGAAUCAUUCAGUCAGGGAAGUGCUGGUCUAUCAAUUUUAAGGAAUGAAACAAAGAUAAGGGCAGGUGUUUUCAAGAAAACAAAUGAUCCUUAGUGAGAGUUUACCUAGGCUUUCCUUCGAAAGCAUCAUUCACUUCAUCGGUACUUGGCUUUUCAGGAAAUGUAGACAAGAUAACAUACUUCUCUUUCCCAGAAGGGUCAUCCACCCUCUUGUACAGUUCGUAACGAUAUGGAUAAGACAUCCUAAGACAUGAGGUGAAAAGUGUUGAGUGCACUUUAGAAAUGUCAAUGUUCAUAACAUUUCAGUGGCAUAGUGGAGUAGCAAGUCACACUAAGCUUACCUGAGAGCACCCAUAAUUGGAUAUUGGGUUCCUGCAUAAUAGAGAAGCCGAAAGAAAUAGCAAUUUUCGAAUGAUGAAGCAUACUCCAAUCUCUUGUCGCGCCCCAUGGUCUUUAAAAGGAAACACAGUCAAGAAAUUGAUUGGUUUCUAUCAAGUUAAUUGAAGUCGCUAGUUCUUGACUUACUUGCAUGAUUCCACUCGAAGCAGGCAAAUCCUGAAAUUUAAAAAACUCUAUCAAUAUAUCCACUUAAAAACAAGAAAUUGCAUAGUGUUGCUUAAGGUUUUCUGCAAAUGCAUAAUGUGAUACCAGAAAAGACCCUAGAUCGGUCAGUGUACUACUCAUAAGCCAUAACUUCAAAGUGAAACAAUUUCAUGAUUUUAAAUUAGAUUUCCUUUACAAAGUAUUAAGUAAUGAGGAAAGGGAAUAAAUGUGGAUAAGAAUUACUUGGACAUGUGGAUAUCACAUAACUAUAACUGCAAAUCAUUCCAUCAAGAUGUAGCAUAGAAACUAAACCUUGAGCCUGGGAUUGAUAAGAAUUACUGGUCGGUCCCCAGCAGCAUCGGUCAUAGCUCUUAGAUCCUGUAAAUUUAAUAAAAGGGCUCUUAAUAACAACAGAAAGGUAGAAAUAAAGCAUGUCAAGUACAAUUGCUCUCUCCAACUAUAAUAGUGGAACAUUCAAUCAUCAAGAUGCUUACAUCGAUAAUACAAUUCCCAACAGCAUUUUGAGGAGCUACUAAGAUAAACAGGUCAUCUUGCUCAUCUACCUCUUUGCCACCUGCACUUGCCAAAAGAGAGACUAAGGGUAUGGCUAUCAUAAUCAUGUUCUGUAGAACUUUUCUUUUUUUAUUUUUUUGGAAGGAAAUUCUAUAGAACAUAUGUGGAAAAAAAGGAGGAGAAUUUUCAUGUCAAGUGGAGAAACUAGAAGACAAGGACUGAAUCUCCAAUGCACCAAUCAUUGAUGUGGAGAAGAGUUGUGUUAAUGAGUUAUACACAUCAUCACGAAUUCAUAAUGGAAGGAGCAUUAUUCCAAAUGUCUCAAGGCAUUUGGAGGACCAAUAUCUAGAGAUGCAGUAAAAUGAACAUCAACUGUCGAGCUGACAAAUGCAUGACAUUUCUGUACCUAUAGAACCAAUAUUGAUAAACGUCCCCAUAGCCUCAUAUUCACCCCAGUCCAUGAACUCCAAGAUUUUUCGAGUACCAGCAAGCUGUAAUGGCAUUCCAGCAAGAGCGCCUUCCCCCAUAGAGCCUUGAACACAAACCUGACAAGCAAAAUUUUGGAUGACUCCUGGAAGAGCUUACAUUAUCAUUGGCCACUAAUCUAAAUCAGUAGCAACCAGGACUAAAUUACCUUGACAUGUUUCCCAUCAUCGGCAAAUGAAAGAGCAAGAGAUCGAACAAGUUCCAUUAAGGUACCUAUUCGAUAAACAUCCUGUGCAUCAUAAGAUAUGGUUAACUCCAAACAGAUUUAGGAAUACUAAGUUAAAUGUCCCUUACCAUUUCUGGGUUCAGCUCUGGAAUAUUAAUCUCCACCUGCCAAUUUUCAAAGACAGAUUAAGAUAAAUAAUAGACUUAUCGAAACAGAAAAUGAUAGUAAAAUAAGACUGAAAAUGAUUUUGUGUAACAUAGUGGAUGAUGUCUCCGGAUUAACCAGACCCCUAAGUCCUAACUGACAUAAUUGUAAUCCCCUGUUUACCAAGGUUAUUUGAUGUCAGUCAAGGGGUCCCAAGAACUACAGUGCAGUAGCCAAAAAGAAAUCAAAUGCCCAAGAAAGAGACGAUAUGGUAAGGCUACGAGUUUGUCCACUGCUCCGAAACUAUAUUAGAUGAUAUGUUCUAAGUUCUAAGCAGGAAGACAAAUUUCGUCUUUCUAAAGUAAGAAUAAUUCCGUAUGAUAAAUGGAUGAGAAUGUACAGGAGCAUCUCACAACCCAGCUUGAAAAUAGGUUACAAAAUCAACAGAGAUUUGUAUAUGUAACAAGCACAGUUCACCUUGGUACUUGAAGUUGCCUUAACAUGCCUUACCAGGCCCAAUGGUUAAUAUCCAUGAUCACCUAUGCAUUAUAUUUAUAAGUAGAAAUGACCAAUAAGAAACCUUUAGUCGAGUUCUUCCAUCAUUUAUUGCUCUUUGGGUGGCCUGCAGCACAUCCUCAUAGAAAUAUUUCCUGAUGUCUCUAGAAUGUGGAAUGUUAUUCAAUUUAGUAGGAAUUCCCCUCCAGUUAUCCUGUAAAAUUGCAAAAUAAAAAUUAGAAAGGAACUAUAACAAAUUAUUUAUCUGGAUUAAAGAUGACUGAUUCUAUAACUAAACAUAUACCUGGACUGAAGUUGACUGAUUUGAUUUCCCUGGAAAAUGGAAAAUUCUUAAAAUCAUCAUGCACAGUAAUUUAGAAAACUCAUUUAGGAACAAGUAGCGUCACCAAAAAUAGAUUUAAGACUCUCUUACAAAAUCAAUGGAGAAAAAAGUUGCACACAUUCUGAGAGAAACUCAGCUCCAUAUAAGUAUGAAUCACUUAAGUUAGGACAAACUCAUAUAAUCUGUGAUGCACCGAUACGUCAGUUUGGAGGGGUAUGCUCGUAUCGGAUACGGCUCCGAUACGAUACGGCACCGAUACGGCUCCGAUACGUAUCCGAUACGCCACGUGGCGUAUCGUUGACUUAUAUGGCACGUUGACUUCUCGAUACGGAUCCGAUACGUCCUCGAUACGGUCCCGAUACGGUCCCGAUACGGCAUCGAUACGUGUGGGGGUAAAAACGAAAAUAUUUGCAGACUUUGGGGGUGAUUUUGAAAGUUUCUAAACAUUUGGGGUUAAAAUGUAAAAACACAAACUAUAAUUUCAUAUUGUUGUCUGUCGAGAGGCUAGGUUUUUGGGGUUUCAUUUCAACAGAACAGAGGCCAAACAAAAGAGAAGAAAGAAGAAGAAGAAGAAGAAGAAGAAGAAGAAGAAGAAGGAGCCGUCCGUCGCUCGCACCCAGCAGGCAGUUUAUGGAUACUUGUAUUUUGUGUGUUUUGGUUAAUUUUUGCUUUGUUUAUGGAGAUUUGAAUGAAGUUAUGUGUUUUGUUAAUGUUUUGAAAUUAUUAUUGGUGAAAUAUCAAUUUUCAAAUUUUCUAGUUAUAUUAUUUUUAAAUAUAUAUAUUAUUUUAAUCACCGUAUCGGUGCCGUAUCCGUAUCCUAUUUUUUGGAGAUUUGCCGUAUCGGCGUAUCGUAUCGUAUCGUAUCGCCGUACCCGUAUCCGUAUCGGUGCAACAUAGCAUAUAAUGAGCUUCAGAUCCUGAACAGACUUACCUAAUUUCAUCUUCGUUUCUUUAUCUUUCUGCACUUGUGACAGUAUAGAGUCUAUUACUUCAAAAACUACUUCCUUAGGAUGGUUCCCAUCGAUCUGUGGUUUCAAGAGCUUUUGUGUAAAACAUGAAGUCCUCUAGACAGAUUCAUAUAAAGAAACCGGAAAAGGAAAAAUGAUAACACUAUAUCACUAAACACUCACCUUUUUCAUUAUGUGGGAGUAAGUGGUUGAGAUUGCAUCAGCAUUUUGCUUGUAUAUUUCAAGGCGUGACUUCACCUAAAUGGAAAACGGAAUGAAGUCAAAAGCUUCUGAAGCCCUAUUUGAUGGAAUUCACCUAAUCUGAACUUAGUAUAUCCUAUAUACUUUCAUACUAAUACCAUACACAUCCUAAUGGAUUUUAUCUGGUCCAAAGUAUUGCCACAUCACAUAUAAAGGAAGAAUGGACAAAAUAUCAAGUUACAUGUGCAUAUUAGAAAAUCACUUACAAGUUACAUACGUUUAUGAGAAAUCACUUGGACUAACAAUGUAGGACAGAAAUUCAUGAUGUCAAACCAUACCUUUUCCUCGGUGUCAUCAGGACGGGUAAUAAGUCUUGCUUUUAUUUCCUCAGUCUCUGGAGGGAAACUUUUGAGAUGGUAAAUCCUCCCUGUAACUGGGUCUAGCCUUCUUCCAAUACAUCUGUCGAUUAGAAUUUCAUCAGGAACCUGAGUAUUAAGAAAUAACGACUAUGUAAAGAUCAAUUCUAUUUGUACAAAGCUUGUAUGGAUGCAAUUGAGAUGACCAAGGGGAAAAACUUUUUAAAAAUACACAUGCAUGAAACUCCUUCUUUUCAGCAAAGUUAUAAUUUCCUUCCCAAAUGUCACUCACCAAAAGACACCCAACCGUAUUUGUCAAAACAAAGAUAUUAUGAGUUGGAAUUAAAUGAAACAGCUAACAUACAUCAUAAGGAAUUCAGUAGAAGUAGAAAGCUUCCAUUCUAUACAAGACUCACAUACAUCUAAUACAAUGUAAACAUCUGGUAUUAUCUUCAAACUUUGCAGGCUUUGUGCUUGGUUAAAACUUCGGGGGUAGCCAUCUAGAAGCCACCCGUUUUCUUUUGCAUCUUCCCGUGAUAAUCGUGCUGUGACCAUCUACAAAGCAAGUGUUUUCGAUACGAUUACCAACUAUUUGAUAAGGGAAACUUACACCAUGUAAGAUUUUGAGUCAUGAGUUGAUAGAAUACCGCAGUCACGACUUCAUCAGGGACUAGACGGCCAGCAUUCAUGAACUCUUUGGCUUUAUUUCCAAUUUCUGUCCCAGAUGACACUUCAGCUCUUAGAAGGUCCCCCGUUGAUAUGUGUACCAAUCCAAACUGAAGAACCAAGAGAAAGAAAGAACUCAUCAGUCAUACAAAACGGGCUAUCCAUUCCAAACACACACACCAGGCCCUUCUAUAUAUAACCGCAACGCAUAAACAAUGAACAAGUAACUUAUAUCUAUUAAAAUGGUUACCUUGCGGACAAUCAAUUCGCACUGAGUUCCUUUGCCUGAUGCCGGUGCACCGGAUAUCAUCACCUUCAGAGGCUCUUUUAAAGAACAGUUGAGUUUCAGUCCCUGUCAAAAACAGAACAGAAAGUGUACAAUUAAUAUUCUUGUUUAAUUUUAAAAAAAAAUUGACAUCGAGCACAAGGUUCAUAUCUGUUUUUUUUUUCCUUAUACAUUGGAUUUGUAGGUAAUCCUCAAAUGGGCAUUGUUGUAGAGUCGCAGAGAGCAGAGACGAUGAGAAGAUGGUUCAAGCGAUACAGAGGAAGAAGAAAAAGAAGAAGAAGAAGAAGAAGAGGGAAAAGGAGAAAAAGGAAACAGAGAGGGAGAAUAUAAACUGAAGGAGUGAACUGGAGAGAGUGAGGUGGGCAACAUUCUUCUGCUCUCACUGUGUAUGAAAGACAGAGAGAGAGAGAGGAGAGAGAGUUUUGGGUAGAAGUUUAAGCAAUGGGGUAAAGGCAGGCCAACAAGUUUAAGCGGCUGAUGCUAACGGAAAAACGGACACCACGAGUUAUGUUUUCUCAAUUGGAAAGGCUGUCUUUUUGGUGGCUUUUGACAGUUUUGUCCUGCUGGCCAUUUAUAUGAUAGGGGCCUUCCUCUCUUUUGGGGGGCAAGGCAAGGCAAGGCCCGUGCUAUUUGCCUUGCGUUUUUGUUGAAGAUCGAGGCUUUGGAACCGAGGGAAGCCCUCUCUUCAAUUAGAAGGAACAGCUAGCUGUUGUUGGUAUCUCUACAAAAAGUCUGAAUUUUGGCGUCAUCACUUCAUUUUCUUCUAUUUCAAUUUUGUUUAAUUGGUUCUUAUGAAAUAUCAUUAAGCCACUAAAUUUUUUAUAUAAAAAAAAUAAAAAUAAAAAAAACUUCCUCAUGUCGAUUUGUUCUUCCUACUCAUGCAUUGGCUAUAACUGGUUAGAACUUCAGUUGGUUUAUCGUUGUAUCUGUGUCCUCCAUAGUUGAACAUGUUUAAUGGAAAAAUAAAAAAUUGCACUAUGAUGCAGCAACUUGGCCAUGAAGGGUCCACCAGUACUGAGACACUGGUGCUCUAAUUCAUACAAAUUGCCUGGCAGAUAUGCGCCCAGGGAAGAAAAAUCAGAUAAAAGAAGCAUGACAUGAAAAAACCACUAGAAUGCCACAAAAUGUAGAAAUAAUAAUAAACAGCUUUUGCAUUCUAAAAACCAUAUAAACCAAUCGAGUACAGAACGAUACGACUCUCCUAUCCGCCAGAAUGCAAAUAAACUUUGGUAUCAAAGCUAUAACCCAUGAUGUCCAUCUAUUAAAGAAUUUAGCAAAACUGGACGAAUUAUUGUUAUUACAAUGAACUAAGUUCCCUAACACAACAAAAUGAAAAAGUAACACAUGAUAGAGCACAUCUGUAGAGUUUGCAUUCUUUCUUCCCUUAAUGAUAUCAUUCACUGCUACUCUUUAAAGUGCCAAUCUUUGAGUCGCUAAAGUUCUUCAGUCCAGCUUCACCGAAGAGAACAGGUAGUGCACAAACCAGAAUGACGAAAGGAAUCCAACUGUGCCAGUUGCAAGCAUGAUGGCCACCACCAUGAAGAGCGAGUACCCCAAGUAAAGCGUGGCUGAGACAGGUCCACUCAGGCUCUUAAGAUCAAAUACAAGGUAGUUUAUGGAGUACAAGAAAAUGUAUAUGGCAACUGAACCAGAAGCAAAGAAGGACUUCCACCACCAUUUCCAGUCCUCCACACAAAGAUGCAUGUAGGUUAGAACUAGAGAAACCUCAGCACAAACCACAACGAGAAGGAUCAAUACGAUGAAGAGAAACCCAAACACAUAAUAAACACGGCCCAUCCAAAUGCUAGACAUGAUAAAGAAGAGCUCAAUGAAUAGGGUGCCAAACGGAAGAGUGCCAGCCCCAAGAACCAACAGCCAGGAUGGGUAUUUCUGUGCCGGGAUUUCUCUAGGAAUCUGAUUGGUUCGUACUGGGUACUCAAUGUGAGGUGCCUUGGCCCCAAGGUAUCCACCAAUGAGGGUAAGGGGAACAGAGAUGCAGAACCAGAGCAAAAGGAGAAUAACAAAUAGAGAAAAUGGAAUGGCUCCUGUGCUGUGACUACCCCACAAUAGGAAAUUCAGAGUGGUCAGAAUUAAAAAGGCAAUUCCAGGGAAGAAACAAGCAACCUUCCAUGAGACUGAAACCCAUCCCUUGUGAUCUCCACAACCAAUUGUCCUCCAAAGACGAACAGCAACAUAACCAGCUGCAAUACCAAGGAUCAUAUAGAAAAAUAGCAUACCUGUAAUAAGUGUCCCUCGAGAAGCUGGUGACAUGAACCCAAGAGCAGCAAACAAUAUGGUCACCACUGCCAUCCCGAGGAUCUGAACCCCAUCACCAACCAUUAUACACAACAGGGAAGCAUUGCUUGGAGCACGGAAAACAUCUCCAACAACAAGCUUCCAGCCAGACAACUCCUCAUUCAUCUGUGCUUGAGCCUCUUUGUCAAGCUCUUCAUAACGAGUAAGAUCCCUCCGAACAGUCCUCAAGAAAAUCACAAGGACAAUACCAGCAAGGAAAGUGAUCACCAUCAGAGAAUUGAGAAUUGAGAACCAAUGGACUUUGGAUCCCUCCAUCUUCAAAUAAGCAUCCCACCGUGAGGGCCACUUGAUGUCACUCUCCUCAAAUUCAACCUCAUAUGUGAAGACAAUUGGCUGCUUUUCAUUAACGGGCAUUGCCACAGUGGUGGGAUCACAUUUAAUAGGAGCAGGGUACUUUUCAUACAUUUUCGACUUCUUCACAGAGUCUGCAUUAUGCAUGAAACUGCAAGGUAUCACCUCAAAUCCUACAAUAAUAUACCCGGGGACAUCUGAAUCUGAUUUGGCAACUGUUGGGAUGACCUCCGCCCCAUCACCAGUACCCAUCACACGUGCUACAUUGGGUUCCUCGUACUUAUGAACAAGUACCUUGAACUUCAAAUGAUUAAACACAUAGUACACAUCCUUAACCUUAAUUCCUACUGGAUACCCAGUCCACCGCAACACAAAGCCCUCCUUCUUGGUAUACCGGAUCGCAGGCAAAUUAUCGAGAAUCAAAUUGACCUGAUACAUCUCAUCAAUCCUCUUCUUCAAGAGAUUAAACUGAUCUCCCGACAAUGGACCCGUGUGACACAAGAAGAUCUCAGACUCAUUGGUGUACAUCUUAAACUGAUAUGGAGAGUUCUCAAUGCGGUCUCCCAUGAGGAGCUCACCGAGAUUCUCAGCACUGUCCUUAACCCCAUCUUGGGGCUGACAAAAGGGCAAACUGUAAUAGCUAAAGGGUAUUUCUGUAUCAAUGGAGGUCAGAGAGUUCACUUUCACCCCUAAGGUGUCCCCGACAACGUACUUGUGAGGGUAACUACCCGGAAGGUACCACCCAUAUCCCGAUUGAAAUAUCAAGAAAAUGGUCAGAACCCAGGUCGUAAGUCGAUGAGAAAAUUCCAUUCUUCAAGGUUUGUGUCAGAUCUGGGAGACCCAGAAGAGAAAAUGAGCAAAAUUAAACCAAAAUUUAGCAGUCUCUAUAUGGGUUUUCAAAUUCAAGGAAGAUUCGGUUACAAAAUCUAAUCAGACUAUAACAGCCACAGCAUUAAAGAUCCAGCAAUAACCAUACAAAUAGCAAAAUAACUUGUUUUGUUUCUUUUUCUUUUUCUUUCAAAUGAAGUGAGGAUCUAACUGACCUUUAGCAGAGUGUCAGACAUGGACAACCCAGAGAAGACGUCUCUGAGUGAAGCGGCAGAGAUCUUGGAGCUCCGGAAAUCUGCUGGGUUUGGGAUUUUAGGAAGGAAAAGGCCAAAUAGGAGCGAGGAUUGGAGCGCAAUGCAAAUAGACAAUCAAUAUAUUAUAUAUGGUUGGUCUUUCUUCGAGAGAGCGCCACUGUUUUGGCCUUUUUUCUGGAUGGAUCCUAAAUGCCCCUACACAAUGUCUGAAAUGCCAGAUCUGAUCUCGCCUCUAGUCGCAUUUGCUUGAUUUACCAUUUUCAUUCAUUCGUGUCCUUUUCCGAUAAUUGCUAUUUUGCCUAAUUGCCUGCGUGGAGGCUGGAUCAGACUUUUAUUAUUUUUAUUUAUUUAUUUAUUAUUUCUUUGAUGAUUAUUUAUUAUUUAAUAACGUUGUUGUUAAGUCAUUAACACGGCGGUUAAAGAGUACAUGAAUAAAAGAAAAGAAAAAAGCCAUUUUCAUAAAUUUUGGGAAUAUAAAUUGCGGUUUUUCUUUUUCUUUUCGUAUCAUAAAAAUUUAGUGAAGUUAUUCAUAAGCUUAAUAUUAGCACUACAAUAUAUACAAUUAAAUCAGCUUUAAGUAUGCUAUAAUCAGUCGUCUACACAUAAAUAUUAAUAAAAUUUAAUAAGCUUUUAGAACUGCGCAAUUUCUUUUUUUACAUAACACUCAUUGUACGUAAGUAUAUAUCUUUUAUUUUAUUUAUUUUUUUGUGAAAGGUAUAUAUCUUUUAUUAGUCGCUAUAAUAUUCAUGAUAGUAUCUAUUUCCCUCUUAUCAUCAUAAUAUGCUAUAACAUCCCCUUUUUACUCCUUAAUCAAGCAUGCUUUUUGACUAGCUUUUAGUGCUUUGGAAUCAAUUUGAAAAAAAAAAAGCAAGAUGCCAAACUUUGAUUUCAAUUAGAAGCUUAGAAACUUUGUAUUAGUAUUACUAUCUAUCAGGAAGUUACGGCGGAAGAUCUUAUUUAACAUAUUUUUCUUUUUUCUUUUUUUCCAUAAGUCGCUUCACAUUGACUUCUUCAAUCCUAUUUUUACACAAUAUAAAAUGCGUAUAUCUGCCGUCGAUCCAUUAUUUAAUUUUUAAUUUUUGAGACAGUGGAUAAAAUUAUUUUUAAUCUGACAAGAUGGGAAGUAAAGACAAAUAAGGCUCAAUAUCGAAAAAUAUAGUAAGUAUAUCUUAAAUGAUUCCAGUAAUCACACAUUAACAUACGAUUCACGACUAUGAUAAACCCCCAUAAGUAUUUGAGCUCUCUGGUUUAAUAAUUUUUCUUCUUUUUGCUUGAAUUUGAAAGUAAGAUGCGAUACAUAAAAGUUUAAAAUUCUAUUUGAGACUGCUCAUGAGAAAUAGCAAAAUAGUGAUAUCUCUAUUAUGAUCAAAGAUAGCAAAACAAUGAUAUCUCCGUCGCAAGUAAGUUUUUCUCUUUGAAAGGCUCGUGUUGUAUUAGUGAUUGAAUCACCUUCCAAUGUUUAACACAUUCUUCCCUCACAUUUUGUCAAAUUAGAAAGCGGAUGUUCUUCCAUGACCAUGUUUAUAUCUCACAAGACAAGCCCAUGUGAGAAAACCAGCCUUAAAAAGACCUUUAUUAACUUUGCUGCGAAUUGCAACAAGGCUUCAAAAUCACGAAUAAAGACAGAACGAGACCGAGCACACGUUUUCUUUUCAAUGAUAAAAGUAGAACGUACAGACAGAUCUAUGGUGUGAGUAAAAGACAACUAAUAAGUUAACAUAAUGGUAACACAUGUAUGUGCAGAAUUAGCAGAACUACAAGGAAACGAAAUUGAAAUUGAAAUUGAAAUUAGCUUAGCAAUUUCAACAACAUAUAAUAUCUUAACCUGAGGCACCUAAUCCCCUCGAUUUUGGUAGCCUGACUGCAGCCAGAGGGUUGACGAUGCCUUGGGAAUCUUUCCCCAAACCCAUGCCUUCAACAAAACCCAUCUUUGCCAUCAUCUUUGAUCCAAAGCCUUUGGUAUGUUUUUCAAAAGAUCCAACUCUCUGAGGUUGAGAAACUCUUUGAGAUUGAGAUUUGUUUUUCACUGGAUAACUCUUUACUGGGGUGUUAUUUACUGGAAGGUCAACCGUGUUGGAAAAUUCCACACCCAACCCAAGUGAUUUAGGCCGUUGGAUCACUUCAAUGGGCGCUGCCAUACCUUGUCCAUCUUUUCCUAAUCCACCACCUUCAAUAAAUCCCAUUUUAGCCAACAUUUUUGAUCCAAAACCCUUAGUGUGUACCUCAAACGAAUGAAACUCAGCUGCUUCAACAACAUCCUUAUUUUUAGAACUUGGGUCUAUUGAAUCAACAGUUGUGCUCUCAGUCGCUGAUUGCAUCAAGCCACUUGACACAAACGAUACCGGUUGAUUGGCAUAUGAAUCCAUUUUUCCACCAAGUUUCUGUUCAUAGGCUCUGCCACUGCCACGCUUGGCUGCGAUCUUCGGAGUCUUUAUUUGAGUGUAAUGUUUAGACUCUGGUGGCUUUAAAUAAAUUCCUUUUCCAAUUUUCUUUGACCUGCUUUUGUCUCCAUGGGGCUCAACAACAGAAAAAUCAGCAUCCUCCAUGUCAACUCCAAUCAGCUGAAAUACAGAAAAUAAUCACUCAAUUUUGCUGCACAGAUAUAUAAGGGAUCCAAGCAUAUAGUGACACAAUUCACAGCAGAACCAGAAAGGCAACGAGAAACAAAUAAAAUAUGAAUAAAAAAGAGCCAGACCAGGCAACACGUAAUUAUAACUAUGAAAUCUAAUGAACCUUUUCAAGACGAAGUCUAUCGCUUGCUGAUGGCAUGCCUGUGUGUUGUGUCCGCAUCACUGUUACAAAUCUGGGAAAAGAAAAAACAUCAAUACCAUGUUUUCCUUUUGUAGAAAACAAAAGGAAAUUAUGUACCUCUUCUUGCCAGAUCCUUGGCAGGAACUCCUCAGGCGAUAAAUUGCUGCUAAUCGUUGCACCUAAAAUAUCAAAAGCACUAUCUAUCAAAGAAAGACUUUGAUGGACACUCCUUCAAGGGAUUUUUAAGCACACUCAAAAAUGGCUACAGAACUUAGGUUAAACCCUAACUUUUCAUAUGUUAUAUUGCGAUCAAGAAUCUGAGACAUGGUAACAAAAAUUUAGGCUUAAAGCUUACAAGAAAUCUCUAAAUUUCAAUGCUUUGGCAUGAGUUUUGAGUGUGUGUGUGUGUGUGUGUGUGUGUGUGAGAGAGAGAGAGAGAGAGAGAGAGAGAGAGUUAAACCAAUUUCAAUUUCAACAAAAGUUACAAAAUUAAGCACCUCAAACAAUAUUCCACUAAAUAAAAUUCCUAGAUGAUCCAUGCGAGCAGAAGUGCAAAAAUUGAAACUGCAAGGAUUUACAAAUUGCAACUUAGAAGAUAAAUUAAAAUUAUGUACCUGGGCACAAUCCCGGGAAUGCAUAGGUUGAAAAGAAAACAUAUCCACUCCAUCCAAAACAAUCUGCUCUAUUUUCUACAAUAGAAAAGAACAAAGCUGUAAGAUAGUGCGUGGCUGCUAGAAUGAAUAACAAAAAUGAAAUUUUGAGAGGAAUGAAAUAGAAUCAAAAUAAGGAACAUAGAGAGUUAAAAAUCACCAAUGAAUGUAAUUGGUACCAUCCAAGGUUCAUUCCCGUUAACCGGACACUACCUAAGUUCUUUCAGAGAGUCAAAUGUUUAGAACCGGCGUGGACAGCUCUAUUUAUAUUCACAAUCUAACUAAAACGCAUUACACCAUAUAUACUACAUGAGUAUACUGAUCGGUACACAACUUCACUGAAAAAAAAUAAAAAAUUUACCAAAUUGAUUUGCUCAAGAUCAAGACCUCGCCGUAGCAUUCUCUCCCUACGCUUCACAGCAAUCAUUUCUUUACGAUGUUUCUUUUUCGUACCUGAACGGAAAGUUAGAACAAUAAAUAGUAUGAGGUGAAAGCAUGAAGGACAAUCCACCAAAAAAAUUACGAUGUUUUAUUUUUCUUUACAAUGUUUCUUUUUCGUACCUGAACGCAAAGUUAGAACAAUAAAUAGUAUGAGGCAAAAGCAUGAAGGACAAUCCACCAAAAAAAUUACAAUAUCAUAGAGGAAUCAUGUCUCUGAUGCAAAACAGGUCCUCAGACAUUUAUUACCCCAAGGUUGGUGAGCAAAUUUUCCCACACAGUCAUUCAAUGGAGAUCCUAACUAUCUACUUUUUAUCAAAUUCCAUCUCAAAAAGGAUACUAGGACGGCUAGAAAUUAUGGAAUCUAAGAGCAAAUGUCAGAGACAUAUUAACUUGGCGCUCGAGAGCCAUAUCACAUCCCCUUCAUGGAAAAGAUGCAUGUUAACCAAGUUAAAUAUAUGAAAGCAAAACUUAUAGAGAUAAGCAUAUCUUAGCAAUCUUAUACCAGGAAAAUGUCUUGAGAAUUUACUCCUUUGAGCUUCUGAAGGCCAAGAUUGAGGAAACCUAGCAACGGGCUUCUUUUUUGCAAAAACAGUUCUCGGAUCCUUUACAAGCAUUAGGUCAUCUAUAGCCAAAGACUUAGCAUGUCUUUCCGUCACAUUGUAUUUCUUCUGUGAAUGGACCUUCCUCCUACCAUAUUCUCUAGAUGCAUCCUGAAGAGCAAUUCCGCCCAACUUCUGUAAAGUCUCAUCAAAGCCACUCCUCAAAGAGCUAUGCUUAUCCGGACCAUCCAAUUCCUGUCCUACCAACCAUUUGGAACUUAAAAUGCUGUCACUCCCUCCAAUUCCCUCUAAAUAAUCUUCUGCAACCUCAUCAUCUAUAUCUGAAUCACUAUCAGACGUGUCUUCAGAAUCUUCACUUUCAGAGGAUCCAAGUAUUCCUCCUGGCUCAGAAGAGCCUGAGCUUCCUUCAUAUGGUGAGUCUCCAUUUUCAUCUUCUUCACUUUCUUCAUCAGAAAUAUCUUGGGUGUAUAAUUUCAUGCCUCCAAUUGACAAAAAUCCUGAGUUUUUCAUAGGAGACAUGUUUGUUGGCAGCUCUUCAGCCAUCUCAUCGCCAACUUCACAAUCCAUCCCUUCAUUGACAUCCAUAUCUUUCUCAGAAGACAACGAAUCAAAACAUGAAUCUUCUGGCUCUUCCAUUUGCUUUGACGAAGCUUCAAUACCACUUGCAGUUCCCUCAAGUUCAUCAUAGAACCCCAACCCUCUAUGAGAGCUUUCACCUAACACAAAACUUGAACCGUAUUGAUAUGUAAAUUCUACUUCGUGGGGACUUGAAGCUACUGUCUGGUCCACAUGAGCUACAAUUUGGGUAUUCUUGAAAUCAACUAAAACCAAAGGGCAGGACUCGUCCGUACUUUUACCUACAUCAUUGCCCUCAUGUAGUCCUGGACGCAAACCCUCCUGUUCACCAUCAAAGCAUAUUGAAACCAAGUCCAUUAAAAAAAAUGAAAGACAGGAAAAUCAGUUCCAAUCUCAUAAUAGUCUCCCUCUAAACAUAAAUUUAGCUCGUUUGCUCUCUGACAUUGCUGAGGUUGCAUCCUGACAGCUAAAAAUGUAUUUAACAAGAUAAACUGUAAAAGAAAUGUUUAAAAGAAGAAGAAAUAGGACACACCUGACGUUCAACGGAAGGAUACUGAUAUCCUAUAGCAUUAACAUUAGAUUUCCGAGACUCACUUUUAGAACCAGAAGCUACUUUUGCUCCCGAUUUUGAGGCAGAUUUGUUAUUAGAACUCGGAUUUUUCCCUGAAAUUCAAAACCAAAACGAAAUCCAAAACAGAAGCACAGAGGAAAUCGAAUCAGAACAAAUGGAAAAAUAGAAGCAAUUACAAGUCCAAUCUCUUAAAUCCCUGUUUGGUCGCUCAGAAAAAUUUAGGAAACAACAAAAACGAAUUAAAAAAAUUAAGAACUUAUUCCAUUCUGGGACGGUAAUAUGAAAUCAAUUCUUACCCAGUUCAUCAAAACAAACAAAUUUUGGCUAUCUGAUGUAAGAAUCUUCAGUUCAAUAUAGGUUAAAAAUGAAUCAAAACUUUCAUUUUCCAUCUCACUUUCCUCUGUUUUUCCCAGGAAUCAAUUAGCAAAGUAUGAUCAUUGAUAGAGAUAAAGGAAGGACCUCGAAGAGAGGUUUGAGGGGAUGACCAAUCAGAUAAAACACCACCCUCCACAAACGGAGCUCCUCGAGCAUUGGAUUUUGAUGAAGAUGACGACGAUGCUCUUCUGCUGCUCCAAGUUACUUUGUUGUUAUCAUUGGUGUUGGGUCUUCUUCUUCCUCUUCCUCUUCCUCCCGCCAUAGCUGCGCGUUUUGCCUCCACAGAGAAACGGAAACUCAGAUGAUAUAUGAUCAGUUGGAGCUUUGGAUACACAGAGAAGGGUCUUCUGGAUCUGGAUGGUCGCAGUCAAAGCCCAUGCGUGCGGUUCUAUCUCGACCGUCGGGGAGAUCAAACCAGUCGAUACUUGUAGAAUCAUGCAGUAGAAUAUGCUUAGCAGAAACCAUGAGGCCUGCUCGAAAAAUGGUCCAAUCCUACCAGCAAGGCAAAAAGGUCCGAGCCCAAAUUCAAGUGGGCCUGUACUGACUAAUUCAAUUUGCGAUCUGUUCUUGGAUUUAGCGGCUGCAAUCUUCUCCUGUACGGGUUGGCCCGAAGCAGGACUCGGCCUUUUCUUCCCCCUUAAUGCUGCCAUAAUGGGCAGAGGACCAUAGCCCAGCUGGAUAGAUGCAAAGGCGUAUAUACGUACCACAAAGUUGGCAGUUGAUUGAUGAUGAGGUGUAAAAGAAAAAUUGGGUUUUCUCCUUCCUUUGAUUUGAUGAUUAGUUGGUUAUUAGUUGGUUAUUAGUUUGUUAAUAUUGUAUGUAUGUUUUAUUUGCUGGUUGUGGUUGCGAUUGCGGUUGCGGUUGCCAAUUAAUGGUGUAAGACUAAUGAUGAGCAGAGGCAGUUGGAAGAAGAAAACCGAUGAAUUAAAAAUAGACGUGAACUCCAAGUGGGGCAUUACCAAGAUUCAUAUUGGCAUGGCAGCGGCAGAUAUUGACAUUGGUACUAGAUAUUUUUAUAAAUUUAUUAUUACAAACAUGAUAGACGGUCCAAAAACCUCCCCUCUACAACUAACUACAAUGUUUGCCAACUUUAUUAACUCCAAAGUUUUUCACUAGCCUGACUGACUGACAGGUGGGGUGGCAACUACAAUCUGCAAUAUCAUUGUUCAAUGUUGACUUAGCUGUUUAUCAUGACGCAUCUAAUUUGUAGGUACGGCAGGCCCAAUUACUCUUAACUUUUUUGUGUCCUGCAGUAAAUGUAAAUUGCAUUGAUUGACUGGAGCCCCUUCUCCUGUUGAGGUUAAAAAAUUGGUAUAAAAUAGGAAUAAUAUCGUUUUGUUAUUUUCGGCCAAUUAUAAUUUAUUAUAUGAAAAAAUUAUCACACGUGAAAUAUUGUGAUUAUUGACCAAAUAUAACAAAGUAGUGCUAUUCCUGUAUUUAUAAGUGUUUCCCCUGAGGAGGUGUUGGCUUGGCCUCACCUCUUCCGUGGCGCUCUCACAAUGCUUGCUUCCAGUCUCACGUGAUAUGACAGAAACAAUUCGUCCAUAUGUUGCUGCUGCUGCCGCAUGCUACUUUGUUUCUAGAGACUAGAUCCGAUCCCAAAUUCUAAUUAAUUUAUCUUUAGAUGAAUAUUAAUUUUCAUUAUUGUCUAUAAUUGAGUAAUGAAAGUUGGCUGGCUCCUAAUCCCAAGAAGCAAAGCAAAACCCAUUUUACAGUUUUACAUGCUACAACACUUGUUAGGUGUUGUUGGUUGAGAAUCUGGAAUGAAAUCAGGCACCAAAAUGUUAAAAUGCAUGAAUAUAUCUGCUUUAAUUCUGCACAAGGCACCAUUUCAUUUCUUCAUUUUCAAGCUACACUAAUAUAUCUUGAAUUAAUAUUAUGAGUUUUGUGUUUGUUGGUAACUUGAGACCCUAAUUUCUCUCCUAACUCUUGGUAGACACAUGGACAAUUGCAUGCCAAGCCUCGUGGACAUGUACUGAGUCCAUUAACCGACCAAAACACACGGCUUCAAAGCUUAAUUUACUGCCGCAUAUGCCGAUACAUUAUACAUACGCACAUUGACAGCAAACCCAAAAGCUGACAACCAACUUUUGUCUUGGCACCGAAACCUUGUAGUUUUCCACUAUAUAACUACCCGACGCCAAUAUUCUAUAAAUGCCCACCUCUCUUCCUAAUAACCCAAAAAAACUUCUUUCUUUUAGAGGUGGUGGUGCACGACAUUAUUGUUUUGUCAUUGUGACCUGUUCCAAAACGGAAAAAAAAAUCAAGACCACCGCAUGGCCGCCACGGGAGCCGCCGCGGACGGGCUAUUCCGGUGUGUUUACGAGGGGUGCAUCGCAGGGUCUGAUGUAGGGGUGGAGCGGAGGCCUUACCACCGCAACUGCGGGUGCGCGCUGCAUAACAAGUCACGUAACAAACAAUGUACGCACGGAGGGCCAAAGUGCAAGAAGGUGUCAUAUCCAAUGAGGCGGGCUUGGAGCGAGGGCUCUUUGGCAUUGGUGGCUGCUUCUUCUGCUCACUCCUCACCCUCUUCUUCACCUGCUCAGAAUCAUCAUGUGGUGGCGGUGGGGAGGCAGCAGCAGCAGCAGCAGCAGCAUCCUCAAUUGGGUACUUUGUGUGAUGAUGAUCAGGAGGAGGAAGAAGAUGAGAAUAUUGUUUUCUUCAAGGUUUGAUUUGUACUAGUCUAUAUAUGAUGAUGAGUACUAAAUACUACUACUCUUUUGAUCCUCAUUACAAAUAAGUAAAUAUACUCUGUUCUAAUAACUAUUGGAGCCCAGUUGACAGAUUUCACAAUCAAGUUUUGUAAUUAUGAAUCUAAUUUUUGAGUACUUUCUAGAUUUUUGGUGGAUCCUCCUCUUGUUCCUCGAUCUCCAUGAUUCAAAUCAAAACCGAAAUUGGGGAUUUGGGUGCUGAUAUUCCAUUGGAACCAGUGCCAUAAACAUAUAAAAAUUGUAAACAUAUAUAUGCCUCAUAUUAGAUGGGAUCUUUGAUCAGGUUUUUCUGGAGUUUCCUGGAUCCAAGAUUAAAUUGCAGUGGAGUUAGGUAGCAGAAAGAAAAGAAAGGCUAGAGUUAAAGAGUCGUGGUCCAGUCCAGUCCAGGUUGUAAAUUGGAAUAAUCAGCCUUUGAAGUGUGUGUGUUUAGCAAAUAAUCAAAUUAAAUGCGAAUAAAAUUAUAGAAUACAAAUGGUGCAGCAACAGCCACACAAGUAUUCUUGGCUGGAUGGCUCAUUUGGUCGGCUACUAGUACUACCAGGUUUCAAUCAACACGUUCCAUUCCAUCCAUAACGACUUUUACCAAACAGAAACAGAGGAAAAUACAAAGUAAAAACAGAAACAGAGGAAAAUACAAAGUAAAAACAGAAACAGAGGAAAAUACAAGGCAAACAGAAGAAAUGAAAAUGGCAUCCAUGUUCUGUUCUGAUGUCCACGUGUGGUCUCAGUCACACUCUGGUUUCAGAAAUCAGAUUAUUGUUAAUAUCAAUUGAAAAUACUAUCUUUUUCAAAGUCUUCAUUGAAGCUGGCUCGGAUGGUUGGUGGUGGUACCACAUGGAAUGGAAGAGAGAGAGAAGGACAAAAGUGUCACAUGACAUAAAAACAAUGAAAAAAAAAGAAAGAAUAAUAAUAAUAUACACAGCUUCUCCAAUUGCAGGGGUCUUUGUAAUAAACUGUAUGUGUGUACCAAGAAAAUGGUACAUUGAAGAUACAAACUAGAAAUCAGGUGGUGCCAAAUAUAGUUCUUGGUUCCAAAGCUCAGAGUCACAGGUGCUGCCAAACCAAAACUGAAACAAGUAGUGAGCAAAGGAAACAUCAUCGACAAAGGCGUCAAGUACAUGAUCCAACAUAGAAAGGUGGAGAACACAAAGACAAAGGACAGGAGAGGACUAUAUCAUUUUGUUGACUGCAAUGUAAUCCCUAAUUCAUUACCAUUACCAACAAAAUAUAUAUUCAUAUUCAAUUCCUGCAUGUUUGGAAUGCGAAUGUUAAUAUAGGAGAGGAUCCAAUCUAAGUCCUUUUAAGUAAAGCCAAAAGGUGCUCAUGGGAAGUACCAAAUAGCCAUGCCAAUGCCAUUGGUUUCUGCAUCAAAUUCAAUAUAAACAGUGUUUGAACCACAGAUAUUCCAGUGGCUAACAUAUGAAGAAACAAUUAUUCUGAACGUAACUCCAAGAGGGGAGGUGUUUAAUGGAAAAUGAGUUAAGGAUUGCCAAGAAGGAACAAGGCUUUUCUCUUUUUAUUGAAGGGGUUCAAGUAGUCCCCUUCUACAUAAAAUUUCUGCUCUAUUUAUAGGAGAAAUCUAAAUGUAAUUUACAAUCCGGCCACCUCGGCUCAAAGCUGAGCCAUUUGUGUCACUUCAGAUCUGUCAGAUGAUGAGUGGUCUGGGUUCGUUCACAUCAUCUGCUCAUGAUGACCCUUUUAUACUUCUUCUAAGGGGCAGGCGUGGGCAGAGUAGCCUGUUGCGCACAGCGACAGUCCCAUUUGGUGAGGUGGUGAAUUGGGCAGUUUACACCUAGCUUUUGAAGGGACGUGGGCACGCUUGAUGAGGUACGUCAGGUCGGCAGUAAAAGGGAGUCUUGUCAUCGAUGUGGCCGAUUUGCAUCCUCUUGAAUUUCCUAAGGCAGCUCAGAGUUCGAGGCUGAGGGAGAUUUUGCUUGUUUCUACUGGUGCAGUGCACGAUGCCCAUGUGUUGCGUUUUUAUUGGGCGAACCGGCUCGGUGCAUGCCAAGCGUCAACAAACAGCAUGCUAUUCACAGCCUCAAAUGACAACAGAAUAGAAACUAAAGGGAAAAUCCAACACCUUGUAAAAAAAAAAAACAACUGAUUCUAACUAUUGAAGCCUCUUGAACACUUCAUCUCAGUGACAUAGAAAAAAAUUACAAAUUAUUUCCCACAUGUUUAUCCUUAAGUGAUAUGAAUGAAGAGUCAACUUACGCAACACAGAAACCACAAGGUGUGCCAAUUUCUAUAACUAAAUGAUAUCUCUACGGCCAUCUCUAGUAAUGUUGGGGCUAAACUCAAAUUUUCACAUACAAAAGACAACUAUUCAUGUAUUGCCCGACUCAAACUGUUUUUUCCUCCAACCAUGUUGACUCAUUGUAGCUUUAUUAAAUUGUUUAAGAAUGAUUAACCCUAAUUUAACCAAUUUGAAAACCCCAAUUAUAUAUAUAUAUAUAUCUAAAUAUCAUGUCACAUAAUAUCAUGGAGUCCACUGUUUCUCAUGAUAAUUUUUCCUUGGUGGGUGUUGUUUUUGAAGCCUAGGUCCCAUUUUGUUAGAGAAUAGAUGGAAAAGGUUGUAACUGGGCUGGGCUGGGCUAGCCUGACUUAAAUUUUAUGAGCUUAAGCUAGGCCAAGCUUAGCUUUAAAAGAGGAGAGAAAAAAUAAUGAGUCGAGUUGAACUGGAAUUUUUCAGAUAAUAAAAAGCAUAAGCCCGCCCUAUGAGCUAGGCCUGAGCAAGCCCGUCGAGUCGAGCCUGGCCAAAUGGUCCUUUUGUGUGUGUGUGUCUGUAUUUCUAUGUAUAUCACCCUUUUAUUGUAUUGUAGACUUUGUCGGCAUUCUCACUGGACAAUUUAUUCCUAUUCAAAUACCAACACAAUAUAUCAGAAACAAACCAACCCAUUAAUCUCAGCAAUUUCUUGAAUAUCCUAAUAUUAUUAGAUGAUAUUAGAAACAAACAAUAUAUGAUAAGUUGAUAAACAUAACAUUAAUACUGAAUAUCCUAAUAUUAGAAGACCAUGAACUUCCAAUUGACGAAUCGAGCCUAUCUUCAAACAUCUGGAGAGCACUUACCACCAUCUCCACGAUCUACGAGUAAGGUCCUAUCAGCUAAGAGGACACUCUAGUCCACACCUAGCCCACUAAUUAAUGGGCUGGAUCACCUCAUGGCCCACACCAAAUUGGGUCGAGCUUGUUUUUUGAUGGGCUAGACGGGCCCAUCGGCCCAUGAGUCCAUAUGCUAAAUGAUGACCGGAAGUGCUCUAAAGGUCGGGUCGGUUGUCCACCAGAGCUGUGAUCAGCUGCUGCAGUCGAAAUCGAAAUCUUUACUUUUGCUCAUUUUCUCGUAUUGGGCAUGGCUAUUUACCUCAACACAAUAGUUGCUAAGACGAGAAAAUGGCUGUUGAGAUGAGAUGCUGCGACUGAGAGGAGAGGAGGAGAGAGAGUGUGGGGGGCAGGGGCAAUGUUGUGAUUCUAAAACACGGGUGGGUUCACGCGUGCAAACGUAAAAGAAUAAGUAUGGAUAGACAAAAGUACCCUUGUUUCUUUUUUCUUGUCAAUAUUUGCGCAUUGGCCCCAGGGUCGUUUGUCGUGUCUGAAAAUAAUUGCCUAUUGAGGACAAUAUUUGAUUUAGAUUGAAGUUUUAGAAGGUGUCUCACGUGCUCUACUAACAGUAACAGACGCUUGUUUCUUUCCUUCUGAUUAUCAUCUCUCUCCCAAUUCCUUGGUUGGUUCUUCUUCUUCUGAUGGUUGCUUGGCAUGUUUUGAACCCUGGUCUGGUGGGGAACUUAUAAUAUUUCUAGAUUUGCAGAACAAAAAGAAGAAUUCCAGUUAAGUCUGAUCAGUGAAAGCAGCAAAAUAUGAAUGUAUAUCUAGUUUUAGUUCUGUAGGGCUUGAAUUGCAGUACUUUCUUUUGAGUAUCUGCUGUUUGUUUGUUUGUUUAUAUAAGAAACUCAGUUGUUGUGUGAGAUCUUGUAUAUUAAUGUCUGAAGCUAUAACUCCACUGACAAAGAUAUCAAAUUUGAAACUCAACCUUAAAGAAAAAGGGGGAAAUAUCAAACACUUUGCAUGCAGAUGCAGUCAUAUGUAUUCAUCAAUUCAAAGUUCCUGUACGACUUGAUGCUAAACAGUAAUGAAAAGGGUAAGCAAAUGUGCAAAUUUUAAUGCAAGAAAGAACCAUACAUCGAUGAAAACUUGACAGACAAAACAAAAUUGAAGUAAAAACUAAAGAUCCACCAUCUCAACUCUUAGUGGUGCAAACUAAUAUAAUAAUUAAUUAAGCACAAACCAUAUUAGGUUUCCACAUCAGUGAUUAGUGGGUUGUUUACUUGCCUUACUUGUAUAACUAACAAAAAAUUGAUGCUUGACUCAGACCGUUGUUAGUUAGUUUGUUGCAUAGAUUAAGCCACCAACCCCCAGCAUAAUUAAUAAUAAAUAAAUAAGAAAGAGCAGCAUAUACUUCUAAUAUCUAGUUAGGUAAAUAACGUCUUCCGGAUCAAUCUAUGCUAAAAAAGUCCCCACCCCACCCAACACCACCCGCCCCCCCUUCUCUCUCUCUCUCUCUCAUGUGUUGAAAAACUAGGGCCCUGUUUACAAAGCUGAACAGUCGUCCUAGAAAGAAACGUUGUCUUUCUUACUUUGGCAAGAACCCCUUUUACUCAAUAAACUUGUCUAGAGCUGAACAAGAGUACGUACCUGGGCUGGGAGGAAUAGCACAAAGAUUUUUCUUGAUUUCUCCCACCCCCAUUUAUCAUACAUUGAUGAUGGAUCCCCCUCUUCUGUAAAUAUAAAUGUUUUUGAAAAGCAUGCAAAAGUUUCAAGGCAGUCAAACACAACAAAUACACUUAGCUACACCGCUUACCUUACACACAAAUUAAUACAAGAGAUUGAAAGAGAAGAGAAUGACUAGCGCAGGAGUUGCUGGGAUGAUGCUUCAGUGUGCAUUUGAAGGAAGCCUGUCAAUGCAGGACACCGAAAUUGAGCGAAGGCCAUACCAUAAGAACUGCACUUGUGCUCUGCACAAGUUUAAGGGGGGUGCUUGCUCCAUCGCUUGUCAAAGGAACGUUUCCUUCCCAAAGAAACAUUCACUGAGUGAUGGUUCCUUGUGCAUGCAGGCAUCAUCAACUUCCAAAUUCUCCUCUCCUCUCGUCGGCGACAUGUCCAUGUCCACUUCCACAUCCACAGGAAACAGAGAAAGUAUGAAUUGGGUUCAUUAUUCGGCCUUGUCACAUAGACGGUAGAUAUGGAGACACCUUUUAGAGGCCAGCUUUGAUUAUACAAUGAUGAUUACGGGUGAGUUAAAAGAGAUUAAAAGGUUAAUUAGGAAGUGAGAAGCAAUUUUAAUUGUGAAUAGUUUCUCAUGAUCUUAUUCUUGUCCUUAAUUAGUACUUUGAUUUUGAUUUUGAGGAAAAUAUUGUGGGUUAGUUUGUUAUUUUCUUCUUCCUUCUUCGUCCAUGUAAAUUCUACAGAGUACAAAUUCUUGCUGUAAUUAAACGUUAUUGUCAUCUUUCUUCAAUACAACUGAAACUGCAUACAAGAGACUUAUUCAAGUACCUCAGUGUCUGACUGUUUGAGUUCACAAUUGCAUCGCAGAGCUACAAGUCAUUAGUAUUUGAGCCUUCUGUUCUGUUUUUUUUUUUUUUUUUUUUUCAUUUAAAAGUUGCAAAGAUCAAAUCUCUAAAUAGCCUUAGAUAGGGCAACAGCAAAGAAAGUAAAGAAAGUUCUUAGCCAAUUGAAAUACAUGUAUGUAUUGGACAAAAUGCAGGCAGGGGUUAUUUGAAGUCUCUAGAGUUCUCUACACAAAUGUAGUAAAAAACAAGAAGAGGAAAAUGAGUUCCCUUUUAUUUUCUUUCCUUCAAAAACAAGAAGAGAUAGAAACAAGAGAAGAUGUCAAUGAAGAAACAGAGGUAAGUGAAGGUGAAAAGUAAAUAAAAUUCAAACAACUUUUCAAAUAAUUUUUCAUUUUCUUUCACAGCUUUCCCUCGGAAAAGUCUUCACGUCUCAUUCGUAACAUUUUACUUGCAUCUUCUGAUUACCGACUAAAAAAGAAAAAAGCAAAAAAGAAUUCAGAGUAGAAUGAAAUUCUGUCCGUUCUUAAUAUGGAAGGGAGACAUGAAGCCAAGAAUGAGGCAGUCAAACAGGUAAAAUGGACAAGUAUCCUUGGACGCACCAAAUGCAUUUUAAUUAGUAAUCUCUCUGGAGUGUAUAUGUGCUGCUAAAACAGACAGAAAGGCAAUGUGGAAAUGAAAUCCCAUUUGUCACAAAACUAAGUGAGAAAACGAUGCUCACUUUUAUAAUCUGCAUUUUCCAAUUUCAGUAAUUCUUCUGCUACAAAGCAGCUCACAGCAAUAAAAGAUGAAAUUGCAAGAUUAUGCAUGUCAGAAUAACACAAUCUAGAAGGAAUGCCUACAAACCAAAGGCACAUCAUGCCAUGGAUAUUGGUGAAGUAGUUUGAUUGAGCAUCUAUAGCAUCUAACUUUGGCUAAUCAUCCUCUUUACAAAACCCUCAAUUAUUUAGCCAAAAAUAGAGUGCAGAGAAGUGAAAUUCUUAUUUGGGUGUGAUAAAAGUAUAAAAUAUAAAACUCUCAUAGUCAAUAAAGCAUAUAAUCAAAGGACAGCAGAAAUCUGUGCAAAAUACCAAGUACAUGGCAAUACUCCUUUGCAAUUUCUUUUUAACAUCUUCUGUAUGUUUAAAUAAUAAUUAUCAGUUGGGUCUUGUAUGAAGCUAUAACCAAUGCAAAGCUCCUCUAGGACUUGAUGCUAAAUAAUGAAAUUAAGGGUAUGCAAAUAUGCAAUGCGAAGAACAAUAAACUGUAGUAAAAACCAAAGAUUCAUUGUCUCAACUCCAAGUGGUUGAAUCUAAUAUAAUAAUAUUGAAAGAGCACAAAACUAUGUUAGUUAGGUUUCCACACGAGUGAUUUGUAGGUCCCUUGUUUUGCAUAACGAAAAAUGAUGCUUGACUCAGACCUAUGUUAGUUAUUUGCAUGGUGUUAACCGCCAAGCAUAUGCAUGCCUUAAUAAUAAAAUGAGCAGCCUUUCUAACUAGUUAGCUUAAUAACGUCUGCUGCGGAUCAAUCUAUGCUAACAGCCUGAAACUCAACUAACUAAUACUUAAUUAGAUACCGAAGCCGAAGCCAAGCCGAUAACCAAAAAGCCAAGUCGAACACUUCUCUUCUCUCUCUCUCUCUCUCUCUCUCUCUCUCUCUCUCUCUAUGUGGAAAACACUAGGGUCCUGUCCUGUUCACAAACCUGAACUGCCCUAGAAGAAAACGCUUGCCUUGCUCUGCUUUCCACUUUGGCAGGAAUCCCAUUACUAAUUAGGCUUGUCUCCAGUGGGAGCAAUAGCACAAAGAUACUUUCUUGAUUUCCCCCACACAUAAUUUAUCAUACAUUAAUCGCCUCUUCUAUAUAAAUGCUUUAGAAAGCAUGCAAAAGUUUCAACGCACUCAAACACAACACACAAUUGCCAUACAAAACACACUUAGCUACACUUGCUCACAGGCAGCCUUAACAUAAAAUACUUUAGAGACUCAGAGAAGAGAAAAGAAAAGAGAAUGACUAGCGCAGGAGUUGCUGGGAUGAUGUUUCAGUGUGUGUUUGAAGGAAGCCUGUCAAUGCGGGACAUUGAAAUUGAGCGAAGGCCUUACCAUAAGAACUGCAGUUGUGCUCUGCACAAGUCCAAGGGGGGUGUUUGCUCCAAUGCUUGUCAAAGGAACAUUUCCUUUCCCAAGAAACAGUCAUGGAGUGAUGGUUCCUUGUGCAUGCAGGCAGCAGCAGCUUCUUCCAAAUUCUCUUCUCCUCUCGUAGGCGACAUGUCCACGUCCACAGGAAACAGAGGAAGUGUGAAUGGGGUUCAUAAUUCAGCCUUGUCACAUAGACAAUAGACAGAGGCUUUUCAGAUGAUUUCUUGAUCAUACGACUAUGAUUACGGGUGAGUUAGAAGAGAUUAAAAAGGUUAAUUAGGAAAUGAGAAGCAAUUUUAAUUGUGAAUAGCUUCUCAUGAUCUUAUUAUUGUCCUUAGUUAGUACUCCAGCACUAGUACUCAAAUACCGAAUUGGUUUUGAAGAAACUGGUGCUUGUGGGCUAGUUUAUUAUUUCUUUUACCUUCAUCAUCCAUGUAAAUUCUACUGUAAUUAAACUUUUUCCCAUUUCUCUCUUUAAUACCACUGAAACUGCAUACAUGCAAACAGACUUAUUCAAGUACCAAAGAGUCUGACAGUCUACUUUAAUGUAUUGGUGACAGUCUACAUUCCACAAUUUAUACCUGGCUCUAGAAGUCAUUUAUUUUCUUCCCUUUUGGUAGAUAGCUUAGAAGUCAUUAGUAUUUUCAGCCAAGGAAACUUUGUUUUGCUGUUCCUUCUUAAAAACAAUCUAGCUUCCCUAUCGUUUCCGAAAAAAUUCUGUGAAGAUUAUCGUUUAUUGGUUUUCCAUAGGGCAGCAACAGAAAAGGCAUAGAAUUUCUUAGGCAGUUCAACUACAUAUGUGAAUGGACCAAAUGCAUGCAUGAGCUAUUUAAAUUCUCUAGGCCAUUGAUAAUGCUAUAUGCAAAUAGAAGCAAAACUAGAAGAAGAAAAAGAAUUUCGUUUUCUUUUCUGCAAGAAUUGCUACCUAGGCUAUGCUACAAAGAAGAUCAAUGGUGGUACUGACGAAAGAUACCUCUUUCUCUUUCUCUCAGAGGCAUAAAUACCAUCAAAUGGAGAAGGUAGAUUCUUCUGAUCACUUCGACAAAGUUUUUAUCCGCCAUCUGUUACAAAUAUCUCAGAAUUAGGAAAAACCAUGGAUACGGCAGCGGCUAACAUCCAGUAUAACCGGUCGGCUAUACUACUUUUACGAAACAUUAAUAAAAUCGAGUCAAGCCGACCGGCUAUACUUUUUUAAAAAAAAAUUUAAAAACCGGGUAUAGCCGAGCGGCUAUACUAUUUAUAUAUAUUUAAACAAGGACCCGCCUAGCGCCUAUGCGCCAUGUGUAACAACAGAGCCGCACGGCUAUAGUUUUAAAAAAAAACAUUUGCAAAGUACAGCCGGGCGGCUAUACAUUUUUAAAAAAAAUGGAAAAACAAGUACAGCCGAACGGCUAUAAUAUUUUUAAAACAAUUUGGAAAAAAUCCGCGUAUAGCCGCACGGCUAUACUUAAAAAAAAUGGAGUGUAGCUGUAAGGGUAUACUAUUUUUACGAAAAAUUACGGAAAACGAGCCGGGCGGCAAUAUUUAAAAAAGAAAAAAAAAAGGAGUAUAGCCGACCGGCUAUACUAUUUUUAAAAAGAAAAAAAAAAAUAUAUAUUUAAAAAAUGGGCUAGCGCCUAGGGGCCACGUGUCAACAGUACAGCAGCGCGGCUAUACUAAUUUUUUCAAAAAUUAGGAAACUCAUAUAGCCGCCCGGCUAUACUAUUUUUAAAAAUUUGGAAAGCCCGGGUAUCGCCGUAUACUAUUUUUUAAAAAUACCUAGUAUAGCCGAACGGCGAUACUAUUUUUAUGAAAAAUUAAGAACAAAAAACCCAGUAACGCCGACCGGCUACACUAUUUUAUUUUAAAAAUUAAAAAAAAUAGAGUAUAGCCGCGCGGCUAUACUAUUUUUAUGAAAAAUUUAUAAAACCGAGUAUAGGCGCCUUAUGUUUUCUAACUCUAACUAAAGGAGAGAGAGAGAGAGAGAGAGAGAGAGAGAGAGAGAGAGAGAGAGAGAGAGAGAGAGAGAGAGAGAGAGAGAAACGAGAAACAAAAGAUUUCUUUUAUUUUUAUUUUUAAUUCUCAUUUUGUGUACUAUUUCACAUCUUUCUCUCGGAAAAGUCUUCAACGGAGGCGUAGAAAAUGCCACCAUCUCUCACAUUGUGAAUAUAGGACCCUCAACCAUUGUGAGUUUCGACAGAAAAAGAAGUCAUAUGCUCUGUUUUUCUUCUAGGAUGCCGCCUUGAAGGGUGUAUCACUUGUGUCUGUGCGGAAACAGAUUAGCAGAGCUUUUUGGACAAUACCAAAUGGUCCAAACAAAGAUAUCAUGCCAUGGAUAACUGUGGCUAAUCAUGCCAUUUAUAAACUCCUUAAUCGCUUAGCCAAAAUGAGAGUGAUCAAGACAAGUGAAAAGCCACAUCUGGGUGGGAUGAAAAUUGAAAAGUAAAAAAUUAUCAUGGUUAAUCAUAAAGCAACUGAUCAGUGAACAACUAACUGUGCAAAAAUACAAGAUACACAACAGCUCUCCGGCAUUCAGAAAUAUAAGUUGUCUUGUCUGCAAGUUAUAUGUGCUAGGGGUAGAAAAUGCCAACGUUUAAACAAUUUUCUAACCAAUUCAAAGUUCCUAAAUUGUUAGACAACCAUUAGUCCCAAAAGUUAGGACGCGCAAAUUCACGUCACGUGCACCAUACAAACUAAUAAGGAAAUGGGGAAUGGCAACUGAAUUUAGGACCACUUGCAAAGUCUAUGAUACCAUUUCAAAAGCUUAAGGUGUUGGACAAAUAAUGUAUAUCAAACUUGCAGCAAGCAAAUAUGCAAUGCAAGAACAAAUUAUGAAAACUUGAAAAACAAAAUUGGAGUAAAAACUAAAGAUCCAACAUCUCAACUCUAACUGGAGCAAACUAAUAUAAUAAUGAAAUCACAAAAUCAUAUUACGUUUCGACGAGAGUUGCAUUAGAUUAGUGGGGACGUCGUUUACUUGCAUAACGAAAAAAUGAUGCUUGACUCAUACAUUUGUUAAUUAAUUAGCUGCAUAGAUUUAGCCGUCGUCAAGCACGCAUUAUUAAUAAUCAAAUGACUAUGAGCAGCCUUUUUAUAACUAAUUAGGUAAAUAACGUCUUCCGGAUCAAUCUAUGCUUAAAAGCCUGAAACCCCACUAAUACUUAGAUACCAAGGCCAAGCCGUGAAACAAAAAGCCAAGUCUAUGACAUAUGUGUGUGCAAAAACUAAGGUCCUGUCCACAAAGUUUAACUACCCUAGAAAGAAACGUUUGUCUUAGUCUCCUUACUUUGGCAAGAAUCCCAUGCUAAACUUGUCUCGAGUUCACCAUGAGUACGUGGGAACAAUAAUAGCACAAAUAUUUUUCUUGAUUUCCCCCACACCAUUUUUCAUAACUUGUAUAUAAAUGCUUUAGAAAGCAUGCAAAAGUUUCAACACACUCAAACACAACACAAAAUUUCCAUACACAAACACACUCGGCUACACUUGCUCACAGCCAGCCUUAACAUAAAAAAUAGUUAAGAGACUCAUAGAAGAGAAAAGAAAAGAGAAUGACUAGCGCAGGAGUUGCUGGGAUGAUGUUUCAGUGUGUGUUUGAAGGAAGCCUGUCAAUGAGGGACACCGAAAUUGAGCGAAGGCCUUACCAUAAGAACUGCAGUUGUGCUCUGCACAAGUCCAAGUGGGGUGCUUGCUCCAAUGCUUGUCAAAGGAACAUUUCCUUUCCCAAGAAACAUUCAUGGAGUGAUGGUUCCUUGUGCAUGCAGGCAACAGCUUCUUCCAAAUUCUCUUCUCCUCUCAUUGACAACAUCUCCCCGUCCACUCCCACAUCCACAGGAAACAGAGGAAGUGUCAGUGGUGUACAAAAUCCGGCCUCAUCACAUAGACAAUAGACAGACACCUUUCAGAGUCUAGCUUGAUACGACUAUUACAGGUGAGUUAGAAGAAAUUAAAAAAAUUAAUUAGGAAGUGAGAAUCAAUUUUAAUUGUUAGUUUCUCAUGUACUAGUUACUCAAUAUCAAAUUGAUUUUGAGGAAUUAUUACUUCCACCACAGUCCAUGUAAAUUCUACUGAGUACAUAUUCCUCCUGUAAUAGAACAUUGUCACAUUUCUCUCAGAUUUGAAUACAAUUGUCUGAAACUACAACAUGCCCUUCUCUUCCCCAUUCUACACUCUACUAUUUCUUUGCAUAACAUUCUAGAUUCUAUACAAUCUUGAAAUAUACAAUUAAUGUAUGUUGUGAACAUCGUUUCAGCUCUAGAACAGUACAAGUCAAUAGCAUUUUUUACCCAAACAAAAUUGUUUUGUUUUGGUUUCCGUUUUAACUUUUCUUUUGUGUUGCAACAAAGUUGCCAAGAUCAAAGUCAUCAUUAGUUAGCGUGCAUAGAUACCAUCAAAGGAAGAAGAUGGAAUCUCCUGAUCACUUUGAUAAAGUUUUUCUUGUUGUUUCAUGUUUUCUAACUAAAACAGACGUAAGAGAAGAUGUCAAUAAAAAAUAAAAAUAAAAACAGAAAUAUUAAAAUAUUUUCAUUUUCAUUUAUAAAAUAUUUUGUACAUUCUUUCACAUCUUUCCCUCGAAAAAGUCUUCAAUGGAGGCGGAUACAAUGCAACCAUCUCUUACAUUGUGAGUUUCACAUUGUUUUCGGAGUGUUUUUACAUCUUUGAUCCCCUUUCCUUUCCUCAUUUUGUUUUUUUUCAAUCAAAAGAAUAAAAAUAAAAAUGCCAUAUAUUUUUCUUCUUCUAGGAUACCAGAAAAAAAAAUAAAAAUAAUCUCUUGUUUCAGAUUAUGUCACUUGUAUCUGUAUACCGUUGGCAAGGACUGUGUCUCUACAAAAGAAGACAUUUUCUGAUUACCCAAAAAAAAGACAGAAGGAUGAAAUUCUAUCUGCACUUAAUAUGGAAAUGAGACAAAAGGCAGAUUACCUCUAAAAAGAAUGAAAUUGAUCAGUCAAACAGGACAAGUAUCCUUGGACACACCAAAAGCAAUUCAAUUUGUGCAGAAUGUUGCCUAAACGCACAGAAAGGCAAUGUGGAAAAAUGAGAAAAUGAUGCUCACUUUUAUAAUAUGCAUUCCCAACAGCACUUACUUCCUCCCAAUUUAAGUUUUCUUCUACAACAAUAGACGAUGAAAUUGCAAGAUCAUAUCAGAAUAUGUGGCUACUCAGUUGUUUAUUGUAUCAAACUAUAACUUCUAGCUAAACAAAGAUAUCAAUUCAAAAGUCAGCCUUAGUGGCAACUGGGGAAAUCUCAAUUGUACGUACAAAACUAUAUCUGCCACGAGUACCAAAUGCCAAAGCUGGAUUUAAUUCUCUAACUAAUUCACUGCUUCAACUAUUAGACAACCACUUGCCCCGAUAACUUAAAAUCCCAAGACGUGCAAAUCCGUCAUGCAUGCGGAGAGACACAUGCGAAGAGAGAGACAAACACAUAGUUGCAGCUCCACUGUGCACCUCAGAAACCAACAAAGAUGUGAGAAACUUGGAAAGCAAAUAUGCAAAGCAAGAACAUUGGAUGAAAACUUGACAAAUCAACUUACAGUAAAAAGUAAAAGAUUCAUCAUCUCACCUCUAAGUGGAGAAAGCUAAUAUAAUAAUGAAAGCACAAAAUCAUGUGUGCAAGUCAGUGAUUGGUAGGACAAUAUCUUGUAUAACGAAAAGUGAUGCUUGACCCAGACAUAUGUAUGUUAGUUGCAUAGUGUUAACCGCCAAGCAUUCCUAAUAAUAAAAGGAGCAGCCUUUCUAACUAGUUAGGUAAAUAACGUCUCUGCGGAUCAAUCUAAGCUAACAAUAAACCGCACGAAUAGUAUACUUAUUAUAGAUACCAAAGCCGAGCCACAAAAACAAAAAGCCAAGUCGAGCAUUUCAUAUUUCUCUGUCUCAUUCUGUGGGAAAAUUAGAACCCUGUUCACCAAGAUGAACUUUCCCUAGAAGAAAACGCUUGUCUUGCUCUUUUUUCCACUUUGCCAAGAAUCCCAUUACUAAUUAAACUUGUCUUGAGUUCAACACGGGUUCGUCAAGGCAAUAGCACAAAGAUACUUUCUUGAUUUCCCCCACACCUAAUUUAUCAUACAUUACUCCCCUUUUCUAUAUAAAUGCUUUAGAAAGCAUGCAAAAGUUUCAAUACAAUCAAGCACAACACACAAUUGCCAUACACAGAACACUUAGUUACACUUGCUCACAGCCAGCCUUAACAUAAAAUAGUUGAGAGAUUCAGAGAAGAGAAAAGAAUAGAAUGACUACCGCAGGAGUUGCUGGGAUGAUGUUUCAGUGUGUGUUUGAAGGAAGUCUGUCAAUGAGAGACACCGAAAUUGAGCGAAGGCCUUACCAUAAGAACUGUAGUUGUGCUCUUCACAAAUCCAAAGGGGGUGCUUGCUCGAAUGCUUGCCAAAGGAACAUUUCCUUUCCCAAGAAACAGUCAUGGACUGAUGGUUCCUUGUGCAUGCAGGCAGCAGUUUCUUCCAAAUUCUCUUCUCCUCUAGUUGGUGACAUGUCCACAUCCAGUGCCACAUCCACAGGAAACAGAGGAAGUGUGAAUGGUGUUCAAAAUCCGGUCACAUGGACAAUAGAAAGACACCUUUCGAAGGCUAGCUAUGAUUAUACGAUGAUUACGGGUGAGUUAGAAGAAACUAAUUAGGAAAUGAGAAGCAAUUUUAAUUGUUAAGUUUCUCAUGAUUUUAUUCUUGUCCUUUAAUUAGUACUACUACUCCAGCAUUAGUACUCAAGAUCAAAUUGAUUUUGACGAAAGUGGGUUAGUUUAUGAAUUUCUUCUUCCUUCUUCCUCCAUGUAAAUUCUACAGGGUACAUAUUCCUCCUGUAAUUAAACAUUGUCACCUUUCUUCAAUACAAAUGAAACUGCUACGUUACAUACACCAGACUUAUUCAAGCAUUAAUUUCAUUGCACAAAAUUUCUAAGAUGAAGACCAUUGUUAAUUAGUCUUAUGGACAAAAUGCAGGCAUUAGUCAUUUGAACUUUCUAGAUUCUAUGUAAAGAAUAGAGGCAAAACAAGGAGAAGAAAAAGAGUCUCCUUUCUUUUCUUUUCUUUUUCCAUAUAUUUUUAGUUUAAUGCACAAUAAUUGCUAACUACUCUACAAAGAUGAUCGAUGGUGGCAAUUGAUGCUCUAGCAUUCUGAUGAAAGGUACCUCUCUCUCUCUCUCUCUCUCUCUCUCUCUCUCUUAGAUACCAUCAAGAGGAGAAGGUAGUUUCUUUUGAUCACUUCGAUGAAGUUUUUAUUUUUGUUUUAUGUUUCCUAACUAAAGGAGAGAGGGAGAAGAGAGAGAAACGAGAGUUUUGAGAAGCUUUCAAUUAUAUUUAAAAAAACAGAUGUAAGAGAAGAUGAAAAGUAAAUAUAACCAAAACAAAAUAUUUUUUAUUUUAAAAAUCAUUUCCCUCGAAAAAAGUCUUCAAUGGAGGCGGGCACAAUGCGACCACCUCUUGCAUUGUUUUUGUAAGUGUGAGACUCAUUACAAGGCUGCCAACUCUAGCACAAGUUGGGUGAACGUGAAACCUACAAACACCAUGGCACUCCUGCGAAAUGUCAUAUGCUAUGCUUUUCUUCUAGGAUACCAGAAACAAUCUUAUAUUAUGUUUCAGAUUAUGUCACUUCUCACUUGUAUCUGUGCAUAAACAGAUUAAUAUUUGCUACUACACAAAGAUAUCAAAUUCAAAAGUCAACCUUAAUGGCAAAUGGGGAAAUAUCAGUUUUAUUAAACAAAUAUAGGUGCAAUAUGUUGCUUCAUGUAUAGUUAUAUGUGCUAGUAGUACAAAAUGCAAAAGUUUAAUCUAAAUUCUCUAACUAAUUCAAAGUUCCUACUAUUAGACAAGCACUGGCUCCAAAUAGUGUAUGGCCGGAAAGAGACAAACAUAUAAGUGCAGCCCCAUACGUCAAUUGCAAACCAACAAAGAAGUGGAGAACACAGGUAGAACUUAGGAUCACUUGCAAAGAAUCUCUGAUACCAUGUCAGUGAUCCCAUAAGUUUAAUGUGUUGUGUAAUAGAUCAACACUGUAUGUCAAACUUGCAACAUAAAAGUUUAUGCUAAAUUGAUGAAAAGGGUAAGCAGAUAUGCAAUGCAAGAGCAAUUUAUGGAAACCUCACAAACAAAAUUGGAGUAAAAACUAAAGAUCCAUCAUCUCAACUCUGAGUGGUUGAAUAACGGAACACUGAUGCUUGACACAGACCUAUGUUACUUAGUGGCAUAGAAUUAACCGCCAAUCAUGCUUAACAAUAAAAUAAACAGAGCUUCUAAUAACUAGUUAGGUAAGUAACGUCUUGCGGAUCAAUCUAUGCUAACAACCUGAAACCCCACCAAAUUAAUAAUUUGAUACCAAAGCCAAGCCACAAAAGAAAAGGCCAAGUCGACCACUUCUCCUUUUUGUCUCUCAUUCUACCUUGUUUUAGUCUCCUCCCUACUUUGGCAAGAAUCCCAUGCUAAACUUGUUCGAGUUCAACAAGGGUACGUGGGAGCAAUAGCACAAAGAUUUCUCGAUUUCCCCCACACUUAAUUUAUCAUACAUCAAUCCCCUCUUCUAUAUAAAUGCUUUAGAAAGCAUGCACAAGUUUCAACAUACUCAAACACAACAUACUUAGCUACACAUCACACACUGCUGCUCGCAGCCUUCUACACAAAUUAAUACAAGAGAUUCAAGAGAGCAGAUAAGAAAAGAGAAUGACUACAGCGGGAGUUUCUGGGAUGAUGUUUCAGAGUGUGUUUGAAGGAAGCCUAUCAAUGCAGGACAUGGAAGUUGAGCGAAGGCCAUACCAUAAAAACUGCAGUUGUGCGCUUCACAAAUCCAAGGGGGGUGUUUGCUCCAAUGCUUGUCCUCAAAAAAGGAACAUUUCCUUUCCAAAGAAACUGUCAUGGACUGACGGUUCCCUGUGCGUGCAGGCAGCAUCCACUUCCACAUGCACUGUAAAUAGAGGAAGUGUGGCUGGGGGUUCAUAGUUCGGCCUUGUCACAUAGACGAUAGAUAGACACCUUUCAGAGGCUAGCUUCAUUCGAUGAUUACGGGUGAGUUGGAAGAAAUUAAUUAGGAAGUGGGAAGCAAUUUUAAUUGUUAAAGUUUCCCAUUAUCUUAUUCUUGUCCAUAAUUAGUACUCCUCCAACACUAGUACUCAGCAUCAAAUUGAUGUUGAGGAAAUAUUGGUGCUUGUGGGUUAGUUUCUUCUUCUCGUUCAUCCAAAUGUAAACUCUGCGGAGUUUAUAUUCCUCCUGUAAUUAAACAUUGUCACAUUUCUCUCUUUAAUACAAUGCAACUCAAACUGCAUACAUACAACAGACUAUCGAAGUUCACAUGUUCUUCUAUUCCUGAUUCUACACUCUACUCUGUUAACAUUCUUUCUGCACUGGCACAGUAUAUGCCUCUACUACAACAUUAGCAUUUGAACCAAGCAAGUUUUGUUUUGUUUUGUUCUUUUUAAAUAUUCUAGCUUUCAUUGUAUUUCACACAGUUUUCAAGAUGAAGAUCAUUCUUAAUUAGAUUUACAUAGGGCAACAACAAAUAAAGCAAGGCAUUGCUUAGGCAAUUCAACUACACGCAUGUAUCAUGUAUGGACAAAAUGCAGGCAUGGGUUGUUUAAAUUUUUUAGGCGUUUUAUAAUUCUAUAUAAAAUAUAGUCAAAACAAGGAGAAGAAAGGAGUUUCCCUUCCUUUUCUUUCUCUAAAAUAUUUUUAGUUUAAUGGACAAGAAUUUCUAACUACGAUGCAAAGAAGACGAUGGUGGCAAUUGAUGUUGUAGCAUUCUGGUACAAGGUCUCUCUCUCUCUCUCUCUCAUGCAUAGAUACAAUCAACUGGCGAGUGUUCGAUGAAGUUUUUAUCUUUGUUUUGUGUUUUCUAAUUAAAAGGAGAGACAGAGACAGAGACAGAGGUAAAAACAAUGUUUAUAAAAAUAAAAAAAAACUGGGGAGAGAGAAUAUGAAAUAUAACUAGAACUAAAACAAAACAAGAUAAAAAAUUAUUUAAAAGCAAAUUUGUGAGUGUAGGACCUACGAGUAAUUGUUAUACAUUGUAUCUGUAAGUGGUGGGCUACUCCUAUUCCUUUCUAGAAGUUCUUCCAAUGCAGUUCUACUGUGGCCAUCUCUCACCAAACCAGUUAACUAUAUAGCAAGGCAGAUUGAUAAAGCAGAAUGCACAGAGAGUGAAAAGUAAAUAAGCCAGUGAAUCACGAAUGAAACCGUACAAGGAUCUACUACUGGAUAGCAUCACUAAGUAGGUGGGUUUGAGCUUUCUGCAGAUUUUUAACAUUUCGGAUUUACCUGCAUGAAACACUCAGUAAGCCAAACUCAUUGUUACCAUUGACAUCCUUUCACAUAUCACAUAAUGCAAUGUUAAAAAUUCUUUCACAAAUGCAAAUGGCAUGCCAUCGUCUCUAUUGCCUGUCUCGUUAGGUCAAUAGAUCUUUGAUUUUUGGCCAAUACCAAACGCAGAGCAGGCCAUGGAUUUUUACAAACCAGUAUUAUGACAACUUAAUUACUGCUUACUCCAAAGAGAGUGAAGAUAAGUGAAAGCCUUAAGUAGGUGUGGUGGUCAACCAUAAAGCAACUGAGAGGACAACCUAAAUCUGUGCAAAAUACAAGAUAUAUGACAGCCCUGAUUGCUUCAUAUGCCAACUAAAUGCAUAAUUUAUUACUACUAAUCAGAAUUCUGGUACGGACUUACUGCUACCAAAGCAUGACCCUGUAUUUUUCUGUGUUUUUUCUUUUCUCAUUUUUAAGCCCAAAAAAAAAAGUAAAAUUUAUUUAAAAAAACCAUUAGAAAUGUCCCGAAGAGACGAGAGGGGCCUUCUACUCAACAGCAUGAUUCUUCUUGUGAAAAAGCCGAAGUUAUACUCCACUUUCUAUGUUCUCCUAAAAUGACCAGUGGGGUCUUCCACUCGAAUUAAGUAACAGAAUGAUCUUCACCAAAAACAAGAGAGAGAGAAAGAGAGAGAGAGAGAGAGGACACUACUAAAACCAAAAUGAUGUUGCAUAGAAACAGUCACGAUAUAAUUGUUAACAAGAUUAGUUAAAAGACGUUAUUACGGAGAAUGCUAUGCUAAAACUCCACAAUUACAAUGACUGCUAAAGCCGAUCUAUUUGUCUUGACUCUCUUAACUUAAGUCCCUACAUUGAAAAGCUGAAUUUCUCAAACACAAUUGGCUUCUUGCCUAACUACCUUGACAAGACCACAUGAAAACAAAGCCAAAAAGAACAAUGUUUUUUUGGCAAGAACCACCACCAUAGCAAACUUCUCUUGAGUUCAACGUGCCUACAGUAAACCUCUCUUGAGUUCAACGGGACCAUCCUUGUUCUAUACAAAUACGUAAAAAAAGCACUUCCAAAAAAUGUAAAUGUAAAAAACAGCAAGCAAGAUUUUUAAGAAAAGUAAAUCACACAUAUGCACGCUUGCACUUGCACAUAAAGCUUAGGAAAGAAGAGAAGUAGGAGGGAGGAAUGGCCACCAGAAUAGCUGCGAUGAAAAAUUAUAAUGCCAAUACCUGAUGAUACAUAAAGUCUCAGUGAAAAAAAGGCAUCUCAUCAUAAUUUCUUCUUUUGAGAAUGGAACGGGGCAAAAUUCACCUUCAUUUCCUUUUUCUAAAGAUUUGUUUCUGGUGAAGCAAACAAGGUUAGUUUACUUAAUUCACAACUUCGUAGUGGAAUAAGUUUCAAAGCCAAACCAAGAACAAGCAACGUUCUACUUUGAUUUCUAAGUUGAAUGCAAUCUGUCUCUUUCCUCAAAGGACUGAAUCACAUAGAAGGUUUCAGAAGAGAAAAAUAUAAAUAAAAGAAACUAACACCACUUCAAAACAGAGUCGUUGUCGAGACUAACAACAUAACUAUAAAAACCCUAUCAAACAAGUUAAAAACGUUAACAGCCUCCAAAAUCCAACAGUAGCUUCAAUACCAUGCCAAACAGACAAAAUCCAAGUCAAGGAACCCUUACGCGCCAGUUGUUGUAGUUCCUAGAACUUGAUGUCAAAUAUGCAGUGCAACGACUAUCGAUGGAAACUUGACAAACAAGAGAUCCACCAUCUCAACACUAAAUGGUGCAAUUUAAUAUAAUAAUGAAAGCGCACAACCAUAUUAGAAUUCCCCGUGAGUGCUUAGUGGGUCGUUGUAUAACGAAAAGUGAUGCUUGACUCAGACCUUUGUUAGUUUGUUGCAUAGAUUUAGCCACCAACCCUGCACAAUAAUAUAAUAAAAUGAGCAGCCUUUCUGACCUGUUAGGUAAAUAAGGCCUCUGUGUAUCAAUCUAUGCUCUUGCCAGGCCAACAAUAAAUCCGACCAAUACUUAUUAGAUACCAAAGCCAAGCUGCAAAAGAUAAAGCCAAGUCGAGUUCAAAGCUGAACUGCCCUAGAAAAAAACUCUCGUCUUGCUCUUUUUCCACUUUGGCAAGAAUACCAUACUAAACUACGUGGGAACAAUAAUAGCACAAACAUUUUUCUUGAUUUCCCCCCACACCCCAUUUAUCAUAACUUGUAUAUAAAUGUUUUAGAAAGCAUGCAAAAGUUUCCACACACUCAAACACAACAUACAGCCAUACACAAACACUUGGUGGCUACUCUUUGCUCACAGCCAGCCUUAACAUAAAAUACUUAAGAGACUCAGAGAAGAGAGAAGAAUAGAAUGACUAGCGCAGGAGUUGCUGGGAUGAUGUUUCAGUGUGUGUUUGAAGGAAGCCUCUCAAUGCGGGACUCCGAAAUUGAGCUAAGGCCUUACCAUAAGAACUGCAGUUGCGCUCUGCACAGGUCCGAGGGGGGUGUUUGCUCCAAUGCUUGUCAAAGGAACAUUUCUUUUCCCAAGAAACAGCCAUGGAGUGACGGUUUCUUGUGCAUGCAGGCAGCAGCUUCUUCCAAAUUCUCUUCUCCUCUCGUAGACGACAUGUCCACUUCCAUAGGAAACAGAGGAAGUGUGAAUGGGGUUCAUAAUUCUCCCUUGUCACAUAGACAAUGGACAGAGGUUUUCAGAGGCUAGCUCAAUUAUAUGGUGAUUACCGUGAGUCAGAAGAAAUUGAAAGGUUAGUUAGGAAGUGAGAAGCAAUUUUAAUUGUGAAGUUUCUCAUUAUCUUAUUCUUGCUCCAGCACUAGUACUCAAACAUCAAAUUGAUUUUGAGGAAAUAUUGAUGCUUUGUGGGGUUAGUUUCUUGAUUUCUUCUACCUUCAUCCAAGUGUAAAUUCUACUGAGCACAUAUUCCUCCUGUAAUUAAACAUUAUUGUCACCCUUCAUCAAUACAACUGAAAAUACCAGUUAAAAUAGCAGCCCAUAAGUGAAACGUUGUGUUUCACUAACCCUAUAUCUUCACCUUUUUUUGGACGAACCCUAACCUCACUUAUCUCUCCUCUCUCCGCCUCCAUCACCUCCCAUCUCUCUCUACCUCCAUCAUCUCUCAUCUUUCUCUGCCUCCAUCAUCUCCUCUUGCGCGCCCUUGAAAUAAGGUGAGCCCAGCAGCAGCAACAAAGAAAAGAAGAAAAAUUCAAAGAUACCUCUGACGAGUAAAGAAGAAGCCGUCGCCGUCACUGGUUGGGUCGAGAAGAGUAGAGAAGCAGCCACCCAACCCGCCCAAGCAGCCUAAGCGGGAGCCCAAGCGCUGCCUAACUCCCUGGCGCCUACCCCUAACGUUUAGAGUGAACUCGGGGCAGUGUUCUCCCACCUAGCGCCUAGGUCGAUUUUUCAGAGUUUCUUCUUCUUCUUCUUCUUCUUUUGUGGUGGGGGGGUGAAGAGAUAAGAAAACAUGUAAAAACGGCAUGAAAGAUGAAGAAAAAUUAAUAAAAUAAAAACAAAAAAUUAUUUUUAAUUUUACUCAACAAUCAUUUGAUAUUAACUUGUCCUUACCAGCCCUUAAAUGUCAUAUGAAUCAUCGGAUUUUUGACUGGCAUUGGCCUAGUGCAUGAAAGCACUUGUGAUAAUAAGAGUAGAACGGAAUUGUUUCUGUUCUUAAUAUGGAGGAGACAUAAAGCCAUGGCAGAACUAAGCUGGUGGGUGUUGAGUUUUCUGCAUAUUUUUAACAUGAAGCCAUCUCACAACAACUAACAAUUGCAAAAAUCAGAACAAUACAAUUAGAUCACUCUCAACAAGUGAACAAUUAUAGACAGAGAGCACAUAGAUGCAAUGCAGCCACACCAUGCACCUUGCAAAUCAAUAAUGAAGUGAAAAGGGAGAUUGGGAGUUUUGAACCCUAAACCAACUGACAAUAUCACCAACCUAAGUCUGUGGAAAAUACAGGAUACAUACACAUGACAAUCCUGCUUUAUAUGCGAACUAAUGUAUAAUUUUAAAGUAUAAAAUUCCAACUUUUGGUUGAAUUUUAAAAUAGGUUUUAACUACUUACAUUACUUCAGAUACAUAUCUAAGUACAUACAUGAGAAGUUCACUUUCGGAUCUAAGUACAUACAAAACAAGACAGUUGCAUUGUGUUACCAACGUAUCACAAAAAAUAAAGCCAACCAUUUUAAAAUUCACCGUACAAACCAACACGACACAUGGAGUCUCGACGCACAGAAUGCAUUGCAAAUAUCAUAUCAGCACAUUGUUUCUCAAAAUAAACAGAAGCAACUUUAUGUACAAGGUCAUCAAGAUAACAAAACCUGCAUAUAGAAAUGACCACGAAACUGAUGAAAGCAGUAAAACAAGUAUUCACACUGGUAUUAGAUUUCUUUUACCAACAAAUAGAAACGCCCUGCAUCUAUAUAUUUUGAAAGUGUUUACCACCUUUAUGGUAGUGAAGUAGCUAUUAGUUAUUACCGAUGAGUUUUCUGGUAUGGACUUGGUACUAACAAAGCAUGACACAAAGGAAUACGUAAGAGAGCCAUUGAGACCCAUCAUUGUUAACAUCUGAUGAAAAGGGUAAAAUUAGAAAGUGGGCCCUUAUACUCGUAUCAAGCAACGCCAUGAUUCUUGUUGUAAAAAGGCCAAAGUUCAACACUAUAUUUUAUGUCCCAAGAUGACUAUUAUUCUAAUUGUAUUAGGUAACAGAAUGUGAGUGAGAGAGAGACAGAGAGAGAGAGAGAGGACAGUGACACCUUGCGAGAAACCGAGAUGGCGAUGCAUAGCAAACAACAGAAUUGGUAACGAGAUUAGUUAGAAGACGUUAUUAUGGAGAAAACUAUGUUAGAAUCCCACAGUUCCAACGAUCGCUAAAGCAAGAUAAUUUAUUUGUCCUGCCCUUCUCUCUCCCAUUCCCAUGUGUGUGUAUAGGCAAAACUUAAGGCCCCACAUUGAGAUGCUGAUUUUCUCAAGAAAAAAUAAUUGCCUUGUUGUAUAACUACUUUGACAAGGCCACAUGAAAACAAAAAGCUAAAAAAAAUAAUGCUUUUGCAAGAACCACCAUAGUAAACUUAUCUUGAGUUUAACGGGGCCAUACCAUAUUACCAUAGCAAACUUCUCCUGAGCUCAAUGAGGUAACGAAACUAACAAAAAUUCUACUCUUGGUUACUCCAACACUUCCGUGAAGAUAUACCAUCCUCGGUCUAUAUAAAUAUGUAACAGAAAGCACUUUCAAAAAAACAUAUGUAGCAGAAAGCAAGCAAAAAAUUUAAGAAAUUUAAUUCACACAUACACACCCGCACUCAAACCUUUACAAAGAAAGCUUAGGAGAAAAAGAGAGGUAGGAGAAAUGGCCACUGGAAUAGCUGCCAUGAUGCUUCGAAGUGUUAUUGAAGUAAGUAUAUCAAUACAUGAUUUGGAGAUUGAGCAUAGGCCAUACCAUCGCAAUUGCAGUUGUGCACUGCACAAGUUGAAGAGUAUUUGCUCCAAUGCUUGCCCUCCUCAACAAAGGAAUAUUUCAUUCCCCAAGAAAAAGCCUCCGUCUUCUAAGCGGCUCAUCACUAUGUGGAACAAAGAAGACCUGAAUGCGCCAUGUCAUGUAGACGACAAAGUUUAGAGAGCUUGACACAGCAGAGCAAGAAUAAAAAGGUCAGGAAACUGCGAUUUAGCUGUUUCUCUCUCUCCUCUUCCCCCCACCCCUUCUCUUUCUUCUUGUAAAAUCAUGUCCUACUUUCAUUUACUCUUUAUGACGCAAAUUGCACACAAAAGAUACCAAUAUAUGUUGGGCUCAAAUGCCCUUUUGUUGCGUAGAAAGAGUCUCACAUCUCAGACGUACUUCAUGAAUAUCUGUUAUAUCUCCACAAGCUCCCGCCUUUAUCUUCCUCAUCCUCCUUUAAGAACCAUUCAUCAAACGGAACAAGGAACUCAGUUUCCUUUCACCUAUUACAAUCUCUCUUUAAAAUGUAGACAGGCCAGGCAUGGGGUUAGAGGUUCAACUCCUACACAGACAAAGACAAAGGAGGAUUUGGGGGAUGGUGGGGAGGUAUAUGUUUCACCAAGCACCUACUCUACACACACAAAUAGACACGUAGAUGAUGCAGGGUUCAUAGAUCCUAGCUGAUAUUACUAGCUACAUCUAUACAGCUACAGUCAACAGACUCUACAGACUACACCAAGUCAUGAACCAAACUGAUUACAAUUUAGGAACAGGAAAGAAUAUCACUCAUCCAUCUUGACAUUGAAAGCUCUUCUCUUGAGGGGGCAUGGCAGCCUAUGUUGCACGGAUAUGGAUAUGGAUACGGAUACGGGUACGCCAAUACGAUACAAUAUGUCGAUACCGCAAAACUCGCUACCUCAAUCUCCCCCACAUCUUCUUUCCGAUGCGUACCUCCUAAUGCAGGAGCAUCCAUCAUGAUUUUAUUAUCCAUCAAGACAUAAAACCAAUUAAUACGUGUAACCAAAUUAAAUGCAUUUUGAUAACAAUUAAAAACGUGCAGCACAGUUUGCUCCUUAAAAAAAUGGGUCUGCUCUCUCAAAAAAGAAAAAAGAAAAAAGGUUUAUUCCUCUAAACAUGCGUUCGCUCUCUUCUUCUUCCUCAAGCAGCAUCUUCCAAAAAACCUUUGCUUGUAUCCAUAAGCGUUGCCCACAAAGGAAGAGGUACAUAAUUGCAGUGCAAUUAGAGACAAAAAUUUGGGUUCUGUUGACUUGUUUGAUUUGAAUAGGAUUGUGUUGGAGUUCGAUGAUACUUAUGCUUAUAGACUGUGAGAAUACAAGAAAGCAAAGGUUUUUUGGAAGCAGAAUUGGCAGUAGAACACGUUGCAAAGAAUGAUAAUGAAGUUUUGACAAUUCGCGAGUAACAACAGCUCUUGUACGGGAACAGUGUAACUUGUCCAACUCCUCAGUCAUCUCCCAGUGCAACAAAUAGGGGUUCCUUUGACAUGAUGAGCACUUGUUUCUCUCCAGUUGUGCAGUCUCAGUCAUCUCCCAGUCUAAAGCUGCCGCUUGGUCCUGCCAUCCAUGAUUCCAUGUCGCAAUGCAAGUCCGGUAAGGAUUCUCUUGAAGCGGAUUUAUUUAUUUCAUUUAAGCAGAAUUUAAUGGUUGAUUUUUUUUUUUAUUGUUCUUGACUGUGUGGUGGAUAUCUUGAAUUGGAUUUAUUUGUUUCCAAAAUCAAAAGAUUUUCUUGAACUUCUCCCUUUAAGAAAAUAAAAAAAAUGAACAAUUGGGUUGUGUUUAUUAAGCUCUUAAGAUUUCAAUUUUGAGGAAGGAUAGAAAAGAGGGAGAUAAAACAAAGGAGAGGAUCCUCUUCGUUCAUCUAAUACUGCUUGUGGAUUGAAAAAAAGUGUUGAAAAAUAGUUAGCUGCUCAUUGGUUUCUGGAUAAAAAAAAAGUGUUGAAGUUUUUUUUGCUGGAAAAGAAAGUAUUGAAGUUAAGAUCCUCCUUUUGUAGUAACUAGCAAUAUAUGAUCUUGCCUACAUAUGAUUGUGAUUCAUUUUCCAUCAAUGAGAACAAUUAUACUAUAACGCAUAAUUAUAAGAUAUAAUUCUAUCAUACAAAGAUCAUGAGAUUACAGAAAAACAGAGUAAGCUAUUUGAGUUAGAGUGAUCAAGAUUCUAGAAUACCCUACCGUGACAGAUAUAGAUUCUGGAAUUUCAGCUUCUGUUGCCAUUAAUCUGCAGAUACUGGAUUCUGAGGCGCAUGAAGGAACUUUGUUUUGAUCCAAACUCCAAAAGCUAGCUCAAACUUUGGAGCUUUUAAGUUGAAUUGAAUCCACGGAUGCAGCUAGCAAGCUUUUUAUGUCUGCCUUUGUUGCUGCUGCUGCUGCUGCUGACUACCUUUGCAGCUUUUGAGUAAGUGUUUUUUUUUCUUCAUUAGAUAUCUGUAUUAAUCUAUUGAUAGCUAUAUUAGCAAAAGCAGCAGCCACGGGAACUGACAAAAUUGCGACUUUUUAUAUGUCCCUCAAGAUGGAAAGACUGAUAUGCUUCCUCUUUUUUCUCUUUUUUAUAGGAUAUGAUUCCACUUUGGCAUACACCUUUUCUAUUUACCUCAAGUUUUUGACAGAGACACAGCCAUGCCAUGCCAUCCCAUCCAGAUUGACUUCUGUUCUUCAUAAAUGGCACCAUUUUGACAAAUGGUAGGAAAUCCUCUAGCAGCGUCAUUUCGUACAUACAGAUUAUAUGGUGAUAUAGCCCGCACCCCCCACUUUAACAUAUGUACUAGAACAUCAAAACACCUUCAAGUUUGGGUAUUGGAAGAAGGAUCUCUUUCUUUUCAAUUUGGUAAGGAAGCAGAGCAACUCCUUUUUAUUGAACUCAAAGACUCCAUGCCAGCCAAAGCUUCCUACUUUUUUUUUGAACUGACCAAAGCUUCCUACUUGCGAAAAGAAAAUUUACAAAGUACUUUAAAAUAAAAUUAAAAUAAAAAACCAUAAUUUUACGACCCUAAUUAAUUAUCCAAAAGUAGGCCCCACCAUCCUCCUCCGUGGCUGGCUAUCUAUCUCUCUGUCUCCUCCAAAGCCCCAAAUCAAAAGCAUGCCCAAUCCAACCCAACCAACCGGAGCCUAAUGGGCUACUCUGUGACUACACCACCCGGUCCGCCACGCAUUCUCUACAACCACCACCACCCGAACCCGAAGUCCAUUACACACUUGACCCGACGCUCCCUCCUCCUCUCCGCCCCACUCUCCCUCACCCUCCAGCCACCACCAUCGUCCGCUGCAGCAUCUCCUCCGCCACCCGACACCACCAUUACCGACCGCGUCUUCAUGGACUUCAGUCUCUGCCCCACCUACUUCCGCCCCUUAUCCUCAGCCGACUCAAAACCCACCCUCUGCCCCGACUCGGUCCCGCUGGGCCGGCUCGUCCUCGGCCUGUACGGCCACCACGUCCCCCUUACCGUCUCCAACUUCAAGUCCAUGUGCACCUCCUCCGCCUACAAGGGCACUCUCGUCCACAAGCUUUUCCCCGGCCAAUUCUUCCUCGCCGGCCACCAAGGCGACAAGCCCGGCGACGUCCGCCGCCCCACGGGUCUCGCCCGAAACACCGAGACCGUCGAUUCCAAGGCCUUUGCUCUGACCCAUUCCCGCCCCGGCCUCCUCUCCCUCAACCUCUCCGAGAACGACGACGAAGACGACAUCAAGCUCGACCCGGAUUACCGAAACGUCGAGUUCUUGAUCACAUCUGGGCCCGGCCCAUGCCCCGACCUCGAUUACAAGAACAUCGUCUUCGGCUCAGUGCUCGAAGGUUUACUCUUUCUGCAAGAUUUGAUUUUUAUUAUUUUCAAAAUUUGAGCUUGGUUAGUAUAAUUGUGUUUUGGUUUUGGUUAUGAAGGUUUGGAUGUUGUGACGGCCAUUGCUGCUAUACCUACAUAUAGACCAUCUGAGAAAAUACAGCAAUUCAACGAUUUUGCAGAAUUUCUUGGGGAUGAGAGAGCGAUGAAUGCUCGGGCUCUGUGGAACAAGCCUCUGAAAACAGUGUAUAUCAGUGACUGUGGUGAGCUUAAUGUGGCAAAGCCUUCCCUUUCUCCUCCUAGUCUUCCUUAAUUGCAUCAUAUAUAUACAUACAUAUAUAUAUAUAUAUAUAUAUAUAUCUGUUAUUAUUGUGCGCUGAUUCAAUGAUUUUGUUGAGAGCCUUUGUAAUUGUAUGUAAAUCUUCUUCUCUAAAGAUUUUGGAAUGAGCACAUUACAUGCUUCAUGCAUUUGAUGCAUGAAAAUUGUGUUAUAUUACAGGACUUGCAUCCUUUAGUGGCAGAAAAUGAUGUUCAAUCUGAUCCCAGUGAAACCAAUUUAAGGAUUUACAGACCUCUUUUGAUGCAUAUAAUGCAAGCUGUACUGCUUACACAGAGCAUGAGUGUGUGAUACUCUAAAUCUAUAUUUACAUUUUGUAGCACAAUCUCAAGGUUAGAUGAUAGAGCAACUCAAGGGAAAACUCACAAAUCAUGUGGAGGAUAGUCAUUCUAUAGUGAGGGACUUAUAUUGGCCGUUAGGUGAGGUCUUAUCUCUUAACCGUUAAAUCAAGCUAAUCAAUUUGAUUCAACGGCUAAUCAAUUUGAUACAACAGUUAAGAGAUAGGUCAUCACCUAAGUGCCAUAUAUAAAGCACUCACUAUAGAAUUCUUGGUGAGAGGAUAAGCGAGAACAUAGGUUGUGAUGCUUGGUGGCUGAGCUCAAUUGAUUUGAUACUACCAGUUAUGUUAAGGUGUUAAGGUGUUGGGUUGUUUAAAGAGAAGAUAAGUGCAAUUAAGAUGAAAGGUCUUAGAAAAACCUUGGAGUUGGACCAUGAACUCCUUUUUUCUAUGCUGCCUCAUUUCAUAUUCAUACAGUAGCAGUGAAUAUUUGUCCAUCCACCAGAAUAAGAAUUGGACCCAGAAUUUGAUACGUUGCAGCAGGAGAGUGAGUGAUAGAGGAAGAAUGACAGGUAAGUUGGGCUUUGCCUUGAACUUUGUCUGGGCCUAGCUCUGUUCUGUUUCUGUUGAGAGAUAGAUGGGUUUUUGUUUUGAUACUUGGCUGGCAAUGGCAAAGAAUUUAGAAAAAGUGAAAAAGAAAGAGAGUGUUGUGCUGUGCUGUGCUAUGUAUGGAUGUAUGUAGUUGAUGAUGCAGUGCAGUGCAGGGAAAGUUAGAUAACCAUUGGGGGGUGGGGCCACUGAUUCAUUUAACCAUUCGAUGCAUCCCAUCCAUCUCUAAGCCUGUACACUGUAACUGUAGUACUAGUGCUGACUUGUGCAUGCAUGGGCAAUGGGCAAUGGUGGGCAAUGGGCAAUGGGCAAUGGGCGAAGGGCAACGGGCAUGGGCGGAUUCUUUCUUUUCUUCCCCCAAAAGAAAAGUUGCAAAACAAAACAUACAACCAGGAGAUGUGACCUUUUCUCCCCCUUCAUCGGGUCAUUGCCCAAAGAAUCAAAAUCAAAUCAACUUCUCAUUACACUUUAAACAUUUCCACAAAUUUAAUUCAAUAUGCCAUUGCCUGCCUCUUUCCUUAAAUUGUAGGUGAUAACCAAAUUUUAAUCCUCAGAGAUCAUUAACCAAAUUAGAUAAUAAAUAAUAGUUUGAAACUAAACUAGCACGAGUCAAUUUCAGGAAACCAACUACUGUGUCUAUUACCAUUAUACAGAGAACUUGGAUCAGCGCCACAUUGGGCCCCACAGUUGCAGACCCAAAGCACAAAACGAUGAAGAGGAACCCCUUUUCUUUUCUUCCGGGCAUUUACGUAGUAGAACAUGUCAUAGUCAUAGAUGAUAGGUAUAGGGUGGGGACCACGCACAGGCGAGCGUGAAGGGCCUGCUUCUGCUCUUCUGCUCAUCUGCUCAUCUGCUGUGUGUGAGUGACUUCAGCCGCCAGCACCUCUCUCUCCUCUCCAAUCUACGACUGUGGAGUCUCUCAUGAGUGACUCUAUUCGCAUUUGCAAUGGCCCAGCCCAGGUGGUCCCCAUCUUCCCGCUGCUUUUUUACAGCUGUACGAACAGGAUUCUCUGACAGUGGCGUGUAUUCCCAAGUGGUCCAUGAAACCUACCGCGGACACGUGUACUUGUACGGGUCUAAGGUCGCUGUGCUUCGGUAGGGACAACUGACGACUGUCUGACGAGGAACACAAAAGGAAACGUCAUUCCGAGUUUGGUAAACUGUCUCCGCUGUAAUCACCAGUGCCCAUAUAAAAAAGAAAGAAAGAAAGAAAGAAAGAAAAUCUAACGACUUCCGCCACAUCUGUCAACCAAUGCAAACUAUGUUCCCUCCUUGCUUUCAUCUAUGCAUCAAAAUAAUAUUAAAACAAAAAAUUAGCUCAUGCCUUCAAUAUUUUCCCUUCAUUUUCAAAUUGUAGUUAGCCUAUUUAUAACAUAAGCUUUGAUCAUUAUGUAUUAAUCACGAUUAUUUCUUACAAGUCUAGAUUGAUGUGAGAAUGCUAAAGAUGACCAGUUCUUUUCAAUCUUUAUAAGUCGAGUAUAGUGGUUACCGUGGAGGGUGCACGGGGUCAUUGGGUAAUGCUCAAUAGGCGUUCGUUUGAUAUGUGGAUAUCAAGUCAUGAAUUGGAUAUACUAGAAUGAAAGUGUAUGUUACGAAGAUUAUGUAUCAUGUUUUUGGUGACUUUCUCAUAUUUAGCACAAUUUGGUUUGAAUUUCAAGUAUGCAUGUGUUAAGAGUCAUUUAAAAGUAAUAAAAAAAAACUCGAAUAAUUUUUUAUUUCUUAGAUGUAAGUACAAUAUAGACAAUAAAAAAUUAUAAUCAUUUAAAUAUGUAUGUAUUAGUAAAUGCAGAUAAAUAAAAAAAUAAAAUGAUUCCGAUACCAAUUAUUGAUAAAUAAGCAUGUCAUAAAUAACAAGUAAACAUACCAUAGAAGGAAGGUAAGAAGGAUUAAAUGAUGCGCGCUUAUUGAACAUCAUAAGGUAUUGCUUUCUUGUCUAUAUAGAUUUGUUAUGAGUGAAUAUUUUAUUGAGCGGUGUCCUGCUAUUUUGUCUUUGUCUUGUAAAGCUAUGUUGUUUGAGAGCGUAACCCAAGGGUUAAAGGAGAAAAGUUACUUCUGACAAAAUUAAAAAUAAAGGAGAAAAGUUGCUGCGUCCUGCCUACUUUCCUUCCACUUUUCCUUCCUCUCUCUCAAGACUCAACCAUUUAAAAAUAAUAUAAAGGAUUUCAAUGUCGACUGCUGUGCUGUCCUUGGUGCAGAUGAAGGGGGUGGAAACUUGUCUCAAAAUCAUGUAAGAAACUUCUUGCAACACUACAAAAACCUAACUCAUACAAAAUCUAUGUUAUAUAUAUAUAUUAUAUGCCUCCAAAUAUUGGUACGUCAGAUAUCCCAAGGGGUCAAGUAUGGAGCAAUUAACAAUCACAACGACAAUCACGCCCCAAAAUGCCACCCAACGGUCCAAAACAUUUCAAUAAUUUUUCCAUCAAAUCUCACCGUUGGAUGCGUUCUGAGCUUUCUAUACAUCAAUGGCUACUUACUAUUACAAGUCUACAACACAUCACAAUUUUCAAUCAUCAAUAAAUCAAUGUUUGUCUUAUUUACUGGGAACGGCAACUCCCAAUUACAUCGCCACAUGGCACUCUAUCUCACCGUCAAAACAUCCUCCUCGGUCCUGGCGUCACCCAUCCAUCACUCAACAAAGUCGUCGUCUCCCAAAAAAAGAGCUUCUGCGCUCCUUUAAUUGCUUAAUCCAGCAUUCAAGUUUCAAACUUUUAACAGCACCACUUUCUCUCUAACUCAGAACAUCACAAUUUUUUUUUUCCUCUCUCUCUCUCUUUCUCUCAGCUCCAAAAACUGCUUUUUUCCGAACCACGUUUUCUUGUAUGUACUGAAACUAAAAGCUCUGUGCUUUUUUUACAAUUUAAUUGCAAAGACCAAAGUAAUGGCGUUUCAUCAUCAUCAUCAUCACCAGCAGCAGCAAACCCCUCCAGAAAUGGCGUUCCACUCCUUCGCCUCGGACCAGCCGCCGCUCUCCGGAGCUCCGACGUGGCUCAACAACGCCGCGUUUCGACAACAGAACAGCUUCCUCCACGACGCGCGAAACGACGACGUCGUCAUAUCACCGUCGGGGAAGAGCAGCAACUGCAGCGGCCGGAACCGGAGAGAGAUAAGCGGCUACGACGGCGAAGAGGAGGAAGAAGACGAACUGGAGUGCGAGAGCGCGAGGUUCAAAGCGGACUUAGUGGGCCACCCUCUGUACGAGCAGCUUGUAUCGGCUCACGUCUCGUGCUUGAGGAUCGCCACCCCCGUCGAUCAGCUGCCGAGGAUCGACGAGCAGCUCGUGCAGUCGCAGCGCGUGGUGGAUAAGUACUCUGCGCUUCGAGCCAAUGGGGAUGUCCAAGUCAUGGAUGAGAAAGAACUUGAUUUAUUCAUGGUUAGUUUGUUUAAAUUAAAUCUCUUUCAACACUUAAUUUUUCAUUUCCUAUGAUCUUUUCUUCUUGUGGUGUUGUUGAAAGUCUACAACUUUAUUUAUUUCGGGUCUGGAUAUUUUAGUGGGAAAGUGCAAAUUUGGUUGAUCAAAAUAAUAAUCAGAGUGUCAUGUAAUUAGUUUCAGUGGCAACGAAGAAUCCUGUUGUUCAAUUCUCCAAUUAUUCAUCUUUACAAGUGCUUUGGAGAAUCCUUUACUCUUUAAUUAAUUUGUGUCAUAUUUCCCCCACUUACUAAUUUUGAUUAGUGGCAUGCCAUGGAAUCAGAAUCUGUUCUGCAAAUAAGUAUCGAGUCUUGUUGAUGUAAAUGGUUUAGUCUUCUAAAGAUUAAAUAGUUUCUGAUAUUUUUCUCAACUUUUCCUCUUUCUCACCUUCCCUCUUUGUCUUUGUUCAUUCGGCUACUGUAGACAAACUAUGUUCUACUGCUAUGCUCCUUCAAAGAACAAUUGCAGCAACAUGUCCGAGUUCAUGCCAUGGAAGCAGUGAUGGCUUGUUGGGAGCUCGAUCAAUCUCUACAAAGCUUAACAGGUCAUUCCUAUUUCUUUUCAUAUUUCUACAUGUACAGCAGAUAAGUGGCAAGUUUACGAAUGGUUUAUAACUGAACAGCUUGAGAUGCAUUGACAGGUGUGUCAACGGGUGAAGGCACCGGUGCUACAAUGUCCGACGACGACGACCAGGUCGACAGUGACAUCAACUCGUAUGAUGGAAGCCUGGACGGGCCUGACACCAUGGGAUUCGGUCCUCUCGUUCCGACUGAGAGUGAGAGGUCCUUAAUGGAGCGUGUAAGGCAAGAAUUGAAGCAUGAACUGAAACAGGUAUAUGAACUAUAGGACUUGCAAAGCAUGUAUAAUAUAUUUGCUAGAUGGGAUAUAGAAAUGUAGCUAAUAACAUCUGCUUCUCAGGGUUACAAGGAAAAGAUUGUAGACAUUAGGGAGGAAAUUCUACGCAAGAGAAGAGCAGGUAAACUGCCAGGUGACACCACUUCUGUCCUAAAAUCUUGGUGGCAAUCACAUUCUAAGUGGCCUUACCCUACGGUGAGUUUCAACUUUGAUAUAAUCCCCUUGUAGCUUUCUGUUUAGCAAAUUAAUUCUUUUUAAAAUGGCUAUUAAAACCGUCGUUCGCUUGGAAUAGGAGGAAGACAAAGCCAGGUUGGUGCAGGAAACAGGCUUGCAAUUGAAACAGAUCAAUAACUGGUUCAUAAAUCAAAGAAAAAGGAAUUGGCACAGUAACAUUUCCUCAACUUCUGUUUUGAAGAGCAAACGCAAGAGGUAGGAUUGUAUUUAACAUAUAUGGUCGUUUUGUUCACAUAAGUUUGUUUUCAAGAACUUUAUAUAAAUAUUUUUUUUUUUCAUUUGUAAUUUGGGAAAAAAAGUAAUGCAGGUGACAUCAGCAGCCAACGAUUGAAGUAACUGUGUGUGACACUUGACAAGUCCACAACUUAUGGAAAAAAAAAAAAAAAAAAAAAGUCUAGCAUCAGCGAGAGAGCAAUAUUUGGCCAUACAGAAAGAGGCCGCAAGGAACUUCGUAUUUCCGAUACAGUAAAAGGUUAGACCAGCAAAUGAAGGGCAUCCUGAUGUCUGAUGUACCAUCUCAUAAAACUUUACGCAUAUGUAACACGAAAAACUCGAACCAGGUAGUCUUUUUGUACCACGUUUAUGUGGAUCUAGCUAGAUAUAGAAUUUUUGUAUACUAAGCGUCUCUAAAUUAAACGUUUGCUUUCUAUAUAAUUUCUAAUUUCUAUGGAUGAGAAUGGCUACAAAGACAGAUGUCUAUAGCAGUUUAUGGAUGUUUUGAUGUGUUACACCCUGUAGAAAUUUGGUAUCAGUGGUUUUGAGUGAAUCGCGGCAAACAACACUAGUUGUGUGCCGCUUUCCAUUACGCAUUCUGGGUGGUGAGCUUUGUUUAUCACAAGCGCCUUGCUUCCUUGUGAGUAUUUGAAAUUUGCUGUGUAGUCUUCCAAAAACCUUAAUGCGAAAUUGAAAUUUUAAGGCAAAAGUACAACCCAAAAAAGACUUAAUUUUGGUCUGUUUCAUAACAGCGCACAAUUAACUUAUCAAAGAAGGAAACAGGAGAACACAAACGACACCCAAUCUAACGUUUGGAUUCUAUAGAAGCUGAUUCAAGGGUGGUUUCAUGAACCGGCCUGCCUAUGGAACCAUGCUCAUUAGACAAAGGAGCGGCAAACCUUGCUGCAAAAUCAAGAGCAGCAUCAUUUCCUUCUCUAGCAACACCGCCAUCAAAAUUGAGAGCAUAACUAUGAAAAUCAUACUGAAAUCUAGUAUUCUUUUGCUUUUGUUUCUUGGACAACCUGUUGUUUUGUUUUUGCUUCAUAGUCUUGCAAUAUCCAGCAAUCUUUCUGAUGAAGGUCUUCCACUUGGAGCCGUCCAAUACUUGAGUAGACUCCUUAGCCUUGGUCAAUUUCUUCCUCCACCACCAUGUCGUCUCCUUGUGCCAUCCACCUUCUUGCUGCAGUAAGUAUUUACGUUCAUAAUCGUUGUCGUGGUUUUGCCGCCAUGUACAUGAUGUGAACCCAAAGAGGCCAAAACAAUCACCAACACCACAAGGAGGAGAAGAAGAAGAAGAAGAAGAAGCAUCCUGGUCUUGAUGAUAGUCAUCCAAGUCUUCUCCUUCAUAACGUUCGUACUCGUAGAUGGGCGAAGUGUGGUUCAUGAUCAAGGUUGGUUUGUGUUCAUUGUUACUAGCCAUCGCCAUAAUCAUUAAGCAGAGAGAAAGAAAGAAUGUAAUCUAGGGUGAAAGACUCGGAAAGGAAAGGUCUUAAAUAAUAGGGGAAGCGAUAGAGGAGAGUUCAAAAAGGGAAACAAAAAUUAGGAAAUAUCAAAGAAAGAAAAGAAGGGUGGUUGGUCGUCGCCUGGUGCGAAAACCUGUUGUUCAUCGCGCUUAAACCAUGCUAGUGAAGAAAUAGAAUUCCGAAAUAAAACAAAACAAGGAAUUGUUGUGGGAUGGGAUGCAAUAAGGUUUGACUAGUGGUGUGGCCGGCUCAGUUGCUACACGGUGUCGUAAUGGGAAACAAUAUUUGACAAUGAAAGCCCAAACCUAGCAAUCAAAACGCGUCCGGGAUUGUUGGGCUUCGGCUUUCCUUAAUUAAUACCCACACCAAAAUAAAAACACACAACAUACGCACACGUCUUACUGUAGGACGACCUGGUUCUUAUUUGAACAGUUGAUUAAUAGAUUCCAUAAGAAAUUUAUUUCCCGGCCCUGGUUCUGGUUCUUAUCGCAAGGAACGAAACGAUCAUGUCCAAAUGUUUGUGACUUAAAAUCUUCAUGUACCUUGUUAAGCAUAACCCAUGAAACCAACCAACUUCGAUCCUUGUUUGUUAUGGUACGCAACAGCAGACUAUGGGAAAUGUUGAAUGUUGCUUCCUACCUAAUCCAAUCCAAAGUGACGAAGCCAACGCAAAAAAUGCAUACAAACCAAUCCAAUCCUCGUGCUUGUAUUGACGUGUCAAAACGUGAAAGAAAACACUUGAUUCAAAGGCAAACCUAACUGAGUUGACACUUCUAUAAGAUGUAAAUAUUUCUGUAGAACAAUGAAACGGCUUCUUCCCCUAUCACAUUAAAACAAGACACAAUAGUUAUCUUCCAACAGCCUCAAACACACACCCAAAUAAAGGCCCAUUGGAUGAUGGGAGAGACAUCUAUGAUGAUGCAACUUGACUGAUAUAUCAUUUUUGAAUCUGAGGCUGUGUAGAAGGGGGUUGCUGCGGUUGGCUUUGUCCUUUAGGAGGAAUCUUUGCGGUCAUAGCACGUAAUUCGUUUGCAAUUUCAGUGAAGUUCAGCCUCUCAGUUGGCUCCGAAGACCAGCAUCUCUCCAUCAGUGAUUUCCAUUCUGGAUCACAAGAGUCCGGGACUGGUGGCCGCAAUGUAUUGCUCACAAUACCUCCUGCAUUAUAUUAUGAAGAACUGGCUAUCAGCAUCUCUAAAUCCGAGUGAAAUCUUAAAAGGACUGAGCAUGUUUUACAAGUGACAAGUUAUUAAGCACUAGAAGAUCACCUAUGAUAGCACCGUAGUGCAAAUCUGCAUAUGGUUCAUCUCCGGUGAGGAGCUCCCACAACACAAUACCAAAAGAAAACACAUCUACCUAGUGUACCCAAAAAAACCAAGGGUAAAUAACUAAACAAUAAAAACAGGUUUAAGAGAGAUUCACAAUCAUUUGAGAUGAUCUAGAAUAAAUUUAAAAAGAAAAUACGAACCUUCUCAGAAACAAGGCUACUGCCACCAUUCAACAGUUCUGGUGCCAUCCAUGGAAGUGUUCCCCGCACACCACCGGAGAUCAGUGUAUGACAUUUCACUUUAGAUAGCCCCAAGUCACCAACCUGGCGUCAUAAGCAGAUGGUAAACUCAAUCUUAUAAACAGUUCAACCAAAUACAGAGCAUGUCACACUGGAUCAAUGUUUUGAACUGCAUAUUGCCAAUACAGUGAUACUGCUGAAAAUAAAUGCAUAUCAACAAAAAGAGGCACAUUAUAACAUAUGAGAAAUCAAGUGAAGUAGGCCAAGCUUGACUCAUUCCCAUCCAGACAAAGCCUUAUCAUCUAAUUGAGUUCUACAACACAAGGAGAAAGGAAAAAAAAAAAACAUAGCCGAAACUAGGUACAGUAAUUCAAAGAGUAAUUCUGUUUAAAGUUUAAAGACGGAAAAGGGCUCUAUUUUUGCUCUUGUUCAGCUCACAAGAAGCAUUAAUUUUCCUUAAGUUUUCAACAACAAAUGCAUGCUCUCGAAAAUGAUACUGCAUUUUAAAAAGAUUGUGGCUUAUUAUACGAAAAGAAAGAUCACAUCAACCACAGAACGGACCAGAAUGAGAAUGACCAACAUUCCAAUCACUUACCUUGCAUAUUGGGCGGUGUGGAUCUCGAAGAUUGACAAGUAAGUUGUCACUUUUCAAAUCAAAGUGUACUAUAUUCUUUUCAUGCAGGUACUCCAUCCCAAAUGCCACAUCCAUUGCAAUCAAGAGACGCUUGCGCUUGUCCAGAGUCCUGCUAAAAUGAAUUCUGCGUCACCUUUUAUCCAAUUGGAAAUUACAUACCAACUAGUCAACUACUACAUUCAUUCUAAUUUUAUCAAAUUAAUGCAAGGAAAAAGAAAGCCAAACAAACACAUUACUUCUCAUUCUUCUGCAAGGCAUUUCUCAGAGAGCCAUUAAUCAUAUACUCUGUCACUGUUGCCACUGAACCUCCCGGCCCAUCAAGCACAACGCCAUAGAAAGCUACCACAUUAGGGUGGUGCAAGUCAGCAAGUUUGAUGGCCUCAUUCCAGAAAUCUUCUCUCUGAUUGAAUACAAAAUCUCUCUGAUUAUCUAAGUGAGGUAUUAAUAAACAAAAAUUAAUAGCUUUUGGAAUCUAGUACAAAAGACAAACCAUGCGCUCUUGUUCUGAAGGCUUCCCAGCAAAACACCUAUCAUUUAUUCUUUUAAUUGCAACAUCAGUGCCCCUCCAUUUCCCAUGAUAAACAGUACCAAAGGUUCCAGAACCCAAUUCUCUUCGCUCUUCAAGGUCACUGUUCUUUAUAAUCUACCAAAAGAGUAGAAACCGGUCAAUGGUACAAGUUAACAUCACAAUAUCAGAAUAAGGAAAAAUAGAAAACCAAAUUUUCACCUGCAAUCGGCCUCGGCUAUCUGAUACUGGAAAACCAAUAUUUGCCUUAUCUCUGAAUUUGGUCUUGACAUCCUGAAAUAGAAAAUGGAAAUUAGGAGAGUCCAACAAAUGUUUUGAAAGUGUGUGCGUGGUGUGUGCGUGAGAGAGAGAGAGAGAGAGAGAGAGAGAGAGAGAGAGAGAGAGAGAGAGAGAAACUAGUACACACACAACCAAUGAAAAUGCUCAAACAUGCACAUAGAUGGCUUCCUAAAUACCUCAACUUUCGCUCUGUUUUGCAUGCCUGCAGUAUUGUUUUGAACAUCUUCAUCUUGAUUGGAUUGAUAAGCAUACUCAUCUUUAUCACGUAAGUCAGGAUUUGACGGCGAAGAUGACUGAAAAACACAGGCAGCUACUCCCUCAGCAACAGCUUGAAGUUCUUGCUUUAUUUGUUCCUCGGCUGAUCCUAUGACAAUGAAACAAAACAACAUUCUAAUUAAGCAAUUAACUUAAUACUAAAGUAAAAACAAAUCAACAUUUAACUAACCUUUGGAAGACUGGGCAGGCUCUGAACUAAGAUCCCUGUUCAAAUUGCCCAGUGACUGCUGACCCCCAUCAUCCAUUCGCAAUUCUGUAAAUGGUUCUUUUCUCAAUUGUAUUUUGGUUGGUUUAGGAGGCAAAUGAGUAUCGUGGCUCAAACUCCAAGGAUCCUGAUUGCUGAACAGUGAGUUUGAGGAGUCCUGGGGAACAGCAUCAUUUGAGGUAACACCGUCCACAUCAUUAGGUACCAUCUUGGGCUGCAAUCUUAAGUUCUCAUCCUUCCAUUCAGCAGGAGGUUGAAUUCCAUUAGUUAUAUGGGUAGAAACAACAGGGUUGCCAUAAUUAAAUUCAUAAGCAUCCUGAGGAUGGAAUCCAACUCUUGAUUGUGGGUAAGAUUCAGGAUUUCCCCACAUAGAUGGCUGUACCGCCUCAAAGAAUUCUACAGGCUGCGAAUUAUACCCAUGUGAGACUUCAGCAGGGGAAGAAGCCACUACUUCGGUUGGUUUAAAGUGACUCCUGCCAACAGUGUUAUCUAGAGUCACCUCCCUACCCCCAACUUGUGGUGCUUUAUGGUCAAAGCUGUCUUCCACUCUAGGCGUAUCAAUGGGUGACUUCCCAUGCUCAUUAUUAACAUAAACCUCAGUGGGGCUUAUCCUGAGGGUCUCCAUUCUCCCGUCGAUUUGUCUCAGAUGAUCAUAUGCAAUGCAAGUGUCUACAUUGUCUUCUUUUGGAAUAACUCCAGGAAAUUUGUUGGGGUAUGCAGUUGGACAUUCAUGAACCAGAUAUUCUGAAGUUUGAACAGGUGUGCCCCCAACAAGAGGUACAUCUUGAUUAAAAGGAUCAUUAACUAAAUUUUCCUGUUUAACCUGGUACUGGAAUGGCGCAGAAUGUUGUUGAACAGCAUCAUCUUGACAGCGCUGAGGAAUAGCCACCAUGAAUGUGCUAUUUGGUGACUGUACGUCACCCCCUCUCCUGAUAACACCAUGGGGAGCUGAAAUCAUUGGAAGAUCAACUUGUUGAAGAUUCAUUGUCUCAUUUUCACGAGUUCCCUCAGAAAUCUGCGAGAUCCCAGUCACCUCUGAAUGAGAUGUUCCAACAAGAGGAUCUACUUGACCUUGGACCCUAAGUCGAGCCUCAACUCCUUGCCCAAAAUUACCUUCUGCUAAUGCUCCACUUACCAUAACCAUGUUCAUUGGUUGAGCUCGCAAAUUGUCCUCCAGGCGGGGACUAUGAUAAGUUGAAUUUGAAUCAGAUACUGGGCUUCCACCACUGUCUCUAUGAACCUGUACCAAAGUAUCAGAAUGAGCAUGAGGCAAUGCUCUCUGACACAUAUAACAGUCCUCCAACCUUUGGGAUUUCUCAGGAUACAUUACCUGUUGGUGGGAUACCAAACCAUCAUGAAAAAUCACAUGCUCUGGUGGUGGAACCUGAUGCCAGCCAUAAGCACCUCCUACCACUGGUGAUGGGACCUGAACCUGAUAGGAAUUAUAGCUUUGCUCAGUAGGAAACUGGACUACCCUGGGAACAAAGGUGCUCUCAUCUACAUAAUGAUCUAAUCGAGUCUGCUGGGGUUGCAUCAAUGGCUGAAGCACAUUUGGUCUUAUAUUAACAUGAGAAGAUGAGGGAGUCAUUGUCAUGUGCACUGCAGGAAUGAAGUGAUGUUGGGUGAUGCCAGCAACACUAUCACAGAAUUGCUGUUGGGUAUAUACAGGACUAGCAGUCCCCAAUAGGUGAGCAUUUGGGAAACCCAUCUGAGGAGGAAGCUGGAGAUGAUCUGCUCGGUUCAUAACUUCUUGGCGAGGACCAACAUAAGUUUGCAGAUAAGGAGCAGUGGAUGGAAUGCCAAUUCCAGGUUGCUGCAACCCCACUUGCUGCUGCGAUACUGUAACAGGAACAGACCUUUCUAACUCACACUCAGGCUGAGAAGGUGAUGUUUGGGGAGGCGCAGACUUAACCACAGGAAUGCCCAAUGGAACUGUAGAAACUUCAGAAUAAACUGCAGGGUUAGGAUCCACAAUUACCAAUCUUGUACUAUUAUCAUGAGAAGUAGCUGAAUCCCCUUUAGGUGAUAAUUUGCCUGCUGAUGGAGGUCCAGUAGUGUCACCCUGACCAGGAAUUGAGCUAUCAACAAUAUCAGUUCCGCUAAAAUCAGAAUUCUGUGUUGAAGUAGCACUUGUCAUACUCUCCUUCCUCAUGAUACCACCACCGACCCCAUCCAUAAUCCCAUUGACAGCAUCAACAUAUCUUUGCUCACUAUUAUGUAAAUCCCCGAAUUGUACAGCACUAGAUGGAUCAACUUCUGAAGCAGAAAACAAAAACACCCUCAGUUUUGCGGACCCAUCUGGAGAUCGCUCAACCAACUUCCCAUACUCAUCCUUCAUAUUGUCAAGAUCAUCAACACAUGAAACUGACACCAGUGCAUCGAGAUCCUCAUCAGGGAGCUGAUAUUUAAUAACCACAGGUUGCCCAUAUGUAUCCAACAUCUUCUGCACUAGCUCACUGAAGCUCACAUCUCUCCGAACACUAAUAAUCCUUGUCUGCCCUCCAACGUAUCUCAACAUUCCAUCACUUGGUCUGGGCAAAAUCUUUCCCCCAAAGCUGCACAGAAGCUUGACUUUCUUCCCUGACACAGAAUCAUCUCCACCAUCGUCGCUUGCUUGAUCAGUUCCAUUGCCACCAACCCGAUUGCCAAAAUUGGCAUUAUUACCAUACCCAGAUGUCAAAUCAUUCCCAGUUUGAUUAGCAACAUUACCACUGACCUUAUUUCCCAAAUUGGGAUUAUAACCAAAUCUAACUGCCAUAUCAUUAACACCAUGAUCCAAACCAUUGCCUACAACCCUAUUAGACAUAUUAAAAUUACAGACAGAAGGCCCAGAAGCAGUUGUUGUAGUAGAAGAGCUUACAAGAUCAACAGCAUUGCCGCCAAGCCGACCGCCCAAAUUAGGACUGUAACCAAUUCCAACAGCAACGGCAGUGUUCAUCCCUGGAUGCCCCACCGGCACAGGGAUGCGAGGGCGCCAUGUGGGCACCCCAGACAUGGCAUUUCCAUACCCUACGCCAACAAGCCCAGCCUCCGCGACCGUUGAUGGGUAAAAGACAGGUAUCGAAUUAGGGCUAUUAACUUCAAGAGCCAGGUUGGGGAAAAGUCCAUCUGGGUUUCGUCCAGUUGCAGUAGCGAGCGCAAUGCGGGGCUCAUCAGCCACAGUUCGAGCUACGUUUAACGGUCUUAACUCUUUGGGAAACGAAUUUUGAUCAAACGCCAUAUCUUCAACAAUAAAGAUUUCAAUUAAGGGUCUGCAAAUCAAUCGUAAAUAAGAGAACGUAGAAUCAAAUACGAUAAAGCUAAGGCCUUUUCUUCUGGAUUACAAUAAAGCUACGGUUUUUUCCCCAAGAUUUUCUAAUUCAAGUAUUGAAUUUCUUUAAUAAUCUGGUAUAAACCCCAGCCAGAUUGCACCAAACUAGAAUAACAUUUCACAGCUUUCUAACGAAAACAGGGCAAAACAAGGAAAAAACAAUUGAGAAAAGACAGAGACAGAGACAGAGAGAUAAGUACCAGAUUGGAACGGCGUUUGAGAGAGAGAGAGUGGAGGAGAUAAGACGCAGAAGAGGAACGAGACAAAGAAAGCCUGAGUCGGUGGAGAGCAGUUCCAAAUUCCAAGGAAAUCAAAGCUCAGUGGCAAACGUCUCAAACAGCACCUCGAUUCAGGGUUUUGUUGAAUCUUGUUCCUCGUCACUUUCUUUCGCUAAAAAUCUGGUCUUUUAUUGUUUUUGUUCAUCUUUGAAUAUUUUCCGGAUGAAUAUUAUUUUUCUCGGGAAAAAUGAAUGAAACUACAGAAUAGCAGUGGGCUUAAGAAAAGUUUAUUGUUUUGGGUUGGAGUCUUGGAGAAGAGAGGAGGUGAUGUGGGGGGGCAAGGAGGCACGUGGAUGUCUUCAUGCAAUAUCGUGAGUCAAAAAAAAGUACACAAUCAUGUGUUCGUUGGAAACUUGGGAGGAUUUGAUUCUGUGAGAUGGUGACAAGUUUGCAGAGAAUGGGACCUUUCUAAGGUAGUGUUGUUGGUGAUACAUAUUUCCUAAAGGAGAGGAUCAUAUCAAUCAAUAUCCAGUUAAAGGGCAAGCGAGAGAAGACAAAAACUAAAGUAGAAACUUUCUUCAAAUCCACAUUAAAUUAAACUCCACGUUACACCUCUUAUUUAAUGCCCUUUUUUACAAUCAAAUUAUUUAUAAACCGAAAUUCAAUUGUGGUUUAAUUUUCUUUUACUGCAAUUAUGGCAUGACAUCAGAUCAUAACUAUAACCUUAAAAUCUCCCAACCAUGAUUACAGAUGGUUGAUAUUUAUUUUUGAUGGCACGAUGGUCAUCAAUCUGAAGUGAAGAGUUAAUUAUAUUUAUGACAUUAUUGUCUUAUUAAUAUGUCCAUCGUUUUUACUUUUGUUAAUAAAGAAUUAGUAAUCUUAUCUAUUCCUUUCAGGUUAUAGUUUCGAUUUUCCUUUUUUUGUAUUACUUUGUAUGAAAUCAUAAUAAUAAUAAUAAUAAUAAUAUAAAUAGUAAACAAGGGAGGAGUGCCAUUAGACAUUGGAAAAGGUAAAAUACAAUUGCUUACGAGUCUAUGUUGAAGCAUAACAUCUCUAACUCUGCCAAAUUUCCAUUGUUACCCGAAAGAUGAACGAAGCUGAAAAAUAGAGGUAUACCUUUUUAUUUUCUUGAGUAAUUUUACUUAUAUUCUUCAUAGAGAAUUCUUUUUGACGGGUAAUUGUAAGUAGUUGUUGCCAUGAAUCCUUAGAGGAAGGGAACCCUCCCCAUGUUCUUGGAGUAACUUAUUGUAUGACAUAACUUGGUUGUAGUUGGAAUAGGGAAACUUCGCCGUGAAGUAUAAUGAGCCGACACUUCUCUAAUUUCUUUCUUGGAUUAUUAUAUAUCCGUUAUCGUUUUGGCUUCAUCUUUUUGUUAUGGUCUACUUUCUAAAUCCCAAUAGGAUAAUUCGAUUACUUCUUCAAUUGUGACGUGUUCUUACUGGCCCCACAGUUCCUGGCGGGGGAGAAUGAGGCAAAAGUUUGAUAAAUUUAUACCAUGAGCUGCUCUUUUUACUUUCUUGGGUGAGGUCGGUCCAAUAUAUACUUGCUUGAUGUUUUUUUGUUUGAAAAGAAAACAAAGCAUAAAAACGUAAACCAAAACGUCAAUACGUACGCGGUUUCUUUUUUCUUUUGGAAGAAAGGGUGUCUGAUUGAUUGACUCAAAGUCAAGAAAGGUGAUCCACACUCACUCACACACACACACACAUAUAUAUAACCAAAUAAAACGUCCAACGUUUACUUUUUCUUAUCUUAUUGGGCAAGGGUUUUAGUAAGUUAACCGUUUUGAGGUACUAGUUUGUGUUUCAUAACUUACAGACAUCAUUCGUACAGUUGUGUGCAUAACAUCAUCAUUACCAUCUGUUUUAUUGUUUUCUUAAACAAACUUAAAGCAUGAUUAAAUAUAAAUAUUCACACUGAAAGAAUCACCUAGCUAGUCAAACUAAUUAAGGUCGGUUAUUAUUUUUUAAAUUUCAUGACGAAAGCAAUUAACUAAUUAUCAAUACAGUACGCACGUCCACAUCAUGCGCUAUAUCUUUCUGGUAUUGAAAGUCAAAGUGAAAGGAAAGUACAAGGAAGUUGAGUAGAUAAGCCUACACCAGUUAUAACUAAUAUUAUGUGUUGCUGGUGUGGUGGUGGGGUUAAGUGUCCUUCCUGCAUUAAGCAAUGAUGUGAUCAAGUGUACACACACACACACACAUGCAUCUGUCUGCUUGCUUUGCUGGUCAUCGGUCAAAACAACUAAUUGUGUACGUGUGUGCGUGCACGGUUGUGUGAGAUGCGAAAUAACUGGGAUGUUUCUCUCUAACACGGCCAAUUCCCAAUUGGCUUCAGCUUUUCAAAAAUAAAGACGAUGCUUGUUUUUGUUUCACUUGUAAGUUGUAUUUUACUAGGUUAAUUAGGAACUUGGCCUAGCUAUAAGGUACUUUGUCUCACUAAAAUGUCCCGUGAGAGGGUCCUUAAUAUUCAUCUGAUCAAUUACAAAGUUAUAUAAUUAUAAAAGCUGGUUGCAGUUGGGACCAGACAAUAGUUAAUGUAUGAUUGAUAUGUAUAUCAGGUCAGGGAGAGUCUGGUUUUGUGCAACCAAGCAGGCCAUCAUGCUAAUAAUUAGAGUGUGGGCAGUAGCCAUUUUGGACCAGUUCUUGCCAUGCUCAUUAAAUUUCAAGGCCCAGGCUUACAAUAAAUAUAUGAUGAUCUUGCUCUGGUGGGGGUGGCCCAUACUCUUGCAAUGCAUAUGCAUGCAUGCAAUUGUUUACAUAUCGACUAAUUGAUGACUUAACAAGAUUCUACUAAUUUAAUUAUGAUUUGAAAUUAAUCUCAAGAUGAUCAAAAGAAUUUGAGUACUCUGCACUGCAAAAUUACCGUAGCCGUAGCAAUAAUUACAUUUAAUGAACAGACCAAAUUUUGUGUCUGUUCAUGUAAAUAUAUAUACAUGAUCAAUAAUUACAUUUAAGUUUAACGAACCUAAUUAAUUAUUGAGAAACAAUUGAUGAAUAAAAUGAAUUAAUGAACCAGAGGCCCGCGCGAGAGAUGAUGAUCAACUACAAGCAGUUAUUUCCUUAGAGGCAGACGGAGAAGCGGCGGAGUCCUGCAAGGUUCGGGGCGGCGAGGGCGGCAACCGGGCGGAGAAGCUCCUGAAGGGAUAGUCCUCGAUGUUCUCCUCCUCGUGAUCAAAAUUGAGGGCGUAGCUGAGGGGGUCGUAUUUGAAGUCGGCGGAGGCCGAGUGCCUCCGCGCCGUGUGGCUCCGUCCCAUACGCCCGAUCAAGCUCUUGCACUUGUCCUUCAAUUCCGCGAACUCGUAAUGGCUGUUGUGAUGGCCGUGAUGGUGAUGGUGGUGAUUGUGGUGAUGGCUAGAGCGGGACUUGCUGGAGGAGGAGAAGGAGGAGUUGCGGACGAGGCUGACGUUGGCGGAGUGGGCGUGGGGGGUGGUGGGGGCGGUGAUGGAGUGGUGGUGCGGCGUCGUUUUGGGGAAGCACGGGAUGAUGCAGAGGGAGGAGCGGAGUUUCUGCUUGAGGGAGGAUGGGGAGCAGGGCUCGUGCUCGUUCAGGGGCUCUAUCAUUUUUCCCAGUUCGAGUUUGAGGCUGCUUUUGCAUGAAACUUGUUGAGAGGGAAGGGAGAGAGAUCUUGUGUAGGGUUGGGAGGCGGAGCCUCGUGGGAUUGAAAUGACGGAUGAGUACACGGGGGUUUCGGGGUUUUCAGGGGAUCGCGGGGACGUGAGAGGGAACCAACUUGUUGAGGCCCCGGAUUUCUUGGGAUGCUCUUGGGGUUUUUGGUCUUUUAAUCCGAUUGGACCUCAGAAUCGGAAUUCAAUUCAAUAUUCAAAGGUUGUCGCUUUUUCAGGUGUUUUUUUUUUUUUUUUUUCUCUCCUUUUUUUGGUUCUCCUUAGAUUUUGGAGAGGAUGAGGAUGGGCCCAUAAUCUCCUAGUGAAAUAUUCAAAGUCCAUUUGCAUGAGAUAUGGGCUGGGCUGUAGUAUAAUUGGGGAGUGAUGGGCUUAAAAUUGGAAUGUGGGCUCAAAAACUAUCCACAACAGGUCUAUGUUGAGAGGUUCAAUAUGGCCCCUCGUUAUUGAUCUGAAACCUAGUAAGGACCCCUCGUUAUAACCCCUCUUUCAUUGCAGUCUUUCUGAUAAAUUAUUAGGGAAGAAUAAUAUAAAGGGUCCGAAUCCAAUUUAAUAUGAGUUGGUAGGAUCCUUAAAAUCCUGGUAAUGAUGUUCCUACUUGGUAGCUCACAUGAUAUAGGAAUCUUUGUAAUGUAACAUGACUCAACUACAAUCUGCCCAACUCAUAUUAAAUUAGUAUAAUCUUAGUAAUGUAAAAUAGCGUUAUUCCCGUUUCAUUGAAGUCUUUCCUCUAAUAGAGAGAAGAGGAGAGGAGAGGUGAUUUGGUUUGGUUGGUCACGUGGUGGCUCACCCACUGAGUCAGCAGCAGAACCUCAUUCGCCACCGCUUGGCUUGGAGUCUUGGACACUUCGUAUGCUUUUGGACCAAAAAAAUUAAAAAAAACAGUUUGUAUGAUUUGCCAUUAAGUUGCACUGCAGCUUCCUCACCCUUUCCAUUCCCUUUCUCAAUUCUCACACGCACUCUCUCUCUGACCUUUUUUUUUUUUUGGUCCUGUUUUUCUCAUAAUCUUUUUACUUACUUUUUAAAGAUCUAACUCACAUUUAUAAUUGAGAAGAGAGAGAGCAAGAGAGAGCAGAAGAGGAUUGAUGCAGAUUGUUUUUGCAACCAUCAAUGGUAUGGACCCUCACUUGUCUUGUCUGCCACCACCAUCUUCAUUUCACUCUGAUUAUUCUCAUCAUUCACUACUCUCUUCUUCUUCUUAAAGCCUUUUUGCUUGUAUUAUUGCUCUUCUGUCUUAUAAUCUCCUCUUCCUUAAAUCAUAUUACAGGAUCAUAUUGGAAGACAUAGACAUGGAUCAUUUGUAAGACAAAUAUAAGCACUUGCUUUCUUUUGUUUUAAUUUUGAGCUGCCUUGGUAGCUAGCUAGCUAGCUGCAAUGGCUGGGAUGCUUCCUGGUGUGGAAUGCGCUCGAAGGAGACGAGUCCAUCAAAGCGGCGAGUCACCAGGCGUGGGCACACAUGGCUGGACCAGGCGCUCCUCUUUUUGUUUGUAUGCUAGCAACCAUGAAACUCACCAUACCUCCACCUUUUCCCUGGUAAUUAUCUGCCUUAUGCCUUCUGCCACACGAUAUAACAAAUUAUGUUACAAACCAACUAUAUAUAUUUCUUAACUUUUCUUGAUUGUUUUAAAGCAAAGAAGCAUAUUGAACCAAUCAUACAUGGAUGAGAAACUGGGAGUGGAAGCCCGAGAAGCUAAAGGGAGAUUAGAUGAAAGACUCAGAACACAGAGAAAAUCAGAACCCAAUAAAAGGUAAUUAAGAACAAAUUGCCAAUAACAUAACAUGUGUUGUUGAUUAUCUUAUCUAUGUGUUUUACAUGUUUUGUUGUAUGAUGAAUUCAGGCAUAGUGUUCAUAGAGAAGAAGAGAGAUGUGUGGAUGGUGGAAGAUCUAUGUUUCUUCUCGGAGAAUUGCAGAAAGAAGUCUUUGGAACAAAGAAGAGCGGGUCAAAGAGGUUCAGCUGGGCCAAGUUGAGCUGGAAGGCCUCAGACCAAGAUGAGUGUGCUGUCUGCCUGGAAAUAUUCAGGCCUCGUGAGACCCUGGUGCACCUGCCCUGUGCACACAGGUUCCAUUCUGGCUGUAUGGUUCCAUGGCUACAGAACAAUGCCCAUUGCCCCUGUUGCAGAAUGGGGAUUGUCUCCCAGUAAAAAUCUCUUUUGUACUUUUGGUAAAAAUGGAAAUUGUAAUCUAGAUAAAGCUUUUCCAGUUAUAGUUAUAGAGUUGGUCUGAGCAAUUAGCUUGUAUCUAAUCUACCAUAUCUUAGUUUUUCUUUGGUUGAAGUGAAAAGUUGCCAAGUAGUCUUUGAUUCCCCAAUCAUGGUAAAUACUUAAAGUUAAUUAGAAGCUGCAACAUGUUGUUAGGCCCAUAUAAUUCCUCCACUUGCAUGAGAAAGGGAGGGAGGGAGCUUCUUGUCAUCUUCCAUCCUUGAAGGAUGAAAAAUAGACAAGGUAUUUUGUUUGACAAGACUUCAAUUUGUGAAACAAAUAAGUGGAUGAAUCAAAUUGCACAAGAGAUCACUGUCUAUCCAUUGUUUUCUUCCCCCAACCUAAAAUUGAAUACCAGAUGAGAAGAUGCACCACUCACUCAUCAUGUGGGCAGUGGGCCAAGAACAGCUUCAUUAUUUUGGGACAAUCUUUGCUGUCUUGUCUGGUCGACCUAUUUUUUUUUUUUGUUUUAGUGGAAAUUAUUUGUGGUCGUACUAAUCAAAUGACAUAUCUUGGCUGUAAAUUAUGGGAAGCAAAAUGACCAUUCGGCUAAGUAAGUGGUAGAUGAGAUUGUUAUAAACAAUUGCAACAUUAUAUGAUACCUUGAAGAUGGAAUGUCAUUUUCAAGAUUGGGAUAGUAAAGAAGCUGGCAUUGCUAACUAGGAUUCCAUCCUAAUUUGGCUAAACUUUUCUUCUUUUCUUCCCAAACCCACCUUUCCUUUUUUUUGUUCCUUUCACUGGCUAGCUGGACUUCACUACAGAUUAGAUUAGAUCCUAAUCUUUUGUCUUGAUUAUUAAUGGAGAGAUGAUUUGUUGAUUUUUAAGAUAAGCUUUGAUUAUUUGUUUAUUCUUUUUUCUUUUGAUUGGAGUGGAGUGUGAGUGAUACAAGAGUCCAAAACGUUUGAAAGUUUUCACAUGUGAUGUGACUCAGACAUAGCCUUCGGUAGCACGUUUGAAAGUUUACCUGUCUGGUUUUUAAAGAGCCAUAUAAUACAAGUUUUGUUUAAAAAAUAACUCAUUUUACACAGCCAGCCUUAAAAAGUUUAGAAAACUAACAUAUUUUAGAUUAUGUCAAGAUAUUGCCAUAAUCGAAAUUGAGUCGAUAUGUGACUUAAUAUGGAGGUUGAGAUGAUGGUACAAAAUUUCGAAAUCUCAAAUAACACUUCGACCUAAUUUUGAUAAUGUCAAGUUCAAAACAAGUUAGUUUCUAAAUUUGAAGAAUUAAAAUAUCUAUUUUUCAAAUUUUUAGGAAUAAGAGAAGGUGAAUUUUGCACAUAUCUCCCCUACCAAAGGCUAAGACUAAGAAUGUCAAGGCACCUUUUGUAGGGGAAGAAAACACUCUAUUAUUGCCAAGGGAAACGUACCAAAACCGACGACGUUUCAUCAACCGCAUAUUUCAUUAUUUUGCCACCAUGUGAUUUUACCUUUUUAGGCUCUCCGCAACGGCUAGUUCCUAGUGACCGUUUCCCGUCUUCCCAAAUUCAAAAUCUGAAAUCGACCUCUAAGUCUAACCCACCAUCAGCUUCACAGUGUGUUUCACUAUACAAACAACGCCCACAAGCCAAAACCAAAAUCACAGCUCUGGCAAUUUGCAGAAACAUUCGAUCUCGCUUAAACCCAUUUAGCAAUUCAAAUCAAGAUCCCAGAAUUUCAAGAAUGGUGUAUUCAUACGCACCCACAUACUACUCUACUCUCCAUGACUCGGUGACCAACUUAUGCAAGACCAUUCUUCCUUUCAGCUUCAAGAAACGGAGGUUGCCAGCUGCAGAGCACAAGCUUUCAAAGCUGCAAUCAGACAAUCUCAAAUGGCAGCAAGACUCUUUCCACCAGAUGUUAAAUUUGAUGGGUCUUCAUAAAGAAGGCAUUUUGGCUGAGACUGAGGUCUCAGCUUUCCGCUCGCAUUUGCUUGACACCCUAAUCGCCUCUCCCACUGAGCGUGAACAAUCGGCUAUAUUGAGAGACAAGUUGCUAUUCUUGCAGGUAAACCAGUCUUCCCUUUUUUCUUCUUCUUCAUUUUCCUUUCUUUCAUUGUGUUUUCUAAGUAACCAAACGGGAAUAAUUAAUUAAUGAAGCUUUAAAUCUUUAGGAACUUUUGUAUGCAAAAUGCAUAUCUGAAGAUGAGUACCAUUCUUCCAAGAGGCCAUUGCUGCAACGAUUAGCAGUACAGGGAGCUGAGAUUGAGGCCAGAGAUGUAAUUGUUGCAGGGCUACCACCUAAGGACCCAAAGGAGAAUACUGAUCAAGAGCAGUGGUCUGUCAUUGACUUAAAGGAUGAGAAAUGCUUGCUAAACAAGGACAAAGAUAAGUCAAAUUCGAAGAACAAAUCGAAGCAUGGCUCUGCAAUGAAGCAAAUUAAAGGAGCAGCUUCAGUUUUGGGCUUUGUAUCACCUUACAAACAGGGGAAAAGCAGAGAAGAAAGGAGCAUAUUCGAUUUGCCCGAGUCGUCGAAAGUGUCUUCCUCUAGCUCUUCUAAGCAUGAAUUAGGAUAUCAUUACAAAGAAAAUGAGGCCAGGUCGAUUCUCAUGCCAGAAAGCUUGCCACAGGAGCCGGUGAAAGAAAGUGGCAGCUCAGAUAGAACAAGGAGGAAACCCUUUAAGAAUCUGUUUCAGAGAGAGCAGAGAGAGGGACAUGGUGUUGGAGGUGGAGGUGGUAAUCAUGGUCAUGAAAAUGAACAAACACCUUCCAAAUCAGCCAAAAAGCAAUGGGGUUUUGAUGGAUUCAAGAAAUGGAAGAGAAGUGACUCGGAGGAUGAGACAACUCCUUUGCCUCUUAAUGAAAGAUCGGAUAGUGAGGUUCACUUGAAGCUUGUCUCAAGCCCCAUGGGUGAAGGGCCGGACACUAAGCUUAUAAAAAGGAAGCUGCUUUCUGAUGGUUCUCCUUCUGAUUUCUUCAUUGAUAAGGUAGCAAAUCUUUAUUUCAAUUUCUUAUUCUUUGGGAUAAUAUUUGAAGCUUGAGCUGAAACUGAACUUGGUCAAUUUGUUCUUAAUAUGAAGGUUUUAGGGGAGAAGAUAAAAAAGGAGCUGUCAAGAAUUCAGACAGAGCUUUGCACUUCAAAUCCAAAUCUUAAAUUUUCGUAAGCCUCUUCUAUUAUCUGACAUUUGGUGACUAUUUAGUAUGUGCAUUGUAUUGAAAAGCAAUCUUUCUUUCACAAAUAUAAUCAGGAAUGACCAAAUCGAAGCGAUUUCCACCAAGCUUCCCGUCGACAAGGCAGACCUGAAGAAGUUCUUUCCCAAGUGAGCAAACUCUCUCUUUUUGUGCUGUUUCAUCCUCCAGUAUUUGAGCAUAUAAGCUAAAACCAUCACACUUACACUUCUUAUUUAUUUAUUUACUCUUUUAUUUUCGAUGUUUAAGGUCAUGGUGUGAUCGGUAUGGAGAUGUUGUUUUGGAUGUGGUGAAAAAAGAAUUCAAGGACCAUGUUGGGGAGAUGGAGAGCUUGAGAAAUGCUGCCAGAGAGAAACAUGGCAUGAACUCAGCUCGAUGGACGACAUUCCAAGACGAUGAGGAGAAUUGUCACCCGAAUCUCUUUGCUUCCGGAGAUCAUUCACACCAUACUUCGAAGUUCCAUGAAACCAAUCCUUUCUGCGAUGAUCACACUCCUAGUGAUGGAAGGAAGCUGAGAUCUAAACCAGCUUUUACACAAGACCACCAGAAUCCCUUUUGGAUCCCAGGGCAUGGCUAUUGAUGAGGACACACAUAUUUUGGGUUUAAUCCCUUUUCUAAGAGUAUUGGUAUUAUCAGUUUAUUGGUGUAUUUUAUUUUGAUUGUCAAAUUGCUGAAUGUGUAUGAACUUUGAGAGAAGAUCUCUGUUCUCCAAGUAAUUCAAACUCUAUGUCUGACUUGUAAAUUUAGGGAAUGUAACAUCCUCCUAUUGUUCGGAAUUUGAUUUGCUCCUGGGGGUUUACCUUUUUUCUAAAUUAGAUAUAUAUCAGCAAUCCAACUCUAAUUUAUCUACUAAUUUAACUCUUUGCUGCAUGCUAAAGGGCCUUGAUACAAAUAUCAAAGAUGCGUUUGAUAGAUGCACAUUCAUACAAUUAUCUCAUUUUCUGCAUCUCUAUACAAGUACUACAAAGCCGCAUCAUGAGAAAAAGAUGCUACAAUAUUGUGGAUCGUGGAAAAUUCUGAUACAAGUUAGUGUUGGAGGACAGAUAACAUGUCAUUGUAAAAGCGAAGAACCAUCAUAACUAUUUACAUCAAUACGUACAAUUAUAUCAAACAGAAGAUAUCUCCGAGUUGGAGACGGAACAGUCAGUGAUGACGCCCUCACGAACAUCUCCUCGGCAAAGUGGACAAACGCUGUAAGAGGGAGGAAAGAGGCAGUAGGGAAAGAACAGAAAGACUUUCAGUAUGAAACAAGGGAAAUGAAGGACAAUCAUUUGAAAGUGGUGGGGGGGCAAUGACAAUACCCGUGUAUCUCUUUGAGCCACUUAUCAACACAUGACAUGUGAUACUCAUGAUGGCAAGGAAGAACUCGAAUUUUGUCCCCUUCCUCAUACUCAGCGAGGCAUAUGUAACACCUAUCAAUUAUUAACUCACCAUGAUCAAACAAAUGCAUUAAAUAAGAAAACACUGAAUCCCACAAAUCAGAAAACACUCAGCAACACCAAACCCCCCCAACCAAGAGAAAAAUAGGCAUAAAUUAAAUAAAACUUACUGUGCAACAUCAUCCCCAGACUUUAAUGUGUCAACCUCUGUGUGACUCUUAAGAGGAAAAGAGUCAACAACAGAUGCAGGGGCAGGGACUGAGACCAUAGAUAGUGAAAGUGACACAGGUUGGCGAUGAAUUUCAUCCAAAACCUGCACGUCAUACAUUACAACAAAAUUAUGUUUAAAAAGUGAUAGUGAAUGAUUGCAUGCAGCUAAAAGCCAUCAAAGAGGCCUCAAAAUGAAUAAUAUACCAAACUCAGACCUAAGUUUUAACCCCAAAACAGGAGAAAAUUACAUAACUACAGGGAUAAUUAACAGCCGCCCCAGGUAAAAAGUGAACAAAACAAAAGGCAAUAACUUAUUUUAUAAAUACCCUCCUCACUCACAUUAUAACCACCAAUGGUUCUUUUUACAAAUCCGAUCUACCAAACAAGAUUCCGGGGGCCACUAGAGGAUUUUAGCUCUAAAAACAAAAGCACAUACAAGACAAGAAUAACAUAACAUGGAACUCAUGGAUCUUAAACCGUUUGAAUUAGUAUAGGUCAAGACCCAAGAAAUUUGAGGACAAUAUGAGAAGACAUAAUCAUGACAAGGAAAGAAAACUAAAACAGAGAAAAUUACCUCAAAUAGAGCUUCAGCAAGCAUGACAAUUCUUGAUAUACUUGCCCGAGUACUAGACUCUUCGGUCAAGAACGAGCCACAUGAGCACAUGCCACGAGGGUGGAUUCCUGUAGGACAGGACGUAUUACGCUGACUAUUGUCAUCAAGGCCAACACGAAGUCUUUCCCAGACCUACAAAGAAGAGUCAUGCCGAUGCAAAUCAAUAAAAGUCAUUGAGAGAACCCCGAAAAAAUAAGAGCUGUUACAAUUCAUAGAUUCUUCGCCCCAUAAAAACAUUUGGAUAAAACAUUUAAUGAAGGAAAUAUUAAAGUACCGUUGAUGAACGACAUGUGAGUAAACAAAUAAAUGAACAUGCAUAUACUGUUGAUACACAUAGGAGCCAAAAAUCUCCCGAAUGAAUGGAACCAAAGAGUCCAAAAAGCCCUAAUUUCAUAUCCAAGUUAAGCCACAUAAUAAACUUUUAAUGUCUAAAAGAUCACCUCGGAUCUAGAAUGCCGUCGUCGUUCAUUUGAGUUGGGAAUUCUAUUGCCCUGGUAACCAGAAUCAGCUCCAAUCCCAUCAUCGAAAAAAUCACCACUCAAACCAAGUAGCCAUCUGUCAUGAAAUCCUAGAUCCUCAGUAUCAUCAGUAGAUAAAAGAAUUGUUGGAGAAUCAAUAAACCUUCUGGAACUGCGUCUUGAAAAUGCAUCCCAGAAUAGUCGUCUGCCAUUCCUUCUGGCCUCACGAUUACUUGCAUCAGCAUUGCUUCUAGACAAAAGGUUGGAAGAAAUACUCAUGACAUCAACAUGAAGUAUACUUCCAUCUUCCUCGCCUUGUUCCCUAUUGGACACAAGGAAUCCUAAACCAGAAGGUAUUGCCUCUCGAAGGGAAUCAUUUCCAAGUGAGUGAAAAGACGAUGGUGUUUCAGAAACACGAGCAGCUUCUGUAUCAGCAUUAGAACUAUGGGCAGCCAUUACUUCAGCCACAUGAUUCUCAACAGACACUUCAGUAGAGCGGGAAUUCCGAAUCCCCUGUGGAGAGGAACUACUUGGACGCAUAACCUCAGGACAGGUCUGAGAUACAUUCUUGUCUGCUGAAUUACCAAUGCCAUUGACUGCAUCCAUAUUAGCGGAACAAUUCACAGAGACUGGGUCUGAAGAUUGUUGUUCUUUAAACGAAGUACUAGCUGUAGUACUAUUAUCCCUACAAGAUUCAUCAUGACUAUAAUCGGCACUUACCUGAUGAGGAGAUACUAGUUCUUUGCUUUUGGACAAGCACUUCCCCUGGUUACUUGUAUGAACACUGCUUAAACCAUCUUCAAAAUAAGUAUUCUGACUGGCUGCAACAGUGCUCUCAGAUGAUGAUCCAAUUUCAAUAAUGGGGCAGGUGAACCGUGCCCCUGUACUGGAGACCAACGAAGUUCCCUCUGUGGAGUUCCGAACUUGAUUAAUAUCCAGAUUACGUUGCUCUGCAUAUUUCACAAGACACUCAGCUGGAUGAUCUUCCAUCUGCAGGAAAAACAACUAAACAAAUCAGUCUCUUUCCAUAAUCUAUAACUACCAAGUACAAAACUAAUUAGAAAUAUAGCUUAUAUCUACUAACUGAAUCAUGAAAUGUUUAAGGAUUCAGGUAGAAAAGGCCAUAUUUAAAUUCGGAACCCUCAAUUAUAUGACCCGAUGAACUAAAUCCCCAACUUUUUUUCAACAAGAGCAUCACAACGAUAAUGGGGACAAUAUUUGCGUUUACAGGUAAAUGAUAAGUCAAAGAAUAACUACGAUAUUACCGAGCACGGGGCCAACCUACUGCAUCAGCUGGCCAAAUCCCAUAUCAUUUUUCUUCGAUUGCAAAUUGAAUUUGAGGAAAAUAAAACCCCAAAACAACUUAUUUUAAAGAAAAAUGCUUAAAAGGCUUUAAAACUUGCACUGGUUUGUUUCAUGAUUAUGAUAGAGGUAUCUAUAUUUUGCACCAGAUGAUGAAAUCCCAAAUCAUCGAAAAACCAAUAAAAAUCGAAUUUUGCAUUCAAAAAGGUCAAAAUGAUGAGAAAUCCAAAAAUGGGUAUUGAAAAUUGAAUUAAAGACAUCAAAUUUAGUGGACGACGAUGAAGAAGAAUAAGAAGAAGGUACCUCGUAAGUAGAACGUGAGGAGGAGCCACCACAGACGAAAGAGGAGAGUAUGGAACGAUUGGUGGUGCGAUUGACUCGGGCCCGUGAUGGGCGGGAGCCCAGUCGACUACUGCUCGAACCCAUUUUAGAGAUUAGAGAGAGAACGCUUGAGAGUUAAGAAGUGGAGGAGGAGGAUGUUGUUGAUGAUAAUUGAAGCACACCAGCUGAGAUAGAGAGAGAGAGAGAGACAGAGACAGAGAGACUCAAGAGGAAGCUUUCUUUCUUUAUUUCAAAUUCAAUUAUUUUGUGGACUUCCGUAUCAUUGCGGUAAAGACUUUUUUUAAUAUUUCUUUUGCCGGAAAAAAGACUUUUAACUAGUAAAUAUGUUCCUCUCCGCGUCAACAUAUUUUAUUGUCUAUGAAGAAUUACACUUACUUAUUUUUUAGUACAAGUAAAUGUGGAAAAAUUGGCUGAAAACCUAACAUGAAAUAUUUGAGUCUGAAAAUAUUAAGGAUCCACCAAACCGGUCAUGGGUUUUUGGGCUGAAGUCAACUUCUUAGUAUGAUUGGGCUCUCGAGCUCGUUGGAAUUGUAUACUUUGCCAAGCUUGAUCCAUCAAGUUUUUGGGCCUUACUCGCCGAGUUUUGGCCCCAAGACAUUUAAAACGAAAAAAAAAAAAGGAAGUUUUAAAGCCGAGUCAUGGCAUGCCAUCAUUGCCAUGUGCUGCGUGCACAAUAAUAAUUGAAGCACAGUACAGCUUGUGAGAGAUGGGGGGUACGUGGUUUGUUUUUGGUCGAAGGGAGGGUUACGUGGUUGGUUGGAACUUGGAAUAUAUAUACGUCCGAAUCUGACAGGGGAGUCUGUGGAUAUAUGACAAUGACAUGAUCAAUUUAUGGCCAUGUAAUUUGUAAUCAGAAAUAAAGUAGAAAAGUAGUUUGGGUUAUGACUGAUCGAUAUGAAAUUGGAAUUGAAUUGUAGGUAGGAAAAGGAUCAUGCAUUAGACUAGUAGCUGAUGAAGAUGAAAGACACGUUUGCCCUCUACAGAAGAAGCACCAUUCUGCCCUAGCUCAGCUUUAGCUUUUUAUAUAAUUUAUAGCCACGAACCUACUUCUACUUGUGUGUGCAUAAAGAAAGAGCAAAAGCACUUUAUUCACUGCUAUAAAAUCCAAAUCCAAUUCUUAAUCUUAAUCCAGCAUUAUAGAGAUCGAGAAAUAUGCCAGACCAUCCACCACCACCGCAGGGGCACGGGCAUGGUCAUCCAGGUCCUCCUCCUGGUCCUCCUGGUCAACCUCCUCCUCCGGCGCAAGGCGGCCAUGGCCCUCCUCCUCCUCAGCCAGGACCCCCUUCAGCUCCCCCUGGCCCUCCUGAACCACACAAGCCACAUCCACAUGAUCCCCAUCAUGAUCAUUGCCACCACCACCACCACCCAUGAAUCUUCAUCUAAUAUGUAUGCAUGCUAGCUAUAUAUAUAGCUUGCUAAGCAGAGGUGUUGUAAUUAUAUAUGUAAUUUCUAGUUUUAACUAGCUUGCUCUCAUCUCAUCUCAUCUCAUCUCAUCUCAUCUCAUCUCAUCUCAUGAUCAUGGAUUGUAAUGACAUUAUCGGCUCUAGCUAGCUAAGAAAUCACUAUCACAGUGUGUUUAUGUACCAAAAAAAGGAUGCUGAUUAUCCAUCUAAAAUAAUAAUGAGAUGACUGAUCUUGUGGGUUUUCCUUUCACUUUUGUUUGGUAAUAACUGACAGUUUUUCCUUUGUUUUACACCAAAAUUCUUUUCCCAAGAAAGAACUUGCAAAGCAGAGCAGACCAAAAAUGCUUAGCAAAGCCAAAAACCCAAACUAACAAGGCAAUCCACAGAGGACAGCAUGAUAAUUAUUCUUCUUUUAUAAUUUGAUAUUUGACUUCAUAAAUGAAUAUAUCUUAAUUAACUACUGCUGCAAGAAAGUGAACAAAAGAAGUGCAUAACAUGGUGGUGUUAAGUGCUCACCCCAGGUUCAUUGAGUUUUUGAAGUACGAAAAAAAAUAUAUAAAAAUAAAAUAAAAUUAUAUAUAUAAGCUAUUGUAAAUAUUAGGCAGAAACUGUUAAUUAAGACAUCUAAUUAUCUCUAAUAAAAUCAAUGAACAUAGUGCUUUAAGAAAAUAUUAAAAUAAUAUUAUUGUUUAAUUGAGUGGUCAAAUGAAAUAUAAAUCCAAAUGAUGUUAUGCAUAGAUGAUCUUUAAAUGAAUACCUAAAAAAUAAACGAUUAAACUAAUUAGGAUAAUUGAAAUACAAUGCAAAAUAUGCCUUACGAAGUGUUUCUCAAAUAAGCCUAUUUAACUGAAAUUCUGUGUAUAUAUAUAUAUAUAUAUAUAGUGCCCCGAAAUUAGAAGAUGUAUGUAUAGUAAUAGUAUAUAUAUCAUCCUAAUUUUUGCGACCUAUAUAGAAAAGUUAAAGAUGAUGUUGGUAUACGCAUAUGAUGUUGUGGUUGUUGGUGUUGUCCUAUCCUAAUUCAGAAGCUUUUCUUUUCUAAAAUAAAAGUGGGGCCGUUGGAGGUCGUUUUCCACUUCAAGUGGGUUUUGCCGACGCCGUUUCCAAUUUCCUUAGACUUGUACUUUUCUCUUUAACAUUAUUACCAAACAAUUUCUUUGUUUUAUCUUGAAAAAGAUGUAAUUAAUAAUAACACAGCAUGGCCCUUUCUUUUCCUUAUGGAGGAAAAAUUACUAGAUUGUUUUAUCUUGAAAAAGAUGUAAUUACUAACAGGAAAAAAAAAACAAAAUUUAUUUUGUCCUCUUUUAAGUAGCUAGAUGGAUAGGAUAGAAUUAUAUAUAAUUAAUAGGAAAGAUCUUUAUUUUUCAUUUUUUAUGUGGCACCUCUUUACGGUGAUGAAAAUCAUCUAGCUAGUGAGGAUGUGGACAUUGCUUUGUGUUUUGUAUUACCGACAAUAAAUAUUGCAUUAUAAAAGCCACUGCUUUCUUCAACAAUUCGCCACAUCAACAUUCAACCGCUCAACAAGUAAGAAUCACACCAAGAGUAAGAGUCUCUCUGCAACUGCAACAACCAAUUCAAGAAGAUGCACCGCCCAGGAGCCGGCCCUCAUGAUCAUGGCCAUGGACCUCCAGGCGGCGGUCCAGGAGGCCAAGGUGGCGGUCCUGGAGGCCAAGGAGGCGGUCCAGGAGGCCAAGGAGGCGGGGGUCCAGGAGGCCAAGGCGGAGGCGGUCCAGGAGGCCAAGGCGGAGGCGGUCCAGGAGGCCAAGGCGGAGGAGGUCCAGGAGGCCAAGGGGGUGGCGGUCCAGGAGGACAUGGCGGAGGAGGUCCAGGAGGACAUGGCGGAGGCGGUCCAGGAGGCCAAGCCGGAGGCGGUCCAGGAGGCCAAGGCGGAGGCGGUCCAGGAGGCCAAGGUGGAGGCGGUCCAGGGGGGCACGGUGGCCGCUGAUAAGUUAACGAUGACGGGCAACAAGACUUGUGGUGUACUAAUAGCUAGUAGUACGCAGUCUAUAUAUGAUGAUAUAAUGAAGUUGAUGAUGAGAGUAAUUAGCUGAUAUAAUGAUAAUGUUGUGUUUGUUAUUAAUUAGUAAUGUUUUUCUAAUCAUGUUGGGUGAGAUCCUUCCCUUCCCCGGCCAUCUCCAGUAGCUCAGUUUCAGCUAACUGGAGAAGAGGAGGGCGGUUUAUGUAAUACUAGUGUAUGAUGCAUGCAUAUAACAAUAAAAUGAAGAUGAUAUAUACGUUGCCCUUCUAUUCGUUUUAGUGCUUUAUAUUUGUGUGUGUGAGAAUGAGUCUUUUGGUUUUUACUUUCACUUUUGUUUGGUGUAACCUACAGUUUUUACUCUGUUUUACACCAAAAUUCUUUUCCCUUGUGUUUUUGUUUUUUAAUACGUCAAGAAAAGAACUUGCAAAGCCAAAAGGCCCGACCUGCACCCAGGACGAUAUUCAAUAUUAAUAUACCACAACUAAUUAACUAUAAACCAAAUUAACAAGGCAAUCCAUAGAGGACAUCAUGAUAAUUAUUCUUAUUUUAACAAACCUUAUAUAAUAGUUAUUUUCGGAAGUCUACAAAGUUAUUAUUGUGCCAAUACUAUUGUAAAUAAAAAAGAAAGUAAUGAAGAAUAUUAAAAAAAUACAUGACAUCCACACAAUAAUAACGUCUAAACGUUCGUAUAUGAGAAUUUCUCUAUAUAUAAUGGCAAGAAAAUGAAAGAUAUAGAUUGUUCUAAUUUGAAAUUUGAUAAAAACAAACAAAAGGCUUCGUGUGAUGCACAUGUAACAUGUUUCAGAUGGACAGUAAAUGUUCUUGUAAUAAUAUUGUCCUCUUUAGUCAUUUUAUAGUAGCUAGAUGGAUAAGAAAGAAAAUAUCUUUUAUAUGUGGCACCUAUUUACGAUGAUUGAAAAGCAUCUAGCUAGCUACCAUGUGGAAGUCGCUUUGUACCGGCAAUAAUAUUGCAUUAUAAAAUCCUACUGCUUUCUUCAACAAUUCGCCACAGCAACAUUCCACAACUCGACAAAGUAAGAAUCAACUCCAAAAUAGUCUCUCCGCAACUGCACUGCAACAACCAAUUGAAGAUGCACCGCCCCGGCCAUCAUGAUCAUGGCCAUGGACCUGGGGGCGGUCCAGGCGGACCAGGCGGCGGUCCGGGAGGACCAGGUGGACCAGGUUCCCAUGGACCUCCAGGCGGCGGUCUAGGAGGACCGGGAGGACCAGGCGGGGGUCCAGGAGGACCGGGAGGAGGUUGGGGAGGACCAGGAGGACCGGGAGGCGGUUGGGGAGGUCCAGGAGGCGGUGGUCCAGGAGGACCGGGCGGCGGUUGGGGAGGUCCAGGAGGCGGUGGUCCAGGAGGACCGGGAGGAGGUUGGGGAGGACCAGGAGGCGGUGGUCCAGGAGGACCUGGCGGCGGUGGUCCAGGAGGACCUGGCGGCGGUGGUCCAGGAGGCCUGGGAGGCGGUGGUCCAGGAGGCCCGGGAGGCGGUGGCCCAGGAGGACCAGGCGGCGGCGGUCCAGGGGGACAUGGUCGCUUCUGAUGGGCAACAAGACUUGUGGUGUACUAGUAGCACGUAGUCUAUAUAUGAUGAUAUAAUUAAGUUGAUGAUGAGCGUAAUUAGCUAAUAAUGAUGAUGUUGUGCUUGUUAUUAAUUUCUAGUUAGAGUUUUGGUAAUCAUGUUGGGUGAGAUCCUUCCAUUCCCCGGCCAUCUCCAGUAGCUCAGUUCAGCUAGCUGGAGAAGAUAAGGGCGGUUCAUGUCAUACUAGUACUACUGUAUGAUGCAUGUAAUAUAUAACAAUAAAAUUAUUAUGAUAUGAUUAUGUUGCCCUUCUAUUCUUUAUAUUUGCGUCAGCGAGACAGUGAGAGAUUGCUCUUUUAUUAUAGACUACCGAUUGAUAUGUUUAUCUUUAUUCUUCAUAGUUAUAUAUAUAUAUAUAUAUAUAUAUAUUAUCUAACAUAUAUAUACAUUUAAACGAACUUUAAAUUUAACUGAAUACACUUUAAUAUUUAAAUUAAAAUAUAAAAUUAAUCAAAAAUAUUUUAUUUAACUAUUAAAAAUAUUCAUGAUAUACCAUAUCACACAACACCAAACUCAUUCGAGAGCUAGCUGCUGCAUUUCUCCUUCACACAAACUUGGUGAUAUAAAGAUAUCAAAGGGGGAUUUGCUGUGAUCGUGAUAGAGAAAUUUUUAUGUUACUCUUUUAAGGUUGCUAAAUUCGUUAGAGAGGAGCAGGGUAUAUUUGGACUGAUAUGAUCAAAGCUUUGCAGUUUCGGCUUAACUAGCCUUUGAUUAAAGGGCCUUCUACAGCUUCUUUUUCAUUUUUCUGAUUUGUAAUAAUUCUGUGAAGGACAUGGUGUAAUUAGCUAACUCUUGAUUGGGUUUGAAUGAGUCGUAGUGAAGCCAAGUUAUAUUGUUUUCUAUUUUGAGUCUGGCUUUUCUGGUCUGGAGGCUUUGAAGUUGAUACUGGUAUUAGGUGACUUGCCGAUGGUUCUUUGAUUCAUCAGUCGAUCAAAUUUUCAGAUGAAGCAAAUUGUUACCAAAGCUUCUUCUAUUACCCAAAAAGCAAAGAAUGGUUUGGAAACUCACACAAUGGUAAUGGUAGGGUGUACUUAGUAACAUUUGUUUCACAAUCAAUAUAUCUUUUAUGGUAAUUUUAUAUUAGAGUAAAUUAGUAAUUUAAUGAAUAGUUUAGUAGUAGAACGUACUCAGUUAAUUUUAAAGUUCGUUUAAUAGUAUCCUUGAUUUAUCGGCUCGUUUAGAUUACAAAUUUUGAAGAAAUUAAGGUAAAAUGGUAUAGCAAAGAAGAUAUAUAUUUGAGGUGAAGAUGAAGAGUGGCAUGAAGAACCAGUUUGUUGUCAAUCAAGAUUCAAAUAGUUGCCAUCAGAACUUCUAUGUGAUACUUUUUAAAAUUAUGAUCACCUAAUGUAGAUUGCAGAGCCAUUGGAGAGAGGACUUGCGGAGGACAUUGACACAAGGUACCUAACAUUCUAUUAGACGAUACACUUCCAACUGAAGUUGACAAAAGCUUGCUGAAUGCUGUGAAGGAUUCGAUUGUUCAAGGGUAUUUGAAAUGAAUUCUUCUUCUUUUGCCGGUUAUUGUUGUUUCAGUUUAUUGCUUACCAUAAUGUUAUGGUGGACAGGUUUCAGUGGGGGAGCUGUACAUAGAUUUUCUGAUUGAUUUCUGAUGCUGUUGUUUCAGACGACUGUUUUUCUGCAAUCUACACUGUUCUAUCUCGCAGGCGUGGGCUUAUAUUGUUACUGUUUUUUGGUAUCCUCCUAAUUCCAUACAAAAAUAACAAACCAGUAACAUUGAGAUUGUUCUUCUCUGUAAUCCAAAGGUGGAUCAUGCUUCUGCUACUGCUGCUGCUGCUUGCUAAUUAUUUUUUCACUUUAAAAUUCAACUGAGAAUGCCACUGCCACGUUGACAUCACACACAGAUGGAUGCUCUUGCUGCUGUAAAUGCCAAUGAGAUCCAUUUCUGCGUUACGCGGCACCUUCCAAAAGUAUAAUUAAACCAAAUAUUCGUCCUCAAUGGGCAAUUAUUUUCAGAUACGACAAACGACCCUAUGGCCAAUUCGCAAAUAUUCCAAAAUACAUAAUGUCGUUUAUUUACUUUUUACGUUUGCACUUGUGGUUCACAUGUGUUUGAAAGUCAAAGCACAACCACUCUUAUCUUCCCCUUUCUUUCCGUCUCUCCAAAAAUUCUCCAGUCUCUCAGCAUCUCACCAGCGAUGGUGAAGACGAGAAAAUGAAAGAGCUUAUCAGAGCUCUGGUGGAAGACUUAGAUAUUGGAUCACACGAAGCCAAUACUGUAGCUUCGUCGUCACCUUCUUCCCCUCUGCUUACGACCCUCCGCCUCAAUCAGAGAUUGAUAGGAAAAGAUCAGGUAAAACAUUAGGGUUUUAUACAUUUUUCCUUCUGUUUUUAUUUUUUGCAGUCGGUGAAUUCUCUGUGCAACUAAAAACUCCAACAUUUUGGAUCCACCAUCUUUCUCCGUAAUUAUAGUUACUGUAUAUCUGAGCAUUCUGUGUAGCUUUUUGUGUGUAGUACUAAUUGCAAAAUAUUGAGUUCAAUAGACAAUGCAAUCCAAAACCUCAAGCCUAGCUCCAGCUCUCAACUAUUUCCCAACCCUCAAACCCCCACACAAAACUCUAGCUUUCCACCAAUUUUCAGUCCUUAUCAUCACCUUCCUUGCCUAUGCUUCGUUUCAUGCCUCUAGAAAGCCCCCAAGCAUUGUCAAGAGCGUGCUUGGACCCACAAUUCAGUCCAAUACCAGCUCAGCCGAUACGGGGUGGGAUCCCUUUAACGGUCCCCAUGGUGCCCACAGGCUAGGAGAGCUUGAUCUUGCAUUUCUUUCUGCGUAUUCGAUUGGAAUGUACUUUGCAGGGCAUGUCGGUGAUCGGAUUGAUUUGAGGUUGUUUCUCGUGUUUGGGAUGAUGUGUAGUGGCAUUUUAACAAUAUUCUUUGGGUUAGGAUAUUGGUUUGGUGUUCAUUUGUUGGGGUACUUUAUGGCUGUUCAAGUACUUUGUGGGUUAGUUCAGUCAAUUGGGUGGCCUUGUGUGGUAGCAGUAGUGGGAAACUGGUUUGAGAAAGAAAAGAGGGGGUUGAUCAUGGGGGUCUGGAGUUCACAUACCUCAGUUGGAAACAUUAUUGGUUCAGUUGUGGCGUCUGGGGUUUUGGAAUUUGGAUGGGGUUGGUCCUUUGUGGUGCCUGGGGUUUUGGUCAUUUUGGUAGGCAUUUUAGUGUUUUUGUUUCUUCCCGUGAGUCCAGAACACUUGGGAUUUGAGUCUUUGGUAAAGGAGAUUCAGAUGAAUGUGGAAGUUAAAGGCAUAGAGAAUUUGGAGGGAAAAGUGGAAUCAGAGGAAGCAGGUCUUCUUGGAACAGAGAAUGCAGAUGUCAAUACAGGUGCAGAUUCUUUGGCUGCAAUUGGCUUUUUGGAGGCAUGGAGGUUACCGGGCGUGGCACCAUUUGCUUUCUGCCUAUUCUUUUCAAAGCUGGUGUCUUACACUUUCUUGUACUGGUUGCCCUUUUACAUAAGGCACACAGGUACUUCCUCCAGUUAGAUUUUUAUAUAUGACUUUGAAAUUGAAUUGUUGGGAUCAUCUUUUGAUAUCCCAUUAUGGUUGAACUGCUUCUUUGGAUUUCAUGUUUGAGUUUUUUUGUUCAAAUACACCAUCAUGGAUUGUCAUGAAAAUGGCCGUCCUCAUCACAAUUCACAAACAAUCCAGAGCAUUUAAAAUUGGACACAUAUUGCAGUUCUAUACUCUUAACUGUAACAGCGCCUAUGUUUGUAUGUGUAUGUCUUUAAAAUCCAAAAUUACCCUAGGAGGAUUAUCUUCUCGUAUUCAUCAUAAAUUUUGUUUCGCCUUGCAGCUGUUGCUGGUGUGCAUUUGUCACACAAAACUGCUGGGAAUCUUUCAGCCAUAUUUGAUAUUGGAGGAGUCUUCGGUGGAAUUUUAGCUGGAUUGAUAUCUGAUAUGAUUGAAGCUCGAGCUGUAACGUCAAUUGCAUUUUUGUUGCUUUCGGUUCCGGCCCUUGUUUUCUACCGGGUAUAUGGAAGCCUAUCUAUGGUUGCCAACAUUCUUUUGAUGUUUCUUUCUGGAUUGCUGGUGAAUGGCCCAUAUUCACUAAUUACCACAGCCGUUGCUGCUGAUCUUGGUACCCAGACAGUGAUCAGAGGAAAUUCCCGUGCAUUAGCUACUGUAACUGCAAUUAUAGAUGGUACAGGUUCUGUUGGGGCGGCUCUUGGCCCACUUUUAGCUGGGUAUAUUUCCACCACAGGGUGGAACAAUGUAUUUCUUAUGCUAAUUUUUGCAAUUUUCUGUGCAACUUUGUUUUUGAUUCGCAUUGCGAGAACGGAGAUCAAAGGAAAUUUGAAUGAGGGAAAAUGGUCUUUAUAUAGCGUAGGCACACAGUGAUUGAGAUUUUCUCAAGGCAUAUCUUUUUUCUUUUUUUUUCUUUUGUCGUUCUUGUCAUACCAGAAAUGUAGAUUUCAUUCAGAGAGGGGCUAUUGGUGGGGUCAUUUGUGUAUGUUUGUAUCUCAUUGUUUUGUAGCUCAUUCAUUGUUCCAGCUUGUUGGGUUUCUUACCUACGUAGAGAUACGGCUAAUUAAUAAUAAAAAUUCUUCGACGGUUUGGUUCUAUGUUUCUCGUCUCUUGCCUUCUUCCAUCUCGAGUCCCAAAUUCUUUUUGCUCAUUGUAUUGAAUCAAAUUGGUCUCAUAUUAGCGACAAUUAAUCAAGAAGCGUGUAAUUAGCUGUUCCAGUAUGUGAAAUUAAAGUUGCACACAGCAGAAGCAGCCCAUGAAGAAACAAAUGUAUGAUGUUUUGAGCAGUCAAAUAAAAAGCAUUUUAUGCGUCGCUGGCUUUUCUGGUUACAUUAUACAUUCAAAAACCAGUAGGAUGAUCAGAAAACUCCACAAAGGUCAACAAAUCCGAUCAUCAAGGGCAAAGGAACGCACGCACAGUUUUAUAACGAAGUGAAGCUUAAACCUUGGACUUUGUAUAACAAUUAUAAGUAUUACAAAACAUGGAAGGAGUUCUGACAAAUAAAUGUACACUACACAUCUGCAUAUACCUUGAAAAACAAAGGUACAAUAACAGAACAGCCUCUCCACAAAAUCAGGCCUGCCUGUCUACCUCAGUUAUACAACACAAAAUAAGAUUUUAACUCCAUUCUCUGCCAAUAGGGUACAAGUGGUUAUUCCAAAGCCUGAUGAUACGAAUGUCUUCUUUAUCCUUCCAUCUUCUCUGGAACAGAUUGGUGCACCGGAUAUAGAAGGAAGCAAAGUGGCAGUCCCUUUCUGGAUGAAUAUAUAUAUACACAAGCCGAACUCCCAUCCAUUUUCUAAGUAUUAUUGCUACCGGUUCGGACCUUUGCCCAUCAAGGGAACAUCAACUCAUAAACAAGUAAUUCUAUUCUUCUAAGAAGAAUUUGAGAUUCUGAAGUCCUUCAGCAGAAAUGCUUCGUCUGACUCUAGACCUCUCUACCACCACAUGUGGAGGAGGCUCCAAGUGGAAACUCACCAUAACCAGUGUCAAAUUAUCGCUUGCUCCACGCUUUAUUGCCUCCUCUACUAUUUCCUUGCAGCACAACUUCACAUCAUUGUGCUCUUGGAGUCUCCUUCGAGCAAAAUCAACAGCAUUUUGGCUGGUGAACAUCUCCCAUAUUCCGUCACUACCAAUGAUCAAAAACUCAUCAUCCUUGGUCAGUGUCAUUAAUUUGAGUUCUGGUUCAGCACUUAAGGGUCCUCCCCUUUCACCCCCACCCUUCAUUCCUUCAAGAUGCCAAUCACCUAAUGCACGGGUGACACCUAACUGACCAUUUAGAUAACCAUCAUCAAUAUAUCCACCCAAGGAUUCAAUCCGCAUUCUUUCUUUUGUGCAGCAGGGCCUAUGAUCUUUUGACAUUUCUACAGCCGCUCCACAUCGUGACAAUACAGCCCGGCAAUCUCCAGCAUUUGCCACAAGCAAAGACCUGUCCAAAAGGGUAAUUAUAAGCUGAAGCAGACUAGUUGUCACACAAAAGGUCUGAUAAAAACAAAGUAAGCAGUCCCAAGAACGGGGCAUGAGAAUAGCCAAAAGUGCAUAGAUGUAAGAUAAUUAAAUCAAAUGGGGAGAUAUAGGGUGCGGUCAUUCUGAGCCAUUAUGAUCAGUUCAGUCUUCAAUCUCACUAAUCCCGAGUUGCGACCAAGAUUGGGUCACACAACAUCAGUUUUCUUUACUAUUUUUAUUUCUUGUUUUGCUCAUGCAACAGACACAAUUCAUUCUUCAGCAUGACACCACACGAAUUAGCUGAUUAGAUUUUCUCUUAUUCUUUAAUCUGAUGGCCUUGCAGUAAUGAUUAUUUAAGACAUUACUGUUGUAAGUCAACACCUUUAUUACAGAUGACAGUCAACCUACACCGGAAGAAAGAGUCCCCUUACCUCCCAAAUAUCAUUGCAGUGAGUGCAGUUGUUCCAGAUGCAUGGGAAGACUCAAGGGAGCACGUUUUUGCAAAUGCAGCGUCUGUCUCCAUAAAUGACCUUGUUAUCACCUUUUCAAGUUCUAAUGGAAAGUCAGCAUCCUCAACAACUACUCUUGGCAAAUUGUCACGAACAAAUUGUGCUGCAUCCUUUCCUCCAUGGCCAUCAAAUACCUGUUUUUUAUUUUUUAAAUUGCCAUUUACAUCAUCAAAAUCUGAUAAAAUAAAGAGUCUGGAUUGUUAUGCAUGAGCUUUCAUUAAACUGUUGCAAGUACCCUUAAAGUUGUAAAAUUUUGAUUGAACUAUUUAGAAAUUGUCCAAAAAGCCUUUCUUCAUAUUAUUGUUCUCAUUGUAACCAAACCUUGAGAAGUGUUGGGGAUGGUUUGAAUUGUUAUACAAUGGAAGAAGGUGAGAAAACUUACACCAUAGAAGGAGAUAGCUCCCUCACUGAGUACAUUAUAAUCAAACUUUUUAGCUAAGUCACCAAUGCAUAUAUGAGUAUCCUCCAUAUGGGUUCGACCCCCAAUGUCAGACCACUCUCCUGACCGAAGGGAAGGGAACAAGUUCAGCAGGCUCUGUUUUCUGUCUACAACCACUGUAUCCUCACAUAUGCUUUCGAGCUAAAAGACCAACAACAUGAUGGAACUUGAAUCAGAAUGUGACGGAUUGCAAGUUAACAGGUCAAGGAAACAGAUUUCGGAAACACAAGAAAGUAAAUUAGGAAAUUUUUUUCCAAGUAUAAUAUCAACACUCUCCUUGGAAAAAAUGUUCUCAAACCAGAAAAUGAAACUCAAAUCAAUCACAAAAGUUUACAUUGCAUCGAAACAUCAACAUCAUCGGGUUUCCCACAAAAUUGUGGGAUAUUGAAAAACUGUAUAAUGUUGUGAAAUAUCAAAAUCUGUCAACGCAUAAAGAGUAACAUAAAAUGUAAUACAAGACAAGGAACUCAAGGAGCAGAUAAUAAAAGAAGAGAUCCACUACAACACAAUCCAAUAAAAAAAAAACCCUUGAAAAGCAAGAACGUUAGUCAUCACCAUCCGGCUGUGCAGAGCACGAUAAGGAAGUAAAUAAUUUUUGUAAAUGAAUCACCUUCCGACAAGUGAAAGCAAAACAAAGAAUUGCAGCUUAGCUUACUAAAUAGGAAAAACAAUUUCCAAAACAACUGUUUCCCAAAAUGAACUGAAAAUUAGCAGAGCAUGAUUAAGAAAAUAGGAAUUCAAGCAGAAAACUUUCGUGCAUGAUGCAGUAUAAACUAAUGACAACAGUAAAAUUUUGUAGUCUAAGUAAAAUUAUUGAAUAGUGCAAAGAUACAAAAAUGAAAUUGUAAUCACGACAGGCCAAAUGAUUGAAAAAAACAUAAAGAGCAACAACCGGACCACGACCAACUACACACAAAUCCAAUUACAGAAAGAAAAAAAAAUCACAAAGAAAGACCGGCAAAAGAAAGUUUUGUCAAUCAUCAUCACAUAAGAAAACAAAGACCCAGAACUCAAUUUCAACCGAAUGAUCCUAAAAAGUUACAAAAUUGAGACAACCCCAAUAAAGCUAAGCAGUCAAAGAAGAAGAAUUUUUACUUGAAAUGAGUUUAACAUGGUUUUCUGAAGACUGGAGCUGAUGAAAGGAGUUUCCUUGUCCAAAUUGUCCGUCUGGUUGUGCAAGAUUUCACAUUGCAAAGGCCAGUGCUUGUUAUUGUUGUUGGUAUUGAUGUUAUUAUUCUCCAUAUUCCCCAUUUCUUGACCAAGCUGUUCUGCGUCUAUCAAGCACAUGCUUAUGAUGAAAAUGAUAAUGGGUGUGCUCUUCUUAGUGCUCAGUUUCUUAGCGAGUUGCUGAGGGAAUCGGAAAGUAGUAGAAGAUGCAGAGAAAAAGAAAGAUAAAUUUGUGGUGAGAAGAUUCUGAAAAUAUUUGAGUGGAAUGAGGGCCUCUGUUUAUUGUAGUAGUAUUCAGAGAGAGGGAGAGAGAGAGAGAGAGAGAGCGAGAGAAUGAGAAUUCCAGAUUUUUCUGUGAAAGCGUGGCUGAAAAUCGGCUUGUUUGCUGGGUUCUUUGAUAUUAUUCUAUCUUUUCCUCAUUUUCAAUAUUGAAAUGCAGACCCAAAAAACAAAAAACAAAAAAUCCAAGUGCUUUCAUUUGCUAAAUAAAAAACUGUAAUUCAAUAUUCAGAUUAUUUUUGGCAAUUCAAAAAAUGUAUUAAUUUGACUAAAAUGAGAGGAAUGAAUGAUUAAUGAAUAUGACAUCUAAAGGAAACAAAAAGGUGUCCCAUUUGAUAACGUAUUUCUUAACCACUAAUAUAAUUCAUGAAUGUGGUCUUUAAGUCUUAACCACCAGUAAAAUCCGUGGCUUCAUAAACCCUUUUUGACAAGAUAUUAUUGGAUUGGAUGCGUUGCGCAUAUCCGAUCCACCAUCAUAUGCCUUUCUUUUUCUCUUCUUUUUUUCGAUGGACACAUCUGCCUUUCUUUUUGGUCAUAAUAAGCACAUCUGCCUUUCGUUUCACAUUCAUUCACAAUCACAACAGUGGAAUUUAUUUUUUAAGUGCACUAAUAUUAUAUUGGCAUGCUUAUUUAAGAAGUAAAAUAAUUCAAGAAAGGUUUUGCUUGCCAGAAUUAAUAAUUAAAAAAAAAUCUGAAGAUAGGGUUUGGAUAGUUUUCCAAGAUAUAUGCUAGGUUUUGUUAUAAAUAAAGCACAAGACAAACGAGUAGGAGUGGGUAGGUUUGAGACAUUAUCUGCAAAACCAUAAUUUGUCUCAAGCCUAAUUAAUAAGUUAAAAGACAAGUUAUAUUAGGAAGUUUGUUUUUGUUUAAAUGGGGCAAAUAAUUCCUCCAAAAAGUUUGAAAGUGAAUUAAAUGGGAAAAUGAUGAUGCAUGUAAGGAGGAGCUGAUAUUAUUAUGUUUUGCUUGCCCUUUGCCUCUUUCAACUUUCAACGGAGGUCUACUAUACCAUCCACUUCUCUGCAACUUGCCCACUAACACCAUCUUUUUUACAUUUUAAACUCAAUUAUUUUCACAACUCACUGCACUAGACUUGUAAUUUUCCCGUCAAUUAAUUAUUAUUAUUAUUAUUAUUGGUCUCCAAUUUAUUAUUAUUAUUAUUGGUCACAUUGGAGAGGAAAGAAAUCCUUGAAAUUUCGAAUCUGAAUGCCAUGGAGGAAGGGAGAAUCCACUGCCACUUUGGUAGGAACCAUUGGCAAUUAUUUUCAGUUUGCCUAAAAAAGCUUCAUUAUUUGAAAAAAUGGGGUUAGGUUUCCAUGCUUUAUUAUUAUUAUUGGUGUCAUACUCAAGCACUUUUUCCAUGAGAAAGUCAAUCAAGCAAAGCCAAAGAAAGGAGGAGCUCUUCUUCUUCUUCAGGACACUUUCUUUAUACUUUAAAAAAGGAAUCUUCCUAGUAGGCUGCUUGCUUACUCAACACCAAGUGAGACCAAUACGUGGCCUGGUGUCAGUGGGUGCAUCCUGACGUGGCACAACCUUGUCCACCGGAUAUUAUUAGUGCAGCUUGCGGUGGUGUUGCCCAUCCUGCAAAGCUAUUAACUUGGGUUGAGAGAUAUGGGCCUUAUUAUUUCUUGGGUUGGGUUAGUGUGGUAUCUGGGUUGGCUUUAUCGUAAACAAGAAUUUCAUACCCACUUUGCUGCCCAUACCAUUUUAUUUUUGGGCUUCCACAAAGACAACUUGGUAUGCACUCAACUCGCACCAUUAACAAAACAAAAUUAGCCAUCGUUUCAGUAGCCGGGGUGGUGCAGUACUAGCACGCACACGGCAGACCUGGUGGUUGUGGUAACAGCUGCAACUACAAUGACAUAAUUGCAAUGUUCAUCGGACUCCACGACAGAACAUAUGCAAUAAGAACUUGUGCCCAAGCAUGUCCAUCCAAAAAAUAACUCAUAACAUUAGCAUUUUCUAGCAAGGUGCAGUAGUCAUUUCAACUCAAAGGACACUAUUGAUGAUGCAAAUUAUUAGGAUCUGGAUUGGGAAACAAACAAUUGAAAUAUGCCUAUUUUGAUACCAUGGGGAUCUUCAAAACCACAAAAUUUAACCAUUACAUCAAAAAUCGAUGGGGAGAAGAAGGUGGGUGAGAACAGGGGGAAGCUACUAUAUCUCCUCAAGUCUAUAACAUAAUCAGCUUGCCAAAACCAAAAAUGCCUUCAGCACCAGCCUACCACAAAAAUCAGAUACCAAAUCAAAUUCCAGUGAAAGCCUUCUUGCCAGCACCAGAAGAUCCAGCAGGGGUCACCUUCAAGACAUUGAACCUCUUAGUCUUGGACAAUGGCCUGAACAAUCGGAAAACAAAAUCAACAAACAAACAGAAAUGAGAGUGUUGCCCACAGGCCAAAGUAUAUUCAUAAGGAGGCAGUGAAGAGAAGAAGAGCUUGUAAGGCAUAUGACCUGCACUGUCCGAUGGUAACAUGAUCCCCUUCUUUCACACGGAAGCACGGAGACACAUGCGCAGGUAUGUUCGAGUGUCUCUUCUCAUACCUUAAGCAAGCAACCAAAAAGAAAAAGAUUUCAGAACAACAAAAAACAUGAUGCCCUUUUUUUCCCCAAAAUGACAGCAGAAAUUAUAUAGAAAGACAACACAUGAAUACAAGAAUCAUGCCUUUGAUAUUUCUUGAUGUAAUGUAGAUAAUUCCGUCGAAUGAUGAUUGUUUUGUUCAUCUUAGCACUGUGGCAAGUGCCAGCCAAGAUACGGCCCCUGAUAGAAACAUUUCCAGUGAAUGGGCAUUUCUUAUCAAUAUAAGUCCCUGUAAGAAACAAAAAUAAAAUGUAGAGCAUUCGUAUCAGCAAAUACCAUAACAUGUAGAAUAUUACGGCCAAAAAGAGACAAUUGGAGUAGGCUCAAUUUGAAGUAAGAAAUAUAACCCAAACUUCAGAGAUCAGAAAAAAUAAGCAAUGAAUUUCUCUAAUAGAAGUCAUCCACACAAAACUGUCUCUAAGUUUACAUAAUUUUCUAAUCAAAAGGUAGUUAUAUACGCUCAUGAAAGUACAUAUCUUAAAGAAUGCAAAUCAAACUUAAAAACGGCAAUGCAGCAAUACUCAAAGGCCACUUCCCAAUUAACCCACAAAUUGAAGGCCUAUCACUAUCCACAUGCAUAUGCAAAAUUACAAAUCAAUCAGUCAAACUAAAACCCUAGUUCAUUUUCAUCACAUUGCAUAGCUUGAACGGUCCACUACCCAUAUAUAAACAAAUAUAAGAUAAAUAAGUAGAGAGAGAGAGAGAGACCUUCAAUGGCUUCCCUGGGGGUCUUGAAACCAAGCCCAACGCUCUUCCAGAAACGGUUUCCACCCUUUCCAGGUCUCUUCCCCUUCCCAGACUUCUUCGAGCUAAUUUAUUACAACACAAAUAGAAAAAUGAAUAACAUAAAACCCAAAAGUAACAGCAUGAUAGUGCAGAAAAAUUAAACACAAUCAAAACUUCAUGGAAGAUAAAUAUAUUUUUUAAAACGAAGUUUCUUCGACUAGCUACCUGAUGAACACCUUGGGCUGCUUCAGAAACGCCUUCUCAGUCUGAAACCAAAUGUAUUAUAAAAUAAAAAUAAAAAUAAAAAUGAAAGCACUGUUAAAAUGAACCAAAGACCAAAGUUCUAGGAUAGAAUAAAAAGCAGCAAGAUGGAGACAGAGAUAGAGAUAGAGAUAGAGAACCGACCUGUUCGGCCAUGAUUGAUUGAUAGCUCUCAAGGAGUUGAGGGGUGGUCUUUCAGAGGAGGCGAAUUAACGUUCGGUGCAACAAAACAAACGCUAACCCUAGUUUGCGUGCGCCACAUGCGUCUUGUUGAAAUAACCUCUAUAACUUAUAAGGGCGCCGUUCGGGUGAGUUUGGCCCAAUAUGGGCGGCCCUUUAUUUGGGCCAAUUUGGGCCGGAUUUCAUAUGAGCCUCCAACUACAUAGGGCCUUGGUUUUCUGUCUUCUUCCUCAAUAAUUCCCAAAAGGCUUUUUAUUGUUUUUCUUUCAGUUUUUGGUGUAAUUAGAAGGCUACCUAAACCCACACCACACAUGCUUUUUGGUGUAGUUUUUUCAUUAAUCACCUUGAUACGACGCCUAAUGAUUAACAUUUGUAAAAGUUGAUAUGUUUAAAGCUUUCUUUACACUCAUCUAAACGAAGUUUAUUCAUUACCAAUUUAUCAUACUUUCAUGCGUCAAUGAGUUAAAUUGGAAAAUCCACACACUUGGUAGAAAUAGGAAGGCAUCUGCCUUUCGUGGAGAACUCUCUCCUCAGCUUUGAUAGACCUUUGACCUUUUCAUUUCAUGAAAUAUUGUUUAAAGCUUCUCUUCUGUACAUAUAUGGAAAAUAUCCAGUGACGCAAAACAAUUAUAAAGUACAUUUCAAUGCUGCUAAGAUCGAUCGAUCACAUGUUGCAUGUGAAAUUCAGGCUUUAUGUAAUUCAAGGAAUGUAAUAAACACUAAUAUUAUAGGGAUCAUCAAAACUAUGUCUCAACAGGAACUCGAGAAAUUUUACAGAGUCUCGCUUUAAGGUGAAAAACAAAGAUUGAUACUUCAACGACUAUACUCAAGAAAACUCUUCACUUUUGCCAGACCAUGGAUACCAAUGCCGGUGCUCAAACCCUCUAAUCAUAACUCACUCCAUCUGCAUUGAAAAAAGCCAUACUACUUAUAAACAUCAGUAAAAACAAACAACAAAGAUAAAGGGUACAAGAAAGAAAAGAAAAUGGAUUAAGACUUUCAUCAUCACCACCUUUUGACGUUUUGAACUAGGAGGAUUUGGUUCGCAAUCACUCCGCUGACGGGAUGUCCCAACAUUGGAGUUCUCAGCCUGCAAAAAACACAUACUUCUCUUCAUGUUCUUUAUCAAUUAAUUAAACUUUCAUUUCAGAGUAACAUCAAGAUUUACAACUUUAGGCGUAGCAGCCCAUGCUUUGUUUGGCCAUUACGAAGAAAGAGUGCUUUGACCCAAAAAAAGAAGAAGAAAGAGAGCACUGACUUAAUAAAACUAGAAAUCCAAAACCUGUUAAAACAUGAGGCGUGAAAUGCCAUGACAAUGACAACAGGUGUAGCAUGCAUACCCUGGUGGAAGAAUCUUGGGCCAUUCUGUGCUCAGAAGAAUUUGCCACUGCUGUAGGUACAAGACCUGGCUCUCCCCCUGAUGCUUGAGAUAUGAAUGGCAUGAUUUGAUGAAGCAAAUUAGACAAAAAUAGUCCUUCAUCGGUAACCCUCGGUUCGGCUUCUUGUGCACCCACAACACCACUCGAUGUCCUUGCCUGAUCUGAUACAGAACCUGUAGUCAAUCCCUCUGCACUGCCAUCUUCUACGUGAAUUUCACCACCAGGAAAGAGGUUCCUUAUAAACUGUAAAAUGCCGCUUGGGAUCUGUCUCUCAGAUUCUUGGUUGUUUUGGGUUCCUCCAGCUGAUAAAAUGUUGACACUGACACUCCGUGCAAUAGAUGGCUCCUGCCUUAAAUUGGGAGUUGAUCCUGCGGGAAACAGGCACUAAUGAAUUAUUCAACUUAUGAUAGCAACUUGACCGCCCUGGUUAACUACAUUAGAAGAGAUAAACAAACUCAAAUCCAGUGUUUGGAUGAGCUACCGCCUAAUUCAACUCUUGUGAGUAAGACCUCAGAUGAGCUACACAUUAUUAUUUGUUAAAAGCAACCUUUUCUAUAGCUACUUCACAAGUCACAUAUGAUAACAAAUUAAGACACGCAGUUUCUAAAACAAAAAAAAAAAAUAUCUAAGGAACUUUUGUUUCUUCUUUCAGCACAUAUUAGUAAAGCAAAUGAAUAAAAAUUAAAUUCAAUGACUCGAUGCACAUCAUGACUUUUGGUUGGACAAACAAUAAAAUGUAAUCUUACUUUUAGACGUAACAUGUGAAAGAAUAAACCCUACAAAUAUGAUUGUAUGGUCUAUGUGGCAACUUACCUUAGCUGUACUUCAUAUACUAGUUUAGCAUAUUAAUAUCAACUAUUCUUAUUAUAUUCUUUUUUUCUCUCUCUCUUUUGAUCUCCCUUUCCUUCCUUCUCUUCUUACAAGAAGAUUAUAAACUAGGGUCUUCCCAUCAUCCACCCAACCCCAAUGCCACCCAAACCAAGGACUCACCCUCUUCACUCCAAUGGCUUAAAACAAUUUCAGCCUUCCAUUCUUGUGAAAUUUAUGUACUAAAAGUAUGAUUCAACUACUAUGUUGCAUGGUAUAUUCACUGGCGGAGCUAGAAAACAAAUUCUCUUCCCCUGGAACCGCCAGAAUGUAAUAUUACCCUCUCUUGCAGGACCUCCAACGUUUUGCUGUUCUACUGCAGAUUCCGAAGAUUGCUGAUCAGCAUGGAGACCGGCAGGAGGCCGAUCUCCAGAAGCUAGAGUUCCUCGUUCACCACUCACCUGUCCAGAAGCUACAUGUUGAAGCCUUCCAAGUAAUGGAUAGUAUAACCCUAUCGAAUUACCAGAAGAAUCAGAUGGUAGGCGACUGAGAGGUGCAGGUACUGCUGCAACCAUGGUCCUAAGUGGCACUAUCCGUACAGUUGAAUCUCCAGCAAAAGCUGGACCAUCUGAGACCCUUGAAAUAGCUUGAUUAGUAGGAUUUUCACCACCAGAGCUUGCUGGGUUUCUUUGCCCUGAAGGCUGCUGAGUAUCCCCAUGUUCCUCCCUAGUGACAUUGGGUGUUGUUGCUGAUGAACCUUAUGGGUAAAAUGAAUAGAGCUUAAAAUCAACAUAUAUUUUACAUCAAACAAAAUUAAACAGAACAUGAAUGGAAAUAGCCAGGGAAUAAAUUAUAAAAGGUACCUCUUCGUAUUUGUAUAUCAAUACGCCUUGGAACAAAACCAGUACCAAGUCCAUUAACAAGACCAGAACCAGGCUGCACAGCUCCCAUGGGGAUGGCACCAAAGCUCAUUCCUGAUUGAAAAGGAAGCGGCUGGCCAAGUAUGAUUCAGCUUCAAUCAGUACAAAUAGAACUAUUUUCAAAAGAGAGGUAUGAAUUAAGUGUUUAGAAAAUUGCCUGAACCAUUAUCGGAUUAGGGCCAGUCGGGGAUAUGAAAACUGCAGGUCCAGCAUUAACCACAGCGUCAGACUGCAUGAGAGAUGAGUCAGAGUCUGAGCAAGUUUUAUAGGUCAGCAACAUCUAAAUGGACAAGAUGACAAAACAAGGAAAUUAGAAUUCCAGAACACUACCGGUGUUUGACCUAGUUGCAAUGUCAUGGUUGUACGACCAAGUUCAAGUAAAAAGGCGCCAAGGUUGUGAAACAGAGCUCCAGUUCUUGACGCACUAGAUUGGGCACUGAACCUUGCUGAUGGAUCAGUCACAUUCACUUGAUUCUCCAGUUGGCUUGCAAAUUGCUGCCAAGAUGUAACAUGAAAAAUCGCAAUGUCUUUUGUUUAACAUGAUAAAUCAAACAGCUGAAAGCUUUUAGCUAUUAUAGGAUCACAGUAACUACACUCUUCUGCUUUCAAACAAUAAAAUUAGUCACUUAUGAGAACUAAAGAAAAAUCAAACUAAUAGCACAAGUUGUCAAAAUUGGAACACCAAAUUAUAUACUUGAAAUAAUAUAGUGAAAAAUUACAAUAACACUUAAGAACGCACAAGUAGGGAUUCUCCAACUUGUUCAAGGAGUAGUAGUCGAGUAGAACGCAUGACUUCUGCCAACGAUGCAGGUGAGGGGAGCCCCUCUUGCCUUGCCCCUGUAUGUGAUGAGGCAUUGGAACUUUCUUCAGUCCUAAGAGUAGCAGCUGUUUGACCCCUUCCCCCAUCUCUGGCUGUUGGUAAAUGAGUGUUGAAAUUAUCUCAGCAAACCAUCAACAUUGGUGUGUAACAAACAUAUAUGACAUAUCAAUAAAAAAUCUUGUACGUAGAAACUCACCAAUGGCCUCAAAUUCACGCCUCAGAUGACUGAGAUAUUGGGAUAAAGUAGUCAAUGAAUCAGGAAUUACCUACAAAGACCACCGACAUAGCAGAAUAGUUUCAUUAUUGUUUUGUCAUUAAGUUAAAGAUCAAAAUAGGCAACAGAAUAAAAACAAAUGAAACGAAUUGAAAACAUUAAACUUGCCAGGGGUGGUAGAGUCCCCAAAGAAAAAUCUGUUGGAUGACCAAAAGUCCCAUUUGAUCUAUCAGAGGGGCCCCUUGGGCCAGCUUGCUCAGAUUGAAAUUGGGAAAAAUCAAACAUACCACUCAAACCUGGUGUCCUUUCUGGCCUCUGUGGCCCAUGUUCCUUCAGCAUAUCAACCAUCCAAAUACCAGAUUAAUGAUGUAAGCAUAAAAGUGCACAUUAAAUUUAAACAACAAAUGAUAUACAUAUGCAGGUACACACAAACACAGUAUCUAUCAAUUUUGUCAGAACGUCAUUAUGAUCUUUUUUUCUUGGCAGCCUCCAAGAAACUACCCUUUUCUUUUCCUCAAGCAAAGCCAUGGUCAAGUAUUUUCAUUACUGUGAAUACUUUGUACUAAUUUGGAAGUGUGUACGUGUAUGUGCUUUUGCAGAGAGAGAACAUUGCCUAGGAAAGUUAAAUAUAUAAACCCAUACUUCCAGUCAUACAAGUGAUAAGCUUCUGAAAUUUUGAAAUUUUAAUUUACCCUGACUUCAAUCCCUUCACUGCCACCUGAAAUAUUUGGUAAUCCUAUAGAGCCGAGAAUGGCAGAGAUGAUCUGUUCAGAAGCAGAGAUAAAGGAGGAAAUCAUUACCAUCGGACGUAAUUACACCAGUAGAAAUACAAAUUAUUCUGUACUCACCCGACUGAUUUCUGGUGGAAAACCAUCCCCUUGAACAGGCAUGCUGAAAGUUUCAAUAACCACACCAGGGGCAACUUGAUGCUGACCACGGCUUGUACUUGAAGCCGGAUCAGUUCCUACACACAGUUGAAAGCAUGCAAAUAAUGCACGUGAGAUUUAAUAGUUGAACCAAAGAUCUACAAGAGAAACAAGCUCUGCUACCAUGUUGGAUAACCAAUUUUUCCAAACAACCCAGACUACUGUGUCCAAAGCUUAAAACAUGUUAACGACACGCAACAUGUAAAAUUGAAGAGUACUCUGUAUUUAUUGAUUUCACAUCAACCUGGAUGAUUUGGUAAUCCCUCGGGUGAUGGUAGGAUAGGUUGCCUGACAACCAAAUGUAAGGUGUGACCAUCUUCAACAUCUAAACUGUGCUAAGAAAAUACUUUCAAAUGCUUAACAUGAAAAGUUGGUGAGUGAAACUUCAUUUAAAAGAAAAAUGGAACAUGAUGUUGACUAGAGGAACCAAUAAUAAACCCCGAUCUCACACAAUAUUCAUAGCUGCAUUUGUUCAUAUAAUGCCUAAUUUUUUUCGAACUUAAUCUAGAAAAAGAGCUGGCAAGUAUUAAACCUUUGCUAUUGAUAGAGGAAAUCUCUUAGCAAGAGUAUGUGACAUUUGUUCAAUGUAUUCUUUUUUACUUUUCGUAAAAAGGAGACCAAAGGAGGAGAGGGAGGUUAGAACUUUGGCUCUGGGCAUGAGGGUAAGGUCAUUACCACAGGAGUCAUAAGCCCCCACCCAUUUGUUCAAUGGAUUUUUCACAACAUUACCCGAAACAUAGCUAGUAUUAAAUCUUUAGUUAGCAUAUCAAAGUUGUCUUAAUCUAUCUUUCACAGUAAUGGUUGACAUUAUUAUUAUUUCAUAUUUUGCAUAGGAGAUUUUGAGUAACUUUAUCUAUGUUCACUUCUAACUGAAUUAUCUUCUGUUGCAUAUCUUGCUGCAGAGGCAAAUCUGAUUAUGAUUGAAAAUUAUACACAUACGAACACGACUACUAUUAACACUAUUGCAAGUUCCAGUUUAGAACGCAGAAGAACAGAAAAUCCUAAUUAACCUAGAGAGUGCCACAAGAUUUUCAAAACUCAAAAAUUCUUUCACGAGUCAAAAGACCAAAUAGGAUACGAUAGGCAGAGAGAAGCUGAUCAUCCUUUAGAACUUUUCCUCGGCAUAUUAGUCGUUGUUGCUCGGAUAGUACACCAGUGACAGAGGCAAUCUGCUCUUUCAAGGCGGGAACUGGCAUCUGCAGUUGAGAGAAGAGAAUUUGGUUCAUUUUAAAACGAGUAUGCAAAACUUCCACAAAAAACCUUUCUACCAGCAUGUUCUCACUGGCAAUAUUGCUUCACAAAUAAGUUUCAAUAAUUAUCUUUAAAACUAGCAUAUACACAAGUAAUUUCAAAUUAUCGCACAUAUUAACAGUUUUAACUUAAGGAAGCAAUCUCAAGCUGCUGGGCACACAUUAUACGGAUGCAACAGAAAUGCACAUGCAUUACAGCAGUGAAGAUUGUACAGGAGGAAUAUAACUGUUGCUCACCUGAGCAAAAGCAAGGCAACAGAAUUAUUAAGCAAUAAACUUACUAAAUAACUUUAUAUAAAUGGCCAACCAAAUAACUGAAAGCCAGAUCUUAGUGGGAGCUAUAAUAAAAAAGCCACAAGAGUACCAACCUGUUUAUCCACCCUGAGAGUAUAGGUUUGUGAAUCCAAUGUUUUUAUUUUUAUCUCAACAGUAGUUUCAGACCCUUCAAUUUGCUCGCACAUGGGAAUGUGUUCAGCACUAUUACUUCCCAUUCUUCUCAGACCACACUGAACCUACGAAGGAGCGAUAUUAUAAAUAAAAAAUAUUGUCUUCUUUUCCUUGAGCAUUCAAUCAGCUAAUUUAAUUCAUUGGCAGCAAUAAUAGACAAAUACGAAAAAACAAAAUGAGAAAGAAAAAAGAAAACAAUUAAUUUUAUAAGGCAUACCCAGCUUUACUCUAACAACUUGCUCACAAUUGUGGUAAACACACGGGAAGAAAUUCUUAGUUAAUUCCCAAACCAUAAAACCAAGAAUGUCCAAUGAAAAAUUGGCAUAUCCAGUCUAACAUAUUUGAAAUGUGUUUGAUUUUCCAAAACCCAAGUCAAUUAACCCUUUCUCUCUAUUCUGAGUUAACAGCAUUAAACAAAAUAUGAAGUCUGACGCGUGCAAGGCAAAACAUACAACUAACUGUUAUGACAUGCAUUGCAGUUAAAAUGCCCCAAAUGAAAGAAACCAUACGCAAAAAGAGAUUUUGAGCACAAAACCUACACAACUGAUGCACAAACAAACACCGUAUCCGAACUAUAAGGAAAGCAACAGCACUUAUAUCACAGUUUCCUUCUCUACUUUUUCAUUGACAGCAUCUAUGACCCGUUUGGACUUUGAUCCAUUACCACACUAGUCAGCAUACAUAUCAAACUAUGUUCUUUCUCAGCCACAAUGAGUUUUGGUCUUGAUGUGAACAACUCAAUUCACAACAUUAUUUUUUUCGUUUGGAAUUUGCUUUCAUCGCAUGCAAUCUCUCAAAACCUCAGUAAAGUGAACACCUUUAUUCAUGACUCGAAGAUAUGAAUGGAAAAGCAUUUUGUAAGAAAAUAACAGCCUAUAUACCAACAAUCUUAGGAUUUUCCGAAUCAAGAACAAACGGAAAGAAAAUAUCCGCGUACUUUCAAUAUCUAAAAACUCCAGAAGGGCAAAAUUCAUACACGGACAAACCAACCCAAUAAUCACCAAACUCAGAAGCACGAAAAAUUCGAUUGACCCAUCAAAAUAAAAACGAAAACCCCCAAUACACACGACAUGAUCAUACUUACCUAAGCCAAGAGAUCAACUAGAUGAAGCUUCCAGAAGAUGGAGAAGCUUAAUAAUAGCCCAAAAGCGGGACACAAAAGCCCUCGGAGAGAGAGAGGGGGGUUUAUAUGAAAAUGGUCUCCGCCACUGAAAUUGGCUGGGUCGCCCGCUCUGUCACUGUGUGGCAAACGAUGGAUGAGCACCUCGGAGGGGCAGGAGGGAAGUACAAUGCCUAAAUUGGGGAGUGGUGGUGGUCGGGUGGCAAUCGACCUGUAAAUAUUAGUAUUACCCCUGGAUUUUCACCGUUGGGAUUUGGGUUUUUUGACUGCUUGCUUCUUCGCAGUGAAUACUGAAGGGGAAAAUAAAAAUUAGAGCACGUGUGCUUUUUUAUAGUCUGACUCUGACUCUGAGCAGUUGAUGAACAUCAUCGGCCUUUCACUUUUUUUUUUAUUUUUUUCCAAAGAUGAUGUCGUGGUUUUUUUUUUUGGGGUCAAAACGUGAAAGCUGAGGUGGUUGGAUGACGACAGGAGUGAAAUGUCAAAUUGUUUGAGGAUGUUUUUGGCUAUCAACAACUGGGUUCAUUUUUGUACACUUUUUCUUUCUUCCCAAGCAAUGAAAAAACCUUAUUCCAAUCAAAUAGUUAAUUCGUUUGGUAUAUAUUUAAUUAUUUUAUCAUAUGGUAUAUUUUUCUUUAUUUUUUUGGUCAAAUAUUGUAUCUAUUUAAUUGAGCACCACAUUAAUCGAUGAGAAGAUUUUAACCUCUCGCAUUUCCCAAACGAUUUCAUCAAAUAGAAUAUGGGAUAUAUUUCAUAGUAAUUGAUUUUAAUUGCCAAUAAAGGAAUUACAUAUAAGGAAUAUGUAAAAUGUAUUAUAUAUUCAAAGAUAUUUUUCUUUAUUUGCUUAUUUUGUAGAUGUCAUAUAAUAUCUUUACUUGCUUGGAACAUAAGAAGUCGUGAAUCGGAGAAGUGAUUCAUAGUUACGAUAUUUUCAAGAAAGUAAAAAGGGCUUGAGAAAGAAAGUUGGAACUCACUAUUCAUACACAAACCAAACAUUGGAAGUUGUCUUCUAUUUUUGUUACCCCCAAAGUGAAACCCUUUGAAAAUCUGAAUUUAGCAUUUCUUUAUUAAUCUAAAACUUAAUUAUAUGUACAAUAUUCUAAUAGUCUGUGUGGGUCUAACCUAGAUUAUCAUUUGGUUUACACAAUCAUUUGCCAAUAAAAAAAGAUAAACUGGAUGGAAACGUAUUAUUGAAGUUGUGUUUUUAUUGACGUAUACUUUAGGUAGUAUGUUUUGGUUCCUCUUGGAUGGGCUUGAAGAAAUAAAGAGAGAAUUGUGUGAUGAGGCCCAUCUAGUGUAUGGUAGUGGGAAGCCCGUCGGUGGAACUCAACUGAUCCAUGGCAUACGAUACGAGAACUUGGAAAAUGAGCAGCCAGCAGCCAGCAGCAACAACAGCAACCCUUCUUUUCAGGCUUCACCACACCAGUUUGGGUCUCACUCACUCAGACCGUCCAUCUUCAUCAUCAUCAGCAUUUCUUCUGGCUUCAGGCUUCAUCAACAAAACCUAUAAACGGAAACCGUUGGAAAUGGAGGACCAAUGCCAGUCUGCCACUGACUGGUGGUAAUGGUAUGGCUUUUCUCUUUGCCAAUUUUAUUCAUUAAUAUGUGCAGUGCAGUGAACCAAACUCAAUAUUAUUCAUAUUGUCAGAAAACAACAAUCUAUCUUUACAAGCAUUCAAGCAUUCAAGCAUUUAUGCAUUUCAUGAUAACUGCUUCAUGGGUUUUAUUUUAUUUAUUAUUAUCAAAUCAUCCAAACCAAAUGAGCCCACACUACUAGGUUUGGUGGUGAUGAUGAUGUACCGUUACUCUCGGCUGUCCGGGCCACAGCAGAUUUGACCCAACAAGGAACAUGUGAGAGCCCACAUGUUAAAAACAUAGUGCCACUCACUGACCCCUCACACCAUCACCGUCCAUCCAAUCAAUGUUAUAUGUGAAACAUGGUGAGCUCACUCCAGAAUCCCUGGUGGGCCCAAUCCCUCACUCAACAAAGAACACAAAGGGAAGGGAAGCCUCCUCCUCCUCCUCCUCCUCCUCCUCCUCCUCCUCCUCACAUACAAACACGUACUGCAGCAGAUCAUCAACAACACACCUACCUACUCCGUGAACUCAACACUGCACUUCAAGUUCUAACCAAUUUAUUUCAUGAUCUAUUAAAAGUGUGGAUAAGAAACACUCACUGAAAUUUGGUUUAAGACUUCAAACCAUCUAUUUAUCUUUAUAAGUUAUGACAAAAAAUAUUAUUCCUUAUAAAAGUGGUAAUCAUCACUACAUCAUCCAAACCAUAGUUUAAAAGCAAGUUAUAACAAAAUCCUAAUAGAAUAUACUACUAUGUACACAAAAUCAUUCAUUCCUAGCCCUAAAAUUCUGCAGCAUUUCUGUAAUGCUGUCCAACUUCUCUGGCUAAUAUAAUAUUCCUCUUUUAUUUGUCUAACACUGACUGACUUGGAUCACUUUCUGUGUGUGUUUUCUUUAUUUUUGUCUUUUUGGGUUUUCCCUACACUCAGACGGACUCAGUUGUGUAUCGGAGGUUUUCUCCUUGCUGGAGAAUAGUCCAUUUCAGUCAUGUCUGUGAGGUCAGGAUAGUGUUGGACUUGGUGGGCUACUGCAGCCUCCUGCUCCUGGUGCUUUGAAAUAACCGAUGAUGACUUAGCUUUCGCAUCACCAUCUUCCCCACCAGGCUGUGUAUUAUUAUUAACCUUUUCACCUUUUGGGUCCAGGUCACCUCUGUUCCCUCCAUCAUCCUUGUCAUUCUGUACAUGGAUCACACAGAAUCAGAGACACCUAACCUAACCCCUAUCAAUUGUUACUUAAACUUAAAUACGAGAUUAUUAUAUUGUUAUUUUGACUAAUUAAACCAACCUUUGAAGGGGUGUUAGUGGUUGUGGUAGCAGCACUAGAGGCUGUCUUAGAGACUAGUUUUCUAGUCUUUCCUGCAACAAUACAAAUCAAAACCACUUAAUUAAGGUAAUGUAAUAUGUAUGAGUCUUUGAUUUACUGCAUGAACUUAAGUUAAUCAGAUUAGUUUCGGGAAGGGACAAAAAUUGUUGUGUAGAUUGGAAACCCAAGAGUUUGAAGAACAUUGAUCCUAUUCUUCUAGCUAUAUAUCUCUAACUAAGCUCUUCUAGUAGCCAAAAAAUGGAUAAAAUUAAGAAGGAUGGAAUGAUAUAAUAAAAUGUAGCUAGGAAGGUAAUUAACUAAACUAAUGGUGCUUGGGUUUGUGGGUCCUAGGUCCAUAAUAAUCUUCAUGAAUACUUGGUAACCAGUGGUGUGAUGACUUCUUGGAUUCUCUAGAAACUGUUUUCUUCAAGGUACCUGAUGAUGAACACUCUCCACCAUCUUUGCAGAGACUGUUGAACUCUCCUGGACCAGCACUUCUUUUCAUUGAAGCAGUUUCCUGUUCCUGCAUUUAACAAUCAAAUUACGGAAAGUAAUGUAAGAAAAAUAUUUUGCACAGAGAAGAAGAAUGAGAAACAUGUAUACAUAUAUUGUUCUUCCACGUCUGAAAUUUUAAUUAUCUUGAAUGGUGAGAAAAUUUUACAAAGAACAUGAAAGAAGAGCUCACUUGUAAAUUAUUAUUAUUUUUCUGUUGUGCAACAGAGAUGAAUCCUUUCUCCAAUCGAAUCCCUUCAAAAGAAAACCAAAAUGAGCUAAUUUGAAACCAAUAUUUCAUAGACAUAAAUAGUUUUCUAACAACUAGGUUUUGCAAAAAUAUAUACCUUGAGCCCCAGAAAGGAGGAGGGACAAAAGAAGAAGAGAGACUGCUAGAGAUGGAGUUGUCAUUUGGAGUAAAUCUUAUGAAACAGAAAUAUGGCAGAAGAAAUACUGAGUGAGAGAUGGGCAAGAAGAUUAAAUGUCAGGAACAACAAAGUGUUGUGUUCUGUUUGCUGCACUGCAGGUUUCUCUUUUUCUUUCUCUCUGUUUAAAAGCUUGAACAUGCAGAGCAAAAUCUGAAUGGUAGAUGGUUUGGGUUUGGGAGAUCCCUGCUUAAAUACAUAUAUAAUCUUUGGGUUGGGCCCACCCACACUAAUUUCUUCAACAUGUAAACUUUAUAUGAGAUGGAUGAUUAUGCUUUCAAUUCUCUUUUUAAAUUUCAUUUCGUUUAAAGUGCAAGUCCUUGUCCAAGGAAAUAAAAGACAUGUUUUAUAAUCCAUUGGAUUACGGUUUGUUUGUGUUAAUCAAAUUCCAGUUCAAAAGGCAAUUCAUUAUGGGGACCAGAUUUGUCUUUUAUGAAAAGGCACAGUUGCUUUGCUCACUCUCUGCCUUCCCUGCAAAAUGUCCCAUCUUUUUGGGGUAAAAUGAGGAUUUCCUGAAUCCUCUCUCAAAUCUUGUUUAAUCUGUUAAUUAAUUUACCCAGUUUUUAGGUUUAAUGGUCUUUGAAUUUUGAUCCGAUUCACAUUCUGGUCUUUCAAUUUUCAAAAUCGUUCCCGUGGUCUUUCAACUUUAGUUUCGUUAUGAGAAAUAGUCAUGUCGUCAAUUUUGUUAUUUUUUUCUAUUAAAUUUGAGCAUGUGCACAUUGUAUAUUGUUGAGGGUCAAAAUUAGAAAUUGCUUCACUUUUGAGGUAAAUUAAAAAUAUUCAGAAGAUUUUUUAGUUUUUAUUUUAAUUUUUUGAGUGAAAAGAAUAUUCAUAUGGUGAAAAUUAAAAAUAAUACAAAAAGAUUAUUUUCUCCCUUCAUUUAAUAGAAAAGAUAAGAAAAUUAAUGGCAUAAUCAUUUAUCCUAACGAAACUAAAAUUGAAAGAUCACGAGAACGAUUUUAAAAAUUAAAAAAUCAAAAUACGAAUCAAGUGGAAAUUAAGAUGACUAUUAAACCUAAGAACCCUUAAUUUACCAUGCCUUUUCUUUUUAAUGCCCUAUCUUCUCAGAAGCACGAUGUAUCAAUCAGACUUGCACACAUCCAUAUAAUUUGCUUUCCGUGUUGUACCAUGCAACAAAAAACAAACCCUUUGGUGGGAUUAGACAAGCUGAUUUGCCAAGUGGUACCAACCCAACCAAGCAUGUAAUUUUGCCGUAAUUUGGUUGGUCAAGGAAUAGAAUCAUUUAAAAAAGGAAUAGAAUCAUAUGGCUAUAAGAGCAUAGGUAUUCCGUUUAGGGUGAUUGAUCAGAUCAGAUAUGACGCAUGCACUUUACAACUUUUGCGUUUAUAUGGUAUGCCUGAUUGGAGCGAGGGACGGGACGUGCAUACUGCAUUCCACACUCACUCAUGACAACUCAAGGCCUUUCCUUUCACUUGUAUUUACCAAAGAUGCUUGCAAGGCAUGCCUUUUUUUAAUUUAUAAAAAUGCAAAUUACUUGCUACUGUUUAGUUCAUGGGUUCCUGUACAGUUAUAUGUUAAUCAUGAAUCAGACAGUGCCACGACUUGAGCUCUCAAAACGCAGUGGGCAGCAGCCCACGUGUCACAGGAAGCAACCGGAGUAAAUGUGACGGCGACAGGCAAAGUUGAAAGUCACCCAUUUCGCACCGCCUCCUCCAGUCCAGACGUGGCAGUAUAUGUCUCUAGGUACUGGCUGCCGGCUCAAGGGAUGACCACUCCACGUGGACGUCGACAUCUAGCAGGGUCCACGUCCACCUGAAUAUGACGUGGCAUAAAAUAUGGCCACGUGGGCACCGCCGUUUCACGCGGCAUGUUUGUGCUUUGACCAUAAAAAACAAACAUCCCGGACGACGUUUGUCGAGACUGCCAUGCCAUGACAUUUCGUAAUGGUCCCUUCUUCUCUUGUUUUCUCUUUUUUCACAGCGGUUGUUGAUAGUGUUGUGGUUGCAGCUUCUUAGGUUUUUUUUUAAAAUUUUAAUGACAUUGAAUUUCAGAUUUUGAAGCGAUUAAUUAUUUUUUAUCGAAAAGGAGGAAAAACAAAUAUUACUUAGAUCACUUAAUAAUUCAUGAAAAAUAAUGGAUUAGCCAAUCUGGAUCACACUAAUUCUGGUGUCACUUGAGUGACAGUGGGCAUUGUUUGUCGAUCGUAGAAAAAUGCUUGAAUUGUGGGUUGCUGUCAAAUGAAAUGACCUAAUCAAUCAGCUAGAAUUAUAAAAACAUUAAUUAACUAUUAGCGUCCUCUAAAGUGCAACUUCUGUUGUCAUUUAUUAUUUAAUUGUUUUGCAGAGGCGUUGAGAAUUUCAAUUAUUAUUAUUCAAUAAUCGUCCUAAAGAAUGAAUGAAAUCUUCUUGGUGUUUGGAGAAUUGAUUUAAAUUAAUGAACGCAAACGCAGUCUUACUAAAAAGAAAGAUACAUACAGCAGAUGAGAAGUACGGAUGUCCAUCAACAGUCAUAAUCAUCUUACAAAUUUGUUCAACCAUUAAAGAGAAGCGUCGCGUACGUAAAACAUAUAUAAUUCAGAUAUAUUUAAAUCAAUUUUGGGAUAAUUAAUUAACAUAAACACACAAAUAUUAAUGUAUAUUUGGAGUCUGGACAAAUCCAAGUUACUCGAAAUGUGUGGAAGAUUGACAAAUAUAUAUAGAUAUAUUGAGCCGACAGAGGGACAUCACAUGUUUUUGGGAUUCAGUUAAUCAUGUUUGAAAUUGGACCACUGUCCACUGGUUUCAAGUUCAAGGCUAGCAUGUAGUUGAUCUAGAGAGACAUGUUUUGUGCUUGCAUGUCUGCAAUGUUUUAUUCAAGAUAAAUCCAAUUCGAAUGGGAGCUUUCCCUUCCCUUUGAAAUUUCUUACUAACUACACUAGCUAAAAAUGUGAUAGUUAUCUCAUCACCAAUCCACCAGAAAUCUGCGAGAUGAGAUAAGUAAUUGGUUGGGUGAUAUAAUAAAUAUUGGACCCAAUAGACAGGUCGCAGGUUCAUGAUCAUGACAUGAAAAUUAAUGGGUUGGGGAUGCCAAUGCAGUGGCAAAAGGAACAUGAACAUCGCAUGCAUGCAUAAUAAAUACCAUAUGCUAAACCAGUCAGUUUUUGUAUACAAUCCAUUCAAUAAUAAUAAUAAUGCUAUCCAUUUCAUCAUAUUAAUUUCUAGUCAUUCUUCCUCUAGAGUAACUAAAUGAAGACGAGAAAGAAUAAUGUAUACGGCAAGGCAAUAUGUCAUGUUUUGAGUAAUAUUACAUUCUCGAUAACAGAUGAAGUGGACAUCCUCAGCAAUGGCAUCCCUUGAUGUAUAUAUAUAUAUAUGUAUGUAUAUGUCCGGUAGUCUGGAUCUGAAUCUGAACAUCUGGCUGCAUGAAACAUUUAAUCUUGUCAACUUACGUACGUACAGUGGGAAAUGGGAAGUAGGGAACCCCUUCCUUUACACACAACACAGAGAAAGAGAAUGCAAAGAAACAAAAUUAUAGUCAGCAGGAGGGCCGGGUUUGAAAUUUUUGUAACCUUUGUCCUCCCAAUAGCGAAACAGCAUAUAUAUAUCAAUAUCAGUAUCUAUCUAAUAUCUAAGUCUUUGUAUUAUCGACACAGAAAAUAUAUAUGUUGGUGGUUUUUGUGUGGUGUGGUCUCUCUCUCUCUCUCUCUCUCUAUAUAUAUAUAUAUAUAUAUAUCCCUUUCCUUUUUCCAUACCUAGUGGCUAGUGGUGUGUACUGUGUACUAGCAAUUAACAUGUGCUUUCAGCCACAUUGGCACAUGGGCUGUGAACCCCCCCCUCUUCCCCCUCUCCCUAAUUAUCAGGCAGCCAUCCUCCGCCUCAAUUAUACAUUCUAAAUAUAAACAAAAUUAUUAAUUAAGGAGAGAAGAUAGUUUAAUAGGUACAAGAAAAUGUUCAAUGCACCCAUAUUUCCUCAACCAUGCAUGAAAGCCAUGGAGCUCAACAUAUUGGUUUAGGGUUUAGGCGGGCAUUAGAGUCACCACUCAUCACUCGUGACAAGGAGCAUGGUCAAACUUUUGAGGGACAUCUGGGCCAUCUUGGAGAGAGACUUCUUACGAGCAAACAAACCACCUAUACUUUUCUUUUUCGUCUUUUUAUUACCAAGGCAUGAGAAAUGUGAAUUUGCAACAUUUUCCACACACGAAUUGCCAUUCAACGGAUGAAUUCAUCUACUCCUUGUCUUGUCAUGAGAUAAGAGAGUACUUUCUAGAGAGAUAACAUGUGUACUCCUUGACAUGUCAAGAAAAGUAAUGAAACUCCUACUUACCACAUAAAAUAUGAUAACUUUUUUUUUUUUGGGGGGUUUACCAUCGUUAAAUAGAGAGAGGAUUGUCCACUUAGAUUUUGGGUAUAUUCACAUCUAAAAUUACACUGUUUUGGGUUUAAGAAAGUUAUAGGUUUAGUAUAAGAGUUUAUUUUGAAAGGAUAAUGAAAGGGAAGUCGGAGACUAUGUAAUUUUAUAUGUACAACAUGAUACAAUCAUAAAAAACACAAAAUGUAAAUAUGAGUUAGGCCAAUUGAUUAGGGCAAUGAGUCCAACCUUUGCGCCCAAGUUCGAAUCUCAAUUAUAUCAAUAUAACACAUACACACACAAAAGCUGAAUUUUUGGGCCUGCUUCCUAGGCUCCUAAUCAUGUCCAAGCCUAUUUUUAUUAGGCCUUCAUUUUUUGCCUAAUCCUGUCGACUCCCUCUUUUAUUGGGCCUACACCUUUUCUGCUCCAAGCCCAAGCCCGAGUUUAUUUCUCAGUGGAAAAGCGUGCGUGCGCUUCCACUCAAAUUCAUUUGUCAACGACCUUACAGUUGGUGGUUGGCUAUUUUACCGUUACAAAUCCCGCCCACCUUAACCGCUAAGCCACCCCCCUCAAAAUUCCCAAUGCAAAGAGCAAAACCUAUUUCCCUCCUCUCUAAUCUUGAUUCACAGAUUAACGUCUCUGCACUCUGCCUCUCGUUUUCAACACUAAUCUUUAGUCUUUAAUAAUAAUAUAUAUUAGGCAUUCUGUAGCUUUGAUUUUUCUUCUUCUUUUCUUUUUAGUUACGGUAGCUCCUCUUCAUUGUAAUGAGGCGUGCAACUUGUUCCAAUAAUCCUCCUCCUCAACAAAUCCCAUCAACGUAAGUCAUUGAGGAGAACAAAAAUAAGUUUUCCAGGCCAACUAGUUCAUGAACUUGUAUGUAUAUGUGAAUUCAACAUGUAAUUUCUUGUUCUGUACGCAGAAGAAGAUGUCAGUGUACCCCUCAUGGACAAAAAUGUGGCUGCAGUGAAAGGAUCAAUCAGCUUUCAGAUGAAUUAAGUCCAGGCUCUCAGCUGAAGCCAGAUGUUGGGUUAGGUGCCAAUUUUGAAUCCGAGAGGGAGAAUGGACAUUUUCUAUCUCUUCUUGUGAGUAAAACUUCAUAAUAGUUCCUCUGCAUUUUACAUGUUUUCUUGUUUCAAAUUUUCAUACAUGUAUGGUUGCAUCUUCUCCAGACUUCUUCAUCCUCGUUCCGACGACCACAUGAAGCUUCAAAACCCACGAGCCAUGUUCAAAACAAGGAACACUCUAAUUUGCCUUAUCAGUCGGACCACUCAUCAUCACCAGGGCUAAUUGUUCGAAGGAGUUUGCAUGAUCCGCUUUCAGGAGCUACCAUAAGGAGCAUAACAAGUUGCAUUGCUAACACUUCAAACCUCAACUUACCUCAUACCAUAAGCCAAAUUGGAAGAGCUAAUUUUCCAGGUUCACAGAAUGAUGAGCUUAAUUCUGGAACUUACACCACAUUAAUUCUUGGAUCUACUCCUCUUCGCCAUAUUUCUUUUUUCCAAAGUCUUUUUGGGCUGCCUAACAACCUUUUGCGGUCUUUGUGUCCUUCCAUUUGGCCUCCCCACGUAAGUGCAGAUUCUACAUUUCGAUUUGGUCAAGCUUCUGCUUUUUCUUCUGAUGAUAAUGGGGUCCAAAAUGUUACCCAAAUUGAUCUAUGGAGGCAACUACUGAUGGAAUCGACUCUAUAUAUGCACACGCCGGCUGAUAGCUUGUUGGAAGGUUCGACUUCAUUUUUUGUUGUAACAGCUAACCGUGGAGUGAACUUCAGGCUUGUCACAGAGGUUUGUCUAUUAUUUCAUUCUAUCUUAGGAAAUCUCUUUUCAAUGACUACAAAUGUGAAGGUGCAGCAUGGUAAGCCCUGCUUCCUGUACAGUGUCCACCUGCUGAUUCUCAGCCUAACAAUAGACAUAUAUGUAUAACUGUAUUGAACCAAGAACUAAAUGAUUGUAUGAUCAUUACAUCAAUCUGUUAUAGCAUUAUAGCAUAGCUUGUGUAAUCAUUUGAUUGCAUUGUUUUCGUCUUUAAUUCUAACGAGCAGAAUGCUGGAGUUAUUUACCAACGGCCUCUGCACGUUUCAAUUGAAAUGCGCAAUCGUUCUAGAGCUAUGUGGCUUGAUGUGGAUAGCAUGUCAUAUGAGGUAUUCUCACAUCAAAACUUCCAUUUGUCACUGAAUUUUUCAUCAAUAAUACUUUUGUAUCUCUUUUGCCUUACUUACUCCGCAUUCUACAGGAGUUGUUGGCUUUAGAAGAUCAUAUAGGGAAUGUCAGCACAGGAUUAUCUGAGGAAGCAGCUGUUGCAUCUCUCACGCGCAGCAAUUACUUUUUGUUUGCGGAAGAAAAUGCUCAGAAAGACUUUUGCAGCAUCUGCCAGGUAUUUUGCUUAUACUUUAUAUUAAUUUGACUUUCUAUCAAGUUUCUGUGACUAAGCGAUAAAUGCCUAUCAAAGUGAAUGGCAUUACAAUGUUGGUCUUCAUGACAGGAGGAUUUCGUAGAGGAGGAUGAGCUAGGAACAUUGGAUUGUGGGCAUGGCUUCCACAUUGCUUGCAUUAAACAAUGGCUGGGAUAUAAAAAUGUAUGUCCUAUAUGCAAAUCUCCUGGUUUGUGUACUACACGCCCCUCGUCCUCACUUAUUUAAAGUCUGUAAAGUAUGUCUUAUGAAGCUGAAUUUUUCUGAAAAGUACAUGGUGAGGAUUGGGGACUACUCUAUAUAUGUUCUGUUUCUCCAUGUUCACCAGCCUAGUUUAGUUUAGCUUCAUUUUCUUUUUCUGUAAAUGUACAGAUUAUGUAUCAAAAACAAUGAGGAUAUCUUAAUGUAUAUACUCUAAAUUUCUCACUCAGGUGCGGAUUUGAACGUCAUGUAUGAUGUAUGUUUAUUUAUGCAUGAUAAUAUGGAGAACAAGAAUCAAGAUGAACAGAAACAUAAUAUUUUAUAAUGACUAUUCUGAGUACCCAGUAGUUCAUGGCAAUAUGUAUCUGCUGAACAUCUAUGAACCACCUUUUUUCAGACAAUUACUUUGUGAAUAGAAUUUGAUGAAAACUGUAUCAAAAGUUGAAGUUAGAAAGAACCAUUGUGCUACUGAAGAAAGGAUCCUCUCGUGCUCUAGUAAAUCAUUGGUUUUAGUAGCAGCUUCUCUGUGACAUCGAUUCACUGUCACCAUCAAAGAAUAAGGGUGCAACUCCUAGUGACAGUAAAUUAGGCUCACCAUCAACGCCGGGGCGGGGUAUUUAUUUGUCAAUCAUGUAUGACAUUAGGAAACUCUAAGUUGGGAUUUGUUUAUGAUCUUUUCAGUGGAUGUUUAUCGAUCAAGUCAUAGAGCUCAUCUCCAAUUCCAAACCCAAGCAUCCUGGCCAUGUCACUGGUCUUCAAUCUAGGCUUUGGAAUGUCAUGUUGCUUCAACCAUGAGUACACAAUAAAAACCUUCUGCAUAACGAAUAGUUCCAGUGCCUCAGGAUUGAAGACCACCCCCAUCCUCAUGUUCAUCUGCAAAGAUAAGAUUUCAAAGGUCAUUUCAUUAAACAAUGACAAGCCCCUCCUCACUCUCAAACUCUGAAACAAUGGCAUUGUUAUAAAAUACAAUACCUGGUGUGGAACCAACAUGGCAGCAUAACGAGCCAGUUCUCCGGCUCGCCAAUCCAAGAGGACAGGCAACCAGGGAUAGGAGGCAUCAAGUCUCAAAAACCAGAGUCUUAUAUCAGGGAAUUCUGAUAGUUCUCUAAGAUCACGUGGAUCUUCUCUUGUAUAGUUAAUGGUAAAGCCAAUUGUACGUUCAAGAAACUCUUUUGGCUUGGCUAGUUACAAAAAUUGCAGUAAUACUUCAUCAGGGUUUUGCAUAAAAAGUCAUCAUGAACUUCGACUUGUAAAUCUGAUGCUCAAUUGAUAGCUUUACCUGAUGAAGGAUUGGUAAUCCCAGUUGCAGAAUGAAAUGGGGAUAAGUCAAGACCCCGAAUCACAUCAUUAUCAAGAACUAUUUCAAAUCGACCUUCACUUGGUGGCAUUGGAGGUUCAACUUUACUAGUGUCUGUCAACCACAAUAAUUCGUCAGUUAGAUUUGACCAAGUUUUCAUAUCCAAUAUAUUGGUUGUAUAAAAAAGUUUUGGCCUUUUAUCCUAUUAAAGGAACAAGCUUUCUGAAGUUGUCCAAAAGAUAAAGGGAUAUAAACAAAGUGAGCAGAGAACCCAAUUAAUGAAUUAAGAAAGGUUUUACCUUCUUCCUCGUCAUACAAAGAGAUGUCAAAAUUCCCAGAUGGGUUGAAGGCAACUGAGACUGCCACUUGUCCUUGCCGCCUAUUUAAGUUUGAAAUGGCCAAAGAGGCCAUGGAAUCUGAGAUGGGUGGUCUAAGGGGAGUCCAUGGAGCAGGAGAGGAUAUGGCCUGUCUGGAAGAACAAAUGGGAAGCAGGGUUUGGAAGAUUGCAGCCAUUGCUGUGUAAGCCUGCCAGCCAGCCUCUCAGACAGUUAAUACAGUUGUUUUUCUUUCUUGCAUUUUCUUGUGGCCUUUGUGUUUUGAAUGCUCAUAUUAUCCCUUUAUGGCUUUUUAUAAUAUGUGCCUCAUCCUCAGCAUCAAAUUUCAAAUUUGGGCUGGGAUAAUCUGCUGCUGAUUGUGUUUUGGAGCCCAUGAAUGAGGAAGGCCAAUCUGCAAUUAGAGGCCCCAUUGGGCAGUGCCUGUUGCCUGUCUAUUUCAAUCAAUGUUUGCCUUUGGCCACAUAACCUAUGCUCGUGUUCCAACCAGAGCCUGCCAGCACAACAUAUUAUCAGUAAGAAUCAUCAACCACCACAUGCCAAUCCAUCCAUAAACCAGAAUCAUAUGAACGCAAGCAAGAACUCAUAAUUUGAUAUUGUUUUUCAGUUUCAUGUUGUCAACAGAAGAUAUAAUUAAGAACAGAAAAUUGGUUCAAUUUGGUGUUAUGAAAUAUGAACAAAAGUUUUAAAGGAUUUAAUUAUGACGACCCCAAAAGCCUCAUCUGUCUGUCUCUGUGUCGUUGAGUCUAUUUAGUUUGCUUAUGUGCUGCCACAUGGGUUGGGUUUCGUUUGAAGUAAUUCCACAAUUAAUUGAUGAUUUCUAGGAAAGAAAGAAGGAAAGACGUGUGGCGAUAAUGCACCUCACACUCAGUUUGCAUAUCAUUUACACAAAAACCCACAAAUUUGAACGAAUUAUCUUUUUAUUGUUGACACCAAAUUUAUUUCUAUAUGAGAAGACGUUUCGCCCAACUUUUACUUCUAAAUUACUCCUACCUAAUGAUCAUAUUUUUUGAACAUAUAUUUUUUUUUCAAAAAAUAAAGAAAAAUAUAUCCAUAGCUCUUGGAAAUUACUAAUUGAAGUUCAAAGUGACAUCCAUAAAUAUUUUUUUUUUGGUCUGGGCAUCCAUAAAGUUUAGAGGCUUGUUAUCUCAUAAACAACACAUGUGAGAUAAUUGAUGCAACAUGCCAUCCCAUGUACAUUUGGUCGAUGACAAAAAAGAAAGGCAUGGUCCCAAUUCAGCAUUGGUCUAAGCCUUUCAUUUCGUGACCACAAUUCAUUCAUCUUUUAUGUAACAUAAUUGUGAAAUGGUCCAUAAUUCAUCAUUUUGUUUCUUUCUUUUGGACGAAUUCUUUGUUCGUAGUUCUACCACAAAUCAAAUUAAAGCAUCCUUUUACAAUCACGUGUUUUGUUUUUCUUUUAUUUGAAAUUUUUUUGAUCUCAUCUUGAUGAUUAUGGAUCGUUUGGAAGGAUUCCAAUAUGUUUGAUGAAUAAAAUAAAAUUGAAGUUAUUUAUUUAUACCAAAAUGAAGAAAAUAAAAAUUCAUAUGCUUAACACAGUCAAGUUUAAUGGCAACUAUACCCCUCUGGCAACUAACCUAAUGCAACAAAAUGAGAUGCUUUCUUCUUGUUUCUACGAAUUAGAAGAGUAAAUUCCAGUAAAAAAACCAAGAGACUUGUCAUGUCAUGCUCCUUUAUAAUAUUUUCAGUAAUUUUUUAAUUACGUACACCACAAUAUGAAUGAACAGUAAUAAUAUCUCAUUCAUUUCCCCAUGCGGCUUUACUCUUUUGCUUCUUUUCUAAGCAAAAUAUCAAAACAAUUGACCAAAAAAGAAGAAGCAAAAUAUUUCGAGCAAGCCAUUGCCCACCUACCUACUUUAGCAGUACUAUUAACUUGAUAUUUUUAGCUACAAUCAAUCAUAUAUUUUUCCAUAAUUUCUACAACUAUACCAAGGAAUGUUUAAAAUCCAAUUAAUGCAUCAGAUGUCUUUAUUCCCACCAAGAAAAGCAAACCAAAAUUUGAAAAAAAAACCAACAACCUUCUUCUACACAAAAGAAAAGCAUCGAAAGGUUGCUUGGCGAAAAUAAAUUAAAAUCGCAAAAGAGAAACGGAAAAUAUAAAAAGGGUAUUUUCGUCACGAAAAAAAUAUCGACAGAGAAUAUAGGGCCAGUGAGUGCCAGUCGCUCUCCAAACCGUAAUAAUCGAAAACCAAAGAUCUCAGCUGAUAUAUAUUAUAUAGUAAAUUACAAUCUCUCUCUUACUCACUCUGUCUCUGUCUCUCUCUGUCUCUCACACACACUCUGAAUUAACCAAACGGACGCAUUUAACAAUUAUACGCGGCUUUUCUCUGGUUCUGGUUUGGGAUAGGUUUCUAGCCUUGUGGAUAUUUUUCUUAGUCUGCAACCCAGAAACAAAAACCGCAACCCAAAAUGUUAUGUUUUAGAUCAAACCCACCAAAAAAAUUCCUUCUUUUUCUUUCCCUUGCCCUCUUCAUUGCUUUAACUUCAGGAAGCUCUCACAUUUCGCACACUUUUCGAACAACAGGUACUGUAUACUUUUUUUUUGCUUUUAUUUGCCUAGAAAAUGGUCAUUUUGUGUUAUUCAAGAAAAUGGGUUAUUGUUGAUGUUUUGUUUUGUUUUGUUUUGUUUUUUUUCUUCUGGUUGGUGCAGGUGUAAGGGUAGGUGGUGAGAGUGAGUAUGAGUAUGGUGGAGCGGUGAAAUGGGACACAAGGAGGUCUCUUGCUGAAGGAACUGUCCAAAACUCGUCUUUGAUAUUGGCUGAGAAGAGAACAUACAGGAAGGACCCUCUUGAUGGGUUCAAGAAAUACACUGGUGGUUGGAAUAUCAGCAAUGACCAUUACUGGGCUGUGAGUUCUCUCAACCCUUGAUUAAUUUUCAUAUCCUGGCUGUUUUCUUUGUGCUUUUUAUGAUUUGGGUUUCUCUGAGUUUAUGAAUAUAAUCAUGUUGUUUGGGCUGUCUUGCUACUUGGAUGGACUGUUAAAUGGUGCUUAAGAGUUAAGACCACAAUUGGAAUAUAAAAAUCAUUUGAAAUACCACAAAGUAAAAGCAGCACCCAGAAAGAAAAAAUUGGACUUGCUAAACACAUGCCAUUCUAUAUCAGAUGGGAUAUAGAUUUCCGGAGCUGAAUAGUCCACUGCUGCACCCAAACUCAUCUUUUUCCCGUUAAGCACCAAACCCCCCUUUGCACCCAUAUAUGAAUUCUAGCAUAUUUUCCUCCAAAUAAAUUGACCUUUCAGUACGAUAAAAAAGCGAAGAAAUUAUAUAUGCUACAAACCAAUCGUGCAGAAGGAAGGCUCUGUUUUUUGUUUUGUAAUUUUUAUAUUAAAUUGUUUGCCAUGGCAGGCACUUUGAGUGCAGUGCCGUCAUGGAUGGGCAGCCUCCUCUGUUUUUUCUGGACAACUUGAAACCACUAGUAAAACUUUUAGGGGGCAAGAUGGUUCAUUUUGAAAAUUUGCUGCUUUCCUUACUGACAUUGUGGUUGUUUAAAACUAAUUUUUGUCUCUAAUUGUCUUUCCCUGGAUUUUGAAGCAUUUCAAGAAAGAACAGUUCUUUCUACUUAUAAAUGCAGGCCUUGAACUCUGCCAAGAAUGUUAUUCAUAAAUUAAUAAUUUAUUUUGUAUUUUGCUGAUGUCAUGUGUUUUCUUUGUUUCUCAAAUCCUGUUUUUAUCUUUUUGAAAUUGUUUUUAGACCCUUUUUGUUGUUGAGAUUGUCUGGAGAUUGGAAUGUUUGUUUAAUGUCUCUCAACAAAUAUACAUUUACAUUGAUUAUUGAUGUAUGAUGUAGUCUGUUGGAUUCACUGCGGCUCCCUUCUUUGUCAUUGCUGGUGUCUGGUUCGUGCUUUUUGGGCUAAGCUUAUCCUUUAUCUGUCUCUGUUACUGCUGUUGUCCAAGAGAGCCUUAUGGUUAUUCUAGAACAGCCUAUGCCCUCUCUCUCAUCUUCCUUAUUUUAUUCACCCUUGCGGCAAUGUAAGUGCCCCUCUCUCUCUCUCUCUCUCUCUCUCUCUCUCUCUCUCUCUCUCUCUCUCUCUCUCUCUCUCAUACACACAUUUGAUUCGAAUGGACAAUUACCGCCUUCAAUUUUUGUGAGCUGAUGAUAUCCUUUAAUGUGUGUCUGGUCCAUUCUAGCGUUGGAUGCAUUGUUCUGUACACUGGCCAGGGAAAGUUCCACAGCAGUACAACAAACACGCUGAAAUAUGUUGUGAGUCAGGCAGAUACAACUGUUGAAAACCUCAGGAAUUUGUCAGGUUAUCUUGGUGCAGCUAAAAGGAUUGGAGUUGAUGCUGUAUUUCUGCCAGCAGAUGUUCAAAGUAACAUUGACAAUGUUUUAACAAAGAUCAACUCUGCUUCCAAUACACUUUCUGAUAAAACUGAAAAGAAUUCAAAGCGUAUACAAGAUGGAUUGGAUAGCAUGUAAGUAGAUUUUCUAGAAGAUCUGGGGAAGUUCUGCUUACAAUACGGUGUAUAACAUUUAUCUCUUUCUAUGUUUUGCAGGAGACUGGCUCUCAUUAUUGUUGCUGCUGUUAUGCUCUUUUUGGCCUUUCUUGGAUUUUGUAAGUCUUCUAUUUUCUUUUGAUUAGAGGCAGGGAUUUUCAGGAUUUGACUAUUAACAUUAUAUCUUUUUCUUUGACUACUUGUUGCAGUAUUUUCCAUUCUCGGGAUGCAAGUCCUUGUGUACUUGUAAGUGAAAUAUAGCUUGAACUGUCUCCUUUUUACUUUUUAAGAGAGAUCUCAAAUAUUUGAAGCAGUUGUGUCUUAGUGCUCAAAUAUAUAUAUUCACAAACACUUGCAUAUUUGGUGCAGCUUGGUCAUUGUUGGGUGGGUUCUUGUUGCAGGCACGUUCAUUUUAUGCGGUGUAUUUCUCCUUCUCCAUAAGUAAGUACUGUUUGGUUGUGUUCACUUCAUAUUACUUUCUUAGUCGCACACUUAUAUUGAAUCAUCAUAUUAGCCUUCAGUGUGACAUUUAGACGCAUCUUAGUUAUCUCAUAAGAACAAAUUUAUGAUACGAGUGUCACUCUAUCUAAACUUAUGACUGUUCUGCUGCAUUUGCUUUGUCCAUCUGUUUUCAAAUCGUCUAACUUCUUGUCCUAUUUGCAUAGUGUGGUUGCAGAUGCAUGUGUUUCCAUGGAUGAGUGGGUCACGAACCCCACAGCCCAUACUGCAUUAGAUGAUGUACUCCCAUGUGUGGACAAUGCUACUGCUCAAGAGACUUCUUCACGCACCAAGGAAACAACCUACCGACUCGCUACUGUGGUUAACCGUGUCAUCACCAAUGUCUCGAAUAAGAAUUAUCCGCCCAUCGCGGGACCUUUAUAUUUUAAUCAGUCUGGCCCACUGUUACCCGUUCUUUGCAAUCCAUUCAAUUCUGAUCUCACUGAUCGACAGUGCAGUCCUGGUGAAGCGAAGCUGCAAAAUGCCACAGAGGUAAUAUUAAUGGCUUAUCUAAAAUUGACAUACAUGUUGCCUGCAUCUUUCUCUAAGUUUGGAAACAAGGACUAAGACUCAGGCUUUUGUUUCAAGCAGGUAUGGAAGAAGUAUGUUUGUGAGGUUUCCGCGGCCGGCAUUUGUACUACACCUGGCCGGUUGACUCCAACCUUUUACAGCCAAAUGGAAGCUGCAGUAAAUGUGAGUUAUGGUCUGUAUCGUUAUGGUCCAUUCUUGGUUGAUCUGCAAGACUGCACGUUUGUUAGGGAUGCGUUUACAGACGUGAGUAACCGGAAUUGCCCUGGUCUGCGAAAGUACAGUGGCUGGAUCUACAUUGGGUUGGUAAUGGUAUCUACAGCGGUGAUGUUGUCAUUGAUCUUCUGGGUAAUCUAUGCAAGGGAGCGAAGGCAUCGAGUAUACACUAAACAGUUUACAGCUAGAACUGCAGGGGAUUUCCAAGACAAGGGUGCUUAAAACUUUUUUUUGGUCUGAAAGGGUGCUUAAACUUAAACAUAUGUUUUCGUCCAACCAUGUACAUUGGAGUGAUUUUAGCCUAAGGUCUUUUGUACAUUGUGGUAGUUAAUCUUGAGGUUUGUUUAUUAUGCAGUACUCAGUUGUGUUUGCUCAGAACUCAGUUAGACAAAGUAGUAAUAUUUCGGAGAUAUCAUUAUCGUUAUCGUCCAUUUUUGUGCUUUUAAUAGUUGAUCUUUAAGCCUGAUACCGUGCCUCUUUCCUUACACAUCAUCUUUUCUAUACAAUACUGAUCAAAAUGCAAACAAGAGUAGCAGUUGUGUCCUCAACUGCAAAUUGCAAAAGGACCAAUUGGUAAUUAACUAUAACACCGACAAAAGACCUUGUGGUCAAUUCGCAAAUAUGAAAAAUAGAUAAUGUCGUUUCUUCGUCUGCUGAAAGCAUUGACCUUUUUCUUUUUUCUGUUUUUGGUUUUUGGUUUUUGGCUCCGACUCAGAGUGAAAGGGUUGAAUUGAAUCAUACUCUGUACGUUAUGACGAAGAGUCAUUUUUGAGUUUGAGGAGCACAUUUGAAGUUGGUUAAGUCCAUACACUUACAACAACUAACACGUACCUCUCUGUCUCUAUAUCUUCUUACCUCUACCUCCGUUAUUUCAAAACAAGACGAAGAAGAAGAAGCAGAGAAAAGAAUAAAAUCUUCCAUGGCGACGGCUCCCUCGUCUAUCCACCUUCUCCACCAAGAUUUUCUAUGCCCAAAAUAUCCUCGCCUUUAUCACAAUUAUCAAUUCGGAACUCCUCGUCUCCGACGACGCCCCACUGGCACCGCCCGCCCGCCUUCCCGCUUUCCCUCUUUCGCCAUUCGUGCAAGUUCAGUUGUUACCUUACCGCCUGUACUGCUCUGCCUUAUCUUUUCCCUGCACUCUAAUUUCCGCUAUUUGUUUUAAUAAAAAUUUUCAUUUUAAUAUGAAAGUUCAAAAUUUUAAUGUUUAGGAAUGGAAGUCGAGCACUGAGGAAAGUGAAAGCUCGGGUGUUGAGCUGUUAGCAUGCCCAGUAUGCUAUGAACCGCUCAUACGGAAAGGCCCUCCUGGUCUUAACCUGUGAGAAGUUUAAUGAUUCAUCCCAUUGAAUAAUAUAUAGCUUAAAGGCAAAGUCUUUCUUUUUUUUUUACUUAAAACUGCAGUUGUAGAAGUUUAAUAUUGUCUUGUGAUUUGUAGGCAAGCAAUAUACAGGUCGGCUUUCAAGUGUAAGAAAUGCGACAAGUCGUAUUCAAGCAAAGACAUUUACUUGGAUCUUACUGUUAUUGCCGGGUUGAAGGAGUACGUUGAAGUCAAACCAGCUGGGACCGAGUUAUUCAGAAACCCUCUUGUUUCCUUCUUGUAUGAAAGAGGCUGGCGCCAGAAUUUUAACCGCAGUGGCUUCCCAGGUCUUGAUGAAGAGGUAUGUGUAUAAUGCAUGUACUUUCUGGCUUGCUUGCUCAACUUGGUCUGCACAACAUGCAUGCCAAUUUGGGUUUUGUUUACUUACCCACUACGGCUUUUUAUGCAUACAACAAUAAGUGUAUUAGUUACAUGGUGUUUUUAUAUGCUACGCAGUUUAAAAUGGCUCAGGACUACUUUAAAUCCGCUGAAGGUGGUGUUCUGCUGGAUGUAAGCUGUGGGAGUGGUUUGUUUUCCAGAAAGUUUGCCAAAUCCGGGACCUAUUCUGGAGUUGUCGCGCUUGAUUUUUCUGAGAAUAUGCUUCGCCAGUGUUACGAUUUUCUUAAAAAAGACCCUACUCUUUUAGCUACGUAAGUUUGCCUGCUCUUCUGAAUAAUCAAUGUUUAUGGUCUUUAAUGUCAAAUGACAUGUCUAUCCUAAAUUCCUAAUGUACACAUCAUUGGAAUAAAUGCAGUAAUCUUGCUCUUGUGAGGGCAGAUGUUUCUAGGCUUCCAUUCCCUUCAGGUUCAGUCGGUGCUGUCCAUGCUGGCGCAGCAUUGCAUUGCUGGCCCUCUCCUUCCAAUGCUGUAAGUUUCAAUUCCUCUGUUUUUCUCCUUCAAGUUGCUUGGCGCCCAGGAUCUUAUGUUUAGUCAGAGUUACCCGACUUGGAUGAUUUAAGAAUCAACAUGAUUUUGGAUGAAUAUUAACAGAGUCUUCAAUUUCUAAAUCCUACCUCACUUGUUUUUCAUUAACUUUGCCUUUCCUGGGUGCAUCCCUAUUCCCCAAAAUAAUUUUGUUAUGUGCGCCAAACAAAUCUGUUGGCUAGCUUUGCCUUUUAUGGUAUCGGAGAUGCUAGUAGUGACUAGUGAGUAAACUCAGAGAUGAAUUGCAUAUUGUAUUACACGUCACCUGCUAUGUUGAUAACUCACGAAAAAGUCAUGGUGAAAGUGCCUUGUUAUAUCAACUGGGUGUAUCGGAAAGCAUAUGGAGAAUUAAGUUUUGAACAAUUUGAAAUUGCCUUGACUGGUAAUUAGGAAUAUGAGAUUAAAUGCGGAAUGGUGAGCAAAACUUAUAGCUUCUUUAGGCAAGCUGAAUAAACACCAUUGCCAUUUCACCCAUGGCUCCUUACAAGAGACCACAAGAAGUAUGCAUCUUCCGUGCCAGUGUUUUGUGAGAAAUAAAGGUGAUAUCCUUUGAGAACUGCAGGAAGUUAUCCUUUGAGAACUGCAGGAAGUUAGAAAAUUGGAAAUUACUCUACUUAUGACCUUGAGAAUUUUCUUCUUUUCUUUCAUGCAAUCACUCACGUCUGAAUCUUCAACUUGGGUUUGGACACCUCAAGAGCAUAUUCCAAUUUUGAAUUUUAUUACAAAACCCUUGGUGGCCAAUGGUAGGUAGGUAAUUUCUUGGAGUGUUUCUGUUUGGGACUGGGGACUUACCUUUCAGGAGAUUAGUCGAGUGUCCUUACAUCAUCAAGAACCUUGUCAACAAGGAAGAGAGAGGGCUGCUAGUGAUUAAAGAACCUGGCAAUCAUAGCUCUACUAUAAGUGGGGUCAAUUGGAAUCAGAAAUCAGCAACCUUUUAGGUAAAAGAGUUCUGAGUACAACCUUUCUAUUGAUGCAUAAGCUAUAGUAACAUGAACGCUCAUGGAUAGCCCAUGAGGUAGUUACAGAGUUGGUUCCUGUGGAAUAUACUGCAAUUUAUAAUAGAACGUAACUCCACAAAUGCUGGUGUGCUGGUCUGUGGCUCCUACUUUAGAUAUAUCUUUCUUAGUGAAAUUUUUCGAAGGAAUUAGCUCUCAGGUGGUUUGCUGUUAGCAAGUAGAUAUAUUAAUCCCCUCUCUGGUGGACAUUACUCAAAAAAAAAAGAAAAAAAAAGAAGCCAUCCCGUGAGUAUACAUGACCCCAAAAAAACGAUUCCUUCCAGAAAAAAAGUUAUUCUUACCUUCCUGUACCCCCUCCCAUCCCUGGAAUAAUUGAAAAGAGUUAUCUCCAGUCACCAACAUUGGCAUUUGAGUCUUUUCUUAAGGUGAUGGAAGGCAGAAGAGGGAAAGUAGCUCUAUUUACAAUUACAAAAAAAGAAUUCAGCCACAGCCUUUUCCACAGUUACAGAAGAGAAGCCUUUGCGCUUUGAAUUCUAUUUGCAUCUGAACUUCAUGAACCGUCGAAUCUUGUUAUAUUUUCAGUUUUACUGUAGAUAUGUGUAUGGAUGCAACAAAGUUGCUUUUAACUAACGCAUUUCCAACCCAUUUCUCAUAUAAUUCUCAGAUUGCUGAAAUAAGUCGUAUAUUACGAACUGGUGGCAUCUUUGUCGGAACCACUUUCCUGCGGUAUACUUCAUCUACUCCCUGGAUAUUGAGGCCACUCAGAGAGGUAACACUUCUUACUUAUUCAAAAAAUUAACAAAUGUGAUCAAUGAUAGAUGUGAUUCCUCCUUGGUGGGUUAAUAAUUUCGACCACGGUUUGUUUUCUUAAAUGAAAAUAAACAACUUUGUAUUCAUCUCUGAGUGGAUAAAUGUGCGUACGCUGACUUUGUAAAUGUUGAUUUACUCUGAGGAGCUCUAAUAUGAAGCAUUUAUCCAAACUAGGAGUUGGUUUGUCUAAGAACUUUUUAUUUCAACUUAUGAAUUUCCCAUUAAGUAGAUGUCAACCAACUUAUCUCUGAUUUAUAGUACUCAUGUAUUGAAACACUAAAACUUAUUUAUGUUAUGAAGUUAUAGUUGUUCUAUAGGGUUCAGACCUGUCAAUUUUCCUGCUCAUGCUAAUGUUAUUAUGAUACUUGUUUAUCUAUAUAUGCUAGUGAUAGAAUGUGUGUUCAAAAGAACGAUUGUGUAACAUCCACAUUCAUUUUCGUAUUCUGCAUAAAUUGCACAUGAAUUCUGUAAAGUGAUUCAAACAGUUGAAUUUUCGUUAGUCGGGACUCAUUAGCUGUAGCUAGCUAGGAUCUGUUUAAGGGUGGCUCCCCAUCGAAACUGUUUUUACAGUCAUUGGGACAUGGGUUUUAUUAAAAAUAUGUGACUGACUUGGUUAUAAACUUUAAUAAGUAUUGAUUUUAAGUUGUAAAUUUAUGUGGCAGAGGGCUCUGCAGAACUAUAGCUAUUUAACGGAAGAAGAGAUUGAGGACUUGUGUACAUCAUCUGGUCUCAUCAACUACUCAAGCAAAGUUCAGCAAUCUUUCAUCAUGUUUUCUGCUCAGAAACCUUGAGACUAGGUUUGAGCCAUUUGAAUAUAAUUUCUCCGUACAUGGAUUUAUCACAUUUCUUGUUGAUUUGUUGUAUAGUGUAUUUAUAUAAUUGUAUAGACAUUUAAAAAGAAGAAUACAGAACCUGAAAAGGUGGAUAAUCUGGGGAAGAUGUAAAGUAUUGAUUAUUAAUAAGAAGUAGUAUUUUAUUAACUGUAUAAAGAAUGAUAGUAGUGCUUAACAUUAUCAGGGACUCAAUUAGUGGUUACUGAUUAGUAUUGACAGAUUAACAGCCAUUUCAAUCUUCAUUAGGCGAAGUUGAUUAUGGCAUAAAAGAUAACAUAAGAAGAACAAAUAAAAUAUGCGUGAACAAGAAGAGGAAGAAGAGGAAGUCGAGGACUGCUGUUUUUAGAUAAUCAGAAGGUUUGUGUUCAUGACAAGGUUUCAGUUAAGAAUUUGAAUCUUGCGAGCACGAUGGGAAACUAGAACUACCACAUGAAGGUUUAGGCGUAGGCUUGGAGUCACAUGAUCUUGACUCUUGAGCAUAGUUAGUCUUUAAUCUUUGGAAAAAAGGUUCUACAUGUGACCUGACCUAAACUUUAAAAAUGAGGGCAUGCAUUAUGCAUAUUAUAUAAUAGGGCAUGGUGAAGUGGCUAGGUUAAUAAAGAAAGAAAACCCUUUUUGACAAAGCAAAAUGGAACCAACUGAGACCACACAGAGGCCUGUGGCCACAGCAGGAAGAUCCCCUCGUGCGGCUCAUCCGCUGACCCAGCCCUCCCCCUAUUUCUUCUUCUAACCACAUCAUCAUCUCUGUAGAAUCUGUUCACUUCUGGAUCUUUGACCGUUGACCAACACUCCACACAACUUGAAGCCUUGACUUGAAUGAUAAAAGGAGGAGGAAAUGGUCAGUCCCAAGACACACUUAAGCUUCUCGUUUUGGGCAUUGCCAGUUUGUUUGAAAGCCAGGCCUUUGGAUCCCAUUGCACGUGAGCUUCUUGCUUACUAUAACACCUUUCUGCUUUUCAUGGCACGUGGGGUUGGCCAUCCUCUUUCUCUUCUCUGAUUCUAUUUGUUCUGUGAGCUUAAUUUCUUUCUUCCUUUCAGUUUGGCUCUAGGGAUAUUUGCUAGUUAUGUCGUUUCAUCAAGGAUACACGUGCACAGUAUAUUUCAUUUCAUGGUAGACAUAUGUGAAACUUUUAUCAUGAUUCUGUUUUAUUUUAGCAGUUUCUAUAAAUAAAUAAAUAAAACUACUUUUAGAUUUUUCUUUGAGAUUAAUCUUCAAAAAGUUUUGCUCAUCAACCAACCGUUAACAUACCUUCAAUGCUCGCUUAAGAAGAGGGGAAAAGAAAACAGAAAAAGACACUCAAACCACCUCAAAAUGUUUUUCUUUUAUCUUUUUAUAAAAAUGGAAAAGAUAAAAUAUUUGAUAAUAUCUUCACAAAAUGAUUAUAAGUUUGCUUAGGUCUAGCUCCAAGAGCUGAACUCUCUAAAGAAGAUUAAUUUAAAUGUAUAUAAGGGCUUUGCUAGCUUUAAUCUUCUAGGCAUGCAUUGACAACCGUUGAUUAAUAUGAUAAAAAUGUAUGAUAGCAUUAAUCAUGAGUUCUUGACAACCGUCGGUUGUAAUAUGAUAAAAGAUUUGUGAUGUGGAAUGCUCUGAUGAACAACAAUCACAUAAGGUGGAAGCUCGAAAUUGAAUGGUAGACCUGAAGGAAGGGUAUAAAGGGAAUGAUACAAGACUCUUUGGCAUUGCAAACCCCAAGGUAACUCUUGGUUGGAGCUUAGAGGCACAAUAAGCAAGGUCUUCCUCAAAAUUAGCACACUGGAGCCUCUAAUUAAUUAGGUCAUUAGUUUCCCUAACUAGUGCUCAAUGAGUUGUGCUUGUCUGUCAAAUGUUUGUUGCAAAACCACAUUAUUGUUAAAGCAGGACUUGUGAUUAGUGGAUUAGUGGAGUGGUUGAUUGAUUGUUGACAUGUUUUAUUCCCUAAAAACCGGGUUUCUUUCUUUCUUUCUUUCUUGUACGUGUCUUUGUUUUGACUCUGUUAGUAGAUUAGGCAUGCUGCCAUGGUUGUAUUGUAUUGGCCAGGUGCAAGGCAUUCUAAACCAACACCAUUAUGGCCUCAGUUGGCAGGACAUCCUUUACCAAUUGCCUUUCUCUGUUUAUUUCCUAAGACUCAAACUGCUACUUCAACCUUGCUACCACCUGAGUCACAUGAGUCACAGUUGAGGUAUCAAAAAAAAAACCAAUGAAUGGACAGCUUCAAGUUUUUGUUGUUGUUUUUGUUUUUGGCAUACUAAUAUUCCCAAACCCAGAUUUUUUAAUCUUUCAAAUUUCAUUAAAUUUGUCUCUCUCAUUUUCUGAGCAAUUUAAUAGGGCCUUGGAAGAAGAAGAAUAAACAAAGCACCUUGACAUACUCAAUACACCUAAACAAUAAGGAGAUACUAUAUAAUAUGUUUGAAAGUAUACUAGCCAGCCAGGACCCUUGAGGUGCUCUUCCCUGGUCUCAAAAAUGAAGCAAUCAGACGGUCAGAUUUGCAGGUAUACAUCUUAGAUGUGCAUCCAUAGAUUGCAAGAUUAAGCUCUACUUAUUCUUACUGAUAUGGUGCUCUUGCACCAAAUUCUUAUAAGUUAAUGUAUCUGAUAGAUUCUCUUAAACCAGUUGGAGCUUUUAACAUUUCAAUUUUUUGUGACAAGACAUAGUUGAUAGGUAUUACUAUUGCCUUUGUGUAUUUUUAAUGCAGCUCAGCACCCUUCUUCUCGACCAUGCUUUUUUUUUUCUUUUUUUUUUAACGAGAAAAAAGUUUAGGGGGAGAUUGGCUACUCUCAAUCUCUACCAUGCUUUCAUUGUUGCUGUAUAUGCUCUAAUUACUUAGCUUUGAAGUGAUGGAAAUUAUACGAAUGACAUCAAAAGCAUCAGGCAAGAAAAAGGGAUGCAGAGGAAUACAAUAUACAUUUAGAAAGAAAAUCUACAUUUUUUAUGAAUGAGGAAAAAAAGAAGAUUAAGUUAGCCGACUUAUUGGGAUAUGCAUCUUUAAGUUGGAUCUAACUUGAGCUUUUUUGUAAUUUCUUUGAAUGACAACUAAGUGGAACGCAAGAAUGGACCAAUUGAACUAUUAUCAAGCUGGUGUUAUCUAUCUAUGUAAAUAUCUGUCAUCUUUUUGUUCUGUUUCUCAUUUCAAAGUCUACAACAAGUGGCUGGUUCCUUCCAUCCAACUGAUUUCACCAAUUCUAAGAGAUGAGAAUCAAUGAAAGAAAAGGUAUUAAAAAAACACUUCGAAAAUAAAAAUUUUGAGGCAGAGAGGCAGCUCCUUCAAGAAGAGCUUGGUUAGUUUAGCAUUAGAGCUCUUCAGCCAAGGAGAUGAGCAAGAAUAGUUUAUUGGGGUUUUAGAGAAUGGGAGACACGGAAACAGCCUCCACGUUCCCCUCAUAUCUUACUUCCUUUAUUUAUUGCUCUCUUCUCUCUCUCUCUCUCUCUCUCUCUCUCUCUCUCUCUCUCAUGUUACAAGCCUCCUAUUGACAAAAUGUUGUGUCCCUCCCCAAGGAAUAAAUAUAUACCCCUUUCCUCUCUUGUGAAGCUCCAUAAAUACUCUUAUCUCCAUUCCUAAGUCUCUCUCUCUCUCUCUCUCUCUGUCUCUCUCUCUUCUGUUUACACCACUGUCUUGAUAACAGCUCAAGGAGGGCUCUCUCUUUCAAGUGUUUAUGUGAUCAUGGUUUGUCUCUGUCCACUCUCUGUCUCUCUAUGGCAUAAUUCUUCUUGUCUUUUUGGUUCAUAUAUAUAAUCACUGAGCAAAUUUUGUUGCUUUAAUAGGGAAUUCAGAAGCCUGCGUGGUUGGAAGCCCUCUAUACUCAGAAGUUCUUUGCCGGUUGCUCCUAUCAUGAAACCGCUAAAAAGAAUGAAAAGAAUAUCUGUUGCUUGGAUUGUUGCAUCAGUAUAUGCCCCCAUUGUCUGCCAUCCCAUCGUUUUCAUAAGCUCCUUCAAAUUCGUCGUUAUGUAUACCAUGAUGUUGUCCGAUUGGAAGAUCUUCAAAAGCUCAUAGACUGUAAGAAUGUUCAGGUUGGUGCCCUAUAAUCAUCAAAGCUAGGUUAAUUAACCAUCUCCAUCAGUUUGUAUAUAAUAUAUUACUGUACUGUUUUUGACAAUUUAAGUCUUUGAUUCUUGUUUAGGCAUAUACAAUCAAUAGUGCCAAAGUGGUGUUCAUCAAGAAAAGACCUCAGAACAGGCAAUUCAAGGGUUCUGGAAACAACUGCACUUCCUGUGACAGAAGUCUUCAAGAACCUUAUAUCCAUUGCUCUCUCGGAUGCAAGGUAAUCAACUUGACUUACUUUUGAGUGGUGGCUUUGUUCCAUUCCAUGCAUGCAGCUGAAUUACUAAUAGGUUUUUAAUUAUCCAUGAUCAUGAUCAGUAAUGAAAAUAUCCCAAUAUGAUUGAUUGCAUUUCUGUUAUUUUAUGCAACAACAGGCAACAUAAUAUCACUGAAUUCUACUAGUUCAUAUGCUUGCUUAAGAGAGAAAGAGAUAGAGGCAUAUAUGAAAGGCUUUAACUAAAACUGAACAGUAUUUGGAAUGAUGAAUGUUAAUCAGGUGGACUAUCUCCUUAAAUUGAACAAGGACCUCUCUCCUUUCCUAAAGAAAUGCAACUCUCUUCAACUCAGUCCUGACUUCUUGGUUCCUCUUUCUGAUACCGGAGACGAGGAGAUGACGAGUGAUCAGACCAACCCUCAUUCUACAAUUGUGGACUGCGAUGACCCGAUGAGCUCAUCAUCAUCCGGGUCAUCAGGGUCCGAGAACAUGAGCAUGAGCAUGAACAUGGGAUACAGACAUCAUGAGAUUGUCCGGAAGAAGAGAAGUGGACUGAAUUAUGCUUCAUUGUGCGGAAGAUCAGCUCAUAAAGUUUCAGACGAGGACAUGGCCUCGAGCAUGAUCAGUAGGAGAAAACGCAUUCCUCAUAGAUCUCCUCUGUGUUAGCAACAAAAAAAAAAAAAAAAGAAGAAAAAAACCACAAAACUUAAACUUACUAUUUUGUCACUACAAUUUUCAAUUUAAUUGACUGAACUGAACCAUUCAAAUGCUUUGAUUAAUUAAUUCAUUACUUUAGCUCUCUCUGUCUCUCUCGAAUUUGAAGUUUAAUUUUGUUAAUUAAUCACUUGGUCGGGGUGUUUUGUCUUAAUGUGAUCACGUGGUUCCCAGUUCCAAGUUAUAUUGUUUUGUACAUUUUUUAUAUAACUCUUUUAACUCAUACUAUAUUUAUGUUGAGGGAUUUCUCAAAUAAUUUUAUUUGAGAGACACUAUUUAGGGUUCUUUAUGAUUUUUUUUCAACGAUCUAAACUAUCUAUUUUUUAAGUUUACAUUCAUAAAUCAUCCUUGCAAAAAUUAGACAAAUCGGAAACAGUUUCGACAUCCAACUGUGUUCUAUAAAAUUAUUAAACACAGUGCUUUAAGUACUAAAAUUUUAAUAUUUCAAUUAAGUGGUCAAAAUGAUAUUGAAUUCAAAUGAUUUUUUAUAGAGAUGAUCUUUGAAUGUAUAUCUACAAAAUAGACGGUUUAAAUUAGUGAAAUAUAAUACAUAAUGGAUCAUAUAAGAAUAUCCCUCAAAUAAACUUAUUUGAAAAACUCCUCAACUAAAACUUCAUGUAUUUAUAUAUAUAGCCUGAUUACUAAUAUCAUCAUUGAUUCGAGUACUCGUGAAAUUGAUGGAGCUCUUCUUCUUCUCGUGAUCAUAUUCAAUGUCUUUUUAAGCUGGUUCGCAUGUUCAUGUUACAUGCUAAUGGUACAACAACUCUUAUAAUAAAUAUGUCUACAAUUAAGUAUAUACUUAAACAAUUUUUUAUUUAUUUACGGGUAAUGUUAAUUACAAACCGAAAGGGACUUCCUUUGACUUUGACUGCAAAAUGACACAAAAUAUUGUACAUGUGUGUGCGUGUCUCUGUGAGAGAGAGAGAGAGAGAGUUUAAUUAAUUUUGACCAGUCAAACCUUCCAGGCUUAGCAGUCAUAACAACUGGUUAAACCUUGGCAUUACUAUCUGUAACAAAGCUUAGUCAAAACCUAGUCAUACAAUAUUUUGUAGCACUAUUGUAUUAUAUCAAUGUUUUAAACUAAUCUUGCAAUUAACUAGAUACAUUACUUAAUGAUAAAAAUAAAUAAUUCACCUAAAUUGUUAUUAAAAUAUUUUCCUAAUAAAGCCUUAAUAUCUAAUAUUAUAUGAUUGAUAGAAAUAAUAUUAACCUUGAGUUUUUUUUAACUUUCUACUUGGUUUUUGUUUUUUUGUUUUUUUUUUUUUGCCGUCUUAUUUUAUUAACUUUUUUGGUUUGUUUGAGUGACAUAUGCUUUUGGAUUGAUUUGAACCCCAUGUUCUUACACUCAUUUAGGGCCUAUAUAUAUUAGGCCUUAUUAAUGUUUAGCCCAAGAAGUAUGGGCAAGGAGACCCUUGUGAUUUUUUGUCAGCAAAGCCGAAAACAACUUUUCGUUAGUUUUUGUUUAUCUCUAGAGCUAUCAAUAUAAAAGAUGAAGAACGCGAUUGAUAAAGAGACCUAACUUGUUCAUCAAUUCAUUUUUUUUCUUUCAUUUCUGUAAGUCCCUGAAAAAAGUAGACUUCUUUGUUCAUAUUCAAAUGAUGAUUAGUGUAAGACUCAACGCUUUUAACUGAUUUUUUUACUUGUUUUCAUGACUCUAUAUAUUAACCCUAAUUUGCUCCCUCAUGAAAGGUCAUGGGUUCAAAUCCUAACAUCUAUGUAAUGUAUGUGAAUUAGUAUAUUAUCGCAUUUCUCAAUAAAAAAGAGUCCUAAACAAAAAAACCCUAAUUCGCACCCAACAAUCUCCAAAAGGGGACCUAAAGAAACUGAAUGACAAUAUGGGAUCCAAAAAUACCAAGGAAAAAAAGCAAAGUGAAUAUGCCUGAAAAGUGAAAGCAUCGCCAUCAUGAUCAUGAUCGUGUUUAUGACUAGGAUUUUGAAAUGACUCCAAAUUCUGAGAACCUGGUUGCAGACUGCAGUGAGUGAUAUUUGCUUCUCUCACACUGUCACACAGACUCAGUCUCUCUCCUCCACUUUUUUGUUUCUCCUUGACACUUCCCAUAAAGAAGCAAAAAACACAGUUAUGGUCCAAAUUGAAAAGCAGUUGAUUUUAAAUAGAAAUUAGCCUAAUUAAGUGGUUUAGAUUGGCAGGAACCUAAAACAAGCCAUUAAUAAUAUGUCCAAAAUAAUUGGACAGUGAUUGAGUAUGCACUAGCUAGUAGCUACCUACUCCGAGUAAAGCUUUAUGCAGAAUCAAUGCACAUGUACAAAGUGUAGGAGCAAUAACUAAUUAACUAGUAUAUUAAUAUUUAACCCUUUCCGGUAUUCUUUCUUCUCCUUCAUUCGAGAAGAAUAAAAUCUUCUGAGUUGUCAGUUACUGAUUAAGCUAGUUGCUCCAUUUGCUCUUCAAAUCCAAAGGAAACUAUAUUUAUAUGAAUAUGAGUGCCUAACCCUAAGCCCUGCUAUCAUUUUCUAAUGUUUAUGUCAUUUUCUAGUCUACACACUCUUCUGUCGGAUUGGAUGUUUUGUCUUUCACCCCCGACUCCCUCCACCACUACUUUCAAUCUCAAAUCAUUUCUCAUCGAAUAUGCGACAUGCCAUAUUGGACGCCUGAGAAAACAACCUACAACCAUAUGCAUAUAACUUUCUUUGUAUGUCGAAACGAAGACAUCUAUCAUUGCAAUUUGCAUGCAUGCAUGUGACAUGUUGCAUGCAAAAUAAAAACUCAAAACCAUUGGAACUUACUUGGAGGUGGGAAUACAGCGGAACGUAAGCCUAGAGACUUCUCACGCACACGACCACCACCACUCAUUUUUGAGUAGUAAUUUCUUAUUACUUAGCAAAGCUAUAGCUUAAUUUAAAGUAAUUUCUGUUCCCAUCAGUUAUAUGUUCUUAGCUACAAGAUUGUCAUUGCUAUAAAUAUACAUUUCUGCUAAUCCUCAAGGAAAUAUUUUGUGGUCAAUUAUGUACGUAUUGAAUUUGUGUGUGUAUAUAUAUAGCGAGAGAGAAACGGAUUUUGAUCUUAUCCAUCAUGCUCGUAUAAUUAAUUAAGAAGUCAAUUAAAACGAUUAAAAUCUUCUAAAUUUCACAAAACAAACCUAUAAAUUAAACAAGAAUAACACGUUUGUAUGAAUCUUUAUUUACUAGCUAAAUAAAUACAAACUUAUUGCAUCGUUGUAAUCUACGAUUUCCAGCUAAAUAAUAUUUGUUUUGUCAAUAGUCAUUUUACUUUAAAACCUUCCUUUAUCAUUCUUUUGAGAAUUUCUAUCUACAUAAUUUUAACCCUUAAAUUUUGACGGAUCAGAUUACUCUUCCAUUUUGAGUAUAAACACGUGAGCCGUUGGAUUUGUUUGUAUGUCAUACCGAUUCAUAACUUGGAUAAGUAUUAGUUUAAUCCUCUUUUUGGUAUCUUUUUAUUUUUGUUUAAACCCAAAUGUCUUAGUACCAAAAAACAAAUAAAUCAAAUAUCUUAGCUUAAAAAUAAUAGUAAAAUAAUUUCUCAGUGUCUAUUUAUCUCUGCUUCUCUGCCCACAAGUUCGUGUGCAGGUAUGAAUGUAUAAAUAACCCCACCUCGCACAAGUUGUAGGCGGGUCCUUGUCUCUCCCCCGCCCGCGAGCUCUGCCUCAAAAACCAGAGGUUGAGGAAAUUCUCGGACGUAGACGCGUACACAACAACAGGAAGAAGCAUUACUAAUAUAACCCAAAAACCAAAAACAAAAUGUUAUGCUUCAGAUCAAACCCAUUGAAAAUUUUCCUUCUUUUUGUUUCCUUCUUUUUCUUCAUUUCUUUAACUUCCGGAAGCCCUGACCUUUUGCACAUUAUACGAACAACAGGUACUCAUGUAUGAAAUGCCCCCUUUUAUUUUUAUUUUUGCUAUUUCCUAUUUUAUUUUUGGAUGAAAAUGCUGUUACUUUCGUGUUCAUUGAGAAAAUGGGUUGCUUGAAUUUGGUUGGAUGUGCAGCUGUAGAGGUAGCUGGUGAGAGAGAGCACGUUGGGAUCAAUGGGGUGGCGACAUGGCCAUUGGACACACGGAGGUUUCUUGAAGAAAACACGACUGUCUUAUUAUUGGCUCAGCAGAGGACAAGCAGAAGAGACCCUCUUAAUGGGUUUAACAGAUACACAGGAGGCUGGAACAUCAGCAAUAAGCAUUACUGGGCGGUCAGUUCUCUUAUCUUAACCUUAAUUUAAUUUACUUUUGAUUCAUCGUCUUUUUUCUUUUUUGUUAUUUGGGUUUCUCUCAAUUUAUGAAUGAAUGAUCAUGUUAUUUGGGUUUAUCAAUUAUGCUGUUUGAUAAUCAAGAAUGAGGUCCGUGUUCUGGUUUCCUGUAUGUAUGUGGUUAACUUGUGAAUUUCUGCAUUUGGUUUGCGGAUUUCCUGACUUACUGAAACUUUUUUUGAUACAUAUAAGUAUAGGCCAUGAUCAGACCAAAAAAAAAAUAUAUAGGCCAUGAUGAACUUGCCAGUUUUUAAAUUUUUUUGCGUUAAUGAUGUCCUUGUUGAUUAUAUAUAUAUAUAUAUACAUAUUUUUUGUUGGGUUUGCUGAUACUCUGGUUUCAUAUUCUUUCUUUCUCAAAUCAUGUUAUUCUGUUUUUGACAUUGUUAAGUUGAAGAAAUGUAUGGUCGAUUAUGUUGCUCAACGAAUGCUUUUGAUAUAGAUUGUUGAUUUAUGAUGCAGUCUGUCGGUUUUACCGCGGCUCCCUUCUUUGUCACCGCUGGUUUAUGGUUCCUGCUGUUUGGGAUAUGCUUGUGCCUUGUCUGUAUAUGUUACUGCUGCUGUCGAAAAGAGCAUUAUGGCUAUUCUAGAAUAGCAUAUGCUCUCUCUCUCAUGAUCCUUAUCUUCUUCACCCUCAUGGCAAUGUAACUCUCUUUCUAUCUCUUUCCUUCCUCAUAUCUACACUAAAACGCAAUUUGCAGUGCCGAUAAAUUUCUAGCAUUGAACUGAUGAUGCCUUUUUUAAUUUUGAUGUUUGUUUGUGUGGUGGGUUCUAGUGUCGGAUGCAUUGUGCUGUACACUGGUCAGGACAAGUUCCACAACAGUACAUGCAGUAUGCUGAGUUAUGUAGUGAAUCAGGCAGAUACAACUGCUGAAAACCUCAGGAAUGUGUCAGAUUAUCUUAGUGCAGCUAAGAAGAUUGGACUUGACGCCAUAGUUCUUCCUGCGGAUAUUCAGAAGAGUAUGGAUGACAUUAUGGGAACCAUAAAAAAUGUUGCCAAUACUCUUUCUGAUACAACUGAAAAGAAUUCAAAGCGUAUACAAGAUGGCCUGGAUAUCAUGUAAUUAGAUUCUUCUACAAGCUCUUGCAACUUCAAACUUGUGCUCACAAUGCUAAAUUUGGAUAACGUGUAUCUGUUGUUAUGUUUUGCAGAAGAAUGGCUCUCAUUGUUCUUGCUGCUAUUAUGCUCUGUUUGGUCUUUAUAGGAUUUUGUAAGUUCUUUACUUUCUUUUGAUUAGAGGUAGGAAGUUUGGAGAUUUCACUUUUGGAAUUAUGCCUUAUUAAUCUUCUUCUCUUUUUUGUUUUUUGUUUUCCUUGGGGACUACUUUUUGCAGUAUUUUCCAUUUUUGGGCUGGAAUUUCUUGUAUACUGGUAAGUGAUAAAUACCUACCUACAGCUGUUUCCUGUUCAAAUUUUAAGGCAGGUCUUUAAAUUUUGGAAUCUGUUCAUUAACAAACACUUGGACAUUUGAUGCAGUUUGGUGAUUAUUGGGUGGAUUCUUGUCACGGGAACAAUCAUUUUGUGUGGUAUAUUUCUCCUCGUCCAUAAGUAAGCUCUCUUCACUUUCCUUAAGUGCAGCAUUUAGAUGUUAAUUUCAGCCUGUCAAGCUUAGUCUUGGUUGUUACAUAUUUGUCUAGAAGCAUAGAGCAUCAAUUCAUUUUUCUAAGUGCAUUUGUGUAUGUAGUGUGUUUGCAGAUGCAUGUGUCUCCAUGGAUGAGUGGGUUCAGAAGCAACCCAAGGUUCAUACAGCCUUAGAAGAUGUACUGCCAUGCGUGAACAAAGAUUUAGCUCAAGAGGUGUUUUUACGGACCAAGGAUGCAACCUUAUACACUGUGACAGUGCUCAACCGUGUCAUCAACGACGUCGCAAAUACUAAUUCUCCGACCGUCGAUGGUCCCUUGCAUUUCAAUCAGACUGGCCCACCAUUACCCCCUCUCUGCAACCCCCUCUUGGAUGAUCGCUCCGAUCGAAAGUGUAUCCCUGGUGAGGUCGAACUGCAAAAUGCCGGACAGGUACUUAUAUACGUACUAACUAACAAAUAUCAAUGCCAUUUUUCAUGCUUGCUGCAUUAUUAUAUAUUGCUUUGUUAAGUUGGGUUUGAAAUUGAAUUGUUGCAGGUAUGGAAGAAGUAUGUGUGUCAGGUUUCAGCCGCUGGUGUUUGUAUAGGUCCUGGGCGGUUGACGCCAACCUAUUAUGAACAAAUGUCAGCUUUCGCGAAUGUGAGCUAUGCUCUGUAUCGUUACGGUCCCUUCUUUCUUAACCUCACAGACUGCACGUUUGUUAGGGACGCAUUCUCGGACAUAAGCAAACAACAUUGUCCCGGUCUGCGAAUCCACAGUGCUUGGAUCUACAUUGGGUUGUUUUUGGUUUCUGCAGCUGUAAUGCUGUCCUUGAUCUUCUGGGUUAUCUAUGCCCGCGAACGAAGACAUCGUGUCUACACGAAAAAGAUUUUGUCGUCGAGAGUUUGUGGAGAAUCUGAGAUGGAGUUAAGUCAUCAGCCUCGGUCCUCCAGGUGCUCCUCCUCCUCCUCCAGGAUGAGUUUCAAGACUCCAAGGACUUCAGUAGGGUUCCAGGACAAGGCAACAUUUUAAUCAUAAACAUUUUCUUCCAUUUGCAACAACCAAAGCAAAGCAGAGCUUCCUUGUUAUUGGGUAAAAUGUGUUUUUUGGUAUUUUUGGUAUUUUGGAUGUAUAUCUCAGUGAUUAUUUUACCCUCAAGUUUUUGGUAUCUCCUCCUCCUCCUGUGAAACUUGUUUGAGUAAUUUUCUGCUUCACCACCGACUGUACAUAAAAUUCAAUAGACCGACCCUUUUAAGGAUAAAGGAUUAGCUGCCUUCCAAUCUCCAUCAGUCAAAUAUCACUACAAUAAAUUGGGCAACCUUUAAUCAUCCAAUCAAAAUCAGCAAGUAAUGGUUCAAUGUGAAAGAAAUCUAGUCUAAAGGAUGAGCAUGUUGAAAUAAAGGAAUCAAUUACAGAUAAUGUUGCAAUCUCUUAGCCAAUGUCAAUCAACAUCAAAGAAUGUUGUUUUGAGUGAAAGAUGAAAAUUGGCCAAAUUUCCAUAUGUCACAAGUCAACAGUAGAGGCUCAUGAUCAAAAUCAUAAUGCGACUCCAAUUUCUUUCGUAAUAUCUCAUUUCCUGUCUCACACAAUUUUUAUAUUAUUUAUUUUACAUCCUUAAUUUGAUUGAAAACCCGACAUCCAUUGAUUCUAAAGGCAAACUCAUGUUUAUCUUAUCUUAUUUUAUUUUACAGCUAGCCAUUCCAUUGCCGCAAAGGUGUCAUCUCUACAAGACAAUCGUCUCUUAAUUGCGUGCAAUCCCAAUGUUGUUGGAACGCUAAACCAAUCAAAAAGAGCCCACACACUAAAUGAAGGAGAUCAUAUCUUCUAAGGGUCAUGCUAGGGAUUUUCCUAUCUUCUAAUCUAAUACAAAGUGAAAACAAACAAAUUUUUUACCUAUGUGUUAUGAAAAUGACUUUUAGAAGUAAGUGUCGGCAGACUAAAACGACGAUAACUAACCUCAAAUCUCUCAAUGAAAAGAGAGCAAUUCUCCCAAUAUUUGACCGACAAACUAAUUUGAUUAAAGACUCAAUUUUAUUAGGUGUUUUAUUACAGAAUAUAAAUUAACUAUAAGGUAAAAAAACAUGAACGUUUAAUUUGAAAAGAAGGGUAAAAAUGUACUAUACCCGUCUAGAAGAAUGCCAUCAAGAUUGAGGUAAACAAUAAUUGUUGUCCUUUAUAGUUUCUGAAUUCCUACUUAUAAGUUACUUGGUGCAAUUAGUUAUCCAUUUGAACGGUAAAACUGAUUUGACAUAUAGACCCUUGUGCCCUUCCAAUCCAAAUGUCCUUGAAAUAUCAUCAUCAUCAUUAUCAUUUUAAUCAAAGGAAGUUAGGGGAUGUGGGUGGGUAUGAAGGAAAAGGUUACUAAGGUAAAUUCGAAAAACCAGAAGAAGCUAUAUAAAAUCCCCCAACUCCAAACCAGCCAUUAGUUUGAUUUGAAUCACCAAAUUAAAAAAAAAAAAAAGAAUAGUCAGCCUCUUCCCCCCACAAACCCCAACCCAAUAGAAAAUAGAAAAUAGAAAUUGUUAGUGGUUGAACUAUUCCAUGGCCUCAAAAACUGCAACCUGCAUUUCAAAAUCACACAACUCAAACCGCACAUGUUUAUGUUCACCCACCUCACAUCCUGGAUCUUUCAGGUGCAGUUUGCACAGAAAUUCCAAUAAGCAGCAACCCAUUAUCAGUAAUCCUGCAUUUGUUGUUAAACCAAAUUCCAUUAAGGGGUGCCUGCUCCUUCAGCUCAUCAAGCCCUCCAGCCAUGAUCUUCAAAGGAGAAGAAAGUUCCAGCCCAGGCCCACCAGAUUCUGUUUAAUGAAUAACACCAGAAAUCAGCUUGCAGUUUCUUGAUUUAAUGAAUGAUCAAAUAUGUUUGUACAGUAGGAAAGGUAAAAAUAAAUAAUAUAUUUUUUGUAAUUGUUUCUCUGCUUUCUUUAUACAUUUUUAUCUCUGGAAAAAAAAAAAAUAUAUGAUCCUGUUAAGAUUUCUUACAUGGAGAGUGAUUUAUUUGAUUCCCUUUGCCAAUAAUGAACAAAGAAAAAGCAACAGUGGUGGUGGUUCUGCAUAUUUAAUUUAUUUUCCUUUGUCCCCCCUAACUUGAACAUGCUAAUUAUUUAUAUAGAUUAGCAUCAGUGUACUGUGUAUGGCAUUCCUUUGAAGGACAUAAUAAUAAAAGCAAUAAUGGCAUGAUUUGAUGCAUCACACAUGCGCUAAUUUACUGAUAACCUCAAAGCUCAGCUGAACAAUCUUAUUACAUUAAAAUAAAUAUAAUAAAUCUGAAGCAUAUGAACAACCCGACCUUAGCUCAGUUGGUAGAGCGGAGGACUGUAGUUGGAAAAUCCAUCAGAUAUCCUUAGGUCGCUGGUUCGAAUCCGGCAGGUCGGAAAUCUUUUUAAUUUUUUGCAUUUAUUAUUUAUUCAACCUCCUCCAAAACGCACUAGCCGGUAAAUAAAACACACCCAAAAUUGAUUAGGGCAACAAACAAGAACCUUCCAAACACCAACUUGCUUGAAGAAAUUAGAAAUGUUUAUGAGGUCAAAAGCUCGGACAAUUCAAAUGCAUGCUGCGGAGACUUGCAAACACCAACUUGCUUAUGAAUUUAUGAGUUUGACCCUUGACCUGGGCUGGCACGAACCAUCCAGUGCAGUGCAGUUCACAUAAUAAAAGACUGGUCCAUGGAUUGGUUUUGCUUCCAAAACUAAACUUGGUGCGACCCACAUCCCCCACCAUGUGGGAGGACUUUUCGUCCAAUAUUCAAUCAUAUUGGACAUUAGGUUGCAUUUUCAAACUCUUGGCAAACAAGAUUUCCAGAAGAAAAGUAGUGACGUUCAUUUUCAAACAACUCAACUCAACUGAAGCAUGCAAUGACUAUUGAUUUGCAAGUAAAAAUCAUUUUUUCACAGAAUUUUCUCAGUGUCUCAGUCUCAGUGUCAAUCUCAAUCUUCGCCAAAGAAGGACCACGUCCAAAGUAGAGGCCCCAGUGUGUCAUGUCAACUGGGUGCAUUGGAAGCCCAAUCAAUUUAAUUACUUGUGUUGUGUAUGAAAAACAAAAGAGGAGGCUGCCAGCCAGCCAUACAAGAAAAAGAAAUGAAAGACUUUUACUUGUUUGUGCGCGGCUGUUGCUUUCAGAAUCAUAUCUACUUGUUGUAAUAGUUUGUGGAUAAUUAAGGAACUCAUCGACAGAAUCAAAGCUGUUGUUUGAUCAAUAUUUCCCAUUAGAUUUUUUUUACAUUCUUAUCUUUAAUUUGUUAAUUACUAGCAUGGAAAUAUCUAAUUUGGCCAUAAUAAUAAUAUCAGGGUUUGAAAAAUAUAUAUAAUUAUACGCGUUGGCAGCCGAUUCUAGAGUAGUUGAACGUGAAUAUAAUACUUGUCAAUGAGAUUGACAAGGGAGAGGGGAAAGGAAAACUAUAUUAAAGAAGGUGAUAGACUUGGAAAGCUUGAAAUGCUUGACCCAAAACUUGGACUUUCUCUUCUCAGCGGUCAUCUUGCUAGUCUUUUCUGUCUAAAUCCUGAGGUUUUACAUUUAUGAGAUAAUUAACGAAAAUUAAGAAAGUUCAAUGUGUGGGGAGGCUAAUUAAUAGCCCAAGAUUCCAUGAUUUAUUCUAGGGCCCCGAUUUUCUGUUUGAAUUUUCUCUGCUAUGAUAUAUUGACUUGUUUUUUCCACAUGUCAUCUCAAUUAUAUUUCAUCCAAGGACUUCAAAAAUAACACCUUCUACGUAAAAUAAAUGAAAAGUAAUACAAUUAAGCUUUCUCUUCUCGGCAGUCAUCUUGCUCGUCUUUUCUUUCUAAAUCCUGAGGUUUUACAUUUAUGAGAUAAUUAAACAAAAAUUAAGAAAGUUCAAUGUGGGGGGAGGCUAAUUAAUAGCCCAAGAUUCCAUGAUUUAUUCUACGGCCCCUGAUUUUCUGUUUGAAUUUUCUCUGCUAUGAUAUAUUGACUUGUUUUUUCCACAUGUCAUCACAAUUAUAUUUCAUCUAAGGACUUCAAAAAUAGUGCCUUCUACGUAAAAUAAAUGAAAAGUAAUACAAUUAAGCUUCUUUUUAAUUUGAACAUGGGUUGCAUUGCAUCCUCAGCAGAACCACCUAUAACAAAAGAUAAUUUACUGCUUCAUCGUGAUUUGGUAAAAAUAGGUGAUCCAAUGCUCACUUAAAUACCAACCGAAAAAAGAAGAAGAUAAAAAUUGAUUGCUGUUAGCUACUAGCCUAACCUAACAAAAAUGAAGUACCAGAUCUUGAAGAUUGAAGCCUGGUACCAGCAAUUUGUGGGGAUCUCAAAUCAAAGUCGGGCAGAAGCAAAAGUGACUCUGAGAAUUACUUGGGUUUGCAAACAAAAUCAAUGAAGUGAUGAGUUAGAUGAGCAUACAGAAAAAAGGAAAGAUGAAUGGUUACUUACUACCAACCUAGCUAUAUAAAACAUGAUGCAAAAGCUUUUACACAAUUUGUCUCUCUUUCUAGUUCGUCCACAACAGUGUACAUGAUUAAUUUAUUUUCAUAGAGAGAGGUUGGAGGAGUUGGAUGAUUUGCCACCCAACUAAUUCCUAAUUAUAUGAUUAACAUACUAAUAUGCGGUAUUGUGCUUAUGAAGUUUCUAACCUAAAUCCUCACGGGUACUCAACAAAAUCAAAGUAAUUAAUUUUACUAAUUUGGUGUCAGCCCGUGGUUUGCUAGGUAUACCUACUAAUUAAGUAAUUGAAUUAAUGGCCCCAUCCCCUGAUGAUCAGCAGGGUUUUCCACUGUUUCACUUGUAUCCACAACCUGGUUAAUAAAUAUGAGCAGAUAACUUUGUUUGGGAAAUUCUAAAGUUUGAAGUUCACCAUCUACUUUCAUAUAUUUUUGUUUUUUGUCUAUCUUUUUUAAAUAAAUAUUUUGUUGGAGAUAUGAUUCCAGUAAAGAGACGUGCAACAACUUCAACUACCCAUUUGAGAAUCUUAAUCUUUAAUUUAGAUGUGCACAGUGCAUGCAUAUUGUAAACCUCCUGCCAUCUUUUGUUCUUACGUAUACUCAUCUGGAUGUUUGCACGAUAAUAAUGCUUGGACCAGGGGCGGAGCUAUAGCCAGGCCUGCCAUGGCCCUGGCCCCCCCACUUAAUUAUUAAUCUCUUGUAAUAUAUUAUAAAAUAUAUGAUAUAGUAAUACAAUUACUGCAAUUAGAUUAGUGAUGGCCCUCCCAGUUGAAGAUGAAAAACCUAGUAGAAGUGAUUUUGAAAUUUUGGCCCCUGCAUACUAAGAAUCCUAGCUCCGCCACUGGCUUGGACGUCAUUGUAAAGAAAGAAGAAAGUAUGAUGUUUGCACGAUAAUAAUGUUUGAAUGUCAUUAUAAAGAAAAAGAAAAGCAUGGAGAAGUAGUAGAAAAUACAAGACGUUCGCACGAUAAUAAUGUCCGGAUGUCCACAUAGGAGAAUUUAUGAACUUACAAAUGAAUGGUAAUUGCUAGAUGCCAAAAUAUCAAAAUCAGUUUACAAAGAUGUAAUUGCGUUGUUUUUUAGCUUUAUUCUCUUCCUUUUUUCUGAUCAGAUAUUUUUUUUUAACAUUUCUUCUAUACUCAAUAAUCCGCCUAUGGAAGAUAAUAUAUUUAAAUAAAAGAAAAAGAAAAAGAAGAAAGUGAGAAAGAGGAAAGAAAACGAAGACCAAAUGAAUAGUACUUGUCAUUGGUAGUGUCUUUUCCUUUGGGGCCAAGAAAGCAAAUUAAUGUGAUUUAGAUGAAAAAGAAAAAGUUUAUAAAGAAGAUGUAUAUCAAUAUAAUUUUAGGAAGUAUUUUCUGAUGUCGACAAGCAAAUUUUUUUAUAAAAAAAAAAGAAGAAGAAAAAAAGAAGAAAAAGAUGGUAAUUAUAUAGCAAUUAGUAACUAAUUAUAUUAUGAUAUAGAAAAGACUACCUCUUUUUCUGCAUGCACUGUGUAUUAUGUUCCAGAAGUCUUGCGUGCCUAAAACGUUUUCCUAUGUGCAUUAUUUGAUUCCCAUUUUGUCAUAUAUUUUGGGUUGAGACGGUUCUAUUCCAUUAUGUCGACAUAUUGACACGACUUUGUCAAACAUCGCAUUUGGGCGCUCACACCUUUAUUAGAUUAGAAGCAUUAUAUGAGCUACGUGUACUUUUCUUUUAUAUAUUUAUUUUUUAUGUUUGCAAAUAUAAAAUGAAAUUGAGAAUCUUUUAAACUGAAUUAUUUAGAAUUAAUAAUGGGCAACGUGUCUAGCCCAAUAAAAAAAAAAAGGUAAACUGAAAGUUUUUAGUUCGAAUUCCCAUAAUAUUAUAAUUGGAUGUCUGUGUGAAAUUCUUGUCAUAUGUAAUUAUAUUACUUAUACUCAAAAACAAAAAGAAUCAAUAAUGAGGUUUUAAUUUGAAAUUUAAUUAAUUAAAUAGAAAAAUACGUAUGUGAAUCGAGAAUAUCAUUAUUUUACUAUUAUUAAUGCGUGUCGGAGUGGUUUGGGUGUAAGCAUAUUAGCAAACACUCCGGUUUGACGAUUUGUGAGGAUAAGAGAAUUGUAGGCAAGUGGAACAAUUCUGAGAGAAGCACGUGUCCCCCACCUCAAUGCAAGUGUGCCACAUACACUUGCAAUUGCAAUUGCAGGGUCCCCAGAUUGAUUCCAUAUCUAGGAAAAAUCAAAGACAUCACAUGAAGGGUCAUCUAAAAUAAAAGUCUGGUGGAUCUGAAACACAUUAAAAAAAGAAUAUGGAUUCCAUUCCUGUUAUAAAUUUUGUUUCAAGAAGAAUCAACCUAAUUGGUAAAAUAGAAAUGCAUGCUACCUUCUUAAUGUUGAUGCUUCAUAUUUUUAUGUGUAAUCCCAAUCCCAUUCAUUCAUUGGACAAAGGAUUACAAUCCUUACGAAUGUAGUGGUUUGAAGCAACUUUUAAUUGGACAAAUAACUAUAAUUAUUAUGCAAUUCAUUUAUUGGUGUAGUAGUUUGGAUCAAUUGUUUUUUAAAAAAAAUUUGAAUUUGAAUUAUAAUAUAUAUAUAAUGUGUAUGUAAAUUUAAUAUAUUAUUAUCUCUCUUAAUUAAAAAAGAUUACAACCAUUACAUACAUAUCAUUAAAGAAAUAAUAUUUGUUAUUUACAUACCCUUACCUAAUACAUGCCGCGAGUGAAAACAGCUAAUCUCCUCCUCCUCCUCCUCAGUGUUAGACAAAACUAAUUAAUUAUCGCAUAAUUUAUAUUUAAAAAUAAAACGAAAUUAACAAAACAAGGGGCUGAGGAGAGAGAGUAAAGUUGGUAGCGUUUUACAGCGUACGUACGUGGAAUUUAAGAGGCGAUUGUGUGUGUGCGCGUGUCAAAACGGAAGUACGUGGGAGAAGGGUCGCUUGACUACUCUGAAACGCUGUCAGAUAAAACAGUCUGCUUUUUUAUUUUUAUUUUUAUUUAAUUUUAUUUAAUUUUAUUUAAUUGCUCUUCUGCGUGACUUCGUCUCUGCGGGCUGCACUGCCCAUAGCUUGGCGUCGAAACCGUUGGUGCCCAAACUGCAAAAUCUUAACCUCGCCCCUAGUUUACUAUACUCUCUAACCAACCCCCCAACCGUUGCUCUGGUUAGGUUAAAUGUUGCUAAGAUGCCCAUAACUUUUCCAUAAUUAGUUUUUCUGUAAUUACAAUUAGGCAGGUACUUUGUAUUUUUUAUCACAACCUUUUAAGCCACAAAUUUCUUCAAUUUAUUUAAUCAAAUCCAAAUUCAUCUCUCAUAUGAUUAAUUAUUCUCCAAAUUAAAAAAAAAAGUACAAAUACUGUCGAUUACUCUCUUUCUAAUUAUAAUUAGGGCAGGCAUUGGAGUAGAAAUCCUAGCUUUUAUAGUAAAAACACAAUUUAAUUGCAAUAAAUAAUACGCGUGGCAGUCGUAGUACCCACAACAUAAAUAAGCAAAAAUCUAGGGGUACGAAAGAAAACCGAAUAAAUAAAUAUCGCGGGACCUGAGCCAUUUUCUCCCUCCCUCAUUCACUAUAAAUACAUAGCUCGAGUGAAGCUAGGUUUGCCGAAUUGGGCAGCGAAACGCAGCUUACACAAAAAGAAAAGAAAAAAAAACCCUCCCUCUCUUUCUCUCUCUUUCUCUCUCUUUCAGUCUCCAAUCUUCUCUCUCUAAAAUCUCAACCUGAUCAACAAACAUGGCAGCAGCAAGUUCUAGAAGAUCAUCGUGCGGGCCAGUCAUCCGCUCGGCUUCACCCGCUGGAAGAUUCCACAACACUCAGUAUUCGUCCUCCUCAGCCUUCGCCUCCUCCACUUCCAGCUUCUCUUCCCGCUCCUCCAGUUUUUUCCAGCGCGCCGCCUCUCCCACGCGCCUCAACCUCGCCAGCUCCUCACCCUCCGCCCAGUCCGUACGCUUCUCCCUUGACCGCCCCAUCUCCCCGAGCCGCUCCAUCUCCGUCACUCCACAUGGCAACAGCAACCACCACAACGCCGUGAAGAGCCGUCAGAUCAGCAACCAGAAGCGCACCUGUAUGUGUUCCCCUACAAAUCACCCCGGUUCGUUCCGUUGCAGCCUCCACAAGAACUUCAGCUCCCACGUGACCGCUUCGGCGCCCUACUCGCAGAACCGCCUCAACGCUCGGAGAUCGGCGAUGACGAACUCGCUCGUGAGAAUCGGCGGCGUCGAAGGCGAUCUGGUGCGGCGCGCUUUGUCCGCUCUGAUUCGCCCCUCUUCCCACAGCCAAAGGAGAAGAGCCGAUUUCCGGCCAAGGCCCAGCCGGCUCUCCACCAUGUCCAAGUCACACGAGUAAUUGGAAAAAUUAAUUUUGAAAUUAAAAUCGAAACUUGAGUCCUUUAGAUCCUGAGCUAUUCUUGCACAUCCUUUGAGAUCUUCCGGCGAGGUGAGGCCGCGCUCGGCGGCGAUGAAGUGUCAGGAUCCGGUGAAAGUGUGAGUGAUCUGACCGAUUGGUGACCGAAGUGCUACUGCUAGGGGAAUAUGUUGAUAUGAAUCGAUAUGAAUCGAUACGAUACCUAGCUAUGAUUCUGUAUAUAUAAGUACGCAUAUAUUUGUAUGAGUGGCGCGCCUUUGUUGGCUGCUCCAAGCUUUCUGGGACCUUAUUAAACUUCCAUAUAAGCAUAAAUUUAGCAGGCAAAAUUAAAUUCGAAGCAAGCAGAUUUCAUUACUUGGCUUGGGUUUGGCAAUUGGCACUACUAGUUAGUUGAGCCCAUUUCUUCAACUUCUCCGGGUUGGUUUUCCGUUAGCCAUUCAAUCAGCAUCGUGUGCGUUCUCCGUUCCGUUAGUUUUGACGUGUUCCGUUAUCCGUUAUGCUGUGACGGUAGGCGUAUACGUAUCAUCAUGCGUCUUGUCUGGUAUAUUGUGGGUUGACCGUAUGUUCCUUCCGUUUACCCCGUACCAGGUCCUGGAUUCAUAAGGGGGCUAUCGGAGGUUGAUUUGAUAUGAAUUAAUUGUUUCGUUUUUCAUUCUUUUAUUAAUUGUUCUUUUUAUUUUCUUUUUGUUUCAGGUAUGUAAAAUCUCCGUGGAAUUCGCACCGAUUGGAUUGGACUGCAAUUUAUUUGAGAAAUCGGGGCUAGAAAAUGCCAAUUAGAUGACCUUUGGAGGGAAGGAUUAUUGGACUAAAACGAAUCUAAUGAAUGCUCUUUCUAAAAUUAAUGAACAGUACAAUUAACUUAAAUUAGAAAAGAAAAAAAGAAUAAAGUUGGGGAUUUGUUCAUGAUGAUGAGCAGCUGGUGCCGGGCACCUGAGGGUAGCAUGUGAUGUGAAGCAACAAAGGAACAGAAGUUUAAAAAUUGCUAUAAUGAUCAGUCAGUCCAUAAUUAUGGACGAUGACGAUGAACCAGUCCCUUUUCUUUUCUUUUUAAAGAUGCCAAAAUGAUUAUUGCUCAACACACAUUUUUUAGAAUUGUUUGGAAUCAAAUCGGUUGAACUUAUAAAUUUUGAUUCGUCUCCUUUUUUCUCUCUCUUUUGUUAUUUGGGAAUAUUAAAAAGUGAAGGGUGACGGAAUUAAUAAUUAUGGGGAAGUCGAUGUGCGAGACGACUGGACCUAAACAAGUUGGGUUGCAAUUGGAUUAAUUAAAGCAACAUUUGCCCAAAAUGAAGGGGCCCAUAGGCCUAAAGGAGUACAGCUGCUUAAAAUUCAAGUUCAACUGUAUGUGUAUCAUCCCAUUCAUCCAUCUUCAUCCAAUUCAAUAACAAAAGAAAAAAAGGGACUUUAGCGGUCCCCACCCAGAGAAAAACUUUAUGCAAUGAGCAUGACAUUUUUUUAUAUUCCCGGUCAAUAUUUCACAAGCAAAAUAAUGUUAUUUCUGUUUGUGUGUGUGGAAGAUAAGGUUUUGAAAAAGAAGCCAAGCAUAAAUAGUCAUGGGCAUGGGUGCGCAGGGAAGGAAAAGGAAGGGAUUUGAUUUGACAUAGCUAGGGGAGCUGGUGUUUAUGUAUUUUGUUUGGGCAGUGUCUUUUAGUGCUGAGACAAACGUUCAAACUUGGUUUAUCCGUUUAGCAAAAUGGAAAUGAAUUUAGCUUCAACUCAAUUAUAUAAGUAGCAUUCAGUCACAUCACAUCCACAAGUACAAGGGGCCUUUGUAAAUAGUAUUUUAGUUUUGCUAGUUGUGUUACUUUAUAUAGCACUGCUUGUUUAUUUUUAGCGGCUGCACUGCACUGUACCUGGAUAUGUAGCACGCUAGACAUUACGUGUCAGAUCCCAACCCUAAUCUUUUUUAAUAUGAAAGUGGUGCAAUGCAGAGCAAAAUGAGUUUCCCAUCAAAAGGAUCGACAGGGGAAAGAAAGUGAAGUUGGAAUGGGAAUACAUGUUGUAUUGUAUGUGCAAUGUGCUUGUGCAUGCAACUCGCAAGUUCGCAACCAAAUUGGAAGAGGAAGUGGGUGGGGCCCAGGAGUAUUGUUCGGGUUCGGGUAAUGACAAAACCCGUCACGCCAGCGCCAUGGUGCAUGUACCAUCCACGUGGGGGUGUUGGAGGGGUGACGAUGGAUUAUGGAUAGUGAUCCUAUUCCUUUCUGUUUGUUACAUUUGUUUGUUUGUUUGUUACGGCUGGUCUGCAAAAUUCAAAGUGGUAGGCAGCAUAAGGUGGGAUAAGGAUAAGGGCCAUAAGGCCACAUCACAUCACAGAUUCACACAGCCCAGUGCCCAGUGCCCCGUGCCCGGUGCCCACCCAUAUUUUACGCAAAAUAUUUUCGGUUAUCAACUUUUGUAGCGUAGGACUUGCAGUUGAGUUAUUUAGCAGCUAGCCUUUUGGGAUUGUAAUUGUAGCAUUGAUUUAUAAUGUAGAAAACCCUUUACUAAUCUUCUGUGUUUGUUUGUUGGUAACUUGGUUUGGUACGUGUAUGUCUUGAGAGAGAGAGAGAGAGAGAGAGAGAGAGAGAGAGAAAUUGUUGCUCUCGCCCGCGCGCAAGAAGAGGAUCCUGUUGGUAUAAAUAUAUUCACAACAGAAACAGCUGUAUUACUCAUUGUAUUUGAUUUAUACUAGUGGGGGUGGGGCCUCUGCCUCUGCCUCUGCGCAAAUAUCUUUGGUUAUCGUAACGUUAUUUUCUUGAAAGGUAAGUUUGGACCCAAAUAAAGAAGAAGAUAUAUAACUGGAUAAGCUUGAUGACAUGACAUGAGGACACCAUGCCCAUUCACUAUUCACCUCAGUACUAGGGCUUGUUUGGCACAUUUUUUAGACUUGGACUGGCUUGUAUUAACUUUUUAUUCUAUGUUUGUUUUACUUGGUAGUUUGUACUAAUUUUAAGUGGGAUUACUAGUACUGGUUUCAACAAAAACACCUCAUUAGGUGGUGUUAGUGAAGUUCGUGUAGAAAGUAGGGACAAAUAGUCUCUCGUUAUCGUCGAGCGCUGCAAUCGUUCCAAACCUCCCACCAUCACAGUCAGAACAAAAAUAACUAGCAUAAAGAAGAUGCAUAUCAUAUUCUUGUAUGUAUACCAUCAUGCUUCUUCAUCAAAUUUCUGGGAAACAACAAAAAUGUGACUAGAAACCCAACAAAAAUGUGACUAAAAAAAUAAUUAUGCUUAAUUUUUUUUAAAAAUAAAAUUUAGUUAUAGUCCAAGCAUACACCAAAUGUAUGACAAAUGUAAUUUAGUUUAAACCAAGCCAAGCCAAUCAACAACAAUCCUUAAGCAUAAUCUAUGCUAAGACAAUCCUGUGUAACAAACGAGGCCUUUGCUCUUUAGAGUAUUUGUUUGUUGGAGUUUAAAUAUACUUUUAUUUUUCUAUUUUUCAUUAAAUGUUAGGCUCGAAUUUAAAUUUGAUCACCAAAAAUUUAAUAUUAUAACCUCAGUGACCAAAAAUGUAAUUACCCUAUAAAGAAAGAAAGAAAGAAGACUUAGAUGGACUGACCUAAAUUCCAUGGACAAUCAAAAUGCAGCUGGAUCGCAUUAUAACAUGUGGGGGAUUCAUUCAUUCGAGUGGUUCCUUUAUAUUGAUGAGGCCACAGCCUCACCCACCUCCUUUAACAGCAGCUGGGCCUUUUCUUAACGGGCUCAAAUAGAGAGAGAGAGAGAGAGAGAGGGAGAGAGAGAGAUGAAGCCCUUCCUAAAACAGCGUUACCCAUUCGCAGCAACCAAACCAGAAAGAAGCCCAUUCCCCCAAUAAUAUGUUGGAUUUCCAGGAAAAGGGAAAUGUUAGUGUACAGCAAGUAUAAUAAAGGAAAGGAGGACUUGUAGCCUAAGUUUGGAGGAUGUGAGUGAGCCCUCUCUUUGGAGAAAAAAAAGGGAUCCAGGCUCUGUCUGUCUGUCUGUCUGCCUGCCAUAUCAAUGAAUCAUAUAAAUAAAGGCAACGUGCGCUCAAAUUCAAAGAAUGGGCUCUCUCUCUCUGCAUUCUUUCUUCUUUAAUUAAUUUGGAAGGAAAGAACUUGGAACUUGGAACUUGGAACUUGGAAGCAAGCAGAAGAACCAGACAGACUGAUGAUCCAUGGGCCACCCACAUUUCUUUUGUAACAAUCACACUCUCCUAAUAUAUAUAAUCAUCCUAUGACUUGUUCUUCUGAAUCAUAUGCCAUGUAAUCCAAGUUACUUGUGACAUUUGCACAACAAUUGGAUUCUUUUAUCUUAGGAAAACCCUAUCACUUAUUUUCCAACUGAAAAGACUAGCUUGCCCUUCUUUAUAACCACCCCCAAAAUACAUUUAUUUAUUUAUGUUGGAGAAUGUGUACAAUGUCAAUGGAUAAUAUCUACAACCCAAUUGUUGUUACGAUAAAAAAAACAAGAGCACAAUUCUAGUUAAAAAAUCAGCAUCCUGUAUAAAACCACAGAUCAGACAAAAAAAAAAGAAGAAGAGAGUAAAACUACAUAAUGUGUGCUAAAUUUAUUUAUUUAUUCAAUAUAUUAUUAUUUAUUUCAACUUUGAGAAAAUUGAUUAUUUGACGAAAAAAAAAAAUGAUCGGCUCCUAACACACGUGCCCUGCGAGGAGCAAAGCACAGCCACGCUUUUCCCGAGCACCGGCUCAGUUUGUUUACUUUUUGGACAACAGGAAACGAAAUGACUCACCGAGUAGGGCCCACAAAUCAGGUGACACGGCCCUAGCUAGCUCCUUCUCCUUGUCACGCGGCAUGACCCGUUCGUCUCCUCUGCGUCAGAGAGAGGAGGACGAGAGGAGAGAGCAGGAUCAGAGACAGACACAGGGCGAUGUUUUGCUGCUUGCAAUUAAAAUCGUCAUGCUUGAUCUUCCUCGGCCACAGUUGCCAAUUUGGCUUCAUUCUUUUUUCGUUAUAAUUAUCUAAUAACUAUACACAAAUAAAUAUUAAAAAAUAAAAUAAAAUUUCACAUACAAGGAAAGGAAGAGAAAGAGAGAGUCGAUCAAUAGACCAAAACCGAAGGAAAGUCCCAAAUGCCAAACGCCAACUCCAAGUCAUUGGUUCAUCUUUCUUUCUACAACAAACCCAGAUAAUCGAUUCAGACCACCGCCCUGCCCACAUAUCUCCUCUUCUUUCCUCUCCUCUUAACUCUCAACAGCAACAACACAAACUUUAAUUAGCAGCUUCUUCUUCCUCUUGUUCUUGUCUGAGCUGAGUUUUCUAGCAGCUUCCAUCCAUGGUGACCGUUAAAGCAGGGACCAGACCGCCAUGGGUGGGAUUGGGAGCAGCAGUUUGGGUCCAAAUAGCAGCAGGCAAUGCCUACACUUUUCCACUUUACUCUCACUCGCUGAAAUCGGUUCUGGGUUUCAACCAGCGACAGCUGACCAUGCUUGGUGUGGCCAAUGACAUAGGUGAAAAUGUUGGUCUCAUACCAGGUAUUGCAUCCAACAAGCUCCCGCCUUGGGUCAUUCUUCUGAUUGGCGCUCUCGCUUGCUUCUCUGGUUAUGGUGUCCUCUGGCUUGUUGUCAGCCGCACACUUCACCCUCUGCCCUACUGGUUGGUAUGUUUUUUCUUUCUCUCUUUCAAUCCUUUUGCUCAUCUGAUUGCUUGGAAAUAUGGCUUAAUGGGUUCUUUUUUUCAGUGAUUAUCAUGUACGAUUUAGUGAUGUUUGAAUUUGACUUUGAUAGAGCGACUUUUGCUUCCAGAUUGUUUUCGUUUUGAGACACUACUAGGAAUUUCCUCUUCUCUGAAAAAUGAAAAAACAGUUAUGAAGUUCACCACCCAGAGUGGAAUAUUCUCGUUGCAAAUUACAAUUCAAGGGUUAUCCACUUGUGAUAUGUUAAAUCGGAACUAGUUCCAAAGAUUAUUAGCUUUCUUUAUGGGAUUGAUGAUGUUAUUAUUAACAUGCUUUCCUGUUAAACUGUUAAUUCUUUCUAAAACUUUUGAACGAAUUGGUUGACAAAAAUUGGUGUGCUUGCAUUUGAUCUGACCUUGCGGGGUUGCUUGGUUAAUGCCAUUCCAUUAAAGAAACUCAGAUUCAUUGGUAAAUUGCAAGCAGCUUUCUUUUGGCCAUUCUUUUUUGUCUUUUUUUGUGGAGAUUUGAUUAUCCAAUUAAAUGAUUGCGGAUGGAUAUGGUUUAUCUGCAAAUACAGAAACUUUCUAAGAAUUAAGAAUUAAGAUUAUAAAUUCUAACUUGAAUUUUCUUUGGUAAUGCAGUUAUGGAUUGCCCUUUGUGUUGCCACUAAUAGUAAUGCUUGGUUUACCACGGCUGUGCUUGUAACCAAUAUGAGAAACUUCCCUCUUAGUCGUGGCAUGGUUGCUGGUAUUCUAAAAGGUUAUGGGGGUCUCAGCGCAGCUGUAUUUACAGAAAUUUACAGCGUUCUGCUUCGUAAUUCAUCUUCUAAGCUUCUACUCUUCCUGGUACUUGGGAUUCCAAUUCUAUGUUUCAGCAUGAUGUAUUUCGUUAGGCCUUGUACUCCAGCUUCUAGUCAAGACCCUGCAGAGCGUGGCCACUUUCUUUUCAUCCAAGUUGCAAGCGUUGUGCUUGGGUUAUAUGUUCUCACAACUACGGUAUUGGAUGAUGUCCUUACCUUAAGUGCUACAGUUACCAACACUUUUGUUGUCAUAAUGGUUCUGCUUCUCAUGGCCCCACUUGCAAUUCCUGUAAAAAUGACAUUGUAUCCCACCAGAGCCAGCAAAUCAGGGACGCUUGGUCAAACAGUUGGGUCUUCUGAUAGUUUGAACCAUGCGGAAGGCUUGGAUAAUGGAGAAGGCAAUGCAGACAAAACAGAACCACUGCUGAAACCAUCUCCAUCAACAAGCAGCCUGGCAAGUGAAGGUGAUGAUUCAUCUGAUGUAGCUAUGCUUCUUGCAGAGGGUGAGGGGGCAGUGAAGAGAAAGAGAAGGCCCAAAAGAGGGGAGGAUUUCAAGUUUAGUGAAGCUGUGGUCAAGGCUGACUUCUGGCUCCUAUUCGUGGUUUAUUUUGUAGGGGUUGGUUCUGGGGUAACUGUUCUCAAUAAUCUAGCCCAAAUAGGGAUUGCACAAGGAUUUCGUGAUACCACAAUCUUGCUGUCUCUCUUCAGCUUUGGCAAUUUUGUGGGACGUCUUGGUGGAGGAGUUGUUUCUGAACAUUUUGUCAGGUCAGUAAACAUUUAUCCCUUAUGGCUAAUCUUCAGGUAAGUGUGUGUUAGCACAUCAUUCUUGAUCCAAACCAAUUAUCAACUGUAAACUAAGGGAUAAGAGAAGUACUGUUGUUGAAAUGUUUGUGAUUUGAGUAAUUUGAUAUUUGCGAGAUCCUCAAGAAUAUGAAACAGACCGGCAAUGAGGCAAACUCAGUUAUUAAUGCAGUCAAUGUAGUCAGCUAUUAAUUCAGAACUCUCAAUUCAACCUUGUAAUUUGUCCCCAAAAACAGACAGUUGAACUUUUCUUUUAGAUAGAACUUCUAUAGAUAUAUAGUGAAGUUCAAAAUAAUAAAGCAGACUCUGCUAAUUGUCCUCUCCGUGAAAUUAGCUAUGCUACAUGAAUAUGCUUGAGGUUUUAUGUUGUUCCAACAUCCAAAUGGAGGUCCUUUUGAUUUAGAGAAACUUCUCUUUGCAGGUCAAAAACAAUCCCUCGGACAGUUUGGAUGACAUGCACUCAAAUUAUAAUGAUUGGUACAUAUCUGCUGUUUGCUUCUGCCAUCAGUGGAACCCUUUAUGCUGCAACUGCAUUACUUGGAAUCUGCUAUGGAGUCCAAUUUUCUAUCAUGAUCCCAACAGUCUCGGAACUCUUUGGAUUGAGGCAUUUUGGCAUAUUCUACAAUUUCAUGUCAUUAGGGAAUCCUCUAGGCGCAUUUCUUUUUUCAGGUCUCCUAGCAGGGUACGUAUAUGAUAAUGAAGCAGCAAAGCAGCAUGGGAGUAAUAAUAUCUAUGGGACAAAUGUCUCCUGCUUGGGUCCAAAUUGCUUUAGGCUGACCUUCCUUGUUCUGGCAGCUGUCUGUGGCGUGGGUACCAUCUUGAGCAUUGUUCUGUCUAUAAGGAUAAAGCCUGUUUACCAAAUGCUUUAUGCUGGGGGUUCCUUCAGGGUACCGCAAAGUACAAACCAUUAAGAACAAUGUGUGGUGAGUGGAAGUUCAACUGUCCAAGGAGCCAUCCUAUAUACUCCUUGAAGGUCUUGCGCAUAUUGGUAGAACUGUUGGAGAUCUCGAAACUCCCAUCAAUGGAGUCCAUGUUUGGGCACCAAUAGGAUCUACGCAUGCCAAGGCUCGAUCUUAUUUGUACUUUUGUUGGUUACAAUACUAAUAUGCAAUAUUUCAGGUGCUGUAUACAAAGCUGCAGUUUGAGACUUAUUAUAGCUCUUGAGUGCCUCCUAUGAACUACAUGGUAAGUACUGAGCAGUAAAUUAGAUAAGAAAGUUGUGGCAUUUACUUACUUCAACGUCAAAUGCGUCAAGAGUCGAUGUUGUGUCCUUCUCGGUGAAGUUAUCAUAUAAUUAUCAACAGCACUCUGCCCUCCGGCAUCAGUGAAGACUACGAUACCUAUAAGGGGUUCCUUUGGCAUCAUGAGGACAUGUAUGAUGUCGCUCAGGGAUGAUUACGAAAUUCAGUUAUAGGUUUCAAUAAUUGUUUGGAUUGAAUGAAUUUAGCUGCUUGGUUGGAAGUGGAUGAUGGAUAGAUAUGACAGUUAAAUAUGUUGUAGUGUUUAAUAUUUUGUUGGGUGGCAAUUAUUCUCCAUGUGUUGUUGAAGUCGACUAGUUAAUGCAAAAGUACAAAUCUCAUAACAAGAGUCUGUCUGAAUCAUGGAAGUUUGCUGUAAAGCUAGUCCCGAUUGCAAUCAAAUGCCAUUAAGUUCACUGAUUGAUAGAUGAUAGGAACUCAACCCAGAAUUUGCCCCAAUGAAGGCAUACAUACAUGGCUGAAGUGAAGAAAACUACAAAUAAACAUUGGACAAAUCAACCAGUAAAUAUAUUUAGGGCUUUCUUUUCCAUCUGAAGAUAAAUGAGAGUACCUCAAACUGAGGAAAUAAUCCACGAACUUUAACGAACACACCGAAAAAUGGUCAAGUCCAGGCCACUCUGUCUGAACAUGCGUCUUUUCCUUUUUCACACGAACAAAAAUGGUUGCAAAUACUAGGAGUGCAGAGAGAAACUAUCAAGUGGGUUUCAUAUCCUGAAACAGUGCAGUCCAAAGUGAAUGAUCAUCGUAAUCAACAUCGUCAACCCUUUCCUUCUCAUAUGGAGUGCAAAAAUUUGGGCUCACAACAAGUCUUCCAUCCAGAGGACCAGACAGCCUUGGACUUUUGUUUGAGACCAUGAGCCUCUCAUGUGUUCUUCCCUGCAAAGGCCCAGACAACUUAGGGCUCCUAGUAGUUUCAACCAACAGCCUCUCUGGUGCCCUUCCAUUCACAUCCGAAGGACCUGUAAGUCUUGGGCUUCUAUUUGUAUACAUCAACCUCUCAUGAACCUUCCCAUCCAACGGCCCAGAUAGCUUCAAGCUCCUAUGAUUAUUAUUAUUAUUAUUAUUAUUGGCCAUCAAUCUCUCUUGGACUCUCCCAUCCAAAGGUCCAGAAAGCGCCAUGCUUCUAGUUUUGAACAUUACUGGCUUCUCUUCCUUCACCUCCCCAUUGACAGUGGCCUUGUGUUUCCUCAACAAAGCUCCUCUCCAAUGGUCUUGAUACCUAGCUGCCCCCUCACCCGCAUCCUUAAGAGACAGGUCCUCGUGAAAAACCCACUUGUUAAAGUACUUGCUGAAGCACUUCUUGGUUCUGAUAAGCGCCCAGCUUAGCGUUGAAAGCGACCUUGGGUGGCCUCCUAAUCCACUCCUCUCCUUCUUGGCAAGCUUGAGUAUCUCUAGCCUGUGUUUGGCCACAGAAAUCCCCAUGCUCUGCAGAAACUCAUGGUCGAAGUAACUCACGUCCUCGAAUUGCAGCUCGUUGCGAGAGAAGGCGAGGCCAUACUCGUAGAUAAGCGAUGGAUCAAGACCAGUUUUUGACAGCCAUGAGAACCAGUCCAUUAUAUAAAAGUGAUGUUAUGUUAUGUGAUGCAAAAUUUAUAUAUGUGAGGUGAGGUUGUGGUUUGGAGACAUACAAAUAUUAUUAUAAGAAGAAGGGAGGAAGGAGAUGAUAAGGGAAGGGAAGUGAAAACGGAUAAGCCCAAUUAAUUAAUGUGGUGGGUAAGUUGCUAUUCAUUUUGGAAGUUAAUGAUGGGGGCCUCCUCCCUCCCUCCUUCCCUCUAAUUUCUCUCUGUGGAAAAUUUGGAUGGUUGCUGGAGACUGAUUGUGACAUUAGCAAUAUCCUGGAAGUUGGAGCAUCAACACUUGAACGACCUCGUGACCUAAAGAUCCCAAAUGAGUUUCUUUCACUGAACAGGUUAAAAGUUUGAGUUAAGAGACAAAGCUUACGCAGCAAAGAGUAAAUGUUGCCAAAAUACAACAGAAGAGAAGAGAGUUUGAGUGUGAGUGUGACAGUGGGCAGGUAAAUACUAAAUGAUUGGUGAUAAAUUAGGGACCCAAAAUUAAGGGAGCAGUUAGCAUAUUAAAUUCGAUAACCUACUGCGCCUUUGCCUUUAUGAAACCAAUAAGAGCAGAGCAAAGUUCAAAGCACUAGAUUUCACGGGCCCCAAUCACUUUUAGCCUCACUGUUUAGUAUUUUACCUGCUCACUUUACUCGUGAUCUUGUGUCUGUCACCCAAAAUCGUUAAAGAGAUAUGACUACACUUAACAACCUACUACAAAAUCUACAAUAUUUAAACAUUAAAAUAUACUUAAAAAGUAUAGCCGCCCGGCUAUACUCUUAAAAGUAUAGUCACCCCCUAUACUAUUUAAAUAUUCAAAUAAAUUUAAACAGUAUAGCCGCCCGGCUAUACUCUUUACACAUUAAAAUAUAUCUUCAAAUAUAUUCACCCUUCUACGCACAAGGCUUGAGUCGCAUUUCCAAACAAAGUGUCAAGACAUCCAAGAGAAUAUUUCUGAAAGAAAGAAAAGGAAGAUACAAUCAAAACUUUGAUUACUAAUCCAAGCAGCAAGCAGCAAGAGGAAACUUCUAAGUCAGCCUCAGCACCAUUUCUUGAAGAAGAGCUCGCUUCUGCACUGCACUUAUUACAUGGUUGGUCUCAGCAUUCUCAACAACACCAGUGAAUCAGUGAUAAUGGCAGCUGCAUGACCAAGUGGCUCCUCAUCAGCCCUCUUCAACAUGAAGGCCUGCACAACACAACCAGAUGAGACAAUAUGACAAACUAGAGAAAGGUUUAUCUAUAAACUGAUUGUCAUUGGAAGAGAAUCUAUAGGAACUAGUGCAAGUAAAGCCUAAAUUUCAUGAAACAAAUCAACAUCCUUUUGUCCAGAGAGAGAGAGAGAGAGAGAGAGAGAGAGAGACCUGGCCAUGAUGGGAUAUAGCCAAUGUACAUGGUUGCUGAAACCAGGCCAGGCCCCAGACCAAAAAAAAAAUUUAUUUCCUUUUUUCCUUACAGAAGAAAUCCAAAUAACAGUAACAGUAUUUUAUUUAUACAGACUGAAAAAUCAGAAGACAGUAAAGAUGUAAAGCCAAACCCAUUGACAAUAUUUUUCAUAAUAAACAACAAACCAAUUGAUAACUGACCCAAUACAACCGAGUAAGACUAGGGGUACAAAACUAAUGUGAGCUGAUUUGAGAACUUUGUUGAAGCCAUAACUCAAGUCAAUAACUAUAGACAUACUAAGAACCUGAGAACCAGAAAAAUCCAACCAAAAUACAGCACUCCAACUAACUGCUCAGAGUUAUCCCAUUUAUAAACCAGAUGAUCACAAUUACUUACCAAGAUAGUAGUUGAUAAACUUAGGCGAUUGGAGCUGCUUUCCCCUGUUGAUUUAUAAUUGCUACCUUCCAACGAUCAAGAAUGGUUACUGCAACAUGCUCUAUGUGGUGCAAAACGGUGCAAAGGCCUCCUUGUCUCUCCACUGAGCCCAAACCACCUCCCCAUGACAAAACUCUAGCCAGAUCAUUCCAUGUUCCGACAGGUAGAAUAGCAACUGGAGGAGGAGACACAAAGUUUUGCUUUUCUAUGGAAUUCAGAACCCAACCAACAGUACCAUCUCCCCCACAAACAAGAACUCUGAAGUGCGGCACCUUUCUGAAUAAAUAAAGACACACCUCCGGUCCUUGUGUUGAGCUCAGCUCAAAAACCUACAUGAAACACAAAAACAUGCAACAAUUAAGCAACAAUAUAUGAUACAUCACAAAUAUUAAUAGAGAAUAGGUUCACCAAGUACUCCAUAGAAAUCAACUGAAAAUAGAGCCCAGCAUGUGAUGUUCAUAAUCAUCAGCAAUUAGAAUGUACUGUUAGGACUUCCUGUUUCACUAAGGGGCUAAACUAGCAAAUCUUAAUUUUUCAACCCCACAGAGAUUUAAACCUUAAGCCUUAUGGUAAUAACCUUACUUGGCUCAUUUGAAAAGAAAAGAAGGGGAAAUCUUUUUUACACCACAGAAAUUUAAACCUUAAACCUUACUUAAAGACCUCACUUGGCUAAACAAAGAAGGCAAAUGUAUUUUUCCAACUAAUCAAGAUGGUAAAGAAAUCAAACCUGAACAGGAUUAAGAAGAAUAUUCAAUCGAUGCCUCAGUGAAUUCACACGCUAAGCCCCACUCCUCUUGGUGACAAAUCAAUCAACUCGUAUUUUUGUUUCAUCCCUAAAACCUGAGACUCAUCAUUCUUAUUGCUCGACGAGUUCCUUUUGAAACUAGGCUUAGAAUCCAAUUUCCUAUCUACAUCACCAUCUUGGUGCUGCAAAUCCACAUUUACAGUACCAUUACAGUUUUCCUCAAUUCAUGAGAACCAUUAACAGCUUGAUGAGUAUCAGCUGUGCUUUCUGUGGACAUAUCCCCAGUAGUACUACCGCUAUUUCCCGUGUCAACAGAGGUUUCAUUUCCAUGCUUGGACUUGUUGCUCUGACUCCUAAUAUCUACGUAUUAUUCUAGUCAAUGAUCAAAAUUUUAUAUUUCUCACAGUUACUAAGCAUCAUUCAUUUUCUCUCCCUCAACACUCGUAGGACUUCAUGGAAGAUUAUGAGGUAAUUGUGCCUUUUCAGUCUCUUCAAGCUCUAGGAUGCCAUGUUGAUGCAGUUUUCCCCAAGAAGAAAGCUGGUGAAAUCUGUGCAACUGCUGUCCAUGAUUUUGCAGGUGACCAAACAUACAGUGAGAAGCCAGGCCAUAAUUUCACACAACCUUCAGCAGACUCUGUCGCCCUCUUAAUCUGCCAUCACAACUUUGUGCCAUUAGCCUUCGAAACACUUAACGUACAUCAAGUAUAGAAAUUAUUCAACAAAACCGAUAUCUAUCAAAAAAACCUAUGACAAUGGCCAAUUACCAAUGAAGAAAUUGAAAGUUUUCUAAGACAGAGGAAAAAGGAACAUGAACACAGAGAAGAACCUUGGCUCAGCUAAAGGCAUCCUGCCUUAUAAUAUAGAUGGUGAGACAAAACACGCUUUACGAUAAACAAUCUAGUCUUUAACUACCUAAUAAUACCUCAGCACUAAUCUUUGCCAUAAUUUGUUUCAAAGGCCAAGAUGCUAUCCUUACAGACAGAAACAACAAAUUUUUAAAAAAGACAAUCAACAGCACCUCUAGCAGGCAAGUUACUUUGCAAUAACGAACUCCUUUCAUGUCUGCACCUAUUUCUAAAUUCUAACUCGGAAAAUUUGUCACUGUUCCAUUGAGCAUCAUAUAGUUCUAGUUUCAUGAACACUCCUACAAGCAGUCCACUACACAAACUGGUUCACAUUAUCAUUUUGAUAAUGAGAUAUGGCAACAGGAGCGAUGUUGUAUAACAAAAUCAGUUCAAAUCACAUAACCCAAAUUUGGUCCACAACUAGCAACUCAAGUUCAAGCCCAAAAUCUAAAGACCCCAAAAUUUUGAACUAAAACUGCAAACAAGAAGAGAAAAUUGUAACCCCAGGACUAAUUUUCAUUUUCUCCCUACCAUUUCUUAACAAGAUCCAGUAGUAAUUUUACAGAAAGAAAUCACCUGAAGAACAAAGAACAUACAGGGUCGAGAGCAUGGUGCUCAAAGCCAUAAUCAGCUCCCAAAGAGUAAAAGUACAGACUUUGACACUUGUUCAAAUCUGAACUUGAGGGUCGAGGUCUUUUAAGAGUCAUUAUAUAUUGUUAUUUUUGCCCCUGUCUAUAUAUUGAGAGGAAAACAAAUCUGAACUUAUCUUAACCACUUGAGCUAGAAGCCUUUUGAAUAUAUAUUGUUUCUCACAUUACUUAUUUCCCCAAAUCACAAUUUGGCACAUUUGUAAAAAAAAAAUUUAUCAACAACACAAAGAAAAAUAUUUGCACACCUAUCAAACUGAAUUUGGCAGGAAAAUAGGAGGCAAAUUCCCACCAUAAAAGCUUGAAAUACUUAGCCAAAUAAUUGGUGAGCAGAACAACAGCCAUGUUGCAUUACUUUCAAAAUGCCUAUAGACCAUUUACUAUUCAAAACCAGAUAUUACGAAACUGAAAAGGAAAAUGCAGGGGCUGUAUAUCUCAGUAGCAUACUAGCAAAUCAUGUUAAUGAAUCACAAAACUGCAACUCAAUCAGCUUAAUCAGCUAGUUUCCCUCCGGCAUUCAUGGGUAAAGAGAAAUCUCAUAUACCUGUAAUGCAUCAUGUAUGCUGCUGCCACUGGUUUGACUCAAAAGGAAGCAGAGCGGGUGAGCCUUGGCUUGGCUAUCUUCUUGUCCUCUUCAAGAGGGAUUAGUGAAAGAUUGGCUGGGUUCUCGAUCAUCAGUUUAGCUACCAGAUACCCUGAGAUGCUCCAGGUCUGGUACUUCCUCGCUUGCUUCCUGACAUAUCUCCCUGCCUUGCUGUCAUAGUAUUCUUGCCACCUGCUUUUGAGAGCCGCUGCUCCACCUAUUCAGUUGCUCUCUUAGCAGUCCGAGGCCGCCCCGUCUUGAUACAUGCUGCAGUAAGCAACCACAGCAGUGCUACAAGACAGAUGCAACAACAUUAACCAAUUGUUUUAGAAGAACAAACACAUAAGUCAGAAUUCUGUGAACAAGCAUCAAAAUAUCAUGAAUAACACAACCAUUUGGCACGCUUUCCCAAAUUACAUUCAGAAAUGUAUCCCACAACAUUUAUAUACCCAAAGAUUUCGAUUGGAAAAGUGGUUACAAUCAGCAAAUAAAGAUGUUUAAAAUAAAAGAUACGAUGUCAGGUAAGUAGUGCUUGUAGCCUAAGUUUACUAAAUAAAAACAAUAACUAGCCUACUCGCAUAAAGUGGGUACUAAUGUUCAUGAAAUGUAAUUGAAAGGUCUCAGUCGAAUAGAAGUAUCAAUAGGCUUCAAGUAGAAAAAUAGAACUGCAAAUUGUAAUAUCAAGCAAACAGACACAGGGGACAUUAUCCGAAAGAUUUACAAAUCAACGGAAACUAACAAAACCAGCCUUGAGCCACCAAUAUUUAAGCAAAAACCUUUAUACUUUAAUGAUGAAAAUGACUACGAGAGGUGCUAAAAUGAAUAAAUAUAGCAUGUAACAGAGACAAAUCAAAACAAGACAUGAACAAAAAGAACAGAAAAGAUAAAGAGCUAAUGCAAAUAGCACACUGUGAUAACACCAUCUCCAUGAGACUUACUUGGCCAAGAGCCACCAUUGUGAUAACUCCAUGAAACUUCUCUGGGUUAUCUGUUGUUGUUCGGAAAUCUUCUUUACAAGUUAAAUCCAUGAACAUACUCACUCAUAUUGUUAAUAUUAUGGAAUAAAUGGCCUAGGCGGGCGCUAGGCAGGCUAGGCUGGGGCUAGGCGGGCUAGGCAGUCUAGGCGGUUGCUAGGCGGUCCUUAGGCGGGCGCUAGGCGGGCUAGGCGGUUGCUAGGAGGUCCAGGCGGGCUAGGCUGGGGCCAGGCGGGCUAGGCAGGCUAGGCGGUUGCUAGGAGGUCUAGGCGGGCGCUAGGCGGUCUAGGCGGGCGCUAGGCGGGCUAGGCUGGGGCUAGGCGGGCUAGGCAGGCUAGGCGGUCACAAGGCGGUCGGUAGGAUCAUCAAUGGUGAAAAAGUUGAAACGCGGUGUAUUGGUAGGGAAAAUAGGAGGGCUUUGUAGCACGCCACCGCCAAUUUGGAGACUUGACGAGUGUUACUAUCAACAAGACAACAACAACAAACCCUGCUCUGAAUUUCUCCCACAACUCUUCAGAAUUUCAUCCAGUUUUGGGUUCAGACAAUAAUUCUUCGGAAUUUUACGACGAUGAUGACAAUGACGAAGAAGAUGGUGGUGGCUGGGAGCGUGGUACAGUUUAAAAUAUUCUAUUUAAAUAGUAUAGCCGAACGGCUAUACUUUUAACAUAUUCUAUUUAUAGAGUAUAGCCGGCCGGCUAUACAUUUAGAAUAUUCUAUUUAUAUUCGGCUAUACUCUUCAACACAUUCCAUUUAUAGAGUCCCGCCGCGCGGCUAUACUGUUACAAAUUCUAUUUAUAGAGUAUAGCCGAACGGCUAUACUUUUUAACAUAUUCUAUUCCUUUGUCCAUCUGAGAGUUGAGUCUAACCAAUUUCUCUCUCUCCCUCUCUCUCUCAAAUACCAAGAAAAUGGCGAAAGGCGAACGCAGGGUGUUGUUGGUAUUGGGGGACUACGUGGAAGACUACGAGGCGAUGGUUCCAUUUUAAGCACUGCAGGAAUAUGGAGUGUCCGUUGAUGCCGUCUGUCCUGGCAAGAAAGCAGGUGAUAUCUGUCGCACAGCCAUUCAUCAACUUUCUCCUACUCACCAGGUCACCCACCUCUGCUUCUUUUGCCUUUUCCUUUUUCUAUUUUUAAUGAAUAUCGUUUUCUUUAGCCUCAUUACAUCACUUGAGCACUGUCAAUUGGUCUUUUCCAUGCUCUGUAAUUAAGCACACUCAAUUAGAUUGAAGAUUGAAUGCUUACUUCACUUGAAUUUGUAAGCCCAAAACAAGAAAUUUGUCUCAAAGAUUGCAGUGCUUACAAUUCUCACAUAUGGGAUUAUGAUUCCUCCUCUAAAAUUUGGAAUCUGUUGGGACUGGAAAUUAGUUUGUCAGUUUACGAACGAACAUCACACUUUCAAGUUUAGUUUUUUGCAUCAGCCAAUCUUUGGUAGCCUUAAUUAUAGACAAAAUGAAUAAGUUAUAUUGUUGAUUAGAGCCACUCUAUUAGAUUGACAAAUAGCAAUCCGUAGGUUAUAGUUCUAGGUUGUGUGGACAGCGAGACUAAAGUAAGCUCAAACAAGAACACAUGUUAGGAGUUUUGUUAGAAUGCUUCCUCAUUCAUUAUGAGCUAGAGAACCAACCUGUAUUGUGCUUGUUCUGGGGACAAGACAGCAUGAACAAAUUCUUGGCUCCAACGUCACUGCGUACACCAUAUUCAAUAAACAAAAUUGCAUUAGUGCCCUCGUCUCUAAGUGAUAAUAAUCUGACAAUGGGCUACCUAGGUUUGCUGAAUCGUGAUCUGUGUUUAAUUUACAAAUCUUCUAAUGCUACAUGUCUUUCUGGUCCCCCUUUGUUUUAAUAUGUUUUUUGGUUUUCUGUAUUUUUUUUUCUUUGGUUGCAGACUUAUUCUGAAUCACGUGGUCACAAUUUCGCACUCAAUGCAACAUUUGAUGACAUUGAAUUUAACAAAUAUGAUGGACUAAUAAUACCAGGAGGACGGGCACCUGAAUAUCUUGCUGUGGAUGCUUCGGUUUUAGAAUUGGUGAGAAAGUUUUCUGACUCCUGAAAGCCAAUUGCUUCGGUUUGCCGUGGGCAACUUGUCCUAGCAGCUGCAGGCUCGGUUAAAGGUAGGAAGUGUACGGCCUUCCCAGCUGUCAGACCUGUACUUGUUGCUGCAGGUGCUUAUUGGGUGGAACCCGAGACCUUGUUGGCGUGUGUUGUUGAUGGUAAUAUGAUUACUGGGGCUACAUAUGAAGGCCAUCCUGAGUUAUUUAGGCUUUUUGUAAAGGCGCUAGGAGGUAACAUAACUGGUUCAGAUAGGAGGAUCCUGUUUCUCCGUGGGGUAAGUUUUAUUUUCCUUCAUAGUGCAAUGAGAAAUAUGAAAUUGUGAUGCAGAUCAAUAUUGAGUAUAUAUAGUAUCGAGAUUUGCCCUUUUACAUGUCCUUCUGAAAGAUGGUGAAAAUAACCUGAAUAGGCUUUACCAGAUUUGCCACAAUUCUGGUGUGAUAAGGUUCCAUCAUUCAUUCCUAUGUGUUUUUUCAAUAUUAUGGUGGUAUGAUUCAUUGGUCUGCCUACCUGGGUCCGUUGCCCAUUGGAAUACUUGUUUGUCAGGUCAUUUGUGUGAGUUGGGAACUUGUGAAAGUAAAUCCAAACAUGCAUACUGGUCAUUUUUGAAGUUGUUUGAAUUAUGGAUUCUAAACAUGAUACAUAGAACAAGUACAUCCUUUAUGAAUUUUAAAAGACUUCUUUACUUAAUUUUCCGGAAAGUUGACUACUGAAGAAUUUCAAUUUCCCCCUUCCCCCAAGCCAAUUAGGUCUCCAAAUUCGAAAUGCUACUACUGCCCUAGACCCAUAAAUUAGUUGCUGUCAGAUUUCAUAAGAACCUAUUUUCUUGAAACCAGUUGUUUGUUUUCCCUUUAAAACCAAAUCCUUUGAAGCAUACCUAAACUUCUCUACCUACAAUGCCAAAAGUUAUACAACUUGACAAACCUUAAAGCCCACCACGUUUUGUAAGCUGGUUAUUUAACAGUGAUAAGAUGGUCCAUAAAUCAAGAUUGGCUGCUUGACAAACCUUAAAGCUCACCAAAUUCAAAAUAUUAUUUUACUUGUCAAUAUCAAUAGUGAUAAGAUGGUCCAUAAAUCAAGUUUGGCUACGUGUUAUAAUUCACUAGUAAAUCUAGUAAACCCCUUGACAAGAACGUUAAAGCUGCAUGUUGUUUGUUUAUGAACUAAUUGUUAUCUACGUAUUAUUCUAGUCAAUGAUCAAAAUUUUAUAUUUCUCACAGUUACAAAGCAUCAUUCACUUUCUCUCCCUCAACACUCGUAGGACUUCAUGGAAGAUUAUGAGGUAAUUGUGCCUUUUCAGUCUCUUCAAGCUCUAGGAUGCCAUGUUGAUGCAGUUUGCCCCAAGAAGAAAGCUGGUGAAAUCUGUGCAACUGCUGUCCAUGAUUUUGCAGGUGACCGAACAUACAGUGAGAAGCCAGGCCAUAAUUUCAUUUUAACAGCUGCCUUUGAAGCUCUGUAUGUCUCAAGUUAUGAUGCUCUUGUAAUCCCUGGAGGUCGAGCCCCAGAAUAUUUGGCAUUGGUUGAGAAAGUUAUUGCAUUAGUCAAGCAAAUUGUGGAAGCCAGGAAACCAAUUGCAUCCAUCUGCCACGGGCAGCAGAUUUUAGCUGCUGCUGGUGUUCUACAGGUAAGGUUACUCCCUUUAAGCCAGGCUACGCCUUUGUUUCCAGAAAAUUUGAUCCGAAUUUCAAUCUGGUCCAUAUUCUUUAAGUUUCUCUAUCAAAUCCGACUAUUUCCAUAUCGUUUCAAUUCGGUGUGUAUUGAUAUUGUUAAAAAUAUUACUGACUUUCUUUAAUGCCAUGUGAUGCCACCAAAGGAAUUGCUCCAAUAAUUGGGUUCAACUGAAACAAAGUGAAGCUUGUAAUCCCUGUUUAGGUGACAGUGUAGUUUUAUUGUAUCUGUAGCUCAUCUUUUAAUAGGGAUAGGUCCCAUGUUGUUGGGAUCAGUCCCAUGCUGUCCAGAAGUUCAAUAAGUUGAUUUCUGAAACUAAAUGAGUUGAAAGUGUACAAAAUGCAGAAUCAAUAAUAUAAAGUUAAUUUGUUAGGCACACAAACAAGGACGCAAAAUCCUCAUUAACAAUCCAAAAUCAUAUAACAAAAUCGAGAUUAUAAAUUUUGGAAUUUUAAAGUCCAAGCAUGAUAUGGUAGAUAUGGGAGAUGCUACAAUGAGGGGGAUCUGAGUGGGGGGGUGAGUGAGGGGUUCAAUCCAACCAUCCAAUCAUUAAAAAAGUUUUAAGUUCAAAAUUUCCUUUAUAUUAUUGGAUAGCAGUAUUGAACCCCUCGCCCACAACCCCUCAUUAUAGCAUUUCUGUGGUAGAUAUACAUUUAUAAUGUAGAUUACAUAACUUUUACGCUUUUUAACAUCAACUAAAAUGCUAGAGUAAAAUUAAUUUUGUGUGUGGGAAGUUUAACCAAAAAGACUAUACAGAUAAUCUGUGGAUUUAUUUGUUCUUUUACUCACUAUCAAUGUAGUUGAUCGUAAAUUCAAAUGUUUGUUCUGUUGUGGGUGUUGAUGAGCAAGCUUGCCAGUUGGUAUUGGCCCCGAGUAAUGGAGCUCAAAAAUCCACCAGCGGAGGAAGUCUGGCUCAAUUCCUUUACAUGAAGAGGGGAUAGAAAUCAACCUUCUGAAUGGACCUAAAUCACAAAUAUCACAUGUUUCAUUGGACAUGCUACUGUGGCAAUCCACACGUACCAGUCUUUGACACCACAAGCAGCACCAUAUUGGGGAUCCACCAAGAAAAGACCCACUACAUGGCUCUUCAUAAUAGCUGCAGAAAGAAGCUUCAUCAGUUUGAUCUCUCUGUUACCUCAUUCCAACGGACACCCCAUUGGUGCAUCACAUGCUCACACCCCAUCAUGGAUACACACUUGCAAUCCUUGUGCGCACACUAGAAGAGCAGCUUAGGUGAGCCGUUGCACCACAGAUACUGCAACGGUGACUAAAACUGUCUGAAGCUGUCGUAGGGCCAAGAGUUUGAGAAGGGCUCAUGGAAUUUAAGCAUACACAGCAAUUCAAGUUCUUUCCACGAGAUACCGAUUCUAAAACCAAAGUAUGAGGAGCUAUAGGAACUUUGUGACGUGCCUUUGGAUUUUUCUUUGACCUGGCUAUUGCUUUCAUCCAACUUAGAUUGAUAUUUCUCCUCCACUCAGCGAUAAGGCAAGAGACAAUAAAAAGGCCAUCAUCAGUUGGAUUCUUGUUGUUCCAAUUGGGGAAAAAAAUAUCAAUGUCACCAUCAUCAUCCAUCCUCAAUGACUACUUGGUUGAUCUACAUUCACAUAAGCAUCAAACUGCCCAAUCCCAGUUUAAUUAGGAUCAAACUCAUAUACCCUCCAAUAUGGUUUCAUUAUUCAAUAACAUUAUCAAAAGCCUCAAACUCAUUUGACAACCUAACUCAUCAUCCUAGUUAAUGCAUCAUGUGCAACAGAGAGUCAAAGUCGAACAAUGCUUUUGAUAGGUGCUACUUACUGUAACCACUUCAAUCUAUAAAAAACUGAAAUUGAUUCACAAGUAAAACAAAUAUCAUUCCAAAUACAAAGCACUUAGUUUCAUAUCAAAAUUCAGAGAUAAAAGCCAGUUACAAAAUACAUGCAAACAUGAAGGAAAUACAAAGUCCACCACAGUUGUAUCAUAAUUUAGUGAUAUUUUAAUUUAAAUGACAGUCCUGUGGAAAAACAAAACAUCUCCAGGCUCCAUCUUUAGAGACCAAAGCAACACACAAAACCCGCUUCAUACUACACUUUCUAUUCCAAUUUCUCAGAAACCAAAAGGAAUAGUCAAGCAAAGCAUAACAUACGUACAUACAUUCUAAUAUGUAAUUACGAAUACAUAUCUAUGAGUGUGUGUCUCGAUUUUAAAAUAAUAAUCAAUAAAUACAUUGAACCGUGAAGAUUUCAGAAAAUGAGAAGUGAAAGUUUUUGAAAAAAAUACGAGGGAACUUACAGUUACGUUCCAUGGAGAUGGAGAUGGAUCGCGCCGAUUAAAGAAAACCCUAGCCUUAGAACGUAUGGUCGAUCGGCUAUACUAUUUCAAAUAUAUUCAAAACGUAUGGCCGAACGGCUAUACUAUUUCAAUAUUAAAAUAUAUUUAAACCGUAUAGCCGGGCGGCUAUACUAUUUAAAUAUACGAAUAUACUUAAACCGUAUAGCCGUGCGGCUAUACUCUAAAAAAUUCAAAUAUACUUCAAAGGUAUAGCCGAGCGGCUGUACUAUUUAAAUAUUCGAAUAUAUUUAAACGGUGUCGCCGAGCGCUAUACCUUUUAAAUAUUCGAAUAUAAUUAAACCGUACAGCCGAAAGGCUAUACUAUUUAAAUAUUAAAAUAUAAUUAAAUCGUAUAGCCGAGCGGCUAUACUAUUUAAAUAUUCGAAAAUGCUUAAAGGGUACAGCCGUGCGGCUAUAUGCUUUAAAUAUUGGAAUAUACUAAAAAGGUAUAGCCGAUCAGCGAUACUAUUUAAAUAUAUUUAAACAGUAUAGCCGACCGGCCGUACUAUUUUAAUAUUCGAAUAUAUUUUAAUGGUAUAGCCGCCCAGCUAGACCCUUUAAAUGGUCGAAUAUAUUUUAAUGGUAUAGCCGCCCAGCUAGACCCUUUAAAUGGUAUAGCCUUCUAUGCAGGCUGAGCUCCGGGCAGAACAGCAGCACCUUAUAUGACUUGUAUGAGCUCCGAGCAGUGACUCACCAACUUAACAAAGCCAUUCAUGCUUCAAUUCACCCUUCUACACACAAGGCUUGAGUCGCAUUUCCAAACAAAGUGUCAAGACACCCAAGAGAAUAUUUCUGAAAGAAAGAAAAGGGAGAUACAAUCAAAAUUUUGAUUACUAAUCUAAGCAGCAAGCAGCAAGAGGAAACUUCUAAGUCAGCCUCAGCACCAUUUCUUGAAGAAGAGCUCGCUUCUGCACAUCACUUAUUACAUGGUUGGUCUCGGCAUUCUCAACAACAUCAGCGAUAGUGGCAGCUGCAUGACCAAGUGGCUCCUCAUCAGCCCUCUUCAACAUGAAGGCUUGCAUACCACAACCAGAUGAGACAAUAUGCCAAACUAGAGAAAGAUUUAUCUAUAAACUGAUUGUCAUUGGAAGAGAAUAUAUAGGAACUAGCGCAAGUAAAGCCUAAAUUUCAUGAAACUUAUCAACAUCCAUUUGUCCAGAGAGAGAGAGAGAUAGAUAAAGACCUGGUCAUGAUGGGAUAUAGCCAAUGUAUUAUGUACAUGGUUGCUGAAACCAAGGCUCCCCAUCAACCUGAACAGGGAAUGCAGCAAAGAGUUGUAUCUUAAUGACUGCCCCUGUGCCAGCCUUCGAGUCCAGACCCAUUUUUUUUUUCUUACCGAAGAAAAUCCAAUUAAUAGUAACAUUACGUGGAAUAUGUGAGAAAAAUAUGCUAUUACUGAAGUUGUAAGUUUCUCGCAACUUUCGUACAUUCAUCAACAAUACUUUAUCAAACAUGUUACAUAUGAAUGAUUUCAAAGUGCAAUCUCAAUCACAAAUUAGAAAAAAGGUUUGCAUAACAUAAUGAGCUUUCCAAGUACAUAAACUAAAAUAUGUCAGUAUUUUCAGAAUUCACCGUAAACGUAAAUCUUAAUAAACCUAGAAAAUCUUAAUGGUCGGUUCCAGUAUAUUCUUAUGACUUCCUUAAUAAGUAAAAUAUAUAUUAGGAAAAUGAUAUCCGUGUUCUACUUUCAAAGAUUUAAGGAAUGUUGUUAAACAAAGAAACCUAGUUGAGUAAGAAAUAUCAAAACUGUAAAGUUACCUAAACCUUAUUUGUUUAGGAAAUUUACAUAAUAUUCUAAAACUUAAACCACAAAGAAAAUGAAAAAGGAAAUAAAAUCUAACACCUUGCCAAAAAUCAUAUUCUUGAGUUUGUUCAAGCAACUCAAAUUUUUUAAUGAUACACCUUAUUACUACAUUUUUCGGGACAUAAUUAAUGGUUGAGUGCGAACUUUGUUUUUUUUUUUCUUCAUAAUUUCUUGGUAAUUCUCUAAACCGCUUUAUUUUCUUUAAUUUUCUCUAUUAUACUCAGACAGACUCCUAUCUUGUCCUACAUGUACGUAAAAUCCAUGAAUAAUUGUAACCAUCUGAUCGACCGAAGUGUGAAAUUUCCAUUGAAAACAAGCAAAUAGACCCAAAUCACAUGACAACCACUAACUAACUUUUGAAAAAACCGUUACAAGCAGAUUCAGUCAAAGCCAGGAGGCACCACCUUUCCCGCUCCAAAACCGUACCCGUUCACUCAAUCAAUUCAAUUCCGUACCAUCCUCUCUCCCUCUCACUCUCACUCUUUCCUCAUUAUAACCUCCUCAGCUACCCUCUGAGACGAAGAAGAAGAAUCUCUCUCACCAAUUAAUUUAAUUCCUUCUGUGCGUAACGUUGUUAGAACUUGGAAUUAACUAGCAGCAUUACAGCAGAACCCUAGCCAUAGAAUCAUAGUAUGUUUUCUUGGGGGAAAUCCUCGCGGUCUAUACACCGGGUUGUUUUUGAUGUUCAUCGCCUCAGCUCUCGCCCGUUGUUCAACAAAUCACAACCUUCCUUUGUCUCAUCAUCACCAUCUUCUUCUUCUCCUUCUUCUUCUUCCUCUUCUUCUUCCUCUUCUUCUUCCUCUUCACUCAGCUCAUCAGUAGGUAGGUUUGGCUCUGAUGGCAACUACAACGGCAGAUCAGGCUCCAGUGAAGAUACUUUUAAUUUCUUCCUGAGAUCGGUUUCUUCAGGGGUUCUGAUUCUUGGGACCAGUAUAGGCUUUUCUUAUCUGGAUCCGAACUCCUUUGUGUCUUUUGCUGAUAAUUGUCCGAAAGAGGCAACGGCAUGGGCAAUCGGGGAUGACCAAAAUAAAGCUCAGUUUUCCCUAUUUGGAGGUACCUUGUUUGUUCCAUUGUUUUCUUCAACUUAACUUGAUCUAUAGAUCGUGUUUUCCUUCAUGUUUCUGUUCUCUUUAAUACCCUACUAUUCAAGUUUCAUGUCUUGCACAUCCAAUCCAUGUAGAAGAUAUUAGGUUAAUCUGUGUAUGCAUGAUGAAGUAAUUAAUGGUACAUGUAUGGAGAAGGUAUUUACCCUAAUCGAUCUUGUCUCAGAUUCAUAUAGGAGAAGAGUUUUCUUCAUGUACGAAAAACGGAUCAGAGAUCAAAGUCCUCCUGAGAAGGUAUGCAGCAGGCACUCCUCACAAAAUUGAUUUAUUGCAAAGUUAUAUGUUUGUGGUGUCAGAUUUGUACUAGAUAGAUAGUUUGUUGGGCAACACUACAUGUUUGUGUUGUGGUUUUCAGGUAUUUGAGUACUUUGCAUCGGUUAAAAACCCAGCAGGAGAGGCGUUUAUGACUCCGGCAGACUUGAUGAGAGCAGUUGUUCCUGUAUUUCCUCCCUCCGAAUCAACCCGUGUCAGAGAGGGCUCUUUGAGAGGGGAGAAGGUUCCUGGCCAGUUGCAUUGUGCUCCUUCCAAAUUCUUUAUGCUUUUCGACACCGACGGUGACGGCCUCAUUUCUUUUCCCGAGUGAGUAGCGCGCUAAUACACUCAAUUACUCUAAUUGAAACUUCUUGUUAUGAUCUAAAAACAUCAUACUCGUUUCAUUCUUAAUGUGAUCAGGUUCAUCUUCUUCGUCACCCUCCUCAGCAUCCCCGAGGCAAGCUUUACGGUGGCAUUUAAAAUGUUUGAUCUUGACAACAGCGGGUGGGUUUACAUUCUUUAUCGUCUUCUCUGGUCAAGUUAUAAGUAAAAAUCUUUUCAUGUGUAGCUGAUUCUGAUAGAAAGCUAACUUGUUAAGCGUAUUAUUGACAGAGACAUUGAUAGGGAGGAGUUUAAUAAAGUCAUGUCUUUGAUGAGAUCUCAAAGCAAACAAAACAAGGAUGGCCAUAGGCUCAAAGUUUCUGUAGAUGACGGAGGCCUACUUGAGUACUUCUUUGGCAAAGAUGGCAAAAAAAGUCUCAAACAUGAAACAUUUGUUAAGUUUUUCAGGGAUUUACACGAUGAAGUAAGUGGUCUUCUUUUUUUUUUUUUUUUUUCUUCCAGGGCCUUGUCAUUUUAUCAUACUUCAUUUUUUUUUUCCUCUGGCAGUCAGCUGAUCUUUUCAUGUUUGUUUUUCUUCUACUAUUUCUGAAUUUGAAAGAUGUUGCGCUUGGAGUUUUCUCAUUAUGACUACAAAGAACAAGGAACCAUAUCAGCUAAAGAUUUCGCAUUGUCCUUGGUUGCGUCUGCUGAUAUCAGUGAUACAAACAAGUUGCUUGAUCGGGUUGACGAAUUGGACAACGAUCCACGUCUCAAAGACAUAAAAAUCACAUAUAAGGAAUUUAAAGAUUUCGCAGAGCUUCGAAAGAAUUUGCAGUCCUUCUCUCUUGCCAUUUUCAGUUACGGAGAAGUGAAUGGGGUGUUGACAAAAAAAGAUCUCCAGAGGGCCGCUUCCCAAGUACAUAACAUACACAUCUCUUAUUUCUAGGUAGCUUCUUUGAUCAUUAGUAGAUAUUAUUAUUAUGAUGAUUAACUUCUACUUAUACAGGUAUGCGGCAUCUCUGUUCCUAACAAUGUGAUUGACAUAAUAUUCCAUGUGUUUGAUGCAAAUGGCGAUGGUGAUUUGAGUGCAAAUGAGUUCGUAAGAGUUUUACAACGACGUGGAGGUGAAGUCUCAGAGACAGGCUUCAGGGGACUUCUAUCUUGCUGGUUAAACUGUGCCACUAUAUUUGGUCAGCAAAGCUGCACCUUUAGUUUCUAAGAUUAUACCUGAAUUACCCUUCAGCUUACAUAAGCAAUGUAAAUGCCUCUAAUCUUGCGUUGGAGUUGAAAGGAUGCUGUUAGAAUCCGGCUGGUUUGUUAUUGAGGGGAUAACAUAUCACAGCAGACUGGUCAUACCAAAGUUUUGUAUCCCCAUAUUGACCAUUACAACUUCAAAGUUCAAACAAAUAUAAGUGCACAUCAUCUUUGUUAAUUUGUGUACAAAAAAUUUCUGCUAAUAAUAUAUAUAUAUAUAUAUAUAUAUAUAUAUAUAGUAAUCUCAUAGUAUAGUUUUUAAUAAAUGUAACUCCAUACACUAAUGUUUUCCUAGUUGAGUUUUGUGGGUUCUGGCUGCGUGAAUUUUCCAAGACAGUUGUGGUUGAGAGCUUGAUUAUGCAGAUGCUUAACAUACUUCAGAUGCAAAUUAGGAUCAAGGCACCCAAUCUGCCAAAGAAAGGACUCCUUCAAUGACAUUGCUUAGGGAUGAACAUUUUAAUAAGCAUUAACAAGUUUGAGGAGGUCACCAUAAGAGAGGCAAUCCUUAGUUAGUCCUAUAUGAAUACAUGUAUUCAAACUUUGUUCUUAUUUAGUAGACGGUAGAGUAGAUUUCAACACAAAAAAUGCUAAUAUUUAUCCCAAAAUUGUGCUGAUUUUGCCCAACUAACAGGCAUAUCAUCACAGAUAAUUAGCAUUAUCAUAAACAAGAUAACAAUGGCACCAGCAUACCAUUGAAAAACAUUUGAUUGAAUAAGCACAUCCAGUGAUGAAAUAUGACACUACUACUACUACUACUACUACUACUGCUUGAAGCCGUAACAUUUAUGGUCUUCGUUGUCUAUUUACACACAAAACUUAGAAAUGCAUAUCAUAUGCAUGUCAAUUUCAUCCAGUGAUGAAAUAAGACAUUACAUACAAAAGCACAUACAUAAAUGCGGUGGAAGCAGACCAUACCAAUCAAGAGAUAAGGCUCCAAGUCAUCCAAAAAUUAUCUCCGAGAAUCUAAUAAGCAGCACUGCUAAUCUAUCAUAGCAAGUAAGAGCGACUACAAGCGCAAUCAAAGAAUUCAUCUUCUCAGGCUUACCCGACUCAGGUGGGCGGCAAGUACAUCCCUCAUCCUCUCACCACUCUCAUCCACCUGUCCAUGGAAAACAGGAAGCUCCUCCUCCCUUGAGCUCUUCACAUUGUCAUCUGGCAUGGGCUCACUACACUUGAUGAGAAAAUUAUGCAGCAGGCACCCUGUAACAAUAACGAAUGGCAGAAACUCGACACACUCUUCCUUCCACUGCCUAGACAGAAGCUGCCACCGAGCCCGAACCCUCCCAAAUGCGGUGUCAACCAACCCCAUUGCGCGACUAUGUACCGAAUUAAACGCCUUCUCCAAUGAACCAAAGCUAUCCGCCUCAUCCGAUCUUAUAUAAGGUGUUAAAAGCCAUGGUAAAAGAGGGAAGCAAGAGUCCCCCAAUAUGUAUUGAGGAAUGGCCUUGCCAUUACCAAGCUCAUAAACAGGACCAUUCAGCAAGUCCCUAGAUUCCUCUACACCCAAAUAAAGUUUAGUCUGACGGAAAAUGGAUUCGAGUUUCAUGGCGCUGGGCCAUCCGGCCGAGACAUCAAGGAACCUCCCCUCAGAGUCCACCAAUGCCUGAACCAACAAAGACCCAUUUGGCCCCAACACUUCACCACCAACCCCAAACCUCCCAAACCCCAAAACCCCACAACAAUUCGGCAGCGAAAUCCACCCGAAACCCCCCACAAUCCGGGCUAUAUCAGACCGGAACUCGAACAAGUUACCUAAUUUAUCGCUCACCGCCUUACAGACGGCGAAAAAGGCUCGGCAGGCCUCCACCGAGUCGAGCCCGAAGCGCCUUCCCACAGCCUUGUAGCUCGCGCCGUGGGCUAAACGGUAAAUUGCAGCAGCCAGAACGAAAUUGGGUGGAAUUGAAGGGAUUGUGGAGUUGAGAAAUGGGGAGAGGAGAGAGAGGAGGAUGGAGAAGGAGUGUUCGGACAUGCGGAAGGUGUAGGACCACCGUGAGUCGAAGUUUCUGCUGGCGGAGGUAGCGGAGAGGAAGCGGCUGAACCAGCAUUCUAGUGGUGGUGGUGGCGGCCGUAGUGGUGGUUGCGGUGGUGGGUUCGGGAAGCAGAGGAGGGUGGAGAGGGAGGUGGAGGUGGAGGAGAGAAGGGUUUCUAGGGUUAGGGUUUGGGAGGGCAGAAGGAGAAGGUCGUUUUGGGAGAGGAAGGAGUGGGCCAGUGAGGUGGCGGUGGCUACGAGACUUACGAGGUGGUGUUGACUGAGGGGCUUCUUGUUGUGUCGUUUCUUGUUUUUGGCCUUGCCUUUGGUGGUGCUCUUAGCUGCUCUGCCGCCACCGCCGCCGGCAGCCAUUGGUGGUGGACUUUGAAGUUUGAUUACUACGAGUGAGAGAUGUUGACACGCAGAGUUUGGGAAGCAUAUAACUCUGUAAGUGCAGAUCACUAUGACGUUUUUCUUUUCUUCUUUCCUCUUGGCCCUUCCUAAAGCAAGCAUUUUGCCAACGGCCACUUGUUAGUGCUUAUUGCUAUUCUCCACCCCCCAGUAUUAUCUAUAUAUAUAAAGUAAAAGGCAGAGAAUGGUGAAACAUUUAAAAUACCAGAAAAUGCCUUUGGUUAAUGCAAACAUUAAGAAUUCAAAUUAUUAAUUAAAUGAGGAUAAUAUGGUAAAUUCACACUUUUCAUAUUUAAAAAAAUUAAAAGAAAAAGAAAAAGCAGAUAAUGGAUCCUAUUUUUAUGGAACACAACUACCCAUUAUCUUUUUUAAUUCUAAAAUAAAUUUAUUUAUUUUUUUAAAAAAACCUCUCGCAAGCGCGGAAGCGCGUGCAGAGAGGCUAGUAAUUUAGAAAAGGGUGAUGCUAGGGAGACCAACUUUAGAUACCAACUUGUGUACCAACUCUCUAAUAGAGGUGGAGCCCACCAAUACAAUGGGUCUCACACUCUAUUAGAGAGUUGGUACACAAGUUGGUAUCUAAAGUUGGUCUCCCUAGCAUNNNNNNNNNNNNNNNNNNNNNNNNNNNNNNNNNNNNNNNNNNNNNNNNNNNNNNNNNNNNNNNNNNNNNNNNNNNNNNNNNNNNNNNNNNNNNNNNNNNNNNNNNNNNNNNNNNNNNNNNNNNNNNNNNNNNNNNNNNNNNNNNNNNNNNNNNNNNNNNNNNNNNNNNNNNNNNNNNNNNNNNNNNNNNNNNNNNNNNNNNNNNNNNNNNNNNNNNNNNNNNNNNNNNNNNNNNNNNNNNNNNNNNNNNNNUUCAUGGUCAUUGACGAAGUCUCCCCCUACAAUGGCCAUUCUGGGAAGCCCAUGGAUCGACAAGAUCAAUGCCAUCACCUCCGCCCACACAUCAGAAGAUCUGCUACCCAAUCCCAAGGGGCGGUCUCAGCUUGAUUUAACAGACGAUCAGACAACAUCGAGGAAAUGCUCAGCACCAAGGGCAGCACUCCAUGAAGAGAAGCAAGUAAACACAGUUCCUUCUUAUGAAUCAGGCAGAUCUAAAGAGAGUAGAACAAGCAGAGGAGAAAACAAAUCCUAGUUCCUGGUAUCUAAAGUUGGUCUCCCUAGCAUUUUCCUUUAGAAAAACUCCGAUUUAAAACUGUGAAUGAAAACUGAGAGCAUAUAAUACACCAAUAUACCUUCUCCAUCUGUCCAUUUAAAUACAAGAAUUAGAGACCAACUUUUUCUUCUCUUCCUUCGUCUUAAUAUUUCAUUUUCCCCCUUCUAAUAUCUAAUAUUUGUAGCUUUAUACAAAGUAAAGUCCCAUCUUUAUAUACUCUGUCCGCUCCAACACAAAACCAAGGUGGAAAGUUUAAGCCUUGAUGAACAAGAAAUUUUCUAUAUUAUAAACCCGGUUUCCGUCUUCUUCGAAAGCCCCAGAUUGUCCUAAGCCCUCUCUGUGUUGCUUAUGGCGAAGCUAAAGAUUGCAGGGACAUGGGCGGGUGUGCUGGAGGUUGAAUUGGAGGAUUGGACCGUACCCAUGUUGAGAGAAGAGGUUGCAAAGCGAUCAAACUGUGAGAGCAACUCAAUCAAUUUGAUAUGCGCAGGAAGAGUCUUGAAAGACGGCGAUGGAAACGAGAAGUUGGCCCAAUUGGGUAUCAAGAACAACGCCAAGAUUCUUGCUAGUCGGGUAUGUGCUGAAGAGGGCAAGUCUUUGAAGGAGGAGUUGCUGGCUGAAGACGAACGCUCUCGCAGACUGGCUCGAGUCAAGUGAGUCUUUCACUUUAUUUCUUUUUGGCUUUUGCAGUUCGUUUUAAUUUCUCGAUCAUAGGUUUGUUCAAUUUUUAUAAAAGCACAGACCUUUGACGAAGAAUGUUCUUAUAUUAGUUAAUUUGAUAAUAGAAUCCGUUCAUUGUGAAUCGGUUGUUAUAUAUCUGUGGUUUUCUUUUUAGCUAUUGGUUCUUCCGAACUAUCUAUUUCGUGUAUUUUGUUUCGGGAGCAAAUUCUGUUUGAAUUUAAUUCAUCUUGUUAUUUUUUAUGGAAAACGAAAAUCACUAUGAUUUUGGAAAGGGACAAUAUGAUUUUGGAGCUGAAUUGCUAAAGCACUUUUAUGCGAAAACUGAACUGAAAUAUCAGUGAACUUCUGAAGAUUGUUUCCCUCUUGGUGUUUUCAUCUUGUCUUUCUUUGGUUAUUGAGGAUUCUGUCAAAAAGAAAAUUUGAAUCACCAUUUUGUGAGUUUAUGGUGUUUGGUAGUCAAAAAGGUAUAAAUUUUAUCCAAAAUCAGCCUCCUUCUUCUUCUUCUUCUUCUGCUUCUUCCUAUUCAAGCUAAUGAGUCCCUCGCAAAUACCAGCAACUGUAACCACUAUGCUUUCGGAUCAUGCGCUUCCAUAUUUACCCAAUUAAAGAUUGGAUGCACCAAUAUUAUAGAGUUUGUAAACAGUGCCUUAACUGGGGAUAUAUAGGCUGCUUUAUUCUUGAGAAUGCAGGUUUGGACCUAGUAAAAUAGUGAACAUUUUUGAGCUUUGAUUGAGCUAGAGGUAGUGAAAUACCUUCCAAUAAGGAGGUUAUUGACUUAGUGAUCCUCUAUCAUCUGGCACUGAUAAUGGUCCCCGAUUGUUAUAUCAGCGGGGCAUAGCACAUUUUGGCCUAUAUUAUUGAUUUGUUUAUGUCUUUGUUCCACUUUUAACUUGGUUAUGUACCUAUUACCUUAAUAGGGCAGCUGCCACUGCAUUGGCCAAGAGACAUGCAGAUGGUUCAUUGCCGAUUGAAGACUUCAAUAUAGUACUUGAAGAUCAAAGCGGAAAGAAAGUACAGUUGGGAUCUGAGACUGAUCAGCGGUAUGAUAGAUAAUUAGGUUUCAAGAAUUGAUCCAAGCACGUACUUCCUUUUGUGAUAAGUUUAAUGUACAGUCACAUUUUAAUUUUAAAGAUUUGAACUGUCAUUUGUCAGGGCAAUCAUGAUGGGCCUGAUGCUUCAUACAAAUGGAAAACAACUAAUUAAAAGACAAAAUUAUAAAGAUGCAUUAGAAGUGCUUGCCAUGGGAGAGGUCAGUUCCUAGUGCCUGUUGCAAUUGAUAAUUUAAUAUAUGAUCUGUAACCCUGGGAUAAAAGAUAUCUUUAGAUUUGAUGGCCUAAUAUCUCAUGUGAUAUGGCUUAUGCCAUGGCAAUGCUAGUUAUAUCAGUUUUGGACAUGUUUCUGUAGUAAACAAAUUAUUAUAUAUUGAAGUAUGUAGCCAGAAAAGAUUCUGUGACUAGGAGUGUUGCUUAAUCCAUGUGUGGUUAUUUCAUUAUUGUAGGAGGCUUUCUCUCUUUCUGACCCGAAGGUUAUAGAGGUGAGUGAGCCAUAUUGAAGAUUUAUCAUUAUCACUAUAUUGUUGUCAAGUUCCAUGUGGCCUCCAUGUAACUUUGACCAUUAAAAUAUCUCAAGAUUCAUUUCUCUUUCAUAGAUAUACUUCAAUAUCAUUGUAUAAUAUCCUUUUCUGUUUGACCGCAUACUUCUUUUCAGCUUGUUGACAAUCCUCCAAUACUGCAAAUCGAUAUGGUUUGGUGCUAUUUCAUGCUCCGAGACAUCAGCUGGCUCUCAGUGGCAGGAGUUCGCCUUGAGAAAGCCAGAGAAGGAAUUGAACGAGCUCAUGGAAAGGACUCUUCUCGUGUCAGACUCCUUCAGGCAGGCCGCUUCCCAGAGCUUGCACUGUGAGUACUUUUACUGCUAGGCAUGUUCCUCGGAACGACUCAGGAUAAUUUUGGUCUAAUCACUUUUUCGUUUUCUCAUCAUAGAUAUUUGAGACUGGAGCUGCUGGAAGGGGUGGUGGCGUAUCACAGUGGUCAGUUUGAGAAAUCAAGGAAGGUGCUAGCUUCUGCACAAGGAAAAUUCACCCAGGUUAGUUCAAUUACAAGGAAGGUGCCAAGGAUUAGCUUUGUCUGGCUAGGUUGUUUUGGAACUCUGUAUGCAUAAGUUGCCCUGAAACUUUUCAGUCAAUUAUUUCUGAACUGCCACACCAUGUUUGAAAUUCCAUCUGCAAAGUGCUCGAAUUCAAAAAAGAAAAGAAAUUAUUUAAAUCUCCACAGAAUUGAAGUGUGGUAUGCUGAUAUUCCUGAUCUCUCACUUUUCUGGGUGAUGCCAGUAGUUUUCAACAAGAUCCAAGUAACCUACCAUCUCUACAUCUAUGUUGCAACUGCACCUGAGUACAUUUUUGGUUGUUGAUACCAGCUACAGGUGCCAGAUGAAGCCCUAUCACUUGUUAUGAGCAUGGGGUUUAGAGAACGAGAUGCAAAAAGGGCAUUGCGGAUUAGCAAUCAAGAUGUUUCUACUGCUGUUGAUUUUCUUGUUGAGCAGAAGGCUAAGAGAGCCCAAAAACGGGAAGAAGAUAUUCGCCAGCGAGAUGAAAUUAUGUGGGUGCCUUUCUAAGAUCGAUUUUUCUUUGAGUUUCUGUCUGUACUGUUACUUAAACAAACAAAUUGGCAGGGAGCAAAAGAAGUAUGGGACAACGCCUUUGAAGAAAGCUGUGGAUCUCCAGAAAUUGAAUCAAUUGGUCUCCAUUGGGUAAGCAAGCCAAGACAAGUUGUUCAUCAUUCUUUAAUUUGAAGGGCAUGCUUGUUUCAAAAUGAUGGUUCACUGGAUAAUUUAUGUCCAUAAACAUGAGCUCCUGUCAUUGGUCAUUCUAUGAGUUGCUUGACUUUGCAGUUUUGAGAAGGAGCUUGCUGCUGAAGCGCUUAGAAGAAAUGAGAAUGACGCUGAGAAGGCAUUGGAUGAUUUGACCAAUCCAGAAACUAAUUCCUCCAUACAGGUCACCUGUGUAUUUCUAUAUAAUUAUUAUUUUAAUUUAAUGAGACAUUUUCAACAUUACUAACUUUGUCUGACCUGUAGGUAUAUAUUGAGUCAAGGAAAAGGAAACGACAGAGCCAAGCAGUUAAUACUUCAGUUGAAGCGCUUGUAGGCAUGGGCUUCGAAAGAUCAAGAGGUACUUGUCAAAGGCCUGUUUGCAGAGCAUGUUUUACAGAGAUUCCCUAGACACCCCGCUAUCUCUCUGAGACACAGACUUUACCUGUUAUUAUUUAGAGCUAUUAUUGGCCAAAUCACCCUCACAAUUUUAUUUUUAUCGAACUUUGUCCUAAACUGUUACCAUCGUCAGAAAGUAAUGUCCAAUUCCUUACUAUUCCAUGAGGUUGAGAAGUAGCUAGGCUCUGAUGUUAAACUUGGUAUGCAGUGGUUGAAGCUUUCCAGGCUGCUGGGGGAACGAUGGAGCAAGUAUUGCAUCAGUUGCUCUCAGAAAAUGCAGGAAACCCCACAAAUGCUGCUAGCAACAAUAUCCCGACUGACGCUGCUAAUGACAUUGCAAAUUCUCUUGUUUCAAUGCUGAAUAAUAACGUUGAUCAAAAUGGUGAAGUUGGAGGUCCAUCAACUGCUGGUGAAGUAGGAGACCGUGAUGCUGAGAUGGAAGAUGAACUUGCUGGAGAACUAGCGCAAGGAGAUGCUUUAUCGGACUAUGACCUUGAAGUUACCAAAGAAGGUGAAGCCAUAAACGAGUAUUUGGCUCUGCUGGACUCGGCAGGCAAAUAGUGAGAGAGCAUCAUCUUCCCAAUGAGAAGAGCACAACUCUGAUAAUAAGCAAGGCAGAUUCUAUGUAAAUUAUAUAUAAUGAAUGGUGUAUAUGAAAACAGUGUAGGCGUUAGAUUUAGUUGUGGUGAUGGCACUACAGUUACCAUUGGCAUUCCGGAUAAUUAGUGCUGCUAUAAAUCUGUCGUUUAUCCCAACGACAUCUAACACUUUUUUGACAGGUCGUUCGUGUAGCCCAAUCGUCCUCAAUGCAAAUCGCUAGUUUUUAUCUAUAACCAUUUCUUAGAGUAAACUUCGCAUAAUAUUGAGAAUGUGAUUUCAGUUUUUAAAUGUAAGAUUGUACAAAAUUGAAAGUUAUCUUGAAAUUGUAACCAAAAAAUAUAUUUUGAAAUCGAUUAAGUACCAAAUUAGUAUAACUAAUAAAGCAUUUUGUUUUGUUAUGUCAAUUCUAACUUGUUUUUCGACAACUUUUUUCUUUGAGAUGGCUUGCCAGCUGUGACAUUAACAUGUCCUUACGUUGUAAGCUCUUUUCCAUCUCUGAUGUCGGAAAGCUGCUUAUUUGGGGUAAAAGUGAGUUUCAGAAUUGGUUUCUACGGUUGGUUUGCUUUCGAGGGCAAAAGGCAUGUGUGAGAAUUUGAGAGGGCCAAAUAAUACACUGAACUUUAGGGUAAAUAAAUUUCAAGGCUUGUGGAAUAUAUGUAAUGUUUUUUAUUUGGUCCCAACAGCUUCAACUUCUUCGAAAUCCUGCAGAGUAAACGGAGUAGAAGAAAAAAACAUCCUUUCUCCUAAAGGGACAACAACGUUAUAGAGGAAAUGGGAAUAUGUUUCUAUGUUGUGGGAAAUGCAAAAGAAAUCAGAAGAUACAAGAAUACAUUAGGUUGACUAUCACUGGUAUUCACAAAGAUUCUGCGAAUCAAUAUAUUGUUAAUCAUCUGAAACAUCAUUAGAUGGAGAUUCACUGUCUGUGUCUGCGCCCAAAACUAUCUGCUUGAUAUUAGAUUCUUCCUCUGCUUUGGUUUCCUUGUAAUCCUUGGGAAGCACAUUACAGUUAAUGGCCUGCCAUACUGGUCUCUCUGCCAGGAAUGCUCUGUUGGGUCAAAGCUAGUCAUUAGAGCAACUAGUAACAUAACACCACAAAAAAGAUGUGCACAAAACAUAACAGAGUGGGGGAGGGAGGGGAAGGGACGGAGACUCACGGGUGCUUGCAAAGUGUGGGGCACUGAAUUGUAACUGCAUACUUGCAAGUGGCUAUCUCUGUAAUUGAAUUAAUCAUAGCUAUGCCCUCUGAGCACACAAAUCUCACCUGCAAAUGCAUACAACGUAAGGGCGGCAAGAAAAGAUGCAAAAGGAAAUUAAAAACUACAUUAUAUAUAUAAAUUAAUAACUUAAUACCUCAGUCGCCCGUUGUUGGUCUGUAAGAUCACAUGUAGUCCCAUUUGUAUAUUGGUGAGCAUGAUACCUAUAUGAACCGUGCAAUUUGAUGAACUGUACUCAAUCUAACGCAUUUUCAUAAAGACAAAAUCAUACCUUUGGUAUGCAUCUUUUGAGCGUGGAUCUUUAAGUCUAGAUAUGUCAGAAAGAUUCUGGUUGACAGCAGCAGUGGCCUCUGCAUCAUAUAUACCCAGAAUAAAUUCCUGAACCACCUGUAAUAAGAGACGAAAAUAGCCAAUUACAUGGUUAAUAUUAUCGGGUUUCAAUUGGUCUGAAAGUGUUCCAACGAGAAAUGAGAAUAUCUAAAAAGAUGACGAUAAUAAUGCUAAUGCAACUGGUUUUAAUUCCUGAAAAAUUGGAAAAGAAAACCAAUGUAAGAAAUUGACCGAUGUCUGCACUACCUGUACCACAGCAACUACUACGUAUAACACUAUAACCACUACAAGGAUGGAGGAACAAAAACACAUUGAACAGGCAGGAUUACCCAACCAGGACCAACCCUAAUACUUAAGUAGUUAAUCACUUACGGGAAUGCAUCAAAUACAGUGUGCCAACACUACAUUAAAGCCCAAGACCAUCUUGAUAAAUGUAGUACUUAUUAACACACUUGAGGCAUAUUAGUUCUCUUCCUCUCAUUAUAUACAGUUAUACUGCGGAUAACAUAUUUCAAAAGAAGCAUCAGAAAAUAGAACUAACAAUAGAAGUAUAUUAUAUUUUAAAGUGAGCAUUUGAGAGGGACAUGGGAGAAUACCUUCUCAUCUUCCAAAUGAAUUUGCCGUAAUCUCUUCUGAUAGCAAAACUCAUAUGACCACCAACCCUCUUGCUGCAUAAAGGAGUUGGUUAUGUUAGCAUAAUGUACAGUAAAUGCAUAAUCACCUGGUUACUAAUGUAGUUUUAUAGGUUACAUAACUAUGAGCAACAGUAAAGGGAAUUUACACAUAGGCGCCCUCACCAGAUUUGAUCUAAUUAUAAAAACCAAAAUAAUAGAUGUGUUGCUUUUCUAAAUUAAUUGUAAGAAGAAAAAUAUUUAUGUGCUACAAAACCAUGGGACGAAUUGAAGACAGUUUUAAUGUCACAAAUCUUACUCUGAUAAAGCAUUCUUCCCUGAGUACUUCAAGCAGCUCAUCUGGUGUCUUCAUCUUAACUCGUUUCUCAGUUUCCACAAUCACGCUGCUUAUAUUAUGCUGAAGGACUUGCUUCCCACUCUUGGCUUCCUCCACCUUAGGCAAAUAACAUAUAAAAUUUUGUCCAUUGUCAUUUGGCAUAACCACAGACUCUUGACCAUCCUCCUGCAAUAUUUGUACCCAAUUAUUAGAUCAACAUGGUUUGAGGAGGAUCAAUGUUUAUAUGUACUUUUUUAUUCUAAAGAAUUUUUUUUUUUUUUCCUUUUUGGGGCGGGGAAGUUUCAAAGCAUCAAAAUAUAACAACCACAUACAUAUAGGAACAAACAAUAAAUACAAGUAAAACUAAAUAAAUAAAAAUACAAUCUUAGCUUACAGGAUGAAAAGGUGAGUCUUCAGGAUGGAAUUCAAUCUUGUAUUUUGGUUCACGAGAGCUGCGACUAAAUGUGCCACCUGCUCAUCAAUAGAUGGAAAAAAAAAAAAAAAAAUUUAUUUUGCAGUAAAAGAUAUCAAAUUUAACAAACAAAUUAGAUAAAUAAAAUAGUUUCUAAUUGUACCUAAAAAUAAAGCUAGAACAAGAUGAUUAUCCUCAUGUAAAGAUCGUGAUUGCAUUACAAAAGGUCCUAAAAUCACAGACACAGAUUCCUACUCACGCUAGAAUCUACAGUCAGUUUCAACGCUGACCUGACUACAGCUGAAUCACUUCAGCAUAUGUAAGAACAAUCCUUUUGGCAACUCAAACUUUUUUCAGUGAUACUUUGUUUGCCAAUAAAGUGCCUUCCACAAACUACCCGUUCUCAACCCGAUUCCAGUCCCUACUAAUUGAUGACAACAAAGUUUGGCCCUUCAGACUAAAGGCUAAACAAGCUUACGACCCCUUCAACUGCUUUCAAACUAAACUAAUUUAACUAAGCUAGAAGCUGUAACUUUACGUACAAAUUUAAAUAAUUAAGCUUAACUUAAAGCAAUUCAAUGUGGUUUAAUUUGAAGUAUGGCCAAGCCAAUAGAAAUCUCUAUGCAGUCCUAUAGCAAUACAAAUUGAUCAUCCCGUUAAUAAUCUCAGCUGAGCUGAAAAUUCGUCAAAUUUACGUUAUUCCAGAAACCUAUAUAUGAACCAUUAAGCCUCAGAAUCAAGGCUCAAGUGCAAACACCUUUCAAAUUCCACCAAUGUUUUCAAGCUCAGCAUCUGAUUAACAACGAUUGAUGUAACACUAAAAAACCAAAUACACACACGCUUAUAUAUAUAUAUAUAUAUAUGCAUGUAGUUGAUAAACUUACUGAAAAAUUCUGGGCUUCCGCUCCCUUGAUACCCAAAAAAAAAAAACUAUUUAAAUUGGGUAAGCAAGACAUGAUUUUGUAUCAAAGAAGGAAGGGUGUCACUAAAACAAAGAUGGGUUUUAGAUUUCAGCCAUGAAAAAAAUGAAAUUAUGCAAAUAUGAGAGGGAAAUAGAUGGAUUUGAGAAGUGGGUAAUUACCUAGGUGAGCUGGGAAGAUCUGAUCGGCCAAGACAAGGUGGCACAGAACGUACAGUUGAGUAAUAAACACUACCAACUUCAUAUUUUUGUUCCUUUUGAGAAGAAAAAAAAAAAGUCUCAAAAGAGAAGUUAGAAAAGGGGAGAGGUAUUAAACCUUGGCUAUUGCUACGUCAAUGAAGAAGACGAAGAACACAGAAGAAGAAGAAGAAUAAGUGAUGCAGCUAAACUGUUGUGGUUGUUUUAACACCUCCACGCAGACUAGCCAAUAAAUGGACGCCGCGUAAUGUGCCCACUUGUAAUUUUGACACAGUGGACAUGACUGAGUUGACGUGGCAAUUGUAGGGCUGCAAAGCCCAACCUCUUCUUUUAGAAGGUUGGAUUGGGUUGGGCUUUAGCAUUUAUCCAAAUUCAAGUUGGUUGGUUAGGCUUGGUGAUUGUCAACAACUUUUACACGAUAUGGAUUUAUCAUAAUAAAAUGUUUUUCAAUAACUUUUACAUGAUAAUUUGUAGUUGGUAAUAACUAAAUAUUAACGACCAUAAGAAUUAUAGAUACAAAAACUUUCAAAAAUAUACUAUGAUGUAAAGAAAAACUUGUGUUGAUAUCAAUCGUUUAAAUAUGUAAGAUAUUAGAGGAAACUAAAAAAUAUCAUAGUCAAUAUAAAGGUUUUCAAACAAAAGAAGUAAUGUAUUACCCAAAGCUCCAUUGAACUUGAGCACAACAAGAUUGUCCAAGGGAUCCUCAGUUUUAUCUACAUUAAAAUAAGUAGACAAAAACACGAACGUUAUAUUUCAUGAUAAACAAAAGCUUUUUUGUAUUCAAAUCACCUAUAUAUAGUCUGGUAACCAUAUUUUCUUAUCAUCAACUGUUAAAUUGUGAGGAAAAAAAAAAUAUGAACACUAACAUAUUUAUGUCUCAAAUAAUGUGAUAAAUGAUGGUAUUAUAAAUUUAUAAUUAACAAAAAUUUCAGCAAGUUUGAAAUAAUCUGUUGACUAGAUUUACAGCAAAAAUUAAACAAAACACAACAAGGUAAACAACCACAUCCUCAAAAAGCUGGCGGUGGUGGGAGGUGGCUUGGAAUACAUGCCACGCAUUGUAAAAGUCCACGAGUCCACCUUUUUUCAGUUUUCCGAACAGGCUGUCUUUCUGACCCGCUGCAGUUUGCUUUACUUUGCGAUUGGCAGGCAGUUGAAUAGUUCUCGCCAUACUUUUUUUCACAUGCCCAAAUAGCCACGUGGCAAACAGUCAUUGGUAGCUAGAUGACAAUGGUCCCACACAACCACUUGAUUGAAUAUAUACAUUUUCUAUGGGUUUCCAAAUUCCACUAAAUAUUUAUCCCCUCUGGUUUUCAGUUUGUUUACAUUAUCUUUUUAUAUGCCCUCUGUUUCCCCACUUGUAUACAUUUUCUCUUGGAAUUACUAUUGCCAGAUUUUUCUUCUAGAUUAAUGUGUUUUAUCUUCCUAGAUACUGCUCAAUAUUUUUUAUUUUUCUCUUAAUUAUUAGAAAAUGGUACAGUCAUUUUUGUAUAUAUAUAUAUUUUUCAUGUUGAACUACAUAAAUUUAGAACAUGGAAAUCUGAUGUUAAGGUGACUUUUUUUGUUUGUUGUAUUUUAUAUAUUUUAGCAUAAAAUCUAUACACCCAAUCCAAAUGCAAAAAAAAAAAAAAAAAAAAAAAAAAAGGAGGUAGAAGAAAACUAACAGACAAACAGAAGCCAACUGCAAACCCAAGCAGCUCACAAACAGAUGGCUCUUGAAGUGGCAAACGGAUCCAUGUCUAAACGAAAAUCCCCAAGAAACUUGGAAUUCACGGAAACGGGGGUCCCACCAUAUUAAACAUUACUUCUUUUUAGUUUUGAUAAUAUAUUAAUGAAAACAAAAAAAGAAAUUAAAAUUUAUCAGAAUCUUCUCUUCUUUUGUGGCGUUUACGUUAAGCAGUGAAAAUCUUCUCUACACAUCACCAAGGAGCCAACGGACAUUGGACGGGUUUUUUCCUUCCAUUCCUGACAUCACAUUCAGCCACAGAUUUUAUCUCAUUUUCUCGUCUGAGCUUCUCCUGUGAAACCCGGAGCCUCUUCUCGAGAAUUCAUUUCCCAGAUAAGUUUCUCUCCUUAUCUCUCUAUCUCUCUGUCUCUCACCAAAAUCUUGUUUUUCUGCUGAAAAAAGAACGACAAUUUUGGUUUUGCAAAGCGUCAGUUGCUUCUCUCUGAAUUGGGAUUUGUUUAUUAUUGGAUGGGCAGUAACAAAUCCUGAUUUAGAGGGAAGGGAAUUCGUGUUCUGAGUUUGUGGUGUCUUGAAAUUAUGCUGAAAGAAAAUCCAGUUGAGCUUCAAGGGAGUAGCUCCAGAUUUUGAACUUCUUUCAUAGCAAUUCAGCCCACAAUAGGAGGUCUUGGGUGGAAUUCGUUUCUGGGAAAAGAGCUUUACUUCUGGUAUGCUUGUCUUUUUCUGAUUUGUUGUAUUAAUACACGAUUGAAUUGUGAGGAUCUGUUUUCAAAGUAUACUUAUUGGAAACUAGAAGUUUAGAUUUUGUAUUGAAUUGUCUUUUGGGCUUGGGUUGCUUUUUCUCCUGUAAAGGACUUGGUUGCAAUAAGUUGUUGGUUUUCUUGUUUACUUAAUUGGAUCAGCUACUUGGUUUUUGAGCAUUCAGGCCUGUAGUUAGAUUAGGUAUUAGUUUUCUUUCUGGCUCAAACAUUUUGUAUGAAUUGUUGAGUGCAUGAUGCGGAAGCAAGGUGGAAAAAAGAAGAAGAGUGCAGGAGAAAAAUCAGGUGAUGCUCCAAAUCAAAGCAAAACUGGGGAUAAUAGCCCAAAAGCCUAUGAUAAGGACACAGCAGUUUUCAUUGCAAUGUCUCAAGAACUGAAGGACGAGGGGAACAAGUUGUUUCAGAAGAGGGACCAUGAAGGAGCUAUGUUGAAAUAUGAGAAAGCCCUCAAGUUGCUUCCACGAAAUCAUAUCGAUGUAUCCUAUCUUAGGAGUAACAUGGCCGCCUGCUAUAUGCAGAUGGGCCUGAGUGAGUACCCCAAGGCUAUCAAUGAGUGUAAUUUGGCUCUUGAAGUCACACCUAAGUACAGUAAGGCGCUGUUGAAGCGGGCCAAGUGUUAUGAGGCUUUGAAUAGGUUGGAUUUGGCUCUGAGAGAUGUUGGUACUGUUUUGAGCAUGGAGCCAAACAAUAUCAUGGCAACAGAGGUUGCAGAAAGAGUGAAGAGUGUACUUGAGAAGAAGGGAUUGAGGGUGAAUGACACAGUAAUUGAGCUGCCUCCAGAUUAUGUUGAACCAACUCAUGCUUUACUACCAGGGAAAGUAAUGAAAUUGAAGAAUCGGAAAAAGAAGGGCAACAAGGAUGAAGAGAAGAAGGCUGACGACAAUAUUGAGGAGAAGACCGAGGACAAGAUUGAGGAAAAGAAGGCUCUGGACAUAGCUGAGGAAGUGAAGGCUGUGCAAAUAGCUGAAGAAAAGAAGGCUGUGGAAAUAGCUGAGGAAAAGAAGGCAGAGGUCAAGGUAGUUGUGGAGGAGAAAAUCAGUAGUCCAAAGGAAGAAGUGCCUAAAAGAAGUGUGAAAUUGGUAUUUGGAGAGGAUAUAAGAUGGGCUCAGUUGCCAGUUAAUUGCACCCUCCUGCAACUGAGAGAGGUAGUCCGUGAUCGGUUUCCUAGCUCAAGAGCAGUUCUCAUCAAAUAUAGAGACCAAGAAGGUGAUUUGGUUACAAUCACUAGUAAUGAAGAGCUGAGGUGGGCUGAAGGAUCAGCAGAAUCAGAAGGCUCUGUCAGGCUUUACGUAGUGGAAGUUAACCCUGAGCAGGAUCCAUUCUUUGAGAAACUGGAAAUUGAAGCACACAAGCUUGAUGUACAGCAAAAUAAGGUAGCCGAGAAUGGUAGCGUGGUAAAACAGAAGGAUAUGAAGGGGUCCCCUUGCGUUGAGGAUUGGAUAAUCCAUUUUGCUCAGCUGUUCAAGAACUAUGCUGGGAUUGAAUCUGAUGCAUACUUGGAUCUUCAUGAACUUGGAGUGAAGCUUUAUUCUGAGGCUAUGGAGGAGACAGUUACAAGUGAAGAAGCCCAAGACCUUUUUGACAUAGCAGGAGAGAAGUUUCAAGAAAUGGGAGCUUUAGCAUUGUUCAACUGGGGAAAUGUUCACAUGGCCAGGGCAAGGAAGAAGGUGUAUUUCACAGAAGAUUCUUCAAAGGAAUCAAUCAUUUCAAAUAUCCAAAGUGCACAUGAUUGGGCACAAAAAGAAUACAUUGAAGCAGGAAGGAGAUAUGAAGAAGCGCUGCAGAUAAAACCAGACUUCUAUGAAGGCUAUCUGGCCCUUGGGCAGCAGCAGUUUGAACAGGCAAAACUUUCUUGGUAUUAUGCAAUUAGCAGCAAUGCUGAUUUGGAGACGUGGCCUUCGACAGAGGUUCUACGACUUUAUAACUAUGCUGAAGACAAUAUGGAAAAAGGCAUGCAGCUGUGGGAGGAAUUGGAAGAGCAGCGUCUUAGCGAACUCUCCAGUCCAAGUAGUGUUAAAUCCCAGUUGCAGAAAAUGGGUUUGGAUGGAAUUUUCAGAGACAUAUCAGAACAUGAAGCUGCAGACCAGGCUACAAGCAUGAGGUGUCAGAUAAAUCUCCUAUGGGGCACCAUGCUCUAUGAGCGAUCUAUUGUGGAAUUCAAAUUAGGGCUACCUGUAUGGCACGAAUGUUUGGAAGUUGCAGUUGAAAAAUUUGGACUUGCUGGGGCUUCUCCCACUGAUAUAGCUGUGAUGGUUAAAAACCACUCUUCAAAUGAUAAUGCAUUGGAAGGUGACACAAUUCAAAGUUUUGCACUCUGAAACUAAUGGUCUACUGCUGCCAUUUCUUUAACUAGCUUAGACGUUUAAUUGCUCAUUUUUCUGUACAGGUAUGGGAUUCAAAAUUGAUGAGAUAGUACAAGCAUGGAAUGAGAUGCAUGAAGCGAAAAAGUGGCAGAGUGGAAUUCCAUCAUUCCGGUUGGAGCCAUUACUUCGAAGACGAGCUUCCCGAAUUUAUUAUGCCUUGGAUCAUGCUUGAAAAUUAGCAUUGGAUAGACACACUUUUACUGCCCUGACGCCAUGGAUUGGAGCAUAUAAUCCUGCACAUUGAGGUAGGCAUGAGUUGAGUUUGUCCAUUUCUCUUUCCAUUUGCUUUUUGUGUCAUGGUUAAAAUUUCAUGUACAAAGUCAUUUUAGAAUUAAUCAUCAAAGGGCUUGUUUCUUUUGCAGGUUUUCUUGCUACUGCCCUGUAAAGUACUUUUCAGGCUUUUAGCUAUGGCCACUUAGUUUUACAAACAGUGGAUAGUUGUGAUUCAAAAUUUUAUUGUGAGUUGUAGCUGUUCAGAAAGCAAAAUUUUUUCAUUCUCUUUUGACGUAAGGGGAUUGGAGGUGAAGUUGCAGGUCUUCAUUUUAGUUAGUUUCUGCCUUCAUCAACGUCGCUUGUAGUUUCUGUCAGAAUAGAUUGUACUUGUAAUUGAAGCGUCUACGAUCCAAUUCCGAAGGCAUGUUCUUGAAUUUUUUUUUUUUUUUUUGGUUUUAUUUUGAUGCAGUUUGAUGUGAGUUUGGGGUGUAAUUUAAACAUCUUUUAGGUCGUUGGUGUAGUAGUGUGUUUUAGGGAAAAAACUUGUAUUGGAUUAAUGAGAGACUGUUGUUAUAAACCUCACUUCCUUAUUUCUUUCUGUUAUAAACAUUUCUCCUGGUUGCGAUGCUUAUUUGUAUUAGAAUGUGAAAUGAAGAAGUGAAAGUCAAUAAUGUCCUUAAAUAUUUGGUCAUCUAGUAGGGUACAAACGACAUUGUCUAUUUUACCUGAUUUACAAACGACAUUGUCAUCAAGCAGACGCCUUUCCAUUUCCCAGAAUCCCAACCUAGCUUGGCUUUGUAACAGUGAGACGACUCGCACAAUCUCUCACUGUGAAUUCUUCUUCAACCUCGAUCAAAUCUCAAACCCAAACCCUAAUUCACCGCUCUUAGAUUAGAGCAAAGUGGUAGAGCUGCUCACAGCUAUCACAUUGACGAAAAUGGCGUCUCGGUUGCAGAAGAUCGAAGGAGACGAGUCCGUACUGUUGCGCGUAACUCAUUCGAACCUCAAGACCUUCUCUGCCGACAUCCGCUUCUCCCUACAGAGCUCCGUGGAGUACGUCAAGGACAAGCUAUGGCGUAAAUGCGGCACUUCUGUAGAUUCCAUGUCGAUCCACCUGUAUGACGACGCCAACACCCAAGUCUCCGUUUUGAACGACAACUCCAAGCCCCUCGGCUUCUAUUCACCGCACGACGGGUCAGUACACGCACAAACACUCUCACUCUCUCUCUCACUCUCUUGUUAUUUGUGAUUUGGUUAAAUCUGUGAUUAUUGUUGGUUGUGUGUGUUUGAAAUUGAAAGCUACCGGCUACAUGUUAUAGAUCUUGACCCUUCAUCGGUGACCUCCGGUGGGUGGCUUGAGGACACAUCGUUGGUGGAGAAGUACACUAUUUCCCAAGAAGCUUAUGAGAAACGAGAUGGUAAGUUACCCAAUAUAUUGUUAUGUGUGUAGUUCUUGCAAAGUGUAUUUAGUUCAAUCCAGAUGUUUACAGUUUUGUUUGAGAGUUGGUUUAAUUUCUGUUUGGAUUAUAAUGGGCAUAGUUAUUAUUUGUUCUUUAUGUAUUAUUUUUGUAAUCACAUGUUUGUGGUUUUGUUUCAGGGACUUUUAGAAAAUUUAAAGACAAAUUGGCAUCUCAGAACCCGUCAGCUUUUGAGAAUAAAGUAAGCGUCACCUAUGUUAUUUAUUCCUUUAAGAUGCAUUUUGAGUGUCAAAUCAAACUGAGAUGUUCUUAAAGUUUGUUUAAUGAAGUUUUGUUCGCAGAUACCAGAGAACAAUAUGGAAGAUCUCUGUGUAAAUAUCAAGGUGCUUCCUGUUUCCUUUUUCCUUUCUUUUUUGUUUAAGUAUUAGUAGUCAUUGGGUCAUAAGCAUGAACUGCAAGGCUCAGUUUGUCUUUUUAAAUAGUUUAACAGUGUACUACUGACUGAGUUAGCUUUGUGGCACAUCCACAGACUACAAAAAUGAAUAAAUUUUUUGUUUUUUGGUCGAGAAAUGACAUAAUUAUUUUUCUAAUAUUUUUAAGAUCUGAACGAUUUAAAGACUGUAGCAUUUAAAUUUCCAUGAGGUAAUGUUGUGUCAUUAAGUGGUGAUUGUUCUUUACCUUGUUGGUUUCAAGCAUUCAGCUGGAUUAUUUUCCAGUUGCAGUUGGCAUUUUCUUCAGCAUUCUAGAUGGCACUUGAACUGUAAUUUUAUAGGAAUAUGUGUUGAUAUCAUUUUUCUUUAUUCGCUUGUAUUUUGUGUAGGAGUUGAAAGCAUUCUUGGUUCUCCAAAAUCUUCCUCAUAUUUUAUUAUGUGUUAACUAGCAUUUUCUUUUCUUGUUUAUUGUGAAACAAUAUUCAUGAUUGCCUCAGUUCUCCUACUUUAUAUGCUGAAGGUUGGAGAUAGAUGUGAGGUUCAACCAGGGGAUAAAAGAGGUGUUGUUAAAUUUGUUGGUCGGGCAGAAUCUCUGGCUCCUGGUUUCUGGAUUGGAGUUCAAUAUGAUGAACCAUUGGGAAAGCAUGAUGGCAUGUAAGUGAGCUCCUGACUCAUGCUAUGUUUUGUUUUUGGUAUCUCAUGUGCCAAUCAUAAAAAUGGUAUACUCUUGGUUCUGUUGUUCCUAACAAUUUCUCAUUUCCUUAGAAUAAUCAUAGCAAGGUUAAUAUCAUUUAUUGUUGUGAGUGCAUCUAGUGAUAGACGUUGAGGACAGAAAGUGCAUGUGAAGAAAUUGUUUUGUUCAAAUAAAAGAAACCUGCAUAGAGUGAUGUAAAAGACAUACUCAAAAUACAUUUGAAAUGGCAUGACUUAGAAUGUUUACGUGAUUUUUUGUUUUGUUUUUGUUUUUUUGUGUGUGGUCAAUGUAUUAAAUAUCUAAGAAAUAAAAGCAGAUUUCAAUUACAAGUCUUUGGAUUCAACAUAGUAGAGUAGUUCAAAAAAAAAGAGCCUAGUAUCUAUAAGCUAGACUAUGAGCUAAUAUGUUACGUCUGCUAUCUUUUGAUUGAGUACAUCACACUUUUUCCAUUCCCAUGAGUAAAUUUUGUUCAAGGAGAAAAUUCCCAUAGGAAAUAAUAUAUAUAACUCUCAUUUUACCUGCAGAAAGUAAAUUCUUGGUUGACUCUUGGUUUUGUGUGUGUUAUAUUGGUGGAUGCUUCUCAUCUGGUUUUGGCUGAUAACAUGUAAUAUUGUCUGGUAGUGUGGAUACACUUUUUUUCCCCUUCUACUUUAUUAUUUUUGUUCUUCCUUUUAGCUAGUAGUGUACAUGUUUUGUUACAGCAUGCUUUUCUUCAUUCUUUCUUUCUUUUAUCAGGUUUGGUAAAUCAUGUUUGUGUCAUUCAGUGCAACAUUAUAUUACAGUGCACUACGAGCAAAAAGAAACACUAAUUGUUAUGUGUUACGAAGAUAAUGGAAUCUAAACUCAUAUUAUACAAUUUUAAAUGCUUUGGAGAAUUUAGGGCUCACCCUAUAUGUGUAUGUAUCCAAUCAGUAGCCAUUCUUGUCACUGAACUAGUUUCUAAGAUUGGUGAAUAUUGAAUAGUCUUUCCUCUGAAAUUCUGCACAUACAUACAACCUUAUAUUUCUUGAAAUUGGUGUCUAUUACAGUGUUGGUGAUCUUUGGUAUGUUUCUAAAUCCGAUAGAACCAAAAUUCUUUCAUGUUGUGAUUUUGCUAUACCAUGAGUGGACAUUUUUGAAUUGCCUAUUUUAAAUUUGCAUUCCUUUUUUUCUGCAUAUUAUUUGGUUGAGAUUCCUCUUCUUCAUAUCAUAGGGUGAAAGGAACAAGAUAUUUCAAUUGCCUCCCACUUCAUGGUGGAAUUGUUCGGCCAGACAAAGUAAAGGUUCGUAUGCAUUUGUAUUCUAGAACACUUCAAAAUGAUUUUUUUUCCUGAUUUUCCUAUCAAGAUGUGGAGUAUAUUAUUGUUUGGUUCGAUUGGCUGUUUCACAAGGAACAGGAAUGUGUCUGUUUUAAAGUUUAAUAUGACCUGUUAGCUCAUAGGUUGUCACCCAUCUGUGGUAUUUCAACCGCUUCACGAACAGAACAAUAGUUUGGGGCCCACCUUUUAGCCCUGGGACUUUUACUGUUAUACAUUAGAAGAAGAACCCAAGGUUAAGGCGGGGAGUUAGCUUAGGAACUAUUCCUCAAUGAUGACUUGGUUAAUUGCAAAUCGUGGAGUCAGCAAUGACUGUUAAAUGCAAUUGGAUUCCUCUGUAUCUUAACAAAUUAUUAUAUACCAUUCUGGUGCACAUACCUUUUCCAUCUAAAGUGUCUUAUGUGAAAUGAAAUUGCUUUUAAUGACCUAGUUGAAAUGGUUUAUUUAUAUUCAUUUCACAGCGGAUGGAAUAAUAACAUUGUAAAAUUCUAACUUCAAACCUUUUUGCUAACAGUCAAUUGAGUACCCUUUGUGUAUUUCCAGCAUGACUUGUUCAUGGAGUUGACUAAUGUGACUAAUGCAAUUUCAGGUUGGUGACUACCCUGAACGAGAUCCAUUCGAGGAGGAUGAAAUCUAAGCAGGUCUUAGAGAGAGUACUUAUGUAUUUCAUGUUUUUACAUAACCUUUUUGGGGCAAUCGCCUUGAAGUUUCCUUAUAUUGUUCAAGUUGUAAUAUUAUUGGGAGGAGUUUAGAGUCUGAAGCUUAUUUGAGGGGUUCAAUCCCACCAUCAAACCAUUGUUUAAGUCUAUUAAUUUUCUCACAUUUGUUGAUGAUGGGAUUGAAUCCCUCUAAGCUCCUCACACUAAGCUCCUGCUUUCUGAGUAAAAGAAACAAUGAUGUUGGGUUGACUUAACAAAUUAAGGCGUACUGGGCCGAUUUGUUCCUUAUGUUGGGCUGCAUUCUUUAAUUUUGUGCUUUUGAAAAUCGGAAAUGCUAUAAAGAGGAGUUUAGAGUGAGGGGAUUGUUUAAGGGGUUCAGUCCCACCAUCAACAGAUGUAAAGAAAUCAUUGGACUUAUACAUGGGCCGAACAUUAUGCUUUUAGUUCUGUAGUUGGGCCGUUGUUUUAGCCAUCAAUCACAAAACUUCAUUGUAUUAUUGAAAACAGUAAUAAAAGUCUCGAGAAUCCAAUCUAAAACUUGUGAAGAGGCUAAUACUCUUAAUCAAUUGGCUACAAGUCCCUUGCAAAAUUUAAUUAUAUUAUAGACCCUGCAUUACUUAGAUUUAAUGGGUUUAAUCAGCGAACUAAACGGGGUCAUGUUCUAGAAUUUUUUUUUACAAAAAACUCCUAGUCAAGCAUAAGAAAACAAAAGAAAAUUGUUUUUUUUAGUACAAGCCAUUGGCGAAUGAGCGUUUACAUAAAUAUUCAUUGAGUAGUUAGGGUUUCGAAACUCUACUCACAUGGACGGCUGGAUUUCGAACCUUUGUUGUCUUAAGGUACAAAAUUCAUCAUGUUUUCACUAACUAGACGAUUCUAGCAGCCCAAUGUCCAUAUGUAAACUUGGCCUCCACUUGUGGCUCCUGCUAGCAUCCCAACUUUGAAAGGGUGAACAUCAAAUCUACAUGGAAUUGCAGACAUGUGUGGGCUCUGUAAAGUGAAAACUGUUCUUCUUUCAACUGGGGAGAUAACAUCUACACCUCUUUUCAUAUUGCCAAUGAAGACAUAUUCAUCGUCCCAGCCCCAUAUUGCCCUGUUUCCAGUGUUAAUAGCAGCUGUCAGAAACCGACCCCUUUUUUCAUGCUAGCAAAAUUUAGUAUUUUGGUAUUUUACUACCAACAAAAAAGAAAUUUGUAGUGUACAUAAUUCAAUCCACAAUCACUACAAUUUUCUUUUCAGAAGGUGAAUCUCCUCUUGGCAUCACUACCAUUGUAUGGAAUAAGGCUAACUAGCCAAAGUCAGAAAAAUUGAAUUGAAAGACUUCUCAGAUAUUCUUUUUUAAAUGGAAAACUGAGAAAACGUAAUAAUUGAAAAACAGAUUAUGAUAGAAAUCAGGCAGAAGAAUUAAGCGAGGGCAAGUCACAUCAGCAUUUCAAAAUCUGGUAAAAACCAUACCUGAACGAAGAAAUCCAUCUACCAGUACGAUUAUCAUGGUAUAUCAUUGAUAUGUCCUCAAAAUUAACUCCACUUGAUAUACCAACUGUGUUGUCAAUACUGCAUGAAGAGGUUAGACAAUUAGUCCCACCACAAGUGAGAUCAACUUAAACUCAUUUCAUUAAUCACCAUAUGCACAUUACGUGAGAUACAUUAGACCCUUGAGAAACAUUACUAGUACAGCAUAGUAAUGUGCAUAUGGUGAUUAAUGAAAAUCAAUGUUUGUACUCUCAAAUCACUGUUUAGCUUAUAUUAACAAACAGUAUUUGUUAAGCAAAUGAAUGAAACCAAAGCUAGCAUACAUGUUCCAGACAGGAACUAAAAUAUUCCACUGAAGUUUAAAACAACACAAUAUGGUCACCUUGUCGUCACUAGAGACCUUCCAGACGGCGAGAAGAAAGCAGAAUGCACAGCCCUUUUGUGGCCAACUGUUCUUAAAGUUUUGAGUUUAUUUGCAUUAAUACUUCUCAAAUCCCAGAUGCAGGCUGUUCCAUCUGUGGAACUAGUAGUCAUGACGUUAGAGUUUUCUGAGUUAAAGUUUAUGGAAUUAAUUCUGUCUUCAUGCAAAGGCCACUGGUUUGAGAAGUUUCCUGUUCUCUCAUCCCAGACACUUAAACCUCCAUGACCCUCAGCAAAAUAUAAGCAUUUUGGAUCCUUUGAUUGUUGGCAGAUGGAGUAUAUAGUCUCUUCACUGGAAUAUACUAGAUCAAACACCUCUUUCUCAGCAUCCAUCAACCGGAUAAAUCCAUCAUAACAACUGGUAAAGAUCUGCAUUUUAACUCAACAAUCAUAUAUCAGCUUUAACAUCAAAACUUGAGACAUAUCUCAAUCACAAGAUUUAAAUGAACAUAUGUUAGCCAUUACAUGCAGUAGAUCAUCAUAACAAAAUCCCAUGUAGAAAGCAUACAUCCUCAAAGGAAACAAAAAAAAGGGCCCAUUAUCAUUGAGAUAAAGUGCUAUUCACAAAGGGAGUUGCUACCGCAUCAUUUCCAAACUCCAUUUCUUAUGUUACUUCUCAGAAGUUCAGCAUGGUAAACAAUAUUAAUGUGUGAACAGACAUAACUGAGAAAAUAACAGAACUUUAACGUACAUUUUUAAAGCAUAUAUAAGUCGGUCGCUUUAUAACCUUAACAAUUGGAGCAGGAAACAUAUAGAUUCGUCUCUCUUAACAUUCAAACCAAUCCAUCAAGAGAAUUUUGGGUAAUCAACUACAAACCAAAGGACUAAUCAAAUUAGAAAUAUCCAUCUUUUACAACCAUACACGAAACAUUCAGAUAAAACUUACCUUUGACAUGCAAUGUUGUUGAAUCAAAAUCCCUGAAAUGGGACCUGUAUGUGGACGAUACAAGUAGACCCCACUUUCUUCCUCUUCCUUAGAAUCAAUAUGCCAAAAUCCAACAUUCCCAAACUUAUUCCCAACCACAACCAUACUUGAACUAGUACAAGGAAAAAAACUCACGUUCGUAAUUCUCCCUGGCACAACCCGCGCUAUAUUCUCCGAAUUCAGAGUCAAAGACUCCAACUUUAAACCACUAUCAACUUCACUCUCUUCCUUCUUAAUCAAACCGCAAGUUAUCCCAUCUAUGCCCUCAGUCAAAGGCUCCAACUUCAAACCAUUUUCAAUUUCAUUCUCUUCCUUCUUAAUCAAACCAGAAGUAAGCCCGCCUAUUCCCUCACAGGCACCGCUCGAAUUCUCAACUUUGGAAACCUCAAAUCUCCCAAUUUCACCUUUUACUGAAGCACUCAGUUGGGGAUUGUUCGCAAUGCCCAAAAGGGCUUCAAUUAGAGCUCGAUCCGACGCUCCACUAUACGCAUCUCUCAUACUAAGAGGACCCAAGUCGCGAGGCGAUGCUUUCGAUGGGCUCGGAGAUUUUGAGUUCCUGACCAUGGAUUCGAUAGCAUCAUCGCUAAGGCCCUUGGCAUCGGGAGGUAAACCUCUUGUACGUAAAGAACGCCUUAUAACAAUUGGGGUCUGGGUUUUGGGUUGCUUCUUCGGACAUACUUUGUACGAUUUGGUCUCAGCUCUACCAUUAAAACCAGAAAUUAGCAAUGGGUUUUACGGAAAAUCGUGAUUUUCAUGUACAUACAGAAAAAGAUUGAGAGAGCGAACCUUGGGCGUUUGGUUGAAGCAGAGACUUGGGCAGCGAUGGAAUGGAGCUUGAGGGAAGCCAUCAUUUGGUCAUUUCGGCGAAUGUUCUCGAGCCUCUUCCGCUCAUAGUCUGUGAGUUCCGGAGACGCCAUUAGAGAGAGUAAUGCAAAGACUAAAUGCAGAGAGAGUGACUGAUGGGAGUCUCAGAGAGGAAAGUGAGGGAGACAGAGAGAAAGAGGGCUUGAAAGUUGGAGGGACUGAUGUAGGCGGAUGUGGGGCUAUCGAUUUGGGGAAACCUACAUGUCGUGACUAUUGGUGGGAAAAAACUGGCGGGAAUGAACAUUUUCACUCUCAUGCCAUGGACCAAUCGCUUUCUAACACAUUUCUCUCUUUUUUCUUUUCAUGUCUUUAAGCUCCAAAAGCUUCUUCAAAAAACAAAAAAGAAAGAGAAGUCCCCAAGGGCUUAAAAACGUUGAUUGGUGUGUGGAAUGUGAUCCAUGGUUUGCCUUUUGCAAUUGCAAAUUUGCAAGGGUGAAUGGGGAGGCUGAAUUGAUUUGAUUAUUGCUGGACAAUAAACUCUUUUGAUUUUAGCCAACGCUCUCCCCAGUUUAUUUUAUUAUUUGUCAGUUUAUGUUUAGGUUUUUAAAUACUUUAAAUUAUUCUUUAAGUUUUUAUUACUAUUUUGUUGUCCACAUCAGCAAAAAAGUCCAGUCAUUCAAAGCCACAUAGGCAAUUAAAGCCUAAGCUGACAAUUCUGACUGUUGGAGGGGGUAAAAUGUAGAUUUUCUGAAAGUUUAAGUAUGGAGUUGUAAAUGUCUUACAAAAUAAGUAUGAACUUAAAAUGACCCCCAUAGUUUGGGGGAUUUACGUAGUUUAUCCUAUAAUAAAAGUAAACGCCUUUUUGCUCCCCAUUUCCAUUCAAAUAAAACUAUUGAGUGAAUCACUAAUUCUCCUUGCUGUAUUAAUACAUACCGACCUGUUGAAAUUCCAAGACAACACAUUUUCUCAUUUUGAAAAGAACUGAGAGGAAAAUUUGCCUUAAUGAAAUGAAGUUUUUUUUCGGACGAAAUAAGACAAUGGAGUCCUGCCAUACAGUCUAUACUAUGUAUUACAUAAAUAUAUAUACAUAUACGUGUGUGUGGACACAAUCUGUCUAUGAUACACUAAUACAAAUCCAUUCAUUCCGACCAAAACAAAAAAAAACAAAAAAAAAAACAAAUCCAUUCAUCUGGUUAUUCCAGCAUUUACCUUCUCUACUCUCAUAAAAUAAAAAAUAAAAUAAAAUAUACAUGUAAUAUAUAAGUUGUAGCUUAUUCUCCUUGAGCACUCCAUGUCUAUCUCUUCCUUGGCACCCUAUACAUAUGAUACGUACAGUCUUGGUCCAUGUCCAUUUUCUAUACAGUGUAGUGUUGUUGGAUGGUGUCAAUGUCUAGUCCCUUCAGCUGAACCACUGACUCAACGUGCCCCUUUAGUGUAUGGAGUUCCCUCAGCCUGCAUUUAUAAUCAAUGCAAGUUUAAAUAUAUGUACAAAUCAGUAAUUAGAUACAUCAAAUAAUUUUAUUCUCGUAUAUGUGGAUUUGUACGGAACAUUCGAAGGGGACCUUGAACGAACAGUGUUAACUAUACAAGGAAGGAAGCAUCAUGUUGAUUACUCAAGUCACUUUCUGAUAUCGUGAAAUUUUUGUAGUCACAAUGAAAAUGGAUUCAUUUAAAAGUUUUGGAUGCUGGUGGCCUUUAGAAGUUUCGGAUACCCUUUUUCAAAUUCUUACCUUGCGACUUCUGCACGCCUCUUGGCCUGCUCAGCUAGCUCAGAUUGCUCCCUGUGGUUUCCAGGAAACAAUGCUUCUGGAGGCUGGAGUCCGUGAAGUGAACGUUGAGCUGAGGCCCAUUGUGCCUCCCUCUCACCCUUGCCAUAAUCAUUUUUUGAUGUGAACGCAGUCUUGAUAGGUAGUCAAAACAUGCACAAAACAAGAUUAAGUCAUGAAGGGAAGGAAAAUAGUAUAAUGGAUAACACUUCUAGAUAGAGCUAAAAAGAAAUCAGAGGGUAUAGAAACCUUGUUCUGGACAAUAUUAUCCCAGGCCCUGCCAGUCAAUGCAUAGCGGAUUAUGAACUUGAAGAUAUCAAGAGGGAAGUAGGUGAUAAUGCUGUAGACCCAGAUGACACCUGCCCAUCGCCAUCCAAUGCCUUCAAUUCUGGCAAAGCCCCAACUACAGUACACGGCAAUGAGAGUGGCCACCUACGGAACAAAGUACCAAAUUUUUCUUAGGCAAGUUAUGGUGAUCACAGGCAGCAGAAGAUAUACAAUUGCUUAGGCAAGUUAUGGUGAUCACAGGCAGCAAAAGAUAUGCUAAAACUAAGUACUUUUCAAUACAUAUAAGUGAAAAGAGAAAAGUACUAACCAACUGUGCCGCAAGGAAGGCACCGACAAGCAUGACACCAGGGCGUUCAAGAAAGGACCAGCUCCUUGAUCGAGUCACAAAUAUGAGCGCUUGACUGAUGAUGCUCACUUGUAGGUAGAUAGCUGAGUUAAGUUGUUUUGGGUUUUCUCCAAUGUGGUGCACGCCAAAGGUUUUCUGCAAAUAGUUGAAUUGUUAGCAUUGUCUUAGAUUUUAAUCAUCAAUUCAGUGUUGGCAUUUUGAUCUCUUAGUGGGCUUCACUUACUGCGAAAAAGUCGGUGCUAUAUGCAAGCCAGAAGAAGACCACAGUCAUGAUUGCCAUGUAGGUACCAAGGACAACUCCAGUGGCAAAGAUCUCCUUGAGCUUCCAUGAGUCGGGGAGAGGGGAUGGCCUCACUCUGUCCUUAGAGAUGGUCAUGAUAGUCCCGUCAUUCAAUACAGCAAUGACCAAGACCAUGAAAGGUGAGAAAUCAAACUUCCAGAUGAGAUUAACGAGCAUGAAUCCCAGCACAAUUCGGAUUGUGAUGGAAACAGCAUAAAUUGUAUAGUUCUUCAUCCUCUGGAAGAUGGCCCUGCUUGUCAAGACUGCACUCACAAUCACACUCAGUCCUGGCUCUGUCAGAACAAUGUCCGAGGCACUUCUAGCUGCAUCAGUUGCAUCAGCCACUGCAAUGCCAAUGUCUGCCUUCUUCAGUGCUGGGGCAUCAUUCACACCAUCUCCAGUCAUCCCACAGAUGUGCUUCCUCUCUUGAAGCUUCUUUACAAUCUCAUACUUAUGCUCUGUAUGCCCAAACAUAUAUGCAUUAGUUGAAAGUCUAAAACCAGUGAAUUGGAAUAUAUUUGUUUCCUUUUUAAUUCUUGCAGCGACGAUUUAAUUACCAGGAAAUACUCCAGCGAAUCCAUCGGCCUUUUCAAUGAGCUCAUCCACAGGAAUGGAGGCAAUGGACUCGUCCUUGCUCUCGCCAAGAAGGGUAGAUGAAGGAUACAUGUUAGUACCCAUGCCAAGCCUGCGACCAGUCUCUUUCCCAAUGGCAAGUUGGUCACCGGUGAUCAUCUUAACAUUGACACCAAGUUCCAGAGCCCGGCGGAUAGUCUCAGCACUGUCAUGCCUUGGAGGGUCAAAGAGAGGCAACAGUCCCACAAACUCCCAUGCAUCGCCAGCGCUCUCCUUGGUCUUCUCUGAAACUGUCUGUAAAUGGAUAGAGCACAUGAUCCAACUUAUGUCAGGAAAUUCAUCUCUCUGGAGAUACAAGAAACACCAGAUUCAUAUUGUCAUGCUUAUAAGUUAUUCACCUGCCGAGCAACUCCCAAUGACCGAAGACCACGCUCAGCAUAGUUAUCAAUGACAGCAUGGGCCUUCUUCUUCAUUUCGCCCUUGAGAUCGCAAAGGUCAAUAAUCUGGCAGAUGAGCGAAAUAGUUAGAUGUCAAUGUUGAAAAGCUAAAAAACUGAGCUAGGGGCGGAUAUAUACUUAUAUGUCAGAAAUAAUAUGAGCUCUAUAUUGGUACAAGAAGACUAUCUUACUUGCUCAGGAGCACCCUUGCUGCACCGGUGCCAGUCGCCAUUGCUAUCAACGUAGGUGAUUGCUGUGCGCUUGUCCACAGGAUUGAAGGGCAGGAAAUGCACCUCAGUGAUUCCUGCUCUUGCCUACAAAAACACCAUUAAAGCAUAGUAAAGCUAAGUUGCUUCAAUGACCACAUGUUGGAAGAUGAGGAGUAGAAAAAAUUCAAUGGUGAUUGCAGACAAGGAUUGAACUGUGUACCUCCUUGGGGUCGCCCAACAUCCCAACAAUUGAAGCAUCAAUGGCAUCCUGAUUUUCAACCCUGGAAGCCCGGGCAGAGAGCAAGAUCACGGUGUCCUUAUCCAUGUUCUUGGGAAACACCUGCAAUUGUAAUCACACCCAGAAUAAGUACUAAUCACAAAAAGAGGACCAUAAGCAAAUAAUCAAUAUAUAUUAUCUUAAUCUCUGACCUCAAUCAGACUCUUGUCAACUGAAAGCUUGUUGAGCGUAAGGGUGCCGGUCUUAUCACUGCAAAGGACAUCCAUCCCUGCCAUCUCUUCAAUGGCUGUCAUCCUCUUGGUGAUGGCACCUUGCUGUGACAGGCGGUGAGACCCAAUAGCCAUGGUCACGGACAAGACUGUUGGCAUGGCAAUGGGGAUACCUCCUAUCAGAAGCACCAACAGAUUGUCAAUACCAUCUCUGUAUUCCCUGUGCUGAAUUGGGUACAUCACCACGAUCUCAAUCGCCAUUCCCACAGCAAUGGAGCAUAUACAGAAGUUACCAAUGGAUGUCAACACCUGUCAAGACAACACCAAAGUAGUAAAUGUCUUGAACUGAAGGACUCAAAACUGAAUCAAACAAUACUUUACAUAAAUUCGGUGACUGCCGACAAAGAAUGCGUACCUUUUGGAAGUGUCCAACUUGGUUGGUGCUAUCCACAAGGUGGGCAGCCUUGCCAAAGAAGGUAUGGACACCAGUGGCGAUAACAACAGCUUCGAUCUCACCCUGUUUGCAAGUAGAGCCAGAGAAUACCUCAUCUCCUGGGUUCUUGGUAACGGGAAGGGACUCACCGGUGAGGGCAGCCUGGUCAAUCUUGAGAGGAUCUCCUUCCAGCAGACGAGCAUCAGCUGGGACGAUAUCUCCCAACUUGAUGCUGAUCACAUCUCCUGGUACCAGGAUUUCUGCCUCUUGUUCUCCCCACUUUCCAUCCCUCAAGACCUACAUGCAGUUAUAAUUAAGCACUUCACUUAUCUAUAUAGAUAUCUUUGGUAGCUGUAGUAUUAAUAAAUAAAAUGGAGCUGCUAGAAUGAAUACGGAUGAGGAAAUUAAUAUUAAUUGCACCUUAGUCUUGGGGGCUAGACUAGCCAUCAGAGCUGCUGCGGCAUUGCCAGCAUUGUUUUCUUCGAUGAAGCUGAUGGUUGAGUUGAUGAUCAACAACACCAUAAUACCGACGAAGUCCGGCCAGUCGGUUGGCUUGCCCUGCAUUGUUCAGAAUAUUCUUGUUAAUAAGUUCAUGAUGAUCAUGAGAGAGAAUGAGGGUGUGUUUAAUUGAAUUAAUUUGUGAAUUUGUGAAUUUGUGUUAUGAAUCUUAUAAUAUCAUGGAAUUAAUGAUGAUAUUACCCCUCCAUUAGCCAAAACCAGGGCCAUGAUAGCAGCACACUCCAUGACCCACGAUAGAGGAUUCCACAUAAAUCCCAGGAACUUGAGGAGCUUGUUUUCUUUUUUCUCCUCAAGCUUGUUUGGGCCAAAGAUCUGCAGCCGCUUCUGGCCCUCCUCUGAUGUCAAACCCCUUUUCGUGCAUUUCAGCUGUUCGAACACUUCCUCGACGGGGAUUCUCUCCUACAUAAACACACACACACGCACAAAUCAAUCACAUUUGCUUCAUACCAUCAAAAGAAAACUUAACACUUGCAGACUCAAAUCUCAACAUCCUGGACUUACAAGGUCAACGUUCUCAUUCUUGACAUCUUCUAAUGAGAUGUUGGCCAUGAUGUAGCUAGAUGACAACAACACCGUCCUAGGCUCUUAAGUCUCUUGGAGUCUUAAAGCUUUGUCUUGUACCGCCACAAGGAGUGCUCAGCCUCUAGGCCUCCUCGUCGGCCAUAGGCUUCCGAAGAGACAGAGAGGACGAGGAGAAACUUAGUAAAAGAAAGUAGAAUAAGAUUUGUCGACAGCCUAACUCUGCGUUUUCCUGUUGGCCUAGUUCUGCCCCUUGAGCCGACCCUGCUUUUAUAGCAAGGGCGAGAGGGAGACAAUGGAGGGUAGCCCGUGGAUUGCUGUGCUGUUGUUGCAUGUUGUUUUGCCACUUCGGCAUCCUGGGAUAUGUUUGUUAGAGCCUUUUGUGGCUGCCCAAACUACGCGGGGCAGCCAUAUUUUGCUUUGAGACAUUGCAUGCAUAUUUCAUAUUUGGAAUGGAGGCUAGUAAAAUCAUUAACUAUCAAACCAAUACCAUUCGAUGGGCUCUGCCAAUGUAGAAAAGAAAUACAGUGCAUUCGAAUAUAUGAUGAGAAUGAGAAAUGUUUUUGUAUCAACAACACACCUUGAAAAUAGGGGUAGAGUUUUGUUUAAUUCAUUUUUGAAAGCCUAAAGCUUUUCACUAGAAUAAUAUGCCCAUCAAUAUUGUCCACUCAAUUGGGGUGACUCCUGUGUUCUGUGCAUGUAACGGAUUUGUUUAGUUCUGUUUAUUACGAAAGAUGGAGAAUGAAACUAACAAAAAUUCUCCUACGUGGACAUUCGGACAUUUACAAUUUCUUUCAUCCAUUUCUCCCAAUAUAUCUUCCCUCUUUCAAAGGAGCACGUCUCAUUCUCAUUGCCUAGCUUUUCUCUAUUAUACUUUAUCAAUUAAUUCGCAGAGGAUCUGGAUGCGCUAUAUUUUCUCAUUUCAUAUUAACCUCCCAAUAAACAUGCCUUAUAAACAGUAGGAUCAAGUAAACCACACGUAUAAGAUCACCUCCGUUAUAAAAAAAAAAGGUAAAAAGUCAUUUUUGGUCUAUAUGGUUUGUCACUUUUACUACUAAAAUUCCUGUAGUUUCAAUUUGAAGCAAUUUAAAUUCAAUCCUUAGUUGUUGUCAAAUUCUUUUAAUUUCUGUUACUUGUGGAGAGGUAAUUUAGUCAACAAGUUAUUAAAAAAUUAAUUCUUUUAAAAAUAAACAAUACAAAAUGGAAAAAUUAAUAAAUAAAAAAUAUAUCUUCUUCUCCCCUCCCUAGAAGCCUUCGUCACUCUCUGCUGAAUCUCUCCCUCUUCAUUUCUCCACCACCUGAUAGCACCCUAUCCCCAGCCCCACCCCUACCCCUAGCCGUGACCCACCCCCAACCCCAUCCCUACCGACAACCCAACACCAGUGCUCCGACCCCCUUCAUCCCUCUAUCUCUCUCCGAUUUGGCCCUGCACCUCACCCCACCACCACCAUAACCUAAAACUAGAUAUUCUCCAAUAUACAGCUUUGUUCAUCAAUCGAUUUUUAAUAACUUGGAGAUAGCUAUAGAUUUUACCCUUCCCAACUUCAAGUUCUGUUUCUCAAAAACACCAUCAAAUAAGCUAUAAUAAGUGAAAAUAAAAUUGAAAUAGGAGUAGUUCUUGGUGGGUGGGCUGGGUUGGAGCCCUUUUUUUUUUUUUUUUCCGUUGCAAAUCUGUUGUCCAUAUUGUAAUAAAUUAUGAGCAAUGUGGUCUUUUGCUUGCACUCAAUUUUUUGGGAUGGACUUGAGACAGAGAGAUAGAGAGAUAGGCGGGGGGGUGUCUUGAGAAGUUUUGUGGUGGGAGGGUGGCAAGGGUUGGUUGCUAGGUGGAUGAUAUUGGGCAGUGGCUUGUUUGAUGGUUGUUAUGGUUGGAGGGGGAGGGCACGAGAGUUAAAAAGGAAUGAAUUUUUGUUAUUUAUUAUUAAUUUUUUCAUUUUGCAUUUUUUAUUUUAAAAAGGAAUGAUUUUUUUAAUAAUUUGUCAAAAAUUGAAAGUUGUCCUUAAAUUGCUUGAAAUUGAAAUCAUUGGAACAAAAAUGUUCAAAUUGAAACCACAAAGACCUUAGUGGUAAAAGUGAUAAACUACAAAGACUAAAAGUGACUUUUUGCCUAAGAAAAAUGCAUGCAUCGAUCCCAAUCUACAGUUGCAAUCAUCAAUUAACUCAAAGUCAAUCCCUAUUUUCCUUGGAUCAUCUUCAACUGGACAUGAAUUUAUUCAGAACAUAAAAACCUAAUUAAAAAAACUUGAAAUCAGAACUCCAGUUGCUCGCCUGAUCACUAAAAGAUAAAAAGAAGGGAAGAGAUUUAAGUAAACCAAGACCGACCACAAAAUUAAGAUAACGCUCUUCCAACAAAGGCAUUCAAAGACAUCCAGCAGCAGCAGCACUUCAACUAUCUAUCCCACUCCCAUAAGCUCUCCAAGACAUUUCUACCUCCUCCCUCUCUUUACCAAUCAUAGCCUAUGCAUUUUACUCACUCACUUAAGCAAGCAUUAAGUAAACCUAAAGUCAUGUUUAACCUGCUCUCACCUUAAAAUCCAAACAAAACCAUCCAGAUGUUUCCUCAACGUAUGCCCUACAUUUCCAUAUAAAAAGUGAAACACAAGGUACCCGAAAGAAAAGGAACAUCCUUCUCAUACUUGGUUCCCCUGGUUUCAACCAAAAAAAUAUAUUCCCCUGGUUCCACAUAACAAUCUAAGCAAGGUGUCAUGAUACCUACGUAACCAUCGACAUAAUUAGACCCCUAGUUCCACAUAACAAUCUGUGCAAUGUGUCAAAACACGUACAUAACCACAAUUAAGCCCCUGGUUCGACAUAACAAUCUACGCAAUGUGUCCAAAUAACUACAUAAACUAACCAGAACACCCUAACAGCAUACUCAUCAGCACAACCAGCAUCAUAAAUUGUAAAAUCAAGGCUAAAGCAGUUGCUAAAAGGUUCCACAUCAAUCACAAUGAUUAGGAAACGAAACAUCUAGCACCUCAUAUGAAAAGUGAGGCAAUACAUUAGACCAAAUCACAGUCACAAUACUUUUUUCAUUAGAUAGGUAAUAGUAAUAUGUUACGACUUAAGCAUGUCAAUCACAAAAAAUAAAAGGGCAAAAAGAAGCCAUUGAGAAACAUUAUAAACUCGUCUAAAUUCAAAAAUUGGUCCAACCCAUUACUUGAAAUACAAAUAAACUACAAACCAAAUAUCAAUCUCUGCUAGGGGACUCCAUAUAGGUUCGCAAUUGAUUAUAACAUAAAAGUUUCCAACUGUUUUUUGCCAAAUAAAAUCUUAAACAAAAUGCCAAGUUACGAGUGUCAUCCACCUCAAAACCCGAGCUUGGUACGGCGCCAGUGCCUGCGCUUAGCAUUGUACCUGAGGAAACACGACGCCGUAUUAGAGCAACCAAAUCCAUUUUGAUUAUCAGAAAGAUAGAUAGAAAUGUGAAAGAACACAUGUUUCUCACCUGAUGGUGUUGUCGGUCCUCAUGCGGAUCCAGUGAGGAAUGGGUCGGUUCUGCCUCAUCUUCUUCGCCAGCUUCUUCUUGAUCCUGAAGGUCUUGUGCGACGGCUGCAAAUUCAAUCGGUUGAGAUGAGAACAAGAAUAGAGUCUAAAAUUUGCACGUCCAGUGUCAUAGAAAGCUUACCAUUUUCGCUGUGGGAGCUUCGGCUGGAGGAGCGACUUGCAGACAAAAACCCUAGCGAUAGGAAACCCUAUUGCUGAGUCUUGCAAUUUAUAGUUUUUAGCGAUGGGUUUUAUGGACUGUUGGGCCCUUACGAGAUUAUGAUGAGUCUCAAUGGAGGCUGAUCAUAUUUGAGGAAGCGUCCAAUUUUGAACUAAAGGCCCAUUUCUCAAAUUGCACACAGCCCAAUAACACCUUGUUUUAGGGCUUGCCAUGAACUGGACUAAGUCUAUUAAUUUCAAUUAUGUUUUAACCGUUUAUCGUGAAUUUAUAUAUCGUGAAACUUAUGUCUUAAAUUCAAUUUUUUCUUUUUUUGAUAUUGCAUGUAUUAAAAAUAAAUAAAUAAAUUGUGAAACCUGACUUAUUAAACAAUUAUUAACAUUUUUGCUUUAAAAAUCUAAUAUUGCAGUGGUUUUAUUUGGGAAAAAAAACAUGGGAAUUGUUGGGUUUUAGGAUUAAGGGUGUGUUGAGCAGAUUAUAAAGUGUAAAGUAAACAGUUAAACGACAUUGUCAUACUCGUGCCGUAACGGGACAGUGCAAUCACUGUAAAAGUAGCAGUGCUGAUACCGCCCAAACCCGCGCACGGAAAUCCAAGUGUGAAAUUCCGAAAGUAGCCCCAAAUCCCUAAGGCCCACUCUACGCUCCAAUCACCGCGUGACCUCACUCUCCUUCCCCCAUCAGGAUUCUGCAACCUCCUCUCUCCCACAGCCUCACUGUCUUCCACAUUCCAAACACUAUAAAAGAGCGCCCCUUCUCUCUCUAUCGCCGUCUUUUCCCGAAUUCGAACCUUCAAGCUUCGCUUUCUAGUGAGUUCCAGUGCUGGAUUAGUUUGAUAGCACAGAAUCGACGGUUCUGGUUGAUUCUUACAAUUCAAACAAUGCCUCGCGCUUCUAAAAGAAAAGCAGCUCCAUCAACUUCGACUUCCGUCACAUCCUGCGACGCCGUUCCACCGCGUGCCGGUAUCUUGCUUUCCUCAGAUUCUGAUUGGUUCCCGAUAAAAACUAAAAAAAAAGAAGAAAUAUUAAAAGUCACAUAUUUGUUUUAUUUUCAUAGGGCACAGAAGUUAAGUAUGUGAAUAUUGCACGCAGUUAUGAGCUGGGUUAAGCUAGCAGAGCAGCAAAAACUCGUCCUUUCUUCUUUUUUUGUGAUUAUAUUCUAUUGGGCAUGCAUUAACUAUUCGAUUUCAAUGUUUUGGAUUGUAUUAUAAUUUGGCCUUGUUCAUGCCGUUUAAUCCAAUUGCAUCGCUUUGUUUUGAUUUAGACUUUUAAAAAUUUCAGUAGUUUUGUGUAUUUGAAUUUUGAGAAGCGGAACUAUGAUCUUCAGGCUAUCUGGAAAUUUUGUGAUUUUGAAGUUUGAGUUGUCAAAAUUACUUUAUCACCCUUAACUUGUUGAGUUAAGACGAAGGAUAAUUUUGAAGAAGAACUUGUGCGUGGCUUCUGGAGUUUGGUAUACUAUUUCGAAGAUUUUAUGAUACCAAUUGCCCUAAAUAAACAUAGAAGAUUCCGUAGGUGUGUUUUCUUUUUUGAUUUAUGUAUGAGGAGCAAUAUACUCACAUGUUGGCGAUGGAUUAAUAAUAUUCAAAUUAAUCUUACAAUUUCUUUCUUCAACCAUUUUUCCUAUGAUUUUAUAUGGUACAAGUAAUUAAAAAAUAAUGCCAUUGUACUGUAGGUGGAAAUUUUCUAUAUAAAAGAUAAAAAAUUGUUUUUUAUUUUUUGGAUAUUGAACUAGCCCUGUAGGAAGGCUGCACAUAUUGGUCGUUAUAUUUGAAUAUGUUAUGUCAGCUGUUGAUCCUGCUUGUAUCUGAUGUGCUUUUUUUUUUUCCUUGCUCGACAAGUUUUAAGAUAUAUUUUUGGUUUUUACUAUGCAGUAUUUGGUGUUCUAAUGUUAUUCAGCCUCAGGUAAAUGUAAAUCAAGAAAGGUGGUAGACCGGAUAGGAAGCCUUUUUGAAUUGUAUGCAAACCAGUCGUUAAACAUGAUUGAGUAAGUAUACAGUGCUUUGAUAAGCAUGCAUUUAUGAAGUGGUGAUGUCAAUUCCGUAUGAUAAGUGUGCAGUGCUAAAAUUCUGUUAACCUUCCUAUAUUCUUAUGUUUGAUUGAAUAGCCCAGAAGGAAUUGAGGCUCUUUGUUCGGAUUUGGGUGUGGACCAUACUAAUGUUAGAAUACUGAUGCUUGCUUGGUAAGUUGGUUUAUUAGUUUUUGCUUACACGUUGUUGUGUGCAUACUUCAUUUAGUUAUCUUAUAACCUGAUUGAAGUUCCUGAAUGCAUGAUUCAGGAAAAUGAAAGCUGAAAAGCAGGGCUACUUUUCCAGGGUAAGAUGGAAAUGUAUAGUUUAAGCAGAUUUUCUUGUUUCCCAGUUGGUGUUCGUGCUUCUAAUACAUUUAAUGUUUUUGUUUCUGCAAUAUGCCCUAAUACAUUGGAUGUGAUAUAUAUGUAAUAUAUAUGCAUGUUACUGAUGAGUUACACAAAACAAUGGUAUUACAAAGAAGAUAGUCUGAUUUACACAAAAGGAGGCAGCCACCCAAAAUACGAGAAUUUUAAUUUUGGGACCCCAAGUGAAGGGCAAAGGAGUUACGUAAAAAGUACUAGGUUUGUAGGGUUUAAGCCUGUAUACUAAGUUGCUAACUGUGAGAAAGAUCAUCUUGUGACUCAGAAAACUAUUUUGACACUUCAACUUGAUAGAAAAGUACUGAUCAGAAGUUGCAGUUUGGCAAUAAUAGGCACUUAAUACAACAGUUAGGAAACAGGAUACACUUUUUCAUUGAGCUGGUCUGUAGAAUUUUGUCCAGUAUGUGGCUUUCCUGUGAAGAAAGCGAACUCGAGAGAGACUAACUUCAAAAACUUAACAAAGAUUCUUCAAUGUGUGUAGAGUUUGCUCUAAUUGUUCAAGGUCACUGGAAUAUUUGUUUUAUCGGGAAUAGGAUCCUACUUCAAGGUUAGUGUAAUGAGGAUAGCAUGUGGCUGGCCCUCUCAAUGCUACCCAAGACACUUGGAAACCCCCAAGACUAACUUUAUCUGUGUUCCUAGCCUCCAAAUAAAUACAGUAUGAGACCUCAAUGUUCCCAUGUUGGGACUUCUAGUUCUCAUUUUUUUUUCUUUUUUCUGUUUCUCUUUCCUGUUCUUCUAAUUAGGACGAGUGGCAAAGAGGCUUGAAAGAGCUACAUGUCGACACUAUUUCUAAAUUAAAGAAAGCACUCCCGGGUUUGGAGAAAGAGGUAUUCACAUCUUCCUUUCUUUUCCUUUUGGAUACUAUUGGAGUCGUGAUGGAAUUGUUAUUGAGGUGAUUUGGUACAUAAUACCGGAUGAUGCUUGAAAGGAAGAAAUAUUUGUUGGUACUGAUCUUGCUUUUUGUGUUUUUUGAUAGUUGAUGACCCCACCCAAAUUUGAAGAUUUUUAUGCAUAUGCAUUUCGAUACUGCUUGACAGGUGAGCUUAGUCUUGAGAGGCAUUUCUUUUUCUUAUAUUAAGUGAAAACCUUUUUUUUCAUGGAAAUCUCUGUGUCAAAUUGGUUAAAUUUUCAGAAGAAAGGCAAAAGAGUGUAGACAUUGAGACUGUAUGUGAAUUACUGAAUCUCGUAUUGGGUCCCCUAUACCGUCUCCAGGUUGAUUUAUUAAUUAAGUAUUUGAAGGUAUGUAGCUGUGGCAGCUGUUCAUGUCCCAUUUCACUUUUCUGUUAAGUAAUUGGCUCCUCAACACAAUUGUUUUCUGAACUAGGUUCCACAAUUGUUCUGUGAUGCUUGGUUUUAAUUUUGGCAGGUCCAAAGUGAGUACAGAGCAUUAAAUAUGGAUCAGUGGUUACAUUUUUACCGUUUUUGCAAGGAGGUAAACUUAUUAUUUUUGUUUUUAUUUUCUCCAGAAAUUCUAGUUCAUAUGUUUCUUUGUACCUUUUAACGUUUUGUUGUUGAGUUGCAGGGCCUGGAAAGUGGCCCUGGUUUUAAGAUUAUGCAAUUAGAUGAGUUUCUUGUUUGGCUUGAAAUCCUAACCAUGAUUUUGGAAGGCUAAACAUGUGUAAAAAAAGUACAAGAUUAUGAUAAGACUAUCCAUUCGUGUAAAAUAAUUGGAAAGUAUGCAAUCAGUGAGUUGUGUGCUCAGGAAUAAUCUCAAGUCUAAUUGACCUAUUUGACAGUUUAAACUCAUAAACACCAAACAAUGGCCCAUAAUGGGAAUAUAAAGGUGAAAACCUCGAUUCGAGGGAUUUAGCACUUCCUGUGCCUGGAUCUAACUUUCUGACUUCUAUCUAACUUUUUGUUUUAAUUCAAUGAAUCUUUACUUUUGGCAGAUAAGUUUUCCGGACCUUCAAAACUAUGAUUCGGAUCAAGCAUGGCCUGUGAUUAUUGAUAAUUUUGUUGAAUGGAUGAGAGACGAGCAAAGCUAAUUUUGGCAUCCUCCUGUUAGAAUACACUGCUGACCUAUAAGAAGGUAUAAGAAUUCUCCUCUUUUUAUAUCUUUCUUUUCUUCCCAUUUAUUGGGGGUGGAUAUUGUAAUUUAGAUUGCAUCAUUGAUUUUCAAACUAGAAGAAUGGUUUAGAUCCACAUUUGUGACUUGACUUUGGUCUGUUUGAUCGAAUUGCAGGGGUUGGCAAGAAUUCCAGCUAUGGUUUUAACUAACAAAAGAUUUGUGCUUGCGUUUUUCUUCUAGGGGGUGGUUUGGAGAGCUGGCUCUCAAGAGAAAUGCUGCAGUUUUUGUGAUGAGAAAAUUUUGCAAGUGUCUAAUUAUAUAAAAAAAUGUUUUGCACUCUGUUUAUUUUCCACUGCCCGUAUUAUUUAAUUUGUGGUUUUCUUCUCUGAGCUGCUAUGAAUUGCAGCUUCAAUUGAUAAAAUUGUUGCUUAGAAUUCUUUUAUUAUAAAAAGAAUGAUAAUAACCAAUUGCGCUGAGCAUACUAUGAUUGAUGCAUUCUAAAAAUUUUGGAUAGGAAAGGGAAAAAAGAAGGAAAGACUAUCAUGGAUGGAUGGAGUAUUUAAACAUUCGUGAUUCUUUGAAUUGAUUGAGAUGAACUAAUCCAUAAUCGAAAUCAGAAUAAGGUGUUCAACCUGGCUGCUCGUCAAGUUCGAUAACAAUGACUUCAAAAUUUGAUAACAUGGACACGUACAUGCAGGCCGCACGUUUGUAACUUGUCAGCCUACUUAUUAUUGCACGCAAAACAAUUGUACAUUUAUUUUCCUUUCAUAAUGUAAAUACAAAUCUCCAACCUACUUAAAUUAAUCCUCUACCACACAUAAAAUAAAUUGGAUUCAAUUCAAUAAUCACUAGUCACUCAAUGAAUUGAUGCUUUAUAUAUAUUAAACACGAAAAUAGCUGCGAGUUUCUAUACGAUCAUCAAUUAGAAAUUUCAUUCUAGACGGCUGAAAUCUCCUGUAAAAUCGGAGCAAGAAGAUAAUGUAGGAGAUGUAACACUCUUCUCAUUCGUCGAGAAUCCAUGAAUUUGAAGCUGUAGUUUAAGAGAAUGUACAUAUUAAGAAUGAAUUAUUUUGGAAACUAAGUUUAAGAUUAAUGAAAAGAAUCUUAAUUGUCAUCAAGAAAAAGUUGGUGAUUUUACCUUGCGCCGAAAUCUUCCAGUCGCUAUCAUAUGUGAGGGCCCAAAAGAAGUAUCCACGAAGCCCAAGGGCUUGAGCAUACCCUAUCUUGGAGGUUGUAGUAAACGCAUCAUCAAACGAAACCCAUGAAGACCCGUUAAAAGAAUAUACUGUCAUAGUGUCCACGUCAUACACUACGGUUGCGCCCGACUGGUUCAGCAGUGUCUCCACCUGAUGGAACAACAGCUGCCCAUCUCCUGGGCCUGGCCCAACAGCAGUAGCUCCAAUACUAUGAUUAUUUGGGUCUUUGAGCUCCCAUGUCCGGCCGUAGAGUGGCAAGCCCAUAACUAGCUUCUUUGGGGGUAUCCCGGCCUUGAUCCAUGACCUAAGCCCGUAUAUGGAGUUUACUUUACUCUUCGGGUCAAGCAAUGCUGCAUUGGGCCCUGUGGUAUUGCUCCAAGCCCCGUUAUAGUCGAAACACAUUGCAUUAAUCCAGUCCAAGUAUUUAUUCAUGUGCGGCAUUGGGUAGGAGCGGGGGACAUUGGCCAAGAAGAAGUCGGCCGAGAAGUAGACGGCGGCGGUGAGUAGGAGAGGAGGGCGGGCUGUGGAUUUAGCCUCUUUCUUGAGUGCGUGGCGCCAUUCUUUGAGCAAGUGGCCCAAGUCCUUCAUUUCUUUUGGGCUUUUAGGGAAUUCCCAAUCAAGAUCCAGCCCAUCAAACCCAAACUUACGUGCAACCUCUAUGGCAGAGUGUAUGAAAUGUGAACGUGAGGAGGGCUCCGAGGCCAUGCGAGCAAAGAUUUUAGGUAGUUCUGGGUCAUCUCCGCCACCACCUAAGGACAAGAGGGUCUUCACUGGUGGAUGUUUGUGAUGGAGGGUGGUGGUGAAAUUGGAGAGAAGCAAAGCUGUUGAAUUUGACAAGUCAAAUUUGAAAGUGACAUCGUUUGGCACAAGAAAGGCAUAGAAGAUGUGAGUGAAGAAUGAUGUGUUUAUAGCUGAAGGUGGGAAAUCAUCUGACAACCAUGAAGGAUAAUAGGCCGACUUCACAGGGGGAGGAGGGUCUGAAAGCGAGUCUGCCAUACAGCCAGUGUUGAAGAUCAUCAAGGAACAGGAAAGCAAAAGAAUAUGCACCAAGUCAUUGAGGCUUGCCAUUUCUAGGCUGUGAGAAAAGUAGACUGACUACCCAGUGGUAACUAGGAAGGGCUAUAUGCUAUAUAUUAUUCGAAGCUUGAAACGUAUUUGGUGUAUAGUUUUUGUAUUUAUCCACCACAGCAUGCAUUAAAGAAAUAAGAAUGCAUAUAAAAAUGAUGGAAGGGGUUAAGCAAAACGUUAAAAUUCCUGCCUAUAUAAUCCAGAAAGUGGUUGUAUGUAUUUUAAGUAAUUUUGAGUUAAGAAUUGUCGAUGUUUUGACUGCUACUAGUACUAUAUCUAUUCUAUUCUAGAAAUUAAGCCGUCCGUUAUGACUUAUUCAGAGCAGUGUUGUGUUGUAUAAUUAAAAACGAUAGAGUCGCAUUCAACUUAUAUGUAUAUAUAUACAUUCUAUUUAGUUCUAAAAUCAAAUAGUCAUUUAUUUACAACAGUGAGAAUAUUAUAUUAUCAAGUGUCCAAAGUUUGAUUUUGUGGAUUUUGUGGUCGUCUCUACAUUUGAUGUAUGCUUGUGGAGAUGAUCAAUGCUUGGACAGGGAAGUCACGAGUAAGCAGAAGCUCCAAUCAUAACAACACAGGCUUCACAAGCAAAUGGUUUUUCAAACCAACCUUAGAACGACAACAUACCAAAAUUUUACUUUAAACCACUUGUCUUCACUUAAUUGCUGUCACUAAUUUUUAUAACGUUCGAAAUCAAUGAUGAAGGUUGUUGUUUGUUAGGAGAGGCCAUUGUUUACCCCUUUAACUUCUGACAAAAAUGCUAAUACUUCUCAUUUGGUGGUGGUUUUCUUUUGGAACAGGGCUCUGAGUGGACAUGUUAUUCUGUUGUUUUUCAUGUUCAAUUGUGUUUGUCUGGGAAUAGUGCAGGCUGGAUUUUAAUUUUUUUUUCUUGCAGUUUUUGUUUUUGUUGUAUAAAAGAAUUUCGUACAAACAAAACAAAAUUUUUGGCAUAUCCUCUCCUUGGUCUAAGCCUAACCACUAGUUCAAUGUUCAAAUGACUUGCCUCAUCAGUUCCCUCCCUUCUCUCGGCACAGGAAUUGCAAAUUUUUAAUUCAACCAAAUAUUGUAAUGUUUAGAACAUGUAGGCCUCCAGAUGAAGAAUACAAAGUUGCUAAAAUCUUGUAUACUUCAUAGAGUAUAUGACCACCCACAUUCUUGAGCCUAAGAACUCAACCACUGAAAAUGAAAAACUAAUGUCUCCUAUUCUGAGCCUGCAUUUUCAUCGGGGUUGCAAUCUGAAAUUUGUGCAUCAUUAACUGAACAACUUCCUUGCUGCGGUGUAGAUAUGCUUCCACACUUCCAUGUGUAGAGAAAGCCAUCUUUGUAGGAGUGGGAAAGGGUUCGGUGUCAAUUUUGAGCAUGGAAUAAACUUCCAACAUUGUAGGCCUAGCCCCCGGAUUUUCCUGGACACAUAAUAGAGCUACUUUCAAGCGUCUCGAUAAUUUACAAGAAGACGAAGAAUCAUCCAGUGAUGGAUCUAUAAAUUCCCUUCCUUUGUCCUCUUUCCAUGAUAGAUAUGCCUGAAAUAGUUUGAAUGUUACUUCAUAUAUAGUUUAGAUAUCUAAGUAAUAGUUUCCAGUAGUGCUGAUAGAAUCAUAGACAGCUAUCUUACAUAUUGCAAGAGGUGCAAGCUUUCGUUCGGACCAUAGUAACAUGUGCUCCUCCUUCCACUCAUCAUUUGUAAAAGUAGAACCCCGAAGCUGUAGAAGUUGACUUCGUAGAGUAUAUACCUUUUUUUAUGUAUUCAGGAGGAAUAUAGCCACUGCAUUGGGUGUGUGUGAAUUAACCAAAAAGAGGCAGUUUACUUACUGUGUUCCAACAAUCCGGCUUGUGUUUGCUUCAAGUUCAUCUUUUCUGAAAAGUUUAGCCAUUCCAAAAUCUGAUAUCUUAGCAUUCAUUUCGUGGUCAAGUAAAAUGUUGCUACGUACCUUUCACAUCUCGGUGAAUAAUUAUAAAUUUGGAGUAUUCUUGAAGAUAUAGGAGUCCUGGGGUAACCCCUUCAAUGACGUGCACACACUUUGUUCACUCUAGAAGAUACAAUCUGGUAGGAUCUGCAAGAUAAUUAGCAUUAUACAUUAUGGGAGCUCCGUAGCUUUGAAUGUACCUCUUGAUGUACUUAUAGCUCAUGGAUCCAUCUUUCGUCUCAGCUUUGCCGGCUGCAGGUGCCCCAAUUCCAUUAUUUGUCUUUGGGGUUCACAAGUGUCCACCCAUAGCCAUGGUAAGGAAAACCCAAAACCAGUUUGCUAGCAGGAAAUGAGUUGUUUAGCCAUUGCUUUAUACCAUAGUUGGUAUUAACACGGGUUGAUGGGUCAUAUAAAGCAGCAUGAGCACCAGUAACAUUCUCCUUAGCAGGCAGAUGAUAGUCAUAUGCCACAACAUGUGCCCGAUCCAAAUUCCUCUUCAUAGAUUCAAUAGGGUAACUCAACGAUUCGAAAGCAGGCAAAUAACGAACCGCCAUUGUCAAUAUCAAGCGUGACUGAUCACUAGAGUUUCUUGACUCAGAAUUCACAGCAGCCCCUCACUCAUCCAAUAGCUUUCCCAUGUUGAUCAUAUCAGACGAAUUUAACACACAUUAGGCAUCAUCAGUACAAUUAAUUAAUGAUGAAAAACAUGAUUGGGAAGCUUUUAAAUGCUUAGUUGAAUACAUACCUGCAUCUGAAAGAGUCCAAUUGACAAUCGUUUUUGGAAAGCCAAUCAGUGAUCCCAGAAUCCCGGGUGGCUAUACUAUUUUUUAGAAUCAUUAAUAAAACAUAGCCGCCCGGCGAUACUAUCUUUUUAAAAAUCAGAAAACUAAGGUAUAGCCGGGCGGCUGUACUAUUUCAAUAUACAAAGGCCCCGAAUAGAGAAACGUGUCAAAAUAUGUAUAGCCGGGCGGCUAUACUAUUUUUCAAAAAACCCGGCAUGGCCGGUCGGCUAUACUAUUUAUAAAAAACACGCGUAUAGCCGGGCGGCUAUACUAUAUUUUUGAAAAAAAGAGGACCCGCCCAGCAGUAAGGAGCCCACGUGUCAAAAUAAGUACCGCCGCCCGGCUCUGCCAUUGUUUGGAAUAAAACCGAGUACAGCCGUCCGGCUAUACUAUUUUUAAAAACAAAAAUAGUAAAAACCAAGUUGUAAAAAAAAAAAGGGGAAAACCCGCUAGCGGAUAGGCGGCCAUGUGUCAAAAUACGUAUAGCCGCGAGGCUAUACUAUUUUUAGAAACAUCAAUAAAAUCGAGCAUAGCCGCAUGGUAAUACUAUUUUUUCCAAAAAAACGUAGUAUAGCCGUACGGCUAUACUAUUUAUAUAGAAAAAACGGAAAAACCGAGUUGGCCUAGGCGGGUCUGGGCGUCUGGGCCGGGCUUUAAAUAAAACCUCACGCUGCCUCUCUCUCCUCUGAGCCGUCGCCUCCUUCGCUCUCUCCCUCCCUCCCUCCCUCUCUCUCUCUUUCUCUCACGACAGACGGCCACCACCAGGCCUCCACCCAAGACGACCACCACCGGGCCGCGACCUGCGACCCGCUCGACGCCCGCGACCUGCGGAGGGAUAUGGAGAGGACGUUGAGUUUCAGUCCGAGAACAAGAGAGUGUUGGAGAGGAGGAUUUUCAGGGGUUGGAUAAGAUAAAAAGAGAACGGAGUUACUAUCAGUGUUCGUUAUCGCUAAUUUAAACCAGAAACAAGCUGUCUAUAUAUAAAUUAAUAUACUGCAUAUAAGGCCAUGGAGUGCGUUCUGAGGACAGAGUGGCUAGGCAUAGGAGGACGCGACAUUAAGAACAUCCUCAAACAUUAAGAAUUCUCUGAUUGAAAACUGCAGGCUGCAGCCUCUGGAUGCAACAAAUUCUAGCUUCCCAGACAUUCACAAUCCAUACAAAAGUCAAUUGAACUAAUAUAAAAAUUGACAUGUUUCUUCCAGAAAUUCAUCUGCAUGCUAUCCCAUUAAGCCAACAUUCGGCUCAGAUAUUUUAAAAAGGAUAUAUAUAUAUAUAUAUAAAUUAGAUGCCUUAAUGAUUUUCAAUUUGCAUGAUUAUUUGCAUGAUUAUUUAAAAGGAUGAUUUCUGAAUGAAGAUGUGAAAAAUCGAUGGUUUGGAUUGUUGGAAAAAAUUUGGCACCAAGUGUACUAGUUUUAGCCGUGCGGCUAUACUAUUUUGAAAAAAUAGAAAAAAAUCUGGUAUAGCCGCGGGGCUAUACUGUUUUGUAAGAAAUAUUAAUAAUAUAGCCGCUCGGCUAUACUAUUUUAAAAAAAUUCAGGAAAACCGAGUAUAGCCCGCAAAAUAAGUGUAGCCGCGCGGCUAUACUAUUGAUAUGCAUAAAAAAGGACCUCAUUGCGGUAGGUAUAGCCGUUCGGCUAUAAUAUGUUUUUAAAAAAAAAGCAGGAAAACUGAGUAUAGCCGCUCGGCUAGACUAUACAUAUAAAUAAAGACCCGCCUUGCGAAUAGAGGUCCACGUGUCAAAAUCAGUAUAGCUGCACGGCGAUACGAUUUUGAAAAACAGGAAAAACUGUGAAAUUAUGACUGCCGUCUGCAGGCUUUGCCUUCAACAAUUCUAGCUUUUCGAAAGGAAAGUCAAUCUAAUUUGAACCAAUAACAAAUUGAUAUGUUUCUUACAGAGAUUCUUCUGCGUGCUGUCCAAUUAAGUCAAUGAUCGGCUUAGAUACUUAAUUAAAAGAAAAAAAAAGAAAAAAAAAAAAGAACCGGCUCAGAUAUGCAUUUUGCCUCAGUAACAGCUACGUCUUUGUGGCGUGAUCAACAUUAGUGCUUUGUCUCUUACUUGUUCUAAACCCAUCUUUCAUGCUAGGACCAAGCACAUCGAGUUGGAUUAUCACUUCGUGAGAGAAGGGAAUUGGUCACUAGUAGUUGUAAAUCUUUUCAAGUUCAAUGUGUUUGUCCUCAAGAUGAGAUUGCAGAUGUGUACUCAACAAGGCUCAAGACACAGUGCUUUUUUCGCUUCCACUCCCUUCAGCUUGAGGGGGAGCAGUGUAAGUAAUAUGUUUGUCUAAGAUCUGUCCAAAUAAGCCAACGAACGGCUUACAUACUUGAGGUCAAAAAAGGACCGGCUCAGAUACAAAAACUAUAUAUAGUAGUACCUUGUUCUUCUUGUACAAAAAUAUAACUGCCAAGAGUGUAUUUUCAGGGUAGGCUUGGGUUUUAAGAACAUGUUCCUUCUUACUUGAAGAACUUUUUGGCUCUUCUUUUAUAUUUUGUUUCCUUGUCCAAGGAAGUGAAAAAUGGGCUUGACUUGGUGCAGCUUGGAAUUUUGGAUUCAACAAGGCGCGCUGAAGCUUUGUAGCCCAAUUUCGCAAAUUAUUUUUUUUCUCAUCCACACAAAAUUUCCCAAAAUCAUUCGUUCGUCCAGAUUAAGAAAAUAAGAAUUCACGGCAACAUGUUAUUGUUUAUUUGGCCUCAUUAGCCUUAUUGCAAGUAAGGUAUUACAUUUGCAUAUAUAGAUCUAAUCCUCAUUUUCUCAUCCCCAAGUAGUUGAAGCUGCAAGAACAAUAGUAAAAACAUAUGUAGUUAAUACAUCAGAACAUCCAUUUGUUAAUAUACAAUAAUUCCAAUAGAGUUAAAUAUAUUUCUACUUAGGAUUUACCAACCUGUUUGAGAAAGAGCCCAGUUAUUGUCGUCACCACUGACUUGCCAUGAGAAGUAACCAAGAAGCCCCUUUUGCUUAGCAUAUGAAACCUUGGCAGAGAUACUCUGUGUGUCGUCAUAGCCAAUCCAUGUUGUCCCAGAGUAGCAGUAGUUUGUAACAACCGUCGCAUUGUACACUGUCUGUGUCCCAUUCUGGCUUAUGAAGUCCAGUAUGUCCUUGUAGUUUAUGCUCCCAUCUGUCCUAAUAGCCGGUCCAUCAGCCGGUCCAUCAGCCGGAGCAAAAAGGCCAUGCUCAUCAGCAUUCAGCAAACGCCAUGCAUACCCAUAAAAUGGAAGGCCCAGCGCUAUCUUAUCCGCACCCAAACCUGCCUCAACCCAAGAUGUGAUGCCAGCAUCCCCAUUAACCUGGCUAGCGGUUGCGUUGUAUAAUGCAGCCGGUGGUCCAGUUCUGUCUCUGCUUGAGUUCCAAGCAGAGCCAUAGAAGUCAUAAGCCAUUACAUUGAUCCAGUCCAAACUGUUUGAUAUGGACUCAAUGGGGUAAUUUAUGGUAUAGUAAUCUGCAGAGCGAAAUACUGCAGCGGCUAAAAGCAAUUCGGUGUUGCCAGAUGUCUGGGACUCAUUGGCCACAGCAGCUCGCAGCUCAGUGAGAAGGGUGCCAAAGUUGGUCAUGUGAGUGGUGGUGUCCGGGUACUCCCAAUCAAGGUCAAUACCAUGGAAGUUGUAGGACCUGGCUAAGUUAAUGGAGGAGUCAAUGAAUGAUUUUCGCCUGCUGGGUUGGCUUGCCAUUGAAGCAAAGGUGUCUGCAAUAGUAUCAUUGCCUCCUCCACCAAUGGACAAGAGGGUUUUCACAGAAGGGUUUUUUUGUUGGACUGUUUGUGUGAAGCUCGAGAAUUGGGCUGAGUUUGAGGAAGUAACGGUGACUUGGUAAGUAUUGGGAUCAAGAUCAGCAAAUGCACAGAAAAGAUUAGUGAAAAGGCUGGAAUCUAUGCUGGAUGCUGGAAAUCCGCUGUCCCAAUACCAGUAAGCGCCUUUAACCACAGUUUGGCCGGAAGAGACAUUGAAUUGGAUAAGGAAAAGGAGGGUGGAAAGGAGAAAUAUUUGAAGGGUUUUGGUUUUCGAAGACAUUGAAGCAAAUUAAGGAGGAAUGAUCUUUGUUUGCUAGCUAUGAUUGAUAUGAAGAUCAGCUUCUGCGAGCUAUACAUACAUAUAAAUAAAAAUAGUCGAAUAUUGAAGAUCUGAACUUUGGAAGAGACUUCCAUUGGAGACUUUUGCUGAUUUAUGUCUUGGUGAUGACAUAUGUAGCUUGAAAGUUUAGAUAUAUUGAAACUGAUUGUGGUCUAAAAUGUCAGCUUGAAAUUAUCCAAAAGUAAAGAAGGUAAGUGGAUCUUUUAAGACAGAUAAAAUAUUUAUCUCUAGAAGCCAUCCAAUAGUAAAUGCUGUUACUAGCAACUUCUCCCCUGUUCACAUCUGGUUAUUAGAGUAACUCAAUCUAGGCCUUAGAUUACUUUGCGCUUUGUGUGGAACCGUCAAGACCAGGUACACAACAUACUAAUUGGAGAAAGACUUUUCUACUUGUGAUAUUGAUAUGUCAACAUCUGCUAACAACCUAUAACUCGGUGAGAGAGACCCAAUAUUUUCAUUUUAUGGAGACAAUUUCACCAUUGACCGUAAUUUCAUUUAUGAUGCCAGCAAGUUUGGUGUACAGUUAUGUGGAGAUUAUUACUUUACAAUUCUUCUGUUGGUUGGAUAUGCAAAAAGUUGUCUUGAUUGCUCAACACCCUUAAUUUGUGCCUGUUGACUGGUAGUUUUUCAAUGUCAACUCUACACUAUAUAAUUCAGCGGUACGUCAUGUCAUGCGUAACAAGAAUCGAAUCUCUUCAUCCUAAGAAGAAGAAGUGAAGUCUUAAUGCAUUUCUUUCUAAGUUCAGCCAUCAGCCAUCAUCCAUCUGCUCUAAAGCAUCAGCUUCCUAUCCAUACUCCAUGGUAUUCAAAUUUUCAAGUGUACUACUAGUCCUCCUUUUCUUCCAUUUUCUUGUUGCUUUUAGACUGCAAAGCUCAGAGGCACAAUCUUGGAUCAAAGCAGCAUACUGGUAUUCUGGCAGUGAAUUCCCCAUUGCUGACAUAAACUCUGCGCUUUUUACUCACCUUAUUUACUCAUUUGCCGGUCUUAAUUCAUCAUCCUAUGAGCUCUCCCUCUCCUCUGACUCUGAGGAGCAGGAUCAGGUGCAGCACUACUCCACCUUCUCAUCCACGGCCAAGCAAAAGAACCCAUCAGUCACCACCCUCAUCUCCAUUGGGGGUGGAAACGCAGACUACUCAGUCUUUUCAACACUUGUCAGUAAUUCUUCUCACAGAAAGACCUUCAUUGAUUCUUCAAUAAAGAUUGCAAGGCUUUAUGGCUUCCAAGGCCUAGACCUUUGCUGGGUUUCAGCUAACACAAGCGCGGACAUGACCAACAUGGGAAAUUUGUUUCAAGAGUGGCGAGCUGCUGUCAAAUCUGAGGCUGCAAAUUCUAGCCAGGCGCAGCUGAUUUUGACAGCAGCCGUUCAAUACAAACCAGAUUUGGAGUCCUUUUCUUUUCCGGUUGAAUCCAUUCGGAACAACUUGAAUUGGGUACAUGUAAUGGCCUAUGACUAUUAUGGGCCUCAGUGGACUAAUUUCACCGGCGCUCAUGCAGCUCUGUAUGAUCCAUCAAGUGAUGCUAGCACAGAUUAUGGUAUCAAGGCAUGGAUUGGUAAGGGAUUAUCUGCUUCCAAAUUGGUUUUGGGCUUGCCUUUCUAUGGCUAUGCUUGGAAACUUGUGAAUCCUAGGGACAAUGGUAUUGGUGCACCAGCAACAGGUCCAGCCAUUACAGAGGAUGGAUCCAUGAGCUACAAGGAUAUCAAGGGUUACAUUCAGAGAUAUGGGGCUGAUAUAAUCUACAAUGCUACGUAUGUAGUUAAGUACUGCAUAAUUGGAUCAUCUUGGAUUGGUUUUGAUGAUGCUCAAGUUGUCAAAAUAAAAGUUUCUUAUGCUAAGGAGCAGAGUUUGCUUGGAUACUUUGUCUGGCAGGUUUCCCAUGAUGACAACUGGGUGCUUUCUCUUGCAGCUGCAGGUAGGAAUUGAAGCUCAAUAAUUAUGCAUGGUACUCCACUUGAUGAACUCAUUUUCUCUGCAUAUUCCACCAUGACAAGUUAAUUUCAUUACUCCCAUCCCAUCUAACGAGAUCAGAUUGGUUAUUGUUGAUUGGUCACUUUACAAAAGAGAAAGUCUGCUAAUGCAAUACUUUAGUGUCUAUUGAAGUUUCUUGUAAAUAAAAGUCAGAAAUUAAAGUAUGAGCUGAUAUUGAAAACAGAAAAUAUGAUUCGCUGUCAAAAUUGCAUUGCCUUCUCAGCCAUUUAGCAGUCAAGAGAGGAGAAUAAAAUAAUUGGUUUCUGCUGAAAAUGAAAUGAAGAUAACCAAUAUAAUUCCUUACUGCAAAUUAAUGAACAAGAUACCCAUAUAAGUCACCGUCCAAUAGAAGACUUGGAGUUUUACUUUGGAAAAUUCAACCAUCGCCUUAUUUAUAUUUCCCCUGUAAUGAAGGUUUGCUCAUGCAUUCUUCCCUAACUGUUACAUUGAAUUAUAUAUGCUGAUCACAGCUACAGCUCAAGAGCGUGCAAGCAGUGGACAAAAAAAGCGGCGACUUCUUAUAAUCAUUUUGACUACAACAGCUUCAGUUGUUCUCAUAUUAGGCUCCGUCAUGUGUUACUUCCGCAUGAGAAUGUUCAAGUCAAAAGGUAUAUAGCUUUAUUCUUAUUUUUGUUCGGCCUGAAAGUAUUGAAGCAUUAACUAUUCACCUCUUUGAAUAUGUAUUUUGGAUUUUUGUAUUAUCUAUAACUCUUUUUUUGAACGAACGUACUAUCUAUAACUAUGGAGGAAGAAUUGGAUCUUAAAGCUCUUCUGCCAAUUCUUUGGCAAAAGCAGCUAAAGAAUCAGAAUCCAGGGCAAAUUAUAUAGCAGACCCAGCUGGAACUUUUAAUAGCAAUGUACCUAAUCUGCAAGUCUUUGGCAUUGCUGUAAUUGAGGAGGCAACAGAAGGAUUUUCAAUUGAAAAUAAGCUUGGAGAGGGUGGUUAUGGUCCAGUUUAUAAGGUAAACUUUUAUAAUGGGGCAUAUCAUGGCACCAGCUUGUCCUCAUUAAACAUGCUAACCAUGAGUGUCUACAUAACUUGCUAGGGUGUAUUGCCAAAUGGACAAGAAAUAGCUGUGAAAAAACUUUCAAAAGCUUCAACUCAAGGAUUCGAGGAAUUCAAGAACGAGGUCAUGCUUACAGCAAAACUACAACACGUUAAUCUUGUCAGGGUUUUGGGAUUCUGCAUCGAACACCAUGAACAAAUGCUGAUUUAUGAGUACAUGCCAAAGAAAAGCUUGGAUCUCUACCUCUUUGGUAAGUCAAUAUGAGAUUUCGCUGCCUUCAUGCAAAAGAUGACAGUCCACUAGUUCCUGGUGGUUUCACUUCCUUGUGCCACACAGCUUUAAGCUGAACAUAGUGUAAGCUUGUAAGGGAUGUCCUAUGGUGUCUCUACUAUUCCAUGCAUUUUUUAGUAUAUUUCAAUGCAGAACUGAUAGGACAGCAUAUGUUUCAAUGUAGAUCCUAUCAGAAGGUAUCAACUAGAUUGGAGAAAACGUGUUAGCAUUAUUGAAGGGGUUACUCAGGGACUUCUUUAUCUCCAAGAAUACUCAAGAUUGACAAUAAUCCAUCGAGAUCUGAAAGCUAGCAACAUUUUACUUGAUGAGGAGAUGAGGCCUAAGAUCUCAGAUUUUGGCAUGGCUAGAAUUUUCACAAAAGAUGAACAAGAGGCAAACACAAGCCGGAUCGUUGGAACAUAGUAACUCUAUUUCCUAAUAAAGCUAAUUUUUUAAUUGAGCUGUCUAUUAUUGGAUACUUUGGUAAGUAAUCUUCUAAAUCAUUAUGUGCAGUGGCUAUGUACCUCCUGAAUAUGUUAAAAAAGGUCUAUACUCCACGAAAUCAGAUGUUUAUAGCUUUGGAGUUCUCCUUGUACAGAUCAUAAGUGGCAAGAAGAAUGCCGCUUUCUAUGGUCCAAAUGAAGACUUAAACCUUCUAGAAUACGUAAGUUACUUCAAUAAGCACAGUUAGAUCAGAAUUAAUAUUUUCUUCAGCUUUGCUAAGAAUUAAAUCUUCACGUUUCAAUUACAUGGUGGGGAACAUUCAAUAAUUUCAGGCAUAUGAACUUUGGAAAGAAGGCAAAGGGAUGGAGUUUAUGGAUCCUUCACUUGAUGAUACACAUUCAUUAUGUAAAUUGAUGAGAUGCUUGCAGAUUGCUCUCCUAUGUGUUCAAGAAAAGGCAAAUGAUAGGCCUUCCAUGUUGGAAAUUUCUUCGAUGCUACAGAGUGAAAAUGCUGUAAUGGAAAAACCGAAAAUGCCAGCUUUUUCAAAAAGAAAUGAAGACAAAGAAACUAAUCCUGCACCGCGGCUAGAAGUGUGUUCCAUUGAUGAUUCAACAAUCUCAGAGGUUGUAGGCCGAUGAGUGGUGGUAUAUGCUCAGUGCUUUGUAAAACAAAUUUCAAUCAGAUUUUCAAUUCUUUUUCCUUUUACUCUUAGGCAUAACCGCUCUGCCACUAGUCAAACUAUUCUUAGAAUUUAUUAGUCAUGUAUUUCCUAGUAAGUUAUUAGGUGUAUAUUACAUUAAUGCAGUCUACUUACUACAAAGUUGGUAAGGGGAAGAGGUCCCUCGGGUCACACUACAAUGUUGCAGUAGGUUUCUUUAGUUUAGGCAUGAAGUGAACCAAUUAUGAGUUUGGGGUGGUUCUGUUCUGUUCAUCUAUGAGUCUACCAAUGGAAGUUUAUUAUGUGCUGCGAGUUUUACUGAUGUUUCUUUAUCUACCAAUGUAAUUGUUUACUGUAAAUGUAACCUGAUUAUGAAGAAUAAGAUACCCAUAAAACCUGUCACCAUCCAAUACGAAAACUUGAACUUUUGUGUGGAAAAUUCAUUUAUAUUUCCCCUGCACUAGAAGGUUGGCAGCUCAAUGUCAAUACUAGAAAACAAUGAGCUCACUCACACAACUUUAUUAAUUAUUAACAAAAGAAACACACAGACAAACAUCUUACUACAAACUUUACAAAGCGAGAGCUCCAGGCUAGCAGUACAAUGAGUUGACAACUUCCAACAUCUCUAUGGCAUCUCUAUGCAUAUUAUAUUCUCACAGCUUACUGAGCUUUACACGUUUCACCUCUUAAAAAAGAAAUUUUGAUUUUUCUAUUAUCUGUACUAUAUGAAUGCAUGAUGAAGCAUUGCAUCUUAUUAAAGAAUACAAAUCGCCUCCGAUUAGGCUAAAUACAAAUGGCACUACAUCUUGAUCUUCCUAUUGAUAGGAAAAGUAGCUAGUGUAGUGUCCCUAAUAUGCUCCCCAUGCGCAUUAAGCUGCAAACAAAUUUGACAUUCACAUUAGGCAUCAGUAAAGUACAAUUAAUUAACGAUCAACUAUAUAUACAAAUACAAGAACACGAAAGGGGUUGUUCUCAAUGUCAUAUAUACCUGCUUGUGAAAGAGUCCAAUUCACAUCGAUGCCAACAUUCCAUGCAAAGUAGCCAACUAGUCCCUUUUCUUUAGGGUAUGAAACUUCGGUAGUGAUACUCUGCGUAUCAUCAUAACCAAUCCAAGUUUUUCCAGUGUAGGAAUAAUCCAUAACAAGUGUGGAAUUAAACACAGUUGGUGCACCAUUCUCAGUUAUAUAUGCCUUGAUCAGGUUGUAACCGGCUGACCUGUCCGGCGGCACUGCCAUUCCUUCGGCUGGUGCAUAAAUACCAUGCUGAUUUGGGUCUGUUAGGUUCCAUGCAUAGCCAUAAAAUGGAAGGCCAAAUGCAAUUUUUUUUGGAGGCAUACCUGCCUGAAGCCAAGCAGUGAUCCCAGAAUCCCCACUGAUAGGACUGAUUGGGUUGUACAGGGAAGCAGGGGGUCCUGUUACAUUGGGAGACCAACUAGGGGCAAAAAAGCUAUAUGACAUCAUAUUGAUCCAGUCCAAGUUGUUUUUUAUGGACUGAAUGGGGUGCAACAAUGAGUCGUAAGUUGCAGAGUAGUAGACCGCUGCCACUAGAAGCAAUGGGGGCUUGCCAAAUGUCUUGGUCAUUGGUCACCCCGCCUCGCCACUCUGCAAGAAGGGUGCCAAAAUUGGCCGUGGCUGGGAACUCCCAGUCAAUGUCAAGGCCAUGGAAGUUAUAAGACCUGGAAAUGUUUAUGGAGGAAUCGAUGAAUGUUUUGCGGGAGCUUGGUUGGCUAGCCAUUGAAGCAAAAGCUGCCCUACUGGAAGCUGAUGCUCCACCUAUUGAUAAAAGGGUUUUGACAAAAGGGUUUCUUUGUUGGACUGUGCGUGUGAAGUUGGAGAAUUGGGGUUGGUCUUGAGGGGAAAUGAUGACUUGGUUGGUUUUGUACCAGUAACCUGCUUUAAUAACAUUGCCAGCUGCAGCUGCAGAAAUAAUGUGGACAAGUAAAAACAAGGAGGGCCAGAAGCAAAAAAAUAAUGAUUGGGUUUUAGAAUCCAUUGAGACUGAGUUGUAGAAUGAUUUGCUGCAGCAGCUUGAGUGGCAUCCUUUAUAGCUGGAUUCCUCUAGUAUUCUAAUGGCUAGACUCAUAAGUUUGAACUUGAAAUUAAGUUGAUAGUCGUAAGAAAUGAACCCACUAGUUCUAUUAAACUAGACGGUUGAUAUACAAACUAAACUAUAGGCGUUGAAUUUAAAACAUAUAUGCCACUGAUAUCUCAUCUAUCAAGCUGCCGGCCGUUGGUUUAACACAAAAGUAUUUGUGUGGCCUGCCUGCGCGCGGACAUUAGCAAAAUUGCAUGUAUACAGUUUGAGGCUUUGCAACGUCUGCACAGAACUGAUUAGUGAAGAAGACAAGUUAACAUUCUCCUUGACCAAUAUUCUAACUGAGUCUCAGCAGCAGCAUUAGGAUUUCUUUUUGAACCAGGAAUUAAUUUGAAUGGGUCGCUUUAGGCUUUGCAUUAGAAUGAUAAUUUAACAGGAAACAAGCUUUAUAUAUUAGCAACAUGUAAUUAAUAUAAUGACUGCCAACCGCCAAGAAUGUAUUUCAGAGCCCAGAAUACAAAACAAAAAAGACUUUAGACAGAGGCCGCGGUUAAGUAACCAUAAUUAAUAGUGACACUUAACCCAAGUAUGUCCUCAUCUGCAAAAGUACCAACUGGCAAAAACAUCGAGGGUAUUAUUGGGUUUUCACGUUUCAUUUGUGAGCUUAUUUCUUUCUUCUCUUUCUUUAUAGAAACAGAAAGAAACAAAGUGCCUUAUCAAAAACAAAGAAAGAAACAAAGUGGAAAUGAAUAGCAUACACGAUGUGUUUUAAUCUGAACCCUGUAUGAAGUCUAGAAUUGGCAGAAGAAGGGCUCCAGGAAAAUUGUCUCUUGGCUUGCCAUCGCUUUCGUGGCAAGACAAACUUUUCAAAGAAUUUACAUUUCACAAAAAGUUCGGUGGCAAAAGUGUUCCAUUCCAUGCCACGUUCGUCUUCUUCAACUUAAUCCAGAGACUUGCUUGUGGCAUAUGAUUACUCCAUUUCACACACACCCUCCUCAUCCUGCUGAUUUAUUAUAUUUAGAAAAGAAAAAAACAAGAGCUUGAUUGAUUGGUUUGGCUGCAAUGCAAUCUCCAUUAAUCUGUCUAGUCCAAUAUCAUGAUUUUCCUGCAAAUGUAAACAAGGCAGCCAUGCAGAGUUACGGCCAAACUGGGGCCGCCACUGUAAAAUAUCUGCUUAGAUCACGUACGUACACGGAAGGUAAGUGGUCUCAUAUAAAGUAUGUUAAGAAUACACACAGUCCCACAUUGGAUACUUAACAAAAUAUAAAGUCUCAUAUAAUAAAUGGCUCCGCUCCUAAUAACAUCGAGACCCUCCACACCUUCUAAAUAGGUGGUGAAGUUGGAGACAAUAUCGAUGUUGAGUACUGAUUAUCAUCUUCAAUUAUCUUCAAUGUCUUAGCUUUCUUCUCUCUUUUUAAUUAACUAGCUUUAUAUCCAUGGGAUCAAAAAACGUCACCCACCUUUUCCUCUUCAUCUGCCUUAUUUCGUCUCAGUUUUAUUGUUGUUUCUCUGCACAAACUGGGAUCAGAGCUGGUUACUGGUAUGUCGAUAGCGAGUCCCCGAUACCUGACAUAAACUCUGCCUUGUUCACUCAUCUUAUUUGUGCCUAUGCUGAUAUAAAUUCAUCCACCUACCAGCUCUCCAUCCCUUCCUCUCAGGAGCCAUCCUUCUCCAGCUUCACCGGUAUCGUCCAGCGCAAAAACCCAUCAGUUAUAACACUCCUGUCCAUCUGGAAUGGACUAGCUGCAACAAAUCAAUCAAUUUUGGGGGAGAAAGCUAACUCUUCAGUCUUGUCCUCAAUGGCCAGCAAUCCUUCUAACAGAAAGUCUUUCAUUGAAUCUUCAAUCAAAACAGCAAGGCUUUAUGGCUUUCAAGGUAUCGACUUGCUUUGGCUUUGGCCUAGGACAACCUCUGAUAUGAUCAACAUGGGAAAGCUAUUGGAUGAGUGGGGGGCUGCUGUGAAUUCUGAGUCAAGAAACUCUAGUGAUCAGUCACGCUUGAUAUUGACAAUGGCGGUUCGUUAUCUGCCUGCUUUCGAAUCAUUGAGUUACCCGAUUGAAUCUAUGAAAAGGAAUUUGGAUUGGGCACAUGUUGUGGCAUAUGACUAUCAUCUACCUGCUAAGGAGAAUGUUACUGGUGCUCAUGCUGCUUUAUAUGACCCGUCAAGCCAUGUUAACACCAACUACGGUAUAAAGCAAUGGCUAAACAACUCAUUUCCUGCUAGCAAACUGGUUUUGGGUUUGCCUUACCAUGGCUAUGCGUGGACACUUGUGAACCCCAAAGACAAUAAUGGAAUUGGGGCACCUGCAGCCGGAAAAGCUGAGACGAAAGAUGGAUCCAUGAGCUAUAAAUACAUCAAGUGGUACAUUAGAAGCUACGGAGCUCCCAUAAUGUAUAAUGCUACUUAUGUUGUGAAUUAUUGUAUCAUAGGAUCGAAUUGGAUUGGUUUUGAUGAUUUGGAAGCUGUCAGAACUAAGAUUGCAUAUGUGAAGGAGAAGAAGCUACUUGGUACCAAUGUGUUUCGAGUCACCAAUGAUGACAAUUGGGCGCUUUCUCAGGCAGGUUGGCCAAAGUGAUUUUUGAUGCUAUGUUGUUGACAUGUCAUAGAACUCAAUUUUAUAUACUGAAGGAAGUUGAAUUUUGACAGCAGGCUAUCUGCCUAAAUCAACUUAUUUUCUAAUGGAGAUCCCUUUAUUCUACUUCUAACUGGUUUAGUAAAUGACAGUUCAAGAGGAAGAAAAUGAUCAAGAAAACAGGCGGCGGUUAUUGCUUGUAGUUUUGCUUCCAAUUACUUUGAUCAUAAUCCUCAUAGCCUUCGUGGUGUGUUACUUACAAAGAAAAUUGUUGAAGACAAAAGGUGAUUUUUCUCACUGUUGUUGUUUGUUUCGAAUAGCAAUUAGACAAAGAUAAAACCUCUUUUCGAAUUUACAUCAAGAGUUUUGCAUUUGCAUUUUCACUUUUUAUAUUUUUUCCUUCUGGUUUCAGGGAUGAUUAUUCGUGGGAAUUCAAGGUCUACUAGUACAUCAGAUAUUAACAGUGAUCCACCAACUCUGCAAGCAUUCAGUUUUUCGAAUAUCAAAGCAGCAACAAAUAACUUCUCAAGUGAAAACAAGCUUGGAGAGGGAGGGUUUGGUCCUGUUUACAUGGUAAUAUUUGCUACCUUAUCUAACAUAAGUUUACACUGUGGGAACUGGGAUUUAAAACUUGUGGUUGUAUGUGUGCCCUUGUGUAUAAUCUGCUGCUACUUUUAAAACAAUGAGAUGUAUAUCAAUAAAAAACUCUUUCCCUGAACUACCCCAUUCCUACUUUCCUGCUACCAAGAAAAGGGAACAAAAAAAACUUUAGGCUUAAAGCUGUGUCUAUGAUAAUUGGCUACUAAUUCCCCUCAUGCUGAACCAAAAGCUUAUCAACAACUGAAAGCAGAGUCACCUUCACCUCGUGUUAAUUAAGUGGUACAUUCUGGUGAACAGUGAGAGUGAUACCAUUUGUAGAUUCAUCUUUUGAUCAGAUAUAUAUCUGGAUUUUCUUUUUACUAAACCUUGCUAACUUAACUAACCAUGGUUUUCUUCAAUUUUUUCAAGGGUAAAUUGCGAGGAGGACAGGAAAUCGCAGUGAAAAGACUUUCGAAAACGUCAACUCAAGGACUUGAGGAAUUUAGAAAUGAGGUUACACUUACUGCAAGACUACAGCAUGUAAAUCUAGUUCGAGUUCUUGGAUUUUGCACUGAGAAGGAAGAAAAAAUGCUGAUCUACGAGUACAUGCCCAACAAAAGCUUGGACUUCUACCUUUUUGGUCUGUAAUUUUUCAUGCUUCCUGUUAUGGUUGAGAGUGCAGGCUAGCAUAACACAAUACUUUUGCAUUCUGUAAGUUUCAGUGGGUCUUAACAUCUCCUCUAAGAGGUAAAGAUGGGGGGGUUAAACUCAUUGAAACUCUCCAAAUAGUUAGACAAGCGUAUUCUUGAGGAACACUAGUGUAUAUUAAGCUAAAAAAAUCACUUGUUAAGCCAUCUAAGCUUACGGUGCAGAAACCUGUUACUUUUAAUUUGUCUGUCUCUUGCUCCUUCGCCUACCUCAUUGGUCCUGAAUUUGAAAUCUUGCAGAUCCUACCAGACGGUAUCUUCUAGACUGGACAAAGCGUGUGCACAUCAUUGAAGGGGUUACCCAAGGACUCCUAUAUCUUCAAGAAUACUCCAAUUUUACAAUUAUUCACCGAGAUCUGAAAGGUAGCAACAUUUUACUUGACCAUGAAAUGAAUGCUAAGAUAUCAGAUUUUGGAAUGGCUAAACUUUUCAGAAAAGAUGGACUUGUAGCAAACACAAAGCGGAUUGUUGGAACAUAGUAAGUAAACUGCCUCUUUUUGGUUAUUCACACACACAUGAUCAUUUCCUUUAAUACUACUUGUGGUAUGCAAUGCAGUGGCUAUGUUCCUCCUGAAUAUGUAAAAAAAGGUAUAUACUCUACAAAGUACGACGUCUACAGCUUUGGGGUUCUACUUUUGCAAAUGAUUAGUGGAAGGAGGAGCACAUGUUACUAUGGUCCAAACGAAAGCUUGCACCUCUUGCAAUAUGUAAGUUCCAUAGCUGUCUCUGAUUCUAUCACCAGUACUGGAAACUAUUACUUAGAUCUAAACUAUAUAUGAAGUGACAUUCAAACUCUUUCAGGCAUAUCUAUCAUGGAAAGAGGACAAAGGAAGGGAAUUUAUUGAUCCAUCACUGGAUGAUUCUUCUUCUUCUUGCAAAUUAUUGAGAUGCUUGCAAGUGGCUCUAUUAUGUGUCCAGGAAAAUCCAGAGGAUAGGCCUACAAUGUUGGAAGUUUAUUCCAUGCUCAAAACUGACAUUGAACCCGUUCCUACUCCUACGAAGAUGGCUUUCUCAGGACAUGGAAUUGUGGAAAACACAUCAACACCGCAGCAAGGAAGUUGUUCAGUUAAUGAUGCACAAAUUUCCGAAUUGCAACCCCGAUGAAAUUGCAGGCUCAGAAUAGGAGACAUUAGUUUUUCAUUUUCAGUGGUUGAGUUCUUAGGCUCAAGAAUGUGGGUGGUCGUAUAUACUCUAUGAAGUAUACAAGAUUUUAGCAACUUUGGAUUCUUCAUCUGGAGGCCUACAUGUUCUAAACAUUACAAUAUUUGGUUGAAUUAAAAAUUUGCAAUUCCUGUGCAGAGAGAAGGGAGGGAACUGCUGAGGCAAGUCAUUUGAACAUUGAACUAGUGGUUAGGCUUAGACCAAGGGGAGGAUAUGCCAAAUUUUUUGUUUUGUUUGUACGAAAUUCUUUUAUACAACAAUAACAAAAACUGCAGGGAAAAAAAUUCAAAUCCAGCCUGCAUUAUUCCCAGACAAACGCAACUGAACAUGAAAAACAACAGAAUAACAUGUCCACUCAGAGCCCCGUUCCAAAAGAAAACCACCACCAAAUGAGAAGUAUUAGCAUUUUUGUCAGAAGUUAAAGGGGUAAGAAAUGGCCUCUUCUAACAACAACCUUCAUCAUUGAUUCAUUGAUUUCGACAGUUAUAAAAAUUAGUGACAGCAAUUAAGUUAAGACAAGUGGUUUAAAGUAACAAUAUAUGUUAUGUAGUCGUUCUAAGGUUGGUUUUAAAAACCAUUUGCUUGUGAAGCCUGUGUUGUUAUGAUUGGAGCUACUGCUUACUCGUGACUUCCCUGUCCAAGCAUUGAUCAUCUCCACAAGCAUACAUUCUCUUGACCAAUAUUCUAACUGAGUCUCAGCAGCAGCACUGCAGCAGCAUUAGGAUUUCUUUUUUAACCAAGAAUUAAUUUGAAAGGGUCGCUUCUCGCAUUAGACUUUACAUUAGAAUGAUAAUUUAACAGGAAACAAGCUUUUUAUAUUAGCAACAUGGAAUUAAUAUAAUGACUGCCAACCGCCAAGAAUGUAUUUAAAGGCCGGUUUUAAGUAACCAUAAUUAAUUAGUGACACUACCAGAAAAUGGGCACAAGCCACGGUUCGUUUAGCCACAGUGAGCCGACUAUAUUCAUUGGUGUUCUAAUGGGCGCAAUUACUGUAUAUAUUAAAAACGGGAUAUAGAAUAUUAGGUCCAGGAAAUCAACAUUUCACAUCGUCACACUCAUAAAUAUUGGGCGCAUAUCUUUCGUGAGGCAAAGUUUUGUAUGAUUGUCAGAAUAUUAGGUUCCUUAACCGUAAUGCAAUUUGCUUUGACAUUUAAGAAGAGAGAAAAAAGUUUGGUGGCAAAAGUUUUCCAUGUCUCAUCUUCAACUUUAAUCUUUUAUGCCAGAAAAAGAGGAUCACUUUUCCUUGGGAAUUUCUAGAGACUUAUGGUAAAAGUAUAACAAUGUUGAGAAAAUUAGAGUACACGACUCUAAUAUAGAAUGGUUGGAGACAAAAUAAGUAAAUAGAUUACUUGUAUUAGACUCAUAAAAUAUUUCAACAAGACAAGUCUCAAAGGAAAGAUCAACUCUUACAAGCGCUCUUUCUCACUUUCUAAUUUUCUAGAAUUAUCUUGCAAAUUGAUCCAAGUGUUGCUGACUUUACAUAGUCGGUGAAGACUUCUCCACCUUUCUAGAUUUCUCCAAAUGAACAAUAUCAUUUCAGUGAGUUGGGCAUCUAUUUACCUUGGGCUUGGUUAAUGUGUUGGGAUGGUAAUGAUGUUUUAAGAGGAACUCUAGCGAGGAGCCCAAGCCUGGGGUUGGGGGGAGCCCAAGCCAAAAAGUGAGUUCUAGCGGGCCACUUUUGCCCGGGCGGGGGUGGGUCCCACGAAGAUGGGCUGGCCCGAAGGUAGCUCGAGCCUGGGGAGAGCUGAUGUCAACGUGCGGUUCAAAUUUUUUUUUACUGUUGGUGCGUGCAUUGCACGCGCCAACAGUAAAAAAAAAUUUGAACUCAUAUGCACUGACGUCAGCCCUGUGCUCCGCCAACGGCUAGAAGACACGUGUCGUCGUCUGGGCGCUCUGAUCGCCUUCUUUCCUCCAAUCCAACAGUUGGCCUUUUUUUGCUAUAAAAUUAUGAAGAAAAAAAAAAUUCAAAAUUUUUUAAAAAAAUACCAAAAAAUUAUGGAUUUUAUUUUUUUUCUCUAUAAAUACCAACCAAUACUCUUCACUUUUAACACCAAAUCCUCAUACUUUUUCUUCUCCUUCAACUAUUAUUCACUUUCUACUCAAUAUUUUUUUCACUUUUAAGUUUUAUUUUUCUUUAUCAUCUUAUGGCUUCUUCUAUCAAAACCAGAGGGGCAUGGAGCAUCAUGGAAGAUGUUUUGUUAUGUGAGUGGUAUGAGUUGAGCCUCUGGUUUUAUAGAAAAAUUUAGGCAGAUAGAGAUGACAUGUGGGGCGAUUUUAUAGGGUGAAAAUCUUGUCUGAAAUUUGAAAUUUGAAAUUUAUCUGAAAUUUGAAACCGAAAAUCUUAUUCGAAAAUUUUAUCCGAUUAUGAGAUAUGAAUUUUAUAAUAAAUAUUGACACGUACAAAUCCAAAAAUCUUAUCCGAAAAUAUUAUCCAAAUUCAUUGUUUAUAAAAAAAUUUGUGAAAAAAAAAAAAUGAAUAGUAUUUGCCAUUUGUCAUGGCAACGGGUGAAAACACACAUUGCUGUUUGCAAGGGCAGCCACUAUUCACGUUAUUAGUAGCUGCCCUAGCCCCCCCUUUGUCAUGGCAAAGGGCAAAUGGAUGAAGUUGCUCUAAUAAGUGUAGCUUGCGGCAUCCUGAUUUAUGGUUAGAAAGAGAAGGAGGGCUUGAGUUUGAGCGAUUGGUUUGGCUGGUGGAUGGUGCGCUCGCUUAAUCCAAAUAUUACGACAUUAAUUUGUCCAGUAUGUAUCAUGGUCCAUGGUGGGUGCUCAUCGUUCACUUCACAAGAACUUAAUGCAGAGGUUAGGCCGAACCUGCUUAGAUCAAAGCCCUUGCACAAUUACGUAUAAGGAACGGUGGGUAAGUGGUCUCUCACUCUCAUUUAUUAUUGAGGUUUUGCAAAAUGGCACUGAAGAUUUUGUUUCCACUGUCCACAAGACAUGCUGCAAGUCACACUGAAAAAUCUGCCCAUAUCCUGCACUGCACAUGCUGAUGAUGUUGGAAAAAAAAGAAGGUAUAAUUGCUAUAUUUUACAUAGAAAUUUAGAAAUAAUCAUUCAAUUCAUGCUUAGAAAAUUAAUGCAUGUUGUUUUUCUUUUUUCGGCCGGGGCGGUCCACGAAAGGAACUUUUGGUCCUUCUUCUUUGGAGUGUGUGGCGGGCCACCACCAAGCCUCGAAUUUGGGCUCGAAUUGAAUGUGAGUAGAUGGAUGUAUUGCGCUUCUAACUACUGAUCAAACGAUUGAUCGGCCAAGCAAGGAACCUCCUCUUGGCCUAGAUUCUUUCACUUCCUCGGGCUCAAGGAUAGUUAGGUUUCGUACGGAUGAUUUUGUGAUUUUUAGGGUUUUAAGUAAAAAUUAUGCAAUUAAAUCAAAUGUGCGUAUAAACGUAAAGACAAUAAUUGAAAUGCGAUAAAAUAAAUCAAAGAGAUAAAUAAAGCAAGAACGAAAUAAAAGCGAUAAGAACGAUAAAAUAAAAAAUAAACUUGAAAUUAAACUUAAUUGAAGUGCAAUAACAAUGAAAGGUAAAGCAAUCGAAAUAAACUUGAAUUUAAAUGACAAGAAAUAUAAAUUGAACAACAAUUUAAACGACAAGAAAGAUAUAAACUCACACUAGAAAAAGGAAGAACUCACUACACUAGGUGCUUGAAAAGUAAAAUCCUAAGUCCAGGAAAAGAAAAGUGCGAGACGAAAGAUAAGUUUGUUUGUAUGAUGUUGUGUGUCUUCUGCCUUCGUUUGGUGAGGUUUAUAUAGGGCUUCUGUCAGCCCAUGGGCUGGCCAUUGAAUAGCCAAAUGUCAACUCUUUUAAAACUCUUUCCUUGAAUUCGUGGGAUCACAUUGGUGGAAAUAUUAUGAUUGCUUGAUUCUCUCAUGUUUUGGAAUAUGCUGAACUAUCAUCAAUCUCCUUGAUUUGUUUCCUUGUGAGGCCUCCAUUCACAUGCACAUUGACCUCCAGAAAUCUUGUGCGUGAAUCCGUGGCUUGGGCCUUGACCUCCGAGAUUUCAUCUUGGCAUCUGGUGGAACCUCGUGCCCCUUGAGUUUUUAGAAUUCUAGAGUUGGCUGACCAUCCGCCAAGGUGGGUGGUAUGGGAGCUCCAAAUAUUUGGAUGUUGGGCUUAGCCCUACGUUGGACUAUAUUCAAAUAUUUGAAUAUUGGGAACUCAGCGGACAUACCUCCCGCUGAACUUCAACUUCCCUGACCCGACUUUACUUGCCCAAGUGUUGAGAGGAGGGCGCCAAGGUGCUCAAGGAGAAAAUUCGCCCUAGCCCAACUUUUUGUAAGAGGAGUGGCCGACCAAGGUAUUCAAGGAGUGCCCGGCCCAACUUUUUGAGAAGGAAGCAUUCGGCCACUUUUGUAAGAAUAUGCCCGGCUACUUUUGCAAGGAUAUGCCCGACCACUUUUGCAAAGGGAAGCGCCCGACCAUAUUUUUGAAAAGGCACCACGACCUUUGAAGAAAACACAUCGGCCGCAUUUUUGAGAAGGCACCAUAGCCUUUGAAGAAAAGACCUCGACCACCUUUUUGAGAAAGCACUUUGGCCGCUAGGAAUUCUUUGGCCGCUAGGAAUUCUCGGCCGCUAAAAAUUCUUCGGCCUCUAGGAAUUCUUCGGCCGCUAGGAAUUCUUUGGUCGCUAAGAAUUCUCGGCCGCUAGGAAUUCUCGGCCGCUAGGAAUUCUCCGGCCGCUAGGAAUUCUCCGGCUAUUAGGAAUUCUUCUAUCGCUAGGAAUUCUGGGCCGCUAAGAAUUCUUCCUUGGCAAAUUGGGUGAAUUUUGACCACCCCCAAACACAUGCUUACAAACAUACACAAUGAAAAAUCACAUAAUAUGGAUUAGAAGAACCUGAAUAAUUGAGUCGAGGCAAAUGUUGGACACUUUGACCUUAAGACGAAUUACGCCCCACACAGGUGCUUAUGGUUACUAGCACUCACCUCCCAGGAUACAACGACUCAUGUCCUUGUGAAAGAAGCACUACAAUUCACAAAGUACUCUUUGAACUAGAUUAUGUAGGAAACCCUCUCACAAACCAUAAUCAUUGACUAUACAAAGACUCUGAAUUCAAAUGGAUAAACAUUGACUGAAUUAAUUACCUUAUUAAUUUCAGGAAGACUACUCUAUUUAUAGAUACUAAAGAACCCUUUCCAAAAGGGUCGUAUGUCCUGGUAUCUAAAGUUGGUCUCCCUAGCAUGACCAACUCAUGCAUCCAUUGAAUAAACAGGUGCUUUGAUACCUCUUCCUAGAAAUUGACAAAGGACACCAUGGUUAAAUGAACUCUAUUAAUUUCCAUUCAAAUAGAAAAAUUAAUAUUAGUUAAUAUUAAAUUUCCAACAAUGAUGCCAUGUAUAUAUAUAUGUAUUAGUACGUAGUAGUAGAAACUAGUCAUCUUGUAAGAGGAAAAAUCAAACUAGCUUUUUAUGUCCAUGUCCAUGGGAUCAAAAAAUAUCACUCCCCUUAUCCUCUUCAUCAUCUUCCUUAUUUCAUCUCAAUUUUAUUCUUGUUCCUCCGCACAAACUUGGAUCAGAGCUGGUUACUGGUACGCCGGUAGCGAGUCUCCCAUACCUGACAUCAACUCUGCCUUGUUCACUCAUCUUAUUUGUGCUUCUGCUGCUCUGAAUUCCUCCACCUACCAGCUCUCCAUCCCUUUCUCUCAAGAGCCAUCCUUCUCCAUCUUCACAGGUGUCGUCAAGCGCAAAAACCCAUCAGUCAUAACACUCCUAUCCAUCUGGAAUGGACAAGCUGCAACAGCUCAAUCAAUUUUGGGUCAGAAAGUUAACUAUUCAGUCUUGUCCUCAAUGGUCAACAAACCUUCUAACAGAAAGUCUUUCAUUGAGUCUUCAAUCAAAACAGCAAGGCUUUAUGGCUUCCAAGGUAUAGACUUGCUUUGGCUUUGGCCAAACACAGCCUCUGAUAUGAUCAACAUGGCAAAAUUAUUCGAUGAGUGGCGAGCUGCUGUGAAUUCUGAGUCAAGAAACUCCAGUGAUCAGUCACGGUUGAUAUUGACAAUGGCCAUUCGUUAUUUGCCUGCUUUCGAAUCGUUGAGUUACCCGAUUGAAUCUAUGAAGAGGAACUUGGAUUGGGCACAUGUUAUUGCAUAUGACUAUCAUCUGCCUUCUAAGGAGAAUGUCACUGGUGCUCAUGCUGCUUUAUAUGACCCGUCAAGCCAUGUUAACACCGACUAUGGUAUAAAGCAAUGGCUAAACAACUCAUUUCCUGCUAGCAAACUGGUUUUGGGUUUGCCUUACCAUGGCUAUGCGUGGACACUUGUGCACCCCAAAGACAAUAAUGGAGUUGGGGCACCUGCAGCCGGCACAGCUGAGACGAAAGACGGAUCCAUGAGCUAUACGUACAUCAAGCGGUACAUUCGAAGCUACAGAGCUCCCAUGGUGUACAAUGCUACUUAUGUUGUGAACUAUUGCAUCAUAGGGUCGAGUUGGAUUGGUUUUGAUGAUGUGGAAGCUAUCAGAACUAAGAUUGCAUAUGUCAAGGAGAAGAAGCUACUUGGUACCAAUGUGUUUCAAGUCACCAAUGAUGACGAUUGGGCGCUUUCUCGGGCAGGUUGGCCAAAGUGAUUUUUUAUGCUUUGUUUUUGACAUGGCAUAAAACUCAAUUUUAUAUCCUGAAGGAAGUUGAAUUUUGACAGCAGGCUAUCUGCAUAAAUCGACUUAUUUUCUAAUGGAGAUCCAUUUAUUCUACUUCUAACUGGUUUAGUAAAUGACAGUUCAAGAGGAAGAAAAUGAUCAAGAAAAUAAGCGGCGGUUAUUGCUUAUAGUUUUGCUUCCAAUUACUUUGAUCAUAAUCCUCAUAGCCUUCGUGGUGUGUUACGUACAAAGAAAAUUGUUGAAGACAAAAGGUUAUUUUUCUCACUGUUAGUGUUUGUUUCGAAUAGCAAUUAGACAAAGAUAAAUUCUCUUUUCAAAUUUACAUCAAGAGUUUUGCUAUUGCAUUUUCACCUUCUUUUUUUUCCUUCUGGUUUCAGGGAUGAUUAUUUUUGGGAAUUCAAGGUCUACUAGUACAUCCGAUCUUAACAGUGAUCCUCCAACUCUGCAAGCAUUCAGCUUUUCGAAUAUCAAAGCGGCAACAAAUAACUUCUCAAGUGAAAACAAGCUUGGAGAGGGUGGGUUUGGUCCUGUAUACAUGGUAAUAUUUGCUACCUUAUCUAACAUAAGUUUACACUGUGGGAACUGGGAUUUAAAACUUGUGGUUGUAUGUGUGCCCUUGUGUAUAAUCUGCUGCUACUUUUAAAACAAUGAGAUGUAUAUCGAUAAAAAAAAUCUUUCCCUGAACUACCCCAUUCCUACUUUCCUGCUACCAAGAAAAGGGAACAAAAAAACUUUAGGCUUAAAGCUGUGUCUAUGAUAAUUGGCUACUAAUUCCCCUCAUGCUGAACCAAAAGCUUAUCAACAACUGAAAGCAGAGUCACCCUCACCUUGUGUUAAUUAAGUGAUACAUUCUGGUGAACAGUGAGAGUGAUACCAUUUGUAUAGAUUCAUCUUUUGAUCAGAUAUAAAUCUGGAUUUUCUUUUUACUAAACCAUGCUAGCUUAACUAACGGUUUUCUUCAAUUUUUCAAGGGUAAAUUGCGAGGAGGACAGGAAAUCGCAGUGAAAAGACUUUCGAAAACGUCAACUCAAGGACUUGAGGAAUUUAAAAAUGAGGUUACACUUACUGCAAGACUACAACAUGUAAAUCUAGUUCGAGUUCUUGGAUUUUGCACUGAGAAGGAAGAAAAAAUGCUGAUCUACGAGUACAUGCCCAACAAAAGCUUGGACUUCUACCUUUUUGGUCUGUAAUUUUUCAUGCUUCCUGUUACGGUUGAGAGUGCAGGCUAGCAUAACACAAUACUUUUGCAUUCUGUAAGUUUCAGUGGGUCUUAACAUCUCCUCUAAGAGGUAAACAUGGGGGGUGUUAAACUCAUUGAAACUCUCCAAAUAGUUAGACAAGCAUAUUCUUGAGGACUGAACCAACACUAAUGUAUAUUAAGCUAACAAAAAUCACUUGUUAAGCCAUCUAAGCUUAUGGUGCAGAAACCUUGACUUUUAAUUUGUCUCUCUUGCUCCUUUGCCUACCUCAUUGGUCCUGAAUUUGAUAUCUUGCAGAUCCUACCAGACGGUAUCUUCUAGACUGGACAAAGCAUGUGCACAUCAUUGAAGGGGUUACCCAAGGACUCCUAUAUCUUCAAGAAUACUCCAAUUUUACAAUUAUUCACCGAGAUCUGAAAGGUAGCAACAUUUUACUUGACCACGAAAUGAAUGCUAAGAUAUCAGAUUUUGGAAUGGCUAAACUUUUCAGAAAAGAUGAACUUGAAGCAAACACAAGCCGGAUUGUUGGAACAUAGUAAGUAAACUGCCUCUUUUUGGUUAUUCACACACACAUGCUCAUAUCCUCUAAUACUUGUGGUGGUAUGCAAUGCAGUGGCUAUGUUCCUCCUGAAUAUGUAAGAAAAGGUAUAUACUCUACGAAGUAUGACGUCUACAGCUUUGGGGUUCUACUUUUACAAAUGAUUAGUGGAAGGAGGAGCACAUGUUACUAUGGUCCAAACGAAAGCUUACACCUCUUGCAAUAUGUAAGUUCCAUAGCUGUCUAUCAUUCUAUCACCACUAAUGUAAACUAUUACUUAGAUCUAAACUAUAUAUGAAGUAACUUUCAAACUAUUUCAGGCAUAUCUAUCAUGGAAGGAGGACAAAGGAAGAGAAUUUAUUGAUCCAUCACUGGAUGAUUCUUCUUCUUCUUGUAAAUUAUCGAGAUGCUUGCAAGUAGCUCUAUUAUGUGUCCAGGAAAAUCCGGAGGAUAGGCCUACAAUGUUGGAAGUUUAUUCCAUGCUCAAAACUGAUACUGAACCCAUUCCCACUCCUACAAAGAUGGCUUUCUCAGGAAAUAGAAGUAUGGAAAACAUAUCUACAUCGCAGCAAGGAAGUUGUUCAGUUAAUAAUGCAGAAAUUUCCGAGUUGCAACCCCGAUGAAAUUGCAGGCUCAGAAUAGGAGACAUUAGUUUUUCAAUUUCAAUGGUUGAGUUCUUAGGCUCAAGAAUGUGGGUCGUCAUAUACUCUAUGAAGUAUACAAGAUUUUAGCAACUUUGGAUUCUUCAUCUGGAGGCCUACAUGCCGUAAACAUUACAAUAUUUUGUUAAAUUAAAAAUUUGCAAUUCAUUUGCAGAGAGAAGGGAGGGAACUGGUGAUGAGGAAGUCAUUUGAACAUUGAACUAGUGGUUAGGCUUAGACCAAGGGGAGGAUACGCCAAAUUUUUUGUUUUGUUUGUACGAAAUUCUUUUAUACAACAAAAACAAAAACUGCAGGAAAAAAAAUUCAUUGUGAGUUUAUUUAUUUUUAUCUUUCUUUUAAGAAAAGCCUAGAAUACACUAUGUUUCUUUCCGAAUGAAGUCCAGACUUGGCAGGAAAAGUAUCUCUUGGCUUGCCAUCGCUUAAGUGGGCAGACAAACUUUUCCAAGAAUUCACAUUUCACAAAAAGUUUGGUGGAAAAACUGUUCCAUUCCAUGCCACAUCUUCUUCAACUUAAUCUAAUUAUUGAGCUUUUGCAAAAUGAUACUGUCUACAGGACUUCUUUGAAGCUGUCUUUGACCAAAAACAAAGGGUGUGUGGAUUUGAACUCAGCACAAGCUCUACGGGAUUUUAUUACCACACUGUAGGGACGCAAUUAAACGUAGUUUACCUUCUUGACCUGGACAGACAUAAUCAUAUAUUAGCUCCAAAACAUGAUUGGUUUAGUGUCAGUUGUUCUCACAUUUCUAUACUCUAGAAAGAAGAUUUCAAUUUGAAUUUGGAGUCUGCUUUAGCAGAUAACUGAUGUUCAAUAGUCAUCUGCCCGCCCAUAUCCUGCACUGCACAUGAUGCGCCAUGUAUAUGUAUUAGCAGAAGCAAUGAUCGACAAACUGCUAGGCGGUAGGCGGGUGGCAGGACGGGGCCUAGCGCCUAGAGGAAUAAUAGGGCGCCUAGGCGUUUCUUUUUAAAAAAAAAAAAAUUGUAUUAUAAAUUAUAAAUUUAUACCAAAAUCAUGCAAAAUAAAAGGGUAUAUAAAUUAUAAAGUACCAUAAUUGAUACUAGCCUCUCUGCACGCGCUUCCGCGCUUGCGAGAGGUUUUUUUAAAAAAAUAAGUAAAUUUAUUUUAGAAUUAAAAAAGAUAAUGAGUUAGUUGUGUUCCAUAAAAAUAGGAUCCAUUAUCUGCCUUUUCUUUUUCUUUUAAUUUUUUUAAAUAUGAAAAAGUGUGAAUUUACCAUAUUAUCCUCAUUUAAUUAAUAAUUUGAAUUCUUAAUGUUUGCAUUAACCAAGGGCAUUUUCUGGUAUUUUGAAUGUUUCACCAUUCUCUGUCUUUUGCUUUAUAUAUAUAGAUUAGCCCAUUGGCACAUGCUCACGCAUGUGCCAAUUGGUUUUUUUUAUUUAUUUUUAGAAUUAAGAAAAGAUAAUAUGAGUAGUUAUGUUCCAUAAAAAUAGGACAUAUUAUCUGAUUUUGUUUUUAAUUUUAAUUUUAAUUUUUUAAUAUAAAAAAUUUAAAUUUACUAUAUUAUCCUCAUUUAAUUAAUAAUUUUAAUUCUUAAUAUUUGAAUUAACCAAUAGCAUUUUCUGGUAUUUUGAAUGUUUCACCAUUCUCUGUCUUUUGCUUUAUAUAUAUAGAUAAAACAUGGGAAAAACCUAGGAGGCAACGGCUCAAAGGAGAGAGAGGCAGCGUGCUUGAAGUCCGGAAAAAGAAAAUUUUUAUAAUUAAAAAAAAGGACACGACCCGCCUAGGCCUAUUUUCGAACAGGGUCAUCUUGUAGGAGGAAAAUCAAACUAGCUUUAUUUGCAUGGGAUCAAAAAACAUCACCCACCUUUUCCUUUUCCUCUUCAUCUUCCUUAUCGUCUCAAUUUUAUUGUUGUUUCUCUGCACAAACUUGGAUCAGAGCUGGUUACUGGUAUGUCGCUAGCGAGUCCCGAAUACCUGACAUAAACUCUGCCUUGUUCACUCAUCUUAUUUGUGCUUCUGCUGAUCUAAAUUCCUCCACCUACCAGCUCUCCAUCCCUUCCUCUUAGGAGACAUCCUUCUCCAAAUUCACCGGUGUCGUCAUCAAGCGCAAAAACCCAUCAGUCAUAACACUCCCUGCAGCAAAUCGAUCAAUUUUGUGUGAGAAAGCUAACACUCCCAAUCAGUCAUAAUACUCGGUUUUUUCUGCUUUUUUAAAAAUGGUAUAGCCGAUCGGCUAUACCUGUUUGACACGUGGCGACCAACCGCAAUAAGGGUUAUUUUAUACAUAUAAAUAGUAUAGCCGCCCGGCUAUACUGGGUUUUGGGAUUUCUUUGAAAAAUAGUACAGCCGCCCGGCUAUACUGGGUUUUGGGAUUUCUUUAAAAAUAGUACAGCCGCUCGGCUAUACCCGGUCGGCAAUACAGUUUUAGAAACGUGGGCCCCUAAUCGCAAGGCGGGUCUUUUUUUUAUUUAUAUAAAUAGUAUAGCCGAACGGCUAUACUAGGUUUUUCUGAAAUUUUGUUAAAAUCGUAUAGCCGGACGGCUAUACUCUGUUUUAGUAAUGUUUCUUACAAAAUAGUAUAGCCGAGCGGCUAUACCCAUUUGUUCUCUUCUUUUUUUUAUAAAUAGUAUAGCCGCGCGGCUAAAACGAGUACACGUGGUGCCAAAUUUUUUUCAACAAUCCAAACCAUCGAUUUUUCACAUCUUCAUUUAGAGAUCAUCCUUGCAAAAAAUCAUUAAGGCAUCUAAUUGAGACCAACAAAAUCAAUGAACACGGUGUUUCAAGAAAGUACUUAGAUUUCAAUCAUUUAAUUGAGUUGUCAAAUGAUAUCGGAUUCAAGUAAUUUUUUGUAAAGAUAAUCUUUGAAUGGAUAUCUAUAAAAUAGACGGUUUGGAUUAGUGAAAUACAAUGUGGAGUGAGCCCUAUAAGAGUGUCCCUUAAUGGAAGCUAUAUAUAUAUAUAUAUAUCCUUUUUAAAAUAUCUGAGCCGGAUGUUGGCUUAAUGGGAUAGCAUGCAGAUGAAUUUCUGGAAGAAACAUGUCAAUUUUUAUAUUAGUUCAAUUGACUUUUGUAUGGAUUGUGAAUGUCUGGGAAGCUAGAAUUUGUUGCAUCCAGAGGCUGCAGCCUGCAGUUUUCAAUCAGAGAAUUCUUAAUGUUUGAGGAUGUUCUUAAUGUCGCGUCCUCCUAUGCCUAGCCACUCUGUCCUCAGAACGCACUCCAUGGCCUUAUAUGCAGUAUAUUAAUUUAUAUAUAGACAGCUUGUUUCUGGUUUAAUUAGUAUAUUCUACUCUAAAGUCUAAAAUGAACCAUUCUGAUCUGAUCAAAUCCCAAGUGGUGUUAAAUAAAUAAAAAAGAAUGUAAAGUUAACAGAUGUCAGCCGACCAGUCAGCUUAGCCAAUGCACGUUUGCACUUGAUGCAUGUUAUACCUGACAGAUAAGUAUUCACGGAACAAAAUAGAAGAAGAAGAAAAAAAAACUUAUCAAAGUGAAACCAGCCGUUAGAUUAGAAUACAAGAUAAAUCCACCUAUAAGAAUUAAGCAUAUACCAAUGGAUUCUAAAAGCUUCAAUUCAAGCUGCAGAAAAUCAUUGUAGAAGAACUCAAUCAAUGGGUUCUAAAACACAAAUCACUACCUUUCUUCUUGGCCACCCUGUUUUCCCUUGUCCAAGCUGUUGCCCCAAAUGGUACAGUUAAAGCAGGUUACUGGUCUAGUGGCAUCCCAUUUCCGGCUGAUGCCAGAUCAUCAUGGUAUAUUUGCACCAGCCAAUGGAAUGGCAGUACCGUCAGAUGGCGCGCUAGGUAUAUUUGUACAGCUGUGACACCAACUGUGAUCAAUUCCACACUUGUUAUGGACUAUACCUUCUCUGGGAAGACUUGGAUUGGUUAUGAUGAUACGCAGAGUAUCACUACCAAAGUCUCAUAUGCUAAGGGCAAGGGACUAGUUGGCUACUUUGCAUGGAACUUUGGCCUCGAUUUCAAUUGGACUCUUUCACAAGCAGGCAGGUAUAUAUUUAUAUGACACCAACCCUCUUUCAUGUUCUAUUAAUUUUGUGCUAACUCCUCAUGUGAGUGUUAAAUUUGUUUGCAGCUUAAUACGCUUGGGAAGCUUAGGGACGGACAACUUUUCCUGCCAGAAGAUCAUGUGAUUUUACAUCCUCCUCUCCACUGUAAAGACCAAUUAGCUGAUGCUACACUACUCAAAGCAGAAAUGGCAUGCCAUUUGUAUUCCUGAUUUAGGCCAAUUACCUAGAGAGAGAGAGUAAAAUAAAAUAAAAUAAAGACCCGUUCCAACAUUUUGUUUUGUUUUGUUUUUUAAAUUAGCGAUAACGAACACCGAUAAUAACUCCGUUCUCUUUUUAUCUUAUCCAACCCCUGAAAAUCCUCCUCUCCAUAUCCCUCCAAGACUCUCUCGUUAUCGGACUGAAACUCAACAUCCUCUCCAUAUUUCUCUGCAGGUCGCGGCCCGGUGGUGGUCGUCGUGGGUGGAGGCCUGGUGGUGGUGGUCUGUCGUGAGAGAGAGAGAGAGAGAGAGAGAGCGAAGGAGGCGACGGCUCAGAGGAGAGAGAGGCAGUGUGAGGUUCUAUUUAAAGCCUGCAAAAAAAACCUGACUCGCCCAGGCGCCCAGACCCGCCUAAGCCGAUUUUUCGAAGACAGUUUUUGACAAUAAACUAAAACUCAGUUUUUUGGUAUACAAAUAGUAUAGCUGCCCGGCUAUACUUGGUUUUAUUGAUGUUUCAAAAAAAAUAGUAUAGCCGCACGGCUAUACCUAUUUCGACACGUGGCCUUCUAUCCGCUAGGAUGGUUUCUUUUUUUAAAAAAUAGUAUAGCCGGACGGCUAUACUCGGUUUUUCCUUUUUUUGCUUUUAAAAACAGUAUAGCCGUUCGGCUAUACUCUUUAUUCGGUUUUAUUCCAAAAAUAGUAUAGCCGACCGGCUGUACUUGUUUUGACACGUAGGCUCUUUAAAGAUGGGCGGCCCCUUUUUAAAAAAAAAAUAUAGUAUAGCCGUGCGGCUAUACGUAUGUUGAUACGUGGCCCCUCUUCGAUAUGCGGUGGGCUCCUUGCUGCUGGACGGGACCUUUUUUUCUUUUAAAAAAAGUAUAGCCGCGCGGCUAUACGCGUGUUUUUUAUAAAUAGUAUAGCCGCCUGGCUCUACCGGUUUUUCUGUUUUUUUUUAAAAAUAGUAUAGCGUCUCGGCUAUAAGCAUUUUGACACGUUUCGCUAUGCAGGUCCUUUUUGUAUAUGUAAAUAGUAUAGCCGUCCGGCGAUACUCUGCGUUAUUCUGAUUUUUUUAAAAUAGUAUAGCCGGGCGGCCAUACUUAUUUUGACACAUGGCACCUAAUCACUAGGUGGUCAUCGCUUUUUUAUUUAAAAAUAGUAUAGCCGCUCGGCUAUACGCAGAUGAUUCUAAAAAAUAGUAUAGGCACCCGGGAUUCUGGGAUCACUGAUUGGCUUCAGGCAGGUGUGCCUCCAAAAACGAUUGCAUUUUGCACCAGCCAGUGGAAUGGCAGUACCACCGGAUGGAUCAGCGGGUUACAACCUAAUCAAGGCAUAUAUAGCUGAGAAUGGUGCACCAACUGUGUUUAAUUCUACACUUGUUAUGGACUAUUCCUAUACUGGGAAGACUUGGAUUGGUUAUGAUGAUAGGCAGAGUAUCACUACCAAAGUUUUGUAUGCUAAGCGAAAAGGACUACUGGGAUCCAUGUCCAUGUCAAUUGGACUCUUUCAGAUGCAGGUAUGUAUUCAACUAAGCAUUUAAAAGCUUCCCAAUCAUGUUUUUCAUCAUUAUUAAUUGUACUGAUGAUGCCUAAUGUGUGUUAAAUUUGUUUGCAGCUUCAUGCGCAUGGGGAGCAUAGGGCCACUACUUUUCCUACCAGAAGAUGAUGUGAUUUGCUUUCUCCACAAUCAGACCAAAUGCUGAUGCUAAUUAGGCAGAAAGAAGACAUUUCAUUCAUUUGGUAUUCAGCCAAAUCAGGCCAGUUACCUAUUGUUCUCCAUCAACAAACAUAUUAAUGAUAAAGUUGUAAUCCCAUUCGCAUUUGUUUUUCUUUCUUCUUUUCCUUUUUUAUGAUAACGAGUAGUGGAAAAUAGCAGAACAUGGCUGAAAAAUAUCCUCGUGUGAUGAGAAAAUGAUUUGAGAUAGAUCAACAAUUACUUGAAUGAGUUGGUUUUGCACUUGCAUCAACUAGGUUGAUAUAAUUCUGAUUCUGAGCCCAAGAUAGUUUGUUUAAUUUAAUAUUUGAUUUUGAAUUUCCGGUGAAAACACGGCUAGGCUAGCGACAUGCAUUUUUUAAGUUGGAAUCGAAGUCUACAUGACAUUAAUGGAAGAAUAAACAGAAAUUGGAAAUCUUAUUGUUUAUCUGGUCGAUUAGUCUUAUUGCAAGUAACAGCUCUAUCUGGAUACAGAGCGUGGGCUUAUUUUAUGUAAUUAACCAACCCUAAAACGUAGAUGUAUCAUAUCAGCAGUAACUGUAAUCUUUGUGCUCAUCCCCAUGUGCUUGAAGCUGCAAGAAGGAAAAACAAAAAAAAUCAUAUAGUUAAAUCAAUCAACAGUAAUUAGUGCCACUAAACAAAUAGUUAUCGUCUUGUUCAGCCAAAAACUACACAACCACAUAUUGUAUUAUUGAAUUUAGAAGAAUUAAAUUCAUAUAUAUUAUGCAAAUUACUGGUGUUGUUACUAACCUGUUUGAGAAAGAGCCCAAUUACUGUUGUCAGCACCAACAUGCCACGCAAAGUAACCAAGAAGCCCUUUUGUUACCUUGGCAUAUGAAACCUUUGCAGAGAUGCUCUGCGUAUCAUCAUAACCAAUCCAUGUUGUUCCUGAGUAGCAAUAGUUUGUAACAACCGUGGCAUUGUACACUGUUUGUGCCCCAUUCUGGCUUAUGAAAUUUCUUAUUUGGUUGUAGCCUUGAUCCCCGUAUUGCCCUAUAGCCGAUCCAUUAGCAGGAGCAUAAAGGCCAUGGUUAUUCGCGUUCAAUAAACGCCAUGCGUAGCCAUAAAAGGGAAGGCCUAGCACUAUCUUUUUGGCAGCCAAACCUGCUUGAAUCCAGGAUGUGAUACCAGCAUUCCCGCUAACCUGACUGUUGUACAAUGCUGCAGGUGGUCCGGUGUUGUUUGGGGACCAACCAGGGCCGUAGAAGUCAUAAGCCAUGACAUUGAUCCAGUCUAAACUGUUUGAUAUGGCCUGGAAGGGGUAAUUUAUGGUGUAGUAAUCUGCAGAGCGAAAGACAGCGGCGGCUAAAAGCAAAGCAGUCUUGCCAGAGGCCUUGGACUCAUUGGCCACGGCAGCUCGCCACUCGGUGAGAAGGCUGCCCAAGUUGGUCAUCUCAGUGGUGGAGGAUGGAUAUUCCCAGUCGAGGUCCAGGCCGUGGAAGUUGUAAGACCUUGCUAACGUGAUGGAGGAGUUAAUGAAUGAUUUGCGCCGGCUGGCUUGGCUGGCCAUUGCCGCAAAGGUUGCUGGAUUAGCAUUUCCUCCGCCAAUGGAUAAGAGGGUUUUCACUGCAGGGUUGUUUUUUUGUACUGUUUGUGUGAAGCUUGAGAAGGGGGCUGAGUUUGAGGAAGAAACGGUGACUUGGUAAGUGUCGGAAUUAAGAUCAGCAAAUGCGCAAAAUAGAUGAGUGAAAAGGCUGGAAUUUAUGCUGGAGGCUGGGAAGCCACUGUCAGGAAACCAGUAAGCGCCCUUAACCACAGUUUGGCCGGUUGAGAAGCUGAGUUGGGCAAGGAAAAUGAGACCCGAAAGAAGGAUCAAUGGAAGUGUUAACUUGGAAGACAUUGCAGCAAAUGGAUGAAAGAGGAAAUGGUUCUUGCUUGCUGAUUGUUAUGACGAUCUUUUAUGUGUAUAUAUACACACAACACAACACAAGAUGAUGCAAAGUUGCGUGUAAAAUUAUAUAUUGGACUUUGGACUUUGGACUUUGGACUUUGGAGAAAGAAAGUUGCAUUAAGAGACUUUUGUGCGGUGCUAUUGGCGUAGAUUGCCAAACAUAUCAAGUUCUUGAGUUUUGACUAAUUUUUGCCGAUUGGUAAUGACGUAUGUAGUGUAUAAACAUCAAAUACAUUGGUAAGAAACUGAUUCUUAUCCACAAUGUGAACAUCUUUAUUCAUCCAAAAGUAGGAGUUAGAGGGAUCUUAACUUAUAAGAUAUAGUUGACAUCUCCUAAGUUGCUAUUUAUAACCCUUAUAAAUUAUAAUGGCCUACUUGAAAGAUUGGACUUUAGACUGGCAUCCCUUCUGGUUAGGGAGGUCCAAAACCCAAAUGUUGUAGUCCAUGGUGCUAUUAUGUACACAUUUGCUUCUUCUGCAAGGGGUUAUAAUUCAAGUGAUUAGGAUGUACCCCUUCUCCAUUCAAAGUUCUACGUUCCUUCUUCAAUAUUACUUGUAUUAAAAAAAUUAAAAUUAAAAUUAAAUAAUUGCUUUUUCUUUUGUGUUUCUUUAAACAUGUGAAAGUCCACCCCAAAAAAAAAAAGCACGUGAAGUACAUGAUAACGUGCACGUGCAGUAUGUGCUCCUAAUCGGUUGGACCCACAAAUAAAUCCAACGGUUCCAAAAGAUUGCCGCUGCCACGUGAACGAUCGAUCUCACGGAUUCAACAAUUAAGUUGACGUUGGUACACGCGGGAGAGAUAGCGAGACUAGACUCUAGAGAGGUAAUGCUAAGCACGUUGGUACACGCUCCCACCGUGUGUUCUCCCUCCGGUUCGCCUCCCAACCCUUUGUCCAAGCACAUCGCCACACGCGCCUCCAUGGCCACCGCCUCAGCUCGUAGCUCAGCUCGAAUAGCAAUUGUCGGCGACGUCGUAAGGCUCUCUCUUUCUUUCUGUAUGUGUGUGGAUUUUUGAAACCGUGCCCUGGCCUGCUGAUUCUUUUUAUAGACAAAUUCGUUUUGUUUGCUUCUCAAAUUUCACCUUUUUAUUAUUAUUUUGGCUUCUGAAGCAUGAUCAGUGGAAUCUAGAAGAAGAUACGAAGGCACUUGAACUGCUGCAGGUGUGCAUUUCCCUCUAUAUUUUCUUCUACUGUAAAAGAUAUAAUCUUUAGUUAUUUGGGAGAUAAAUAUAUAGAGUAAAUUUCGUGGUUAACUUUAGAAGGAGUUUGAUUUUGAUUUGCCUUGGCUUGGCUAAGGCUGUGCUGGAGUUAUGUUUAGCUAAGCUUUUUAAGAUGUAUUAGCAUUUGUUUGGCCAAGCUCGAGUUUGAGCUGAAAUUUGAGGUUUCAGAGUCUUUUUACAAGUAGAAACUUUGAACUAAAAUUGGACAGGAUUUGUAGGUAUUGAAAGUUUGUAGUUUGGGGCACUAUUAUACACGCCCGUCUGCAAUCACGAGCAGCACUUGUUUGAAUGCUUGAAAUAUAAGUUCUUUUUUGUUAUUGAUUUUGUGUUUCUUGUUGUAGUUAUACACUUUUUUUUUUUACGUUUUUAUCAAAAAGUUGUAUUUCCUACAAAGAAAUCUAAUAUGAGUUUAUAACUUUAUUGAACUGCAGCCCGAUUUGGUUCUUUUUACAGGCAGGUUCCAUUCUCCCUGACUAUUCAUCUACCUAUUGUUUUUCGGUGCUUCUCACUUUCGAUUUUCAGCUCCUUCACUUUCUUUUGUUUCCGCAUUGGUUACUAAGCUACUUUAGCAUAUACAAAAGAGAUCUCGGUUCAUGGUUGACAUCGCACCGGCACACACCACAUUUGUCAUUUGCAUGUUUGAUAAAUUCAUGACAUGCCCUUAAGUGUUGUAAAGGUUAAGAUAAAUAAGUUAUCAGAAAAAAACUAAAUCAAAUUUAGACACUUAGCCAUCUGUGAUCUAAAUUGAUUUCUUGUUUCUGCAUUAGCGUAGUCGGUUAUUUGUUUUAUGUAAACCUAUAGUUGGUCUGUUUUUGUUCAGGUGAUUUUGGUGAAGAGAACGUUGAACUCGUUCAGAGCGUUGCAAAGCUCGGAUUUGCUAAAGCAGUUAUUCUGGGAAACCAUGAUGCCUGGCAUACAAAACAGUUUUCUGGAAAGUAAGUUCUGGAUAGUGUUUCCAUAUGUUUGAAUAGUCUUUAAUUCUUAAUUCAUGUAGUCACACAGCCUAGUAUAGUCAAGCAUGUAACUAUUAAUAUGGUGAGUUUAGAGUGUACCUCAACUGAUCUAUCUAUCCCUUCACUCCCGCCCCACCCCUAUUCUGUCUGCCUCUGCAUCAUCAAGAAUGUUGAUGUAAUUCUAAUUCCGAGUUUAUGAUAAUCUGGUUAAUUUGAUAUUUUAAUUUUGAAUAUCAGGAAAAAAGAUGGCGUUCAACUUCAGCUAGAAUGGUGAGCUUGUCUUAUCUUCAUGAUUGUCAAACAUUCUGAAAUUACCAUUUGUGUUACAUCUUUUUUUAUCAGUUAUUACUUGUCAUUCACAUUAAAAGAUAGUAUUUUUCCUGUUAUACUACAUUUAUAUCAAUUCAAUGAAUUCGCAGUUGCAUACAGAUGUCAUGGUUGCCAAUGAAAUAUUUUAUUGUUUUAAUUGUUUUUCCUUGUUUUGCAAUGCGUUGAAAAUGUUAGAGUGCAGAAUGUAUCCGACACAAGUUUUUCAAUCAUGCUCUUUAUGAUUUUCCUUUUAAAAACCAAAUUCCCCAGAAUUUGAGGAUUCUUUUGCAUACGCUAAUGCCAACUAUAGUAUUCCAGUCCUUUUCAUAGAUUGGUGAAGAUUGUGUCAUAUUGAUUGGCUUUCAAAGUUAAUUUCCAACUGCUUCCAGGGAACCAAAAGAAGCUCAAAUUUGGUCAGAGGAGAGAUUUUAGUUUGACAUGAGAUGAUAUCGCUAGUAAACCAGGCUGAAAUGGACAUUAAUGAACAAAAUCAGGUCAAACAGUUCCAACAGUCCUAAAUGAUGGAACGUUGGGUGACCGAAUUAUUUACAUUUGGAAGGCCACAUGUUAUUCUUACGUUGUUGCAGCUGCAAGUUAAUUGUGUUGUUAAGUGAUAAUACUUGUAAUGCUCAGUCUUGGCGAGGAGCAUGUAGCUUAUCGGCGUUUGGACUUUCCUUUGGUAAAACUGAGCGUUGUUGGUGGGCGACCGUUUUCUUGUGGGGGACAGCAGUUGUUUCGGGCAAAGCUUCUGUCUGCGAGGUGUGUAAUGGUUUUAGCAGCUGUUGAUUAAACAUGAAACUAGAGUUUUAUCAAUUUUCUUGGCCUCUUAUCCAAAAAUUGUAACCAUUUUUCAUGAUACUAUGUAUGGGUCACAUAUAUGAUGGAAAAUUCAUCAGAAAAACAUUGUGUUCUCCUCAAUGAUGGCCUAAAUUAUGUGUUGAAACAACCUUUUAGGUAUGGGGUCCAAGACAUGGAUGGAAGUGCUAAGAGAAUAUGCAAAGCAGCUUUGGGUGCUCCAGAGGACCAUUUAGUCAUACUUCUUGCACAUAAUGGCCCCACAGGUUUAUCAGUCUGCUCUGCUGAAAUAAAUCGUAAUCUGGCAUUUUAGGGAAAUUUUGUUACUUCAUGUAAAUGCAAAUUUCUGAGUUCACUAUUUGUGCAGGUCUUGGUUCUAACUCGGAUGACAUAUGCGGAAAAGAUUGGGUGUAUGGAGGCGGAGACCAUGGUGACCCAGGUAAUAAUUAAGCUAUUGACUCUACAUUGGUGUGCAUCUCUACGUUUAGGUUGCCAACCCCAUAAAGGCAUGAUCCGAACUUCUUCAGUGAAUCACUGAAAGGGUUUGUGUUAUUUUUGUAAACUUAGUUUUACACGUUAAAUUGAUGUCACUUCCUACUGGGUCUUUUGGGUUGCUGCAUGUGACUGGUGACUCGACGAAUCUAAGAGUCUGGUUAUGGAAAGGAGGCGAGUUACGUCCUUCGUGUGAUUUGUUCAUCUAUAUUAAGAUGUAAUAACAUGAACACUUGUUCUUCUGGUGCAGAUCUAGCACAAGCUCUGUCCCUCUUAAAAGAGACGGGAAAAAUCUGUGGCCCAUUGGUAGUGUUUGGUCACAUGCAUAAACAGCUAGCAGAUGGAAAUGGUCUUCGGAAAAUGAUAGUGGUUGGAGCUGACAACACUAUAUACCUGAAUGGGGCCAUUGUUCCGAGGGUUAAGAGACUAAAUGAUGAAUUCGUGAAUAAAGAACCCCAUCUUUCAACACCAGAGUCCUGUGGCACCAUCCGUGCCUUCACUAUAGUGGAGAUUGUGGACGGAGCAGUAGAUAAAAUUGUUGAAAGUUGGGUUUCAGUUGUCGGCGAUAGGAUCACAUUGGAAGAGGAGCACAUGUUAUUCAACAGCGCCCAUUAGAUUUCUCUGGUUUUGAUUUUAGUAUUAUCCAUAUUUGUAUGUAUGGAAGUAGGUUAUCUGUCCACAAUGUCCUGAGUUAAAGGAAAAUAGUUGUUUAACACUGUUGGAUGUAUAUGCUAUUAGGUUUCCAAACAAAACAAAUCAAGUUUGUAUGAACAUGAAACUCAUUUCUAUAAAAUCUUACUUAUGUCUCAAUUUCAUUAAAAAUAAUCAAAGCAAGCACAAGCACAGGAGCAUUGGCAUUCUAUUGCUAUUUAGUUUGCCAAACUUGAUCAAAUUCAAUGUUGGAUGAUGUUGGUUGGCGCUCAAUGACCUUUUCAGUCUGAGAGUUCCUCAACGUGCCAAAACUAGUUGUUCUUCCCAAUGCAAGUAAUGAAAAACUGACCUGUAUGGAUUUUACCUUUUGUGGACCCCUUGUGUUAUAAUUUCAGUAGAUUAUUGAGGGAGGCAAGGCAAAUGUAUGAUGUGGUUGGUAAAGAAUCUCAAGCCGUGCCUUUUGGUUGCCUGAGAUAACCAAUUUUUCGCUGAUUUGAUGGCCACCAUUAGCAAAGGAACCUUUUGUUUCCCCUUUGAUCUGUUAAUCAAACUUAAUUAACUUGAAAACUGAUCAACCAUUUCAUAAAUUUCCUCAAUUUUGCAAUUAUUUCAAGCAAGUGAUGGCACAGAACACAAAUGAUGCUCUUUCUUCUUUAUUUUUUUCGUUUGUUUUCUUAUCAACAUCUUAUUAUUGCAUUUCUCCCUUUUCCCUUUGCUUAGUGCACAUUUUCCAAGCAAUCUUUGCUUUAUUGACCCAAAUUUCUUUUCCUUGGUUAGUGCACAGAAUUAAGACUUACCCUAAACCUUUGGCUGUACUAUUCACUUUACUUAUUGACUGUUAUUGGUCCAAAAUCACUCAAUUACUCAUAAUUUGUCAACUUCAGUCCUAAUCAUAGUCAACUAACCAUAGGGAUUAACUUCAAUGAGAUGAUAAUUAUCAAAUUUGUAAAAGGAGGCCAUAUUAUUGCGAUAUAUAAAUACAUCUUUCAGUUCAUUGAUUUGGUCCCCCAAGCUUAAAGCACAAGGUCCCCUACUCUACUGCUAAAGGCCAGUCAACUCAUUUCUUGAUGACAUCCCCCAGCUGGGCCAUUUCAAUUCAAAGAAACUAUUAUCAUUGUGCAGAGCAGGACCCAGCAAAAAAUAAGAAAUACAUUUAUCUCAUCUCAAACUCACAAUUAAGUUAUUAACCAUUAAUUUUUUUCUCUAAAUGCUUUUAAAAAUUCUGAAAUUUCUAUGUUUGAUCUAAAGGUUUUUACUUUUUUUUUUUUUUUUUUGUUUAUCUGGAAAUACACAGAAGUAGCUAUUAUUGGACCUACUCCAUAAUCACCUAAAGCAAGUUUGCCCUGUGAAUUGAAAAUGGGAAAAUUCCCCCUGACUAGUUUGCCUUGUACCAAUCAUUAGAUUAUAAUAAUUUCAAGAGUCAGUAAUAACAACUACAAUCCUAGCUGAAUACACCCCUAAAUCCCAAAAUUUCCCAACUUUCCACUUGUGAUCUUCCCCUGUUUAGGCAAAUCAAUUUAGACCCCAAAAAAAAAAAAAAGGCUUAACCAAACUGUGAACUGAUUUUCUUUUAGAUUUAUAAUAAAAUGACAGAUGUAACAUAUGCUCCUUUUUAUAUAAUAAUACACAGAAAAAAUUUAGUUGCAAAUUUGCAAUGGGAAUAACACCAUUUUGAUAUUUCCGAUCAAUAAUUCUAUGUUACAUAGAAAUAUUAUUAUAUGUGUCAUAACGUUAUUAGUCGAGAAUAACAAAAGAAUGUUAUUUCCGUUUCAUAAAAGUCUUCCUCGAUUCUGCAUAUAUAGGUUAUAAUUCUAGGAACAUAAUUGAUUUUGGAUCUAAAACUAAUAAUAAGUGAGGAAAAUGGGGGUUAAGUGGGUAAUUUGGGUCAAAGCUUGUGGGGCGGGGCAGUUGUGAAUUGACUGAAUAAGAGAAAGGCAAACCAACCCAAGUGUCAUAUAUUUUUUUGGCAAAACAUUGGCUCAACAAAGCAAGCAAAAUGAGGAAUGUCAGACUCUGACAUUUCUGCUCAACUUCUCCCUUUCUUCGAAGAUCCUCGACAGUCUUUGACCGAAUCUCGCCCGUCCAUCCGUCCACUUCCUUGUGAUCUUCCCCUUCCCUUGUUAUUUCUCGAAGAAAAAACGUUUUUCUUUAAUUAUAAAAUACAUAAAUACAUAACCAAUUUUUGGUCGAAUAAAUACAUAAUUAACCACGGUUUAUAUAUCAUGUAUAUAGAGAUUUUGUUUUACCAAAUAAUUUAACAUGAAACAUUACUGACCUAAGUCAUAAAUAUUUUUGCUUUUAUUUAGGAUUUAUGGUUAAUUCAGAUGUGUUAAUUUAAUAUAUAUUUUUCCUUACGUAAACAGUGAUUAUGAAUAAUCUAGUUUUGCAGCUGAAGGGUGAAUAACUGAAAGUCAUGAAUUAAUGAUAAUUAUUUAAUUUAAUUAUGUGAAAGUAGUGAAUUCAACCGUCUUUAUCAGUUUUUGAAUUCAACCAAUUUUCAUUGAUGUCCACAAUUUAUGUUGAGGGGCAAAUAUGACAUUUGAUAUCUAGUUUUCCUGUCGAGAAGUUGUAACUUGUACAUAACACAUACAUACGAAUCACAUCAUCAACCAACCUCUUGUUUCUUGUUAUUUACAAAAUAACAACAUACCUUUAAGUUAUUCCCUUAGAGAUAAUAAAACUAAACUAAAUUAAAGUAUAUACUUACAAUAAUAAUAAUCCUAAUCAUGAUUCAAAUUAUUAUUAAUUAUUAAUUAUUAAUUAUAAUACGAGAGAGAGAGAGAGAGAGAGAGAGAGAGAGAGAGAGAGAGAGAAGAAGAAGAGAAUACACGAGACAAGAGGAGAUACAAUAAUAAGAUGAAAUGUGCGGAUUCUGUGUUGAGAUUCUCAGAGUGUUUCAUCUUUGUUCCUCUCCAACAACAUCAUUUCCAGCUCACCCGCUUAGAUCGGAUCUAUUUUCUGCCACCCCCCCCUGCCCUCCUCUUUCACCUUUAAUUUCAUCUGACGCCACCUGCUUUGCCUUUCCAUCAUCCCCAGUAAAAAAAUUCACACAAACCAAAACCCCCACCCCACCCCUCAAAAAAUUAAACACCAAAAAGAAACAAGGGAAACCCCAUUAUUGGUUUUGGCUUUUAAUUUCAUAAUGAACAACAACAACACAACCAAGCUCAGAUAAAAAGGAUUAAAAAAACUCAACCCCCCCACCAUUUUAGCCUGAGCUCUGUUUCAUGCCUGAACCACAUAUCCCAAUUGGUGAUCUGUGUUAAUGGGCAAUGUAACGUCGGGUGUGGCUGCAAAGUUUGCAUUUUUCCCUCCAGACCCACCCACCUAUGAUGUGCACAAAGACGACGGUGGUAAGCUUGUGUUCUCGGGAGUUACAGCUGACAAGAACAUGGAAGUGCAUUUGCUUGAUACAAAAGCAGGGAACAAGAUCGUUGCCACGUUUUGGAAGCACCCUUUUGCCAGGUUCACGCUUCUCUACUCGCAUGGUAAUGCUGCUGACUUGGGUCAGAUGCACGAGCUCUUCAUUGAGCUCAGGGCUCACCUGCGUGUCAAUAUUAUGAGGUAUUAAUUAUAUUCUAUUUCUCCUUCAUUUUUCCCUUUUUUUUUCCUUCUUCUUCUUGUGUUGCUUUGCUUUUUGCUUGUUUUGGAAAUCUAUUCUGGAUUUUGAUGGGUCGGCUUGGUUUUUUAUUAAUCUGAAAUGGGCCUUUUGGUUUUGGCCAAUCUGUCAUUUGCAAGGUAGUUUCUCCUUUUUUUGCUUACAAAAAAAUAUUGAUUGAACACCCCUCAUACAGUAUCUUGAAUUUGUUAUUGGUUCCAAAUUUUCAGUUUAUUGAUUAUUUUCCUCGUUUUGUUUGGAUUGAUUUCUGAAUUUGGAUGAAAUAUGAACGGUCAUGUGCUUGUUUCAUUUGUUUCUCUGCAUAUCCGGGGAUCAUUUCAGCUUUUAAAGUUUGAUUAAUGGCAGGCUUAAAGCUGCCGGCAUCAUAAUCUUUUCAUGUUCGUUCCGUUUGGCGUGAGCCUGACUCCUUCAAAAAGAGACCAAACAGAAAAUUAUCUGUAAUCCUAGUAUUCUAUUUGAAAUUUCAACAUGGGUUUUUCUGGUAAACAAUGGAGGCGAGUACAAACUCAUAGAUACUUGUUUAAGCUUUAAAUUUUUGAUUGGUCAUGGAGCUUUAAAUUUUUAAUUUCAUUUUUUGGUGGGGUUUGGGAGUUGGAAUGGAUGCAUAGGAUGAGAAUGUUACUGUGCCAGCAUUUAUUACGUACUUGAGAGUACAUUAUUUAUUUAUUAUUUGUAAAAUAUGGUCAAGCAGCCAAUGAGAAUCUUUGAAUGUAACAUUUAAAAAAAAAGAGAAAAAAAGUCAGGAACUUUGAAUGUAACACGCAGGCAGCUGAUAUGCUAUGAGUUUUCUGAUGCUCUGUGCUGCAGUAGUUAUGAACCCUCCCGUAUUAUUUACGUCAGAUAUUUUUCUUUGUGGCAGCUAUGACUAUUCAGGAUAUGGAGCAUCAGCUGGUAAGGUAAGUGUUAAGUAAUCUAUGAAGUUGGUUUGCACUAAAAGUUUCUCUUUGAUUUGAAAGUUUAGUGCAGGCUCUGAAAUAUGACAUUACAGAACUAUAGGAUUUAUUUUAUUUAAAAUCUCAAAUUUACAUCCGUUUGUCAAUCUAUUGACCUGCAUUGAAUUGCAAACUCUAUGACUGAAAAGUGUUAAUGUUGGUAAAUUUUUAGCCAUCUGAGUUCAACACAUAUUAUGACAUAGAAGCUGUGUACGAUUGUUUAAAGAACGACUACGAAAUAAGACAAGAGGAUUUGAUACUGUAUGGCCAAUCUGUUGGAAGCGGACCAACACUGCACUUGGGUUCUCGCUUACAGAAACUGAGAGCCGUUGUUCUUCAUAGUGCCAUCCUGUCAGGCAUACGAGUCUUGUAUCCCGUCAAGUUGACGUUUUGGUUUGACAUUUUCAAAGUAAGCUCUUCUUUGAAUCUCUUAUUCUGUUACAGAGCUCAGUUUAUUGAACUUGUACUGAAAAUCCCUCUGCAAUAUUUUCAGAAUAUAGACAAAAUACGGCACGUCAACUGUACGGUUUUAGUUAUACAUGUAAGUAGUUAUUCCCUUCACUUAUUUUGUUUGAGUACCAUUCUUUUAGAAUUCAAUGUAUUUGUGUUGUGGUUCUAUUGUUUUCUCCUCCCUCCUCACCUUUUUCUCAACUUCUGUUUGAUGAAAAACAUUAAAGAGUCGUAACUUAAGAAUGAAAAGCUAUUUUGUUAUCAACUAAACUGAACAACAUUUUUCUUUGGAUUUGAAUAAGUAAGUUUCAUCUGUCCAAAAAGAAAGGAAGAAAGGAAGAAAAAAUAAAUAAAUACUAGAGCUGGCUUAAUUCAUAUGCUUUUGUUGCUUGUUUCCUCAACCAGACUAAUGUCAGUUGCCAUUUGGAAAGGACUGGUAAAAGAUUCUUUUCUGGUAGUUCAUAAAGAGGCCAGGAAGCCUGGAAUUGAUCCUACAUGUGAAGUUUCCUUGUUAAAUAAUGGAAAUUUGGAUACAAAAUAGUAAACUCCUACAGGAACUACCAAAUAUUACAAUUAUACGUAUUUCACAUUAAUGGAUACUUUUAUAAAAUGAUUUUAAGAAGUGAAAAACUUAUCAAAAACAUUGUCAUAGAGAAAGUAGAUUUUAUAUCAGUAUCAAGAACCUGUUGUGAUUAGUGAAAGGAAAAAUUACAGUUAGACACCUCCUUUGGAUUUAAUUCCUAACAAAAGGCUGUAACUUUAACAAUUACAACAAUUAAUAUGUGUAAUCCUAAACAUGCAAUUGAAAGAUCUUACACUUGUGGUUUUAUUCAGAUUCCCUUUGUUCUCGUAUGAAUGGUUGCUUCUGAUUUGAUUGAUCGAUAUGCUGCCAUUGGUGAUGCAUGUUUAAACGGACUAUUUUGCAGGGAACAGAUGAUGAAAUUGUUGAUUGGUCCCAUGGAAAGCGUUUAUGGGAACUUUCCAAGGAAAAGUAUGAUCCCUUAUGGGUCAAGGGUGGAGGCCACUGCAAUCUCGAAACAUAUCCCGAGUACAUUAAGCACUUACGCAAAUUCAUAAAUGCAAUGGAGAAACUUUCGCUCGCUAAACAAACGAAGAAACAACUCACUUCUAACCUAAGUAUCACAGAAGUAAAACACAACAAGUGCUUGAGAUUUGGAAAAAAAUAGCUGGUUUUCUUGAUAUCAGUUGAGAAGUAGCGAAUGGAAACAGAUAGUUCCACUGCAUUGUCACCCCGUCUACACGAAUAGCUAUGAUUGCUUUGGCAGCAACGUAGCUAUCCAGCCUGGUAUUUUUCUUGGUAGAGGAACAGAUAGGAGGAAUCAUACCUAGAAUGUUUGAUCCAGAUCUAGUUCAGUUCAGAUGACCAUUUUUUGAGAUGGGGAAUGAACUUACAUGUACAAUUUCUAGAGGUUUGGUUCCUGAUCUGGGGUUUCUUGUACAAUUUAAAAAACUGAGCUCUAUCUCUAUGUAAAGAGACUAUCAUCAAUUUCAGUUGAGAAAAUACAUGGGUUGCUUUGAUUUACAAUCCAAAUCAUCUGUUUUUUAAGUCUACAUUCAUAGAUCAUUCUUGUAAAAAAUUACACAAAUUGGAAACCGUUUCGACAUCUAAUUGUAUCCUACAAAAUAAAUGAACAUGGUGCUUCAAGAAAGUAUUAAAAUUUCAAUAAUUAAAUUGAGUAGUCAAAUGAUAUCAGAUUCAAGUUAUUUUUUUGUAGAGAUGAUCUUUAAAUGAAUAUCUAUAAAAUAGAUGGUUUGAAUUAGUAAAAUACAAUAUGAAAUGGGUCAUACAAGAGUGUCCCUCAAUAGAAGCUCAUUGUAAUAUAUAUAUAUAUAUAUAUAUACAUAGGGAGAUUCUUCAAUAAGUAUUUUAUGUUAAGGAUUUGUAACAUAUUUCUAAUAUUGGCCAUUGCAUUCGUUAAAUGUGUUGGUAGUUUUUUAAAUGCAAUCCAACGCCCAAAAUUAAAAGUAUAUAACUAAUUUUUAACUUAAAUGCUUAUUGGAGAAUGUCCCUAUACAUAUAUAAUUAGUUAGCUUUGAUUUGACUUUUUCUCUUCAAAACAAUUUUAAUAAGCCUGCUGCAUCAGUUGUUGUAGCAUGUUUUAUGCACUCAAGUACUAAUAAGACAUAAAUAAUUACUAUUUAGACUUUGCUAAAGCUGAACCAUGAAGGAAGGGUCAAUCCAAUAGUGGUAGCAUAUGGAAACUAGGAGAGGUGGAAGCAUAUAUGUACUUUAAAUGGCAGACCAUAUUAAAAUAGCAUGUUUCUCAAGUGGUUCUUGCAUUGCACAUCACUGAUAAAAGAAUUUGGGCUGCAUUCUUAGAAAAAAAAAUAUAUAUAUUUAAAAAAUUAAAAAAGGUUGGUAUCAAACAAUUUGGCUAUGUUCAUGACCUCUUGUUCUUUUUUUUAGUCUCGAAUUGGUUAAUCGCUUUAAAUUUAGUACAUCGCAUUGCAUUUACAUGUAGUCGCAGUUGUUGCAGCAGCUGCAUUCUACUGAGAUUGAACAAAUGUUUGAAAUGAAUCAAUUCCACAUUAUGAGGUUAUUCAUUUAGUCAUUAUUGUUAUUAUUAUUAAUAUAACGAAUACUCAUUACUACUGAUUGCUAAUUUCUGAGUGAAUGAUAUGAUAGCCUUUUCCCAAUUUAAACCCUAAAUAAAUAAAGUCAAUGGGAAAUUGAAUAAAUCCACUCCUUGAGCUCAGCUGCUCUGAGGUCACGUGACCUUUAACGCCAGAGGCCCGUAACCAUCAAAUCAACCAUGUGAGCAGCGGAGCCCACAUGAGCUUAUGUAAUUUUGAUUCCUAAUUUAUUUAUUCAUGUACUCUCUCUCUCUCUCUCUCUCAUAUCCUGGGACCGACGUGUCGUAUCUCGUGAAGGCUGCAUUUCUUUCUGGUUCUGGUCUUCAGGGGUCCCUGGAAUCUAAACCGGGUCCCACCGAGGACUCAGUCUCCCAAUGAGAAUCCGAAACGUGGCAUCGUCCUAACACAUACUGAGAUGGCUUCGGUUGUGUGCUAUUUUUUGGCACUUAUUUAGAUCAAAGUCUGAGACUCUCUUUCUGGAAAUGUGAAAUACACGCUCCUCCUAGUAAUAAGUAAUAAAUAAUAAUACCCAAUUAUACGUUAAUUAUACUCCACCCUUUAUUAUGAACACAAAAAUAGUGCCCCCGCGAUACUCAAAGGAGGAAACACAUUGUAAAAUAAGAGCUAUAAUCACGCGCUUUUUAAAAACCAAUUAGGAAUUUUUGCGGGUAGAUACAAUUAAUUUACCAAAAACAGAAAAUUUAAGGAUAAUUUGCAUUAAAUGCCCAAGAAAUUAGGGCACUCGGUAUAGAUGUGUCAAAGUAACCUAUACAGAAUGUCCUCUGACUUACCAUAAUAAUACCCCAAAUCCGACGGACCGUUUUACCCGCCAUUUCCAUUAGAAGCUUACUUAUCAGAGGGGUUGCUGCUGCUAAAACCAGUAAUAACCCUAAGAUGCAUUUCAAAAAUUUCACUUUGACUGAACAAGAUGCCAAAAAAAAACAUUCAUGAAUUGGUGAUUAAAUAUUAAAUGCCAAAAUGAUAGGGUCCAUUGACCUGUUAUGGACAUUAUAUACAUAUAUAUGUUACAAACAGAGAGAUGAGAUAAGAGGAAAGAGUUUAUCUAAUUAAAAAAAAGGGACACAGCUUGAGAGAGAAGACAAGCUUUGUAUUAUAAAAUCCAUUAAAGAUAAAAGCUUGAAGACAAGGACGCAGAAGAGAGAGAAGAACAAACAAUUCUGAAAGAGAGAGAGAGAGACUUUCACUUAAAAUACUAAAAAGAUUUCUGUUUUGUUGGGUUGAACUCUUCACUCUGUUCUUCUGGCCAUCACCAUCAUUGUCCGUUUCUACAGCUUUUACUUCUACCCACAUUCUCUCUCUCUAGCCACUCUCUUAGUUUUUUGUUUUUUAUUUUUAUCCGUCUCCAUUUCUUCUUCUGGUUAAUCUCUGUUUUCUCCUCACGCUCUUUAAAGUUGUUGAUUCACUAUGACUGUGAAGGCCCAGAGGGGAGGUUUGAUUGGUGAGGAUGGGGCUAUGGACCGUUUCCCGGUGGGUAUGCGUGUCCUGGCUGUUGACGACAAUCCAAUUUGUCUCAGAUUAUUGGAGGGGCUCCUUCAGAAUUGCCAGUAUCAAGGUUUGUUUCUUCUCCUCGUAUCGUUUUUCCCUUGGAGGAAUUUGCAUUUAGUUUUCUUCAAGUUCUAGUCAAUUUGUUCUAACAAAUUGUGUGUGUGUGUGUGUGCGCGCGCGACUGUGAAGUAUAAUGUAAAUUCCGUUCUUUAAUUUUGAAUUAGUUUGUUUAUCUAGAUAUAAAAGAAGAAGUAGCUUGUUAAACUCAAACUAUGCAUAGUCUCGGGUAGAAAAACUAUGCGAAGUCUUAAUUUCCUGUUCAUAAACUGUUUAUUCAAGUUUUCGUCAGGCUCUUUCCACUGUUUUACUAAAUGGGCUCUGAAAAUAUCCGCUUAAAUCCAGUAGAGGUUAAAGUUUGGUACUGGAAUCGUUUACGUGAUUUCUGGUUUUUGCAGUUACUACGACCACUCAGGCAGUCGAGGCACUGCUAAUGUUGAGGGAAAGCAGAAAUAGGUUUGACCUGGUGAUCACUGAUGUAAGUAUGCCAGACAUGGAUGGCUUUAAGCUACUUGAGCUCUUAGGGCUGGAAAUGGACCUACCUGUGAUUAGUAAGCAUGAACUUAUCCUGGAUCCUCGGACAUAAAAUACAACUUUUUUACUCUUGUUAGAAUUGGAUUUAAGUGCAAGUGAAAAAAAUAAUUUGAGUUUUCUUUGGUAUCUGUUACACUUCUGGCUUUUAUUUUAAUACUAAAAAACCUGCUUAGGCCCCAUUUCAAGUUGAGCAGUAGAUAGUGAUUGUUGAAGAAGUGGGAGAUGAAUUGGUUACUAACAUCAUUUUUGUGUUGUAAAAUGGUCCCAGUGUUGUCAGGACAUAGUGAUAAAGAGCUUGUAAUGAAGGGAAUCUCCCAUGGUGCUUGUGACUAUCUGUUGAAGCCUGUUCGAAAGGAAGAGCUCACGAAUAUCUGGCAACAUGUAAUCCGAAGAAAGAAGUUCGACUCCAAGGACCAAAACAAGUCGUCCAGUCAAGACAAGGCUUGCCAUGAAACCGAAGGGGGACAGGGGGUUUCACCAGCAGGCAGCUCAGAUCAGAAUGGAAAAUUCAAUAGAAAAAGAAAGGACCAAAAUGAAGAUGAGGAAGAAGAAUAUGAAGAUGAUGAACAUGAGAAUGAGGACCCAUCCACCCAAAAGAAGCCUCGGGUAGUUUGGUCGAAAGAGCUGCACGGAAAGUUUGUUGCAGCUGUACAUCAGUUGGGACUUGAAAGUGAGUCAUCUGCUCCAGAGAAGUGAUGUGUUGCUUUUGUUAUACAGAUUAUCUUCUUGACUAAUGUUUCUUCCCCCUUCUUCCUUAAUCUAUAUGCAGGGGCUGUUCCUAAGAAAAUUCUUGACCUGAUGAAUGUUCAAGGACUCACGAGGGAAAAUGUGGCCAGCCAUCUGCAGGUACAUAUUUCCUUUGCCUUACUUUUAGAAUAACUUUACUACCAUGUAACUUUGCUGCAAGAAUUCUGGAAUUCAAAAUCAAAUAUUUUUUUCGACCCAGGAAUAAUCUGUAUUUUCAUAUACAUGUGAUUUAAUAAUAUAUGUAUAUAAAUGCGAUGUUGUAAUCACCAUCAAACACUUAGCAUGAAAUAUCUGGAAACAACUCAAGGAAUCAUUCUAGUGAGAGAAGUGAUUGCGAUAAUGUUCUAUUCUAGCUAUUCUUUAAUAUUUUAACACUAUGACUUCUUUUGGGCUUGUCAGAAAACUAGGUUUUGCAACCACGCUUAUGCUCUCACUUUGUGUUGCAGAAAUAUAGGCUCUGCCUCAAAAGACUCAGCAGUACUGCAACCCAACAAGCUAGCAUGGUUGCUGCUUUUGGGGGGAAAGAUUCCUCUUACAUCCGCAUGGGUGCACUAGAUGGAUUUGGAGAUCUACGGUCCUUAGCUGGAUCACGAAGACUCUCAAAUGCCACUUUAUCACCAUACGCACCAGGUGGGAUGCUUGGUAGAUUAAACUCCCCGGCUGGUUUGAGCAUACGAGGAAUUACUUCUUCUGGUCUGGUCCAACCUGGUCACUCCCAAAACUUGAGCAACUCUAUUAGUAAUCUUGUAAAGCUCCAGCCAGCUCUGCCUGCAAACCAAAGUCCAAAUUUGUAUGAAUCAAUUCCAACAUCAUUAGAACUCAAUCAAUUGCAGCAGGGCAAACAUACUGCUCACAUUGGAGAGUCCAGUCCCAAUAAUGAUCCAACAAGUUAUUCAGUACCCUCUAGCUUUCCAGACACAAGUGUGUCUGUUAGCUCAAUUCAUUCUGAUUCCAUUACUUCAAGCAAUCCUUUGAUAUUACACAGGAAUCCACAACAAGCAUUUGGUAUGGGAGUAUUUGGAAAUCGGUCUUCUCUUAGUUUGGCUUCAUUGAAUCCAGAAUCUUUUGACAUUGGAAUCUCCUCCAAUUUUCUGGAUGACAAUCGAUGUAGUGAAAGUUGGCAGGUUGCAGUUCAGUUAUCUAAGUUUCCAUCGAAUGAUUUGCCAAUGAGCGAGCCUUUCGAUCAUGGUCAAUUGCAUGCGAAUAACUUGGGUCUUUCUUCUACCAGGCCUCAAAUUGGGAACAGUCCAAAUGAUUUUUCGUCUUUAAGUGUUCUUCCAGGUCCUGCUGAGGAAUUAAGAGGAAAUGUGUGGAACCAAGAAGGCUUGAUUGGAGAUGUUGUGCCAACCAUGGAUUGCACACCAAAGCAAAGGUGGGAAGAACAUAAGCGAGAUUACAAGCACAACUUGAAUCUAACUUUCAGUGCCACAAAUCCCACGGUUUCUGCUAAUGUUAUUGUGAGUCCCCUAAGCCAGAGUUUGGACCAAAGUGAUGCAGUCUGCAGUAAAAAGAUGAAUUCAUCUUUAUUUGACCAGUUAAAUGGGGCCACUCCAACUGUCAUGCAGCUCAGUGAGGUUGAGAAAUCUGCCAUGGGAACAAAGAUGAAGCCCAGUGAGGACUACCUGUGGGAGCAAACAAAGUCGCAUGAUGGUUUAGUUCAAAAUAGUUAUGAAUCGUUGAAUGAUAUCAUGGGUGCGAUAAUGAAAGGGGUAUGAUUAAAAAACUGCUUAUAACAAGGCCGUUCCAUUAUUGAUUUGUUCUCUUAUUUUGGCAAAGUCAUAUUGAAGUGGGUAUUAGAUCUUAUAUCCUUAUUGAUAUAUGCAAUAUCGUUUUUCCUUUGUUGAGAAAGGAUUAAGAUAGGCCAUGUUGGAGUUAAAAAGAAGAUCUCAUUUUUGACAGUAGAAGCUCUAUAAUUUGAUGUUGAAUAUGGUCUAGUCUAUACAUUGCAUUAUGUCUUGCAUCUUGUCUAGAAUUAAUGUAUCUAUUUUGAUUCAUGGAAGUCUGUUAAAUAAGCAGUAAUUUACAUGGCACAAAUUUUGAAAGGCGCAUUUAUUUUAGUAGUAAUAGAUUUGGUCUAUUUUCGUUUAUUUUUUUUCCUCUCUAUGUAUCAUUAUGUGGUAGAGGAAUUGCUGGAGAGUGGAGAAUGUCUAAAUAUGCAGACUGUAUAUAGAGAUAUAACCUAAAUUACGUUUUUGUGCUUGUUUAAGUGUCGUGUCCUAUCCAUAUUAACAUGUUCUGUUUUGUGUUUGCUUUGGGAAGUUGAAUAAUUACUAUUUAUCUCAUUAUAGAAAGAAUACCUGGUUUCUGUUACACCUUAUUUUCAGUGUCUCUUAUCUGUCUUGUAUAUUUGUACUUUUUAUUUCUCCUCCUCUUCAACAGUAUAUAAUAUGAAGACUGUUGUACAGGGACAAAACGAGAAUAUGCUAAUGGAUGGAGAGUUUUGGAUUUGAUGCUUAGUCUCUAGGAUCAUGUAUAUGAUCAGCCUACACUAGUGCUAAUUCCUGCCGGAGAUAAUGGUGGCAGCAUCGCCGCAGUUUACUCCUGCUCUAUGAGAAACUUGUAUCAUUAUGUAAUUUCUUCAUCUCUCUCGUGUAGUUUUUCUUCCCAUCUUCUACUCAUGUUCUGUUGCCAACUUUAAUGUCCUUGCAAGUUGCAAACAGCAAACUCGCAUCUUUUCAGUUCUUUCUUCUGUUUGGAGUAAUGGGCUAAUGGCAUAAUAAGUUGUCAACUUUCUGUAUAUCAUUUUUUCAUAUUUUCUUCCUUGUUUCCUUUUACAAUUAUUUACGAUGAAAUAACGGACUCUUUAGCUUUAUGAUUGUUAAAUAUCUUACUGUUUUUGGGGCCUUUCUUGUUGAUACUUGGUCAAAUCUGCACUUGCCCAUUUAAUAAGGAACCCGAAAAUGAGAUUCUGGUUGCAAUGGAAAGCGACGCUCAAAGGUUCCAUUAUUUUUCUUGUUUUGGCAUAGGAAUGGUGAGGUUUCUAAAAUAUAACAUUUGCCAGGUGGUCCCUGCCUCUACAGUAUCAAAUAACAAGUUCUGGAUGAAGAAGAUAAAAGAACUUGAAAAUUUCCAAAAUAGAAUUAAAUUCCUAAUUUUCAUUCUCUUUUCAGCGUCACUUUUGAAAGCAAAUAGAACAUUAAACAUCUCAAAUCAACAAACACAAAUGAUUUCUGUGAUGGCUGCCGCGGUUGACAUAGGAGAGACCCAACUUAAGCAUUUGAUUCAGUCUAGCUCGGUGAGCUGAGCUCUCCUUUCUGCAGCUCUCUUCCUAAUAAAUAUUCCCCACCUUAAAGCGGCUUUGAGCUUAAGCCAUCCAACUACAGCCUUUCCUGAGCUCUUUGCUUGCUCCUUCCUGAAUGACUGGCCUAUCUGAGGCUCAUACUGUACACUGUAAUUGUAACAAGCUUCAUCAGAAGCACCAAAACCCGCUCCUGCUCCUACACCGACUCCCAUACUAAAUGUCUUGAGCAGUCUUUGCAUGUCAUCACUCUCCAACAUCUCUGAACUCCUGAAACGGAUUUCAUCAGCCACGAAAUCUUCCAAUCCACUCACGUUGUUUGGCCGUGACCAAUCUCCUGAAAAAUGUGAACCUCCAACUGGCAUGUAACCCAUGCUGCCAGAUAAUGCUGCUGGUUCUGGGUUAUUAAAUUUAAUCAAUGCUGUUUGAUCGGACCUCACAAAUGGAAAUUCAAUGUACUGAGGGACUGAUGGGUGGUUAUUUUCUGUUUGGAACUGUUCGCCGAAUUGAGAGGUAUACUGCUGCAUAUUCUGAGUAGCUGCAGAAUGGUUGUCUAUAGCAUAAUUGUUGUGGUCGGCCAGAGUCACAGGUGCAGCUGAGGCUUUCGUAACCUUUUUGUUGCUGACAAGAGAGUGUAAGACUUUUCCAUCAUAUUCUAUGACUUGAUGCCAAUUAUCAUAUGCUCUCUUCACCAGAGAAUCCACUGAAACCUGCAUGUAGAGCUCCAAAUGGGUGAGCUAUGUUUGAAGAGAUAAGUAAUUAUCACAGCAUUUCCCAAUAGUUAAAAACAUCCAACCUUCUGACUCUGGGUAAGCGACUCCAAAGGAAGAAACUGCCCAUCAGCAAUAAGGCCUCUGAGCUCAUAAAUAUGGUUGAAAACAACACCAGUGCUGUGAGUUUGAUCAGUGUAGUAAACAUAGAGCUUCCCACCCAAGACACAAGUUUUUGCAUGCUCCACUGUAUUUUCCCACAUCCUAUUGGACAUCCCACUCCCAAGCAUCUAUAUUUUGAAAUUUAGAAGUAAGAAUACCAGAAAAGCAAGGGAGAAGGGUGUUUAAAUAUAAAUGCAAGAGAUGCUUACGCUUCUUAAUUUCUGUGGGUCCUUGACAAGAAGGCGAAGAAAGUCUUCAACAGUUACAAUCUCAGCCUUAAUCAGUUUUUUGUGCAGAGCUCCAUCCUUUGCUAUUCUAUCCAAUCUCCAAACUUCGUCAUGCAAAGCCGGUGGGUAGUGUUUCUUGUACACUACAAAUGGCAGAAACAGUGACUUCAUUAAGACAAGCUUUAAAGGUAUUUUGUAAUACAUAUAAAGGAAUAACGGCAUAUCAGACUCAAGGUACACUAACCAAAAUGUAUGACACUGCAAGUUAGGAAGAUAUAUGCAAGAAUCCAAAAUGACCAAGAAGUUUAUGUCAUCAAUCCUAAUAAUGACGAGAGGAAUGCAUUCUGAGUCUGAUCAACUAAUACUGGGUUAUGCUCUCUGCCCCAGGCAGACAUAGUGGCUCCUGGACCCCCUAACUUGAUUAGCAUAUGUACUGCAGACUGUUCUAUCAUAAGUAAAUGCUAAAAUGACAAACUUCAGAAAACUCACAUUCUCCCCUGUGAUCUUUAACAGAAAAAGCAUCUGUUUUAGCCUCACAAAUACGAAUGCCCUCACAAUAUCCAGGGGAAAUCUUAACACCAAGCCUGAAUUUCCUGCUCCUUGUCCAGCUAGAAUUGUCAGUGAAGGUAAGAUCUCCAAGAGUACCUACCCCUUCCUUGAGAGUAAUUUGUAGAUCCCCUGUCAAAAGUGGCCUUUUCCCCUCACGUUCCUUUACUUCAUGGUUUUCAAAGUGUUCUUUGGUCCAAAUAUCAUCAGCUUCCUCAUUAAAGUCACCUUCCAACACCACAACAUUCAGUUUUGCAGCUGAUUCAGGCCCUGUUUGCAAAACAGUGCCUGUGCUGUGGUCUAGCAAGACAACAUGAAUUGCUGCUCCUUGCUCUCCUUCAACCUUUGCACCUGUGAACAGAUGAGGAGGCAUUCUUGUUUUGAAUUGUAGUUGCAGAGUUCUUCCUUCUGGGCCCUGUAUUCUUGGUGGUGGAGACCUGCAGUAUUUUGGAAAGUGCAAACAAUGAAUUUGAUACGGCUUCCCACCCCAACCUUCCAACCAACACACCAUUACAGAGAAAGAAAGAAACAAAACAUGAUAAUUUACGAAAAUCUGAAGAAGAAAGCAUAACAUCUGCUUUAAAUAUUUUUAAAUUCUAAUUAGAACCGUAGUCUAGGACUCUCAAAAUGAACCAAGGAGACAAUAUUAUGGUUGAAACAAACCUUCCAGCCAGUUCAGCAUGGUCUAACUUUGUCAAAGCACGCUCCACUUCUUCACUAACCUGUUACUCAAAAAGAAUUUCAGAAUGAUCAAAAGGAUGCUAACUUACUGCAAACAAUGCACGGUUUUACAUAUGACUGAAGGCAAUGUUUUGAAGAAAGUAUAGCCAGGAAAUACUACGUGUCACAGAUUUUUUUCGGCAUUAUCGAUGGCAGGAUACUAACAACUUAAUGUGCUUUCUUUGUUUAAAUUAGUGGGAAAAGUAAAACACACGGAAAGCCAUACUAGGCAGAAAGUGACUUUGCAGGAAAAAUAAAAAUGAAAUGCUAUAAUUCAUUGUUUUGGAAAGGUGGGAAAGGGAAGAAAACAAUGAUUUGCUAUCCCAGAAGGGACUGAUCAUUAUCUGAGUGCAGCUAGUUUCAACGUCAACUCUACUCUAAUAUGCGAAGAGUGACAAUCUGACUCACAAUUCUGCGGAGAAGAGGCUCCAAAGAUGAGCAAAGUCUUUGCAAGCUAUCUACCUUCAAAGAUUCAACAAUUACACUGCAAAUAAUGAACUGUAUAAACAAUAGUCUUUAAAGAAAAUGAUAUUGAACGCUUGCAUAGAGAUUGUUCAACAGGGGAGUGUAAAUGCAAAAUAAGUCAGCCUAAACAUUCUUACAAUUGAAUUAGCACCUACCCUUUAAUUAGCAGAAACAAGUCAUAAAAUCCAAAUAUCAAAGUAGGAAAUAAAAACCUUGCCAAAGCGGGCAAUCUCUGCUUCUUUGGCUCUGGCGAGUGGCCUUCUUCUGCAUCAUCAUCCAAUUCCACGCCCUCUUCAUACCCUCUCUUCUCCACCCUCAUGCUUCCUGAACUUUCCAUUUCAGAAACUUAUCCAACCCUAGCCGCUAUAACUCUUUAAAAAAUACUUCCCAAACUUGGAAACCCAAGAUGGAUCAAAGUAUAUCCACGUAUACAGUCACAGAAGCUUCAUAGACUGAAGAACUCAAUCAAAACCUAUUAAGCGUCAAGUUUUCAGACCCCAAACGACAAUUAUGUUUUUUUUGGUUUUCCUCCCUGAUCUAGGUAUUAAUUGAAAAGAUGUAUUUGUUGAGUUUUUGGUGGAUCUACAUCGUUUUCUUUCCUACUUUUAUAUUAUAUUUGAUCUAAAAAAGAUUAUAAUAAUGGGUUUGCAUGUUAAAAUAUUAUUGCCCCUUAAAAUAAUUCAACGUCAUAGCCUCACAGCUGGGGUUGGAUGUGCCUUGUGAGUGCAUGAACGUUGAAAGUCCGUCCGAACCGCGUCAUUUGGUGCAACUUUUGGAUUUGUGAUAUAUUAUAUAUUAAUAUUUAUAUAUGUAUCAGUCCUUAUAUAUGUAUCAGUCCUUUGACCAUCAUUAUGUUUUGUGUGUGUUGUGUGGAAGGAUAAACAUCAUGCAACAAAUGGCGGUGAGGCAGUGAGAGCCGUUGAUUACUUGAUUUUGCGUAAAGAUGGAUGAGGAAGUCAAUGGCUUGCUGUCAGUGUCACCUGCGCCGACAGAAAAGACCAUUUAUGAGUUCACUGCGAAACACAUGUUCAAGUAAUUUGAGGUUUCCUUUGGUUUUGCUAAUAGCUGUGGAACCCAUGUUCUUGGCAUAUUGUGUCGAGUCCAAAAUUUCUUCACCUUCAAGAUUUUGUUUUGUUUGCUCAAAUAUAAUUGAUGACUUGAGUGGCUUGAGUAGUCAUAACACUUGAUGCUGACAUAUGAUAUGCAAGUAUAUUCUCAAACACCACUUUAUUCAUCAAGAAAGUAUAACUUGGGAUGAGAUUGCUUUUCCAUUCAUUUAUGUGAUGUACAUACAGGAGUAAUCUGUAAUAAGAAUUCAACUCCUUAUUUUGAUUCCCAUUACGAAUUAGUAAACAUUGAUUCCCAUUACGGAUUAGUAAACAUGUUAGCAUAUUCUCAAACAUUAGUUUUCUGUGAUCUAUGGAGGCCACCAAAACCCUUGCAUUAAUUAAUGCACUGGCAGAUUGUAAACAUCAUCUCAUUGUAGUAAAAUGGGAAAAGGGAUCCUUAACAUUUUGUUUAUGAAGUAAAAUCUGAUAUCUAUAUGCCAUUUGUGGGCAAUACAAGUACAACUACAUUUGGAAGAGAGAGAGAGAGAGAGAGAGAAAAGAGGGAUCAUUUUUGCUGUAACAGGGGAAGGAACAAUCCAGGCAAUUUUGCUUGGUUGUAUGUAUAAAUACCGCAGAGAAAGACGAAUCAGUAGUUGAACUGAACCGAACAACUUGCAAUCCGGUUUUACAAACUAUAGCCCUUCCCAACCCAUUUGACGGGCUCGUCUUUCCCACAACAAAGUCACCUUUCUCUCCUUGAUAAACAAUGCCUGAGCACGCUCUCUUGCCUCCUCACAAGUUUCUGUUGCAGCAUUGCACUUUUCUGCUUCUUUCUGGUACUGAGAAGCCACCCUCUUUGCUUCAGCAAAUGUGAUGUUCAUGUGUCGGGUGUGCUCUGCAGCAACAGCCUCUUGCAACUUCAAUUCCUCUGUUAAAAGGUCCACAAACUGCUUCUCCAUUUCCUGCUUGAGAUCUGGGUCAUUACUUCCACAAUCUGUUCAUCAACAAAAAUAAUUACAGACCCAUGUACCUAUACAUAGUUCGCAAUAAACAACUGGGGAAGGCAUUUCCCAGAAGCAGUGGAUGAAAGCUUAUAAUGGCUAUUAAAUAUUUGUUAACAGGUUCUACUGACCUUGUUGCCAAGCUAAUACUAAUGAAUGUAAUAAAGGAAAAGGAUAACACAAUGAGUUGAACGAUAGGAUGCAUUCUAACCUGUGACUGAGAGAUUGGCCAAUCCUGCAAAAGAAUAACAAAAACCAAACCAUGACAUAUGUUAUUAUAGGAGUAAAAAUGAACUCUCAGAUUACAAUAAUUGAAAGAAGAUAGGGAAAUCGAUAGCAAAAUCUCAGAUUUUGCAUGCAGUUUAACAGCAGCAAUAGAUUUUCCCAGAUUCAAUAUACACAAAUCAAUACUCAUUGCUAGCAUAUUUGAGAAUCAUUAUAUGUUGAAACGAGACUUUCCAGCUCCCAGGAGUAAAAUCCGAAACAUGGUUAACAAUGUCUGAGUGCAGAACUGGUUUAUGUUGCCACAAAAUGAGCACAUUGUGGAUUCAUAAACUCAGAUCAGAAAGACUUCAUACACCCCAUAGCAAUUUUAAAGAGUGCACAUAUGAUAUGCAGGUAGUGCUGUAUUUCCUUUCAAGCACCAUAGGAUAACAGAAUAAAGACACAGUAUAACAGUGCACGUAAAGACAAAACAAGGCAAGAUCUCAACUUUACUCAAAACUCAAUCAAACAAGAAUUACCCAACAAAAGAGAACAGCUCGGGAAAAAAACAAUAACACCAGAUCAAUGCCACAAACCCAUCAAAAGGGAAAUUAUAAUUUCACUCUAUUCAGCUUAAAAUCAGACACAAUAAGAAAAAAAAAAAAAAAAAGUAAAUCUAAACCUGAAUUGGGUUCCACUGCCCACAUAUAUUCCCAACACAUAGGCAGCUCCAAAUCAAAAAUUAGCAAUAAGAAGGAUUUAAACCCCAAAUUGAUGACAUGGGUAACCAUAAGUUUCAUUCCAAUCAAGAAAAAAUCACACUUUCAAAAGAACCCAGAAACGAAACAUAAGAAAUCAGAAAUCAAAGCGACAAGAAACCCAUAUUGAGAAAGGAGAGGGAGAGUGAUACCAGGAGCAAUCUUGAGAAGGGACAAAGGAGGAGGGCAAUCACAGUUGCAGGUAGGGCAAGAAGUUUUAGAAUCCCCCAACCUUAUACUCUUCUUGAACCUCCAAUACAAGGCCGGACCACAUACCCCCAAUGCUGAAACUACUGCAAACACCACCAAACAACAUCUCAAACAAGUAGCAGAUCGCCUUGACAUCUCUCUCUCUCUCUCUCUCUCUCUCUAUUUGUUUUUCCUUUGUUAGUGUGUCACUGUAUUUGGGGAAAGCGAGAUCUAACUUGGAAUCUAUGACUGCUAGUUUUGUUAAAGCAAAACUGUAAUUUGAAGAAGUCAGUGGCUCCCCAUUAAUGAGCUGUAAUCAUGAAAAAUAAUGAUACAGUGGCAGAGGUGUUAAGUUUAGUUUGGUAAAGAACCUCUGUUUUUCACUCUAGUCAAAGCAAUUAUUACAAGAUCUAGUGUAACUGUAUGAGUGAACGAAAGCAACACAUAUUCUUUAACUUCUUAAUUCUUAUAAAAAAAAACCUUAGAUUUCGUCCAAAAUUAAAAAAAAAAACUUAGAUAAUGCGGGCCUGUUGUAAGCUUUUCCUUUGUGGGCUUUUAGUCUCUCGGACUUUCAUGAUGAAAGAUUAUUUCACCCAGUCCAGAAACCAAACUUGUGUUGAAUUGCAUGUGUUCAGAACCAGGCCCAUGCGUAAGGUUGAGGUCUUUCCAUCCUCCAUGGAGAAACGGCAGUGAGUAUGGGCCGAUCACUAAUUACAUUUCCUAUCGAUUGAUCUUUUUUUUCUUUCUUUUUUUUUCUUUUUUUGGGAGAUAAUUGAUCACUUGAUCUUAUCAGUUACAAGGAUACAACGCAUGUGUGGUCCAUGAUUUAAGAAGUGACUGGGGCUCGAGAUUUGACGCCCUUUGUGUCAACCCCACUCCUUUGAUUUUGAUAUUUGAUCUACAAUUCUUGGUUUCACAAGGCAAUGACAAUGACAGCUUAAUGCUUCUUAGCAAGAUUGCUUUUCUUUCAAGCUACUACCACAAGUUGCUUUUUCUUCCUCCCCAAGCUUGAUGUUGUCUUCAAAUCAAAACAGAAAUUUCUACCUCCAUAUUUCCGGAAGGGGAAAGGGAAAAACAAAACCCGACCGCAAUGUGUGGCAAGUUCAACCAUUCACGCCCUACACGUGUAAGGCCGAGAAAGCCCCACGUCGCUCAUUUAAGUUUUUGGCCCCAAACAAAAGCCAUUAAGCUGGAGCCACCUCCACACCUUAUCAACAGGCCACAAACAUAAUAAAACCCCCAAAAACUCUCCCAUUCUGGUCACUCCACUUUCUCGAAGCCUAGAAACCAUAAGAAACAAUGGCGAAGAAAACCAUGGAUGUGGUGAAGGGUCUGGAUUUGCAGAGGUACAUGGGGCGCUGGUACGAGAUAGCCUCAUUUCCGUCAAGGUUUCAGCCCAAGAACGGAGAGAACACGAGGGCUACCUACACUCUGAGAGAUGAUGGGACUGUGAACGUGCUCAAUGAGACUUGGUCUGAUGGAAAAAGAAGCUCCAUAGAGGGCACUGCAUACAAGGCCGACCCCUCCAGCGAAGAGGCCAAACUCAAAGUGAAAUUCUACGUUCCUCCAUUUUUGCCCAUCAUCCCUGUUGUUGGUGAUUACUGGGUUUUGUUUAUUGAUGAGGAUUAUCAGUAUGCUUUGAUUGGCCAGCCUAGCAGGAAUUACCUUUGGGUAAUUUUUUUAUUUUAUUAAAAUUACCUUUGGAGAUUUGUUGUGCUUUGUCUGUAUUUGGAUUUAACUUUUCUUCUUUUUGCUUUUUGGGGGUUGGGGAAUUUGAUCAGAUAUUAAGCAGGCAGCCUCGUCUUGAUGAUGAAAUUUACAACCAGCUAGUUCAAAGGGCCAAGGAUGAGGAAUAUGAUGUUAGCAAACUCCACAAGACACCGCAGAGUGAGACUCCACCGGAAGGAGAAGAAGGCCCCAAAGACACCAAGGGCAUCUGGUGGUUCAAAUCCCUCCUGGGAAAGUAGACAGUUUCUGAUAGCAAUAGCAUAUUUGGGGUUUGAGGAUGUGUAGGUAUUUGUAAUAAGAAACACUAAAAACCCAUUUUGGCAACAUCAGUCAAGACUAGGGGGUGUCGUUUGUUAAUUUGUGUAUGUUUUAGUAGUUGUUUGUUGUAGAGUCGAGACUGUUUCUGUGUGUAUGCGAUGAACUCUGAAGAAGCCAAUUAGUAUUGAAAAAAUUCCUUCUGUUUGGUCCUAUGUAAUUUGUACCUGUGGAUUUUGAAUGAUAUUUUGAUGAGAUCACUCUUUACUUAAAAUUUUCUGUCGGUUUGAUUUUUAUGAGCUUCUGCAAGGUAGGAGGACAAAAAGGAAGGUACAUCUCUUGAGAGAGUCGUCUUUUUCCGUUCGUUCUUAUCAACAUUUUAUCCGUAUGGAGGACCAUGUCGACACGUAUCUAUCUCUGGUCACAUGGAUAUUUGUUCGGUGGAGCCGAGGCCGAGGCAAAUCAGGACGAUAUAGAGAUUCUGACAGGAUCUUAAUCACUUGAUCACUUGAAAUGCGACCAGAUCAACAUCAUAACAGCGCCCUCGUCCUGCAAUGGACUUUCAGUCAUCCAAGUAGAACUCAUCAUCCAUAAACAUUCUGGACCUUUCACUUAUGUGCGAUAUAACUCAGAAUUCUUUUCUAUCCUCCAAAAUCUGAAAGCAAUGACAUAUAUAUUUUAUAAAAUUGUAAUGAGAAUAUCACAUACACCCAGGCAGAUGCGCAAACUCGUGUUUCCAAACAGAAACAAUAUUUAAUGCUAUAAUAGCAGGAGACCUCUAUAAAUAUUUGGUUUCCCUUCUUUGAUACCUAGGAAAAUGAGGAAAAUCCACACAAUUCUACCAAGCAAACAAUUGACAAAUGUUAUGAACAUAUUACAAUCAUCAAAUUGUAAUCCAUCAACUUCAGCACCAUAUCAAGGGAUUGUCAUUGCAGGAUUGCUACUCGCCUCAGAAGCUUACAAUAUGGUACAACACUGAUUGGCCUGUUUUGCCUGCUUGUAGAACAUCUGUUUCAAAAACCACCGUCAUCAUCUUCUCACAUUAAAAACAAACUUUAAUUCCAAAUUUCAAGAGGCAAAUAUUGUGGUUUAACAUAUUUUUGUUUGCAUCGGGAAUCACAAAUCCAUAAUCUCUUCCUCACCAAAUAAUUAAAAAGAACAAUGGAAAAAAAAAGGUUGUAAUCAGUCAUGAUAUGUGUGUGUUCCACACCCAAGACAGAUUGGCAAAAACAAAUUAUAGUGUGUGUUCCACACCCAAGACAGAUUGGCAAAAACAAAUUAUAAUACAUGAACCUAAUCUUCAAACUAAGGCAAAAUUAAGUGGGAUCUUCCUAGCAUCAUGUCGUUGGGCAAUAAUGGUAUUUUUCCAAUGUUAAACAACGAUGCCUUCCCAUGAUUGGCAGUGUAUCUCAGUGCUAUUUAACACCAUAAUAUUUGUGGCAGGCAAAAUAACAUAUUGCAUUAUCUCACACCUAGACACACCAAAAAGUUGUGUUCUAUCAACUUAUCUUGAUAUUGAAAGAUCCCAAAGCCCUUGACAUCACAUUUCAAAUUAUAGGUAAUUAACAUGACACGGGCUUACACACAUAUGAAGAUCAAAUGUACUAUGAGAGAGUGUGCAGUGGCAAAUUCAUAGUCGUUCACAAUAAUUGUCUGUACCUGCGAUGCUGCACUAAGAUCUGAACUCUUCUCAACUAAACUGUCAAGUCUCUCACCUCGUGCAAGCACACUAUCAAUGGUCUUAUGCUGAACCAAGGAAAGAAACAACAAAUAAGCCGGGUGAGAAAUGUAGGAGAUGACCAAUAAGCAACGGCAUAUACUGAACAAAGAUAAAUUUAUAACACAAAAGAUAUCUCCAACUCAUUUCAGGAAAAAAAUUUCAGCAGAUAAGGCCCAUGAGGGUAUUCAGUUGAAGAUCUUCUUUUGGCCAUCACUAAACAAAACAAAUAUGCCAAGUUGGAGGUUCCACUUAAAUGCAAAAGAAUAUUUACAACAAACAAACAGACGUACUGAAUCCACCAAUAAAAAGUUUAUAAAAACAGACACGACAAAAAUAUGUUGAACAAAAUGUAACUGAAAUAGUGCACUAUACUCACAAGGAUAAUUUUUGUUUCAUCUAAUUCCCUCUGAAUUUUCAACAACUUAUCAGCCUCUGCAGGGUCCUGAAAAUUGAAAAUAAAGAAAGAAGAAAGCAGCUUCAGUUAUAACUCAUGAAACUUCAUCUGUUUUGUCGAUUCAGAAAACAUAAUCUUGAUUAACCAUAUGUUGCCUUAUGACUCCAGAUAAACAAACGAGGGCAACAACAGAUUAACAGACACACCUGGAACUUGGUCAGGGCCUCACCCAAAUAGGGCCAUGUUUGUGUGCUGUCCUGUUGUGCAGUCCUCCAAGAAUCACCAAAUUUUUUCUGAUAUUCAUCUAGCACCUGCCAAUCGCAGGAAUCAAUCAGAUAUUUGAUGAGACAAACAUGAAACAAGCUUGGAGCACUAUAUUUAAGGUAGUCCAUGAAACCAAUUAUGCAAAAACCUCAGGCACAACUAAUUACAAAUCAAAGCCAAUUGGAUCUCAAUUUCUCACUAGGGUACCACUUAAGCUGAAGCAACUAGCCAUCACAAAAAUAUGGGAAGCAAGGUAUGGCAAAUGAAGGGAUUAUUCAAAGUAUGAAUACACUUAUGCUCCUAGAAAAGGUACAUAUUGUGUUACCUGGUUGAGCAAAGAAAAUGCACUUCGGACAGGAUAGUGGUCAUCCAUGAAGCCCAGCGCACAAAGACCAUUGCUGUUGUAAGCAUGCACCUUAUACUCUAUGAAGAAACAACACAAAGAAAUUCAGAGUUUAUAAAAGCAUACUGAAACUCCGACAAAAGAUAAACAAGAAGAACAAGAACUUAAAUGAGCGUCUAAGAAACACAUUCAAAAUUAUAACAGUAAUAACCCUGAGAGCAAGACAAUCUGUGCCCUAUGUUUUAGUGACCUUAUUUACAGAAAUUUCUAGUAAAAACGUGCCAACAAGCUCCAAUAAACAAUUGCAUCUGAUGCCGAAUGAAAUUGGGGCAAUGCAAAUUCAAGCCUCAAAUUCUAUAAUCACCACAAAAGUCUACAGAAAACCCGAAAUUUGCAAUUGCAACAAAAUUCUGUAACCCUAAAUCCAGGGAAAAAAUAUACAAACAAACAAUAUCACACAAAGACAAGAGAGUUGAAAACUCCGGAAAACCGAGAUCCCAAAUCAAACCAGAUUAAUCAGCUAAGGAUUUAAAACGCAAGUUAGAAUGAUCAGAGCUUUCAUCAAAUUGGGAAAAAUUAUUAAUAUCGUAUAUAGCGCAUAGAACACCUAAAGAGUUGAAAACAAAAGUGACUGCAAGGGGGAUCCGCGAAAAAUAGGGGACCCGAACCGAAAGAAAUAACGGACCUUCAUGCUUGACGGACUGACGUUGUCCGGAUGGGGUCCGUUUGGCAACGGUGCGACCGACGAAGACGAUGAACUCCUUGACGCUGGACCUCUGGAAGUAGCCGAAGUGACUGGUAUCGGAGGCGUUGGCCAGAAUGAUCGGGUCGGAUUCGUCCGGGUUGCACUUGAGGACCAGCAAGGCCGUGAUCUUCAUCUUUCUUCUCUGUUUCUCUGAUUCUCUGUCCCUCUGUUACUCUGUAUAAAAGAUCUAUUGGGGUUCGGAGGCUUCUUGUCACAGAGAGUCUGAAGUCUGGUGUUUGAUUUGGGGAUUCGGAUCGUGGAGAGGUGAAGAAAGGGAAAGUAAAGAAUUGUGUUCUAGCAAGAAACGGGUAGGGAUCCAGUGCAUUUAAAGAAUCUUUGGAUACGGUGCAAUUAGGUCGGCAUCGCCGUGCACUUGUAUGACUUAAUAUAAGCCUUAUCCUUUUCCUCAAACAAACCCCUAAAUUAUUUAUUUUUUUAGAAAAUAUACUUUAUUAAAAAAAAAUAAACACUAUAAGAAUGUAUAAAAAAAAAUUUAAAUUUAAAUUUAUAAUAUGUAUGCCUUAUACUUUUGCUUUGCUCCCCACACCAUGCUCCAUAUAAAAUCCAACUCAUUUGGACCGCCUUUAAAUCAAUUCCUUAUUCCCAUGGCCAACAAUUUUUAAUUCCUUAUGCUUUUUAGAAAUUUAAAUUCCAUAUGCUUUUAUAAAAUUUUGAAUUCCUUAUGCUCAUCUAAAGAUAUAUCUCUUUAUGGUUAACGGGUCUAGUCCAUUAAAAAUUAGCAUUAAUUUGCAGACUAGUGAUCUUAAAUUCAAACCCUUAUAAGACCAUAGUAGUUUGAGCGAGAAUCCAUCUCUCUAACAGCUUAGACUAUUACUUUCUCUUUAUAAGAAAUGCUAAUCUUCGUUACAUUUUACAUUAGAAGUGUAUAUAAUGUAUAUAGUUAUUUACAAGUGUGACCGCUUUAUCUUGAUAGUAAUUAUAGCCAUUUUUAAAAUCAAUUAAGAGGAAUUUAAAUCGCAAACCUAGUACAACAUUGAAAAUAUAAGUAACACUGAUACAAGAUCAGAAGCACAUUGGGCCUAAGAGGGGCACAUGCCUCCUCCCAAACCAAUUCCCUUGUUUUUCAUUUGUUAUUUUAUAUAUAUACUUAAUGGAGUCUAGUUACAAAAUUGCUCUCAAAACAAGAAUCUCAUAUCCCUCUUUAUUCUUUUCUCACUUAUUAUGGAGAAUAAUUUUUUUUUAAACUCUCUUUCAUCCCUUAACACGUGUUCUUCUCUCUAUCUCUCUCUCUCUUCUCUCUCUCUCUCUCUCUCUCUCUCUCUCUCUCUCUCUCUCUCAAAUUUCCUAUAAAUAUUAUAAUGAGUUAUUAUUGAAAUAUGAAAUGAAACAAACUAAUGAAAUAGAGUUUUGUGACAAGUUAGACUCCCAAAAAGAAAAAAGAUACUUGACUUGUCUAAGGUGCCCUACUGUCAACAACUCAUGGUUCGCCUGUAUAUGAAGGUUUAGUACUUGUAGUUAGACAAUGACAGUAAUCCUGUUAGAGGACUCAAAUUUGAAAAAAAAAAUCCCCUUAAUUUUGACUUGUGCUCUUAUAUAUUUGUUAAUUAAAGGUCCAUAUUGUUGUUGCUCGCAUGAUCGAUAACACACUUGCAAGAAAAUGGGAUAACAUUGUUUUGCUAUUUCCAGUCAAUAACGCUAUGAUACGUGUGAUAACUUUUUCACAUGUCAUAUCGUUAUUCGCCAAAAAUAGCAAACUAGUGAUAUCCCGUUACAACCAAGUUUUUUUACACGCGAUUGGAUAAUUGUGAAAGACAGUGUUAGGUGUAACUGGUUAUCCUAUUGAAGAUUACUCCCGUUAGAUCUUAACCAUUAUGGCAUUAUGAAUGAAUGAAUUCAAUUUGGUUUUAUAACAAACUUCUGAAACAAUAGUGAAGCAGCAGUAGAAUAUCUGGAACUGGAAUUCAUGCAAACCGUGUCUGAAACGCCUAAUUAUAGAAAAGCGGGGGUUUCAAAAAACCGUUAAGGCUUUUAAGGUUACAGAUGCCUGGUUUCCCGCGAAAGAAAUACAAAGCCAACUCCAUCAGUCUACAAAAAUAGUAAAUACAGGAAUUGACCCAAAAACUAAAAACGGUUCUCCUUUAAUAGUUAUUCCUGGGCUGCUAUUAAUGCGAGAAAUCUGUGCGGAGUAAAUUGGUAAAAAAGGAAAGAAGAGCCCCUGUUGGGCUUAAGGCUUUUGUUGAUGCCUUUGGGGGUAAAUUAAAUUCAUCAUCUCACACCUUUUUUUUUUCCCUUUGCCCCCCCCCUACCCCCCCUACCACCACUUCUUUUUCUUCUCCAUCACAUUCCCUUGAUAGUUUUCAAGAAACUUGACAGGGAGUGCCUGAUUCCUCCAGAAGUAAGUUCUUUUGGGUUUCUUCUAAUUUUCUCUUCUUUUUUUUCUUCUUUCAAUGUUGUUUAUGUUAAGAAAAGAUCAUCUGUUUGAGGCAGGCAUUCUCUAAACUUUAAUUAAGACAAUAAAUAUUUUUUUGUUCUGUUUGAUGAUAUGAAUUCUCACCUACGAAUUCAAUUAGGAAAAAUGUGAACAUAUAAACACACAUAUUCGACAAUCUCUUUCUCUCUGUUUUGUUUUUCCUAUUAUGUUCUGCAUUUGAUAAACUAACUGUUGGAAUCUGCAACAGAGUCAGAAGAGAUGAUCAGGUGUUUGCUUUUCAUAUCCUUGUUGAUCCACGCAACUUUAGCAGCGAAAGCACCAAAUGCAGCAGCGGAAGCACCAAAUGCAGGACAGAAGGCCCCUGCGGGGUCUCCAACGAAGAAAUGGCUGACUUUAAAUGGUAAUAACACCUUUUUGUUUACUAUUUGGAGCUAACGAAUUGGCCAUUUCAAAACGAAAACGAAAACAAAAUCAAUAAAAGAAUUCUUCAACCAAAAGUUGAUCUACGCUGCAAAAAAGAAAAAAGAAAAAAGAAAAAAAAGGGCAAGAAAUUGGGCUUCUCAGAAGUUUCAUUUGAGUGAAUAAGGCCAAUCUCAAGAAAUAAUUUGAUAACUUGAUAUUAACUGAACCGAAUUAUGAGAGGAAACAACAAGGUUUCUUCAACAUUUGCAGGAAUGUCUAAACGUCUUUGACUUCUAUGUUAACUAUAACUAGUAUCAAGUCAGUGUAAUGACUUUCUGCAACUCAUGAUUUUACCUGCAGGACAAGAGCCCCUCGUUAUAGCUCGUGGCGGGUUUUCGGGACUUUUUCCUGAAUCCAGCACCUAUGCGAUUGACAUGGCAAAGUCUCAAAGUUUGCCAGGGUACGCUUUCUUCUGCAAUCUGCAGUUAACGAAAGAUAGCGUUGGAAUAUGCCUGUCGAACAUUCUGCUUGAUAAUACAACAACUAUAUCUAUGUUCUACCCUAAAGACCAAAAGACUUACAAUGUGAAUGGGAAGGAUAUUCGUGGCUGGUUUGCUUUGGAUUUUACAGCUGAUCAGCUGUUAAACAAUGUAUCACGUAAGUUACUAAUCAAGUAGACAACAACAUUUAUGGGUUAAGGUGACUAGUAAUCAUGCUUCGUUUUCUUGUGUUGUUCAAUUCUUUUACAGUGACUCAAAACAUUUUUUCCCGACCAAGUUACUUCGAUGGUACUCUGCCAAUAGCUACUGUUGAGGAUGCUUUAGGAAUUAAACCAGACAAAUUCUGGCUGAACGUUCCGGUAUCUCCGUAUCCCUUUCUAUACCACCAAUGAGUUAUUUUUGUAGAGUUGUUCUUCAUCAGUCAUAAAUCAUUUUCAUUUUCAUAAUAAAUGGUUUUGGUGUUUGGUUUGCUGUCUGUGGCAUACAGUAUGAUACAUUUUAUAGCCAACACAAAAUCAGUAUGGCAUCAUUUGUUGAAAAGGUAAUCAGAUUUCCGUCUAUGAAUUAUAUCUCAUCUCCUGAGAUUGGUUUCUUGAAAACCGUAAGUGCAAAAGUGAACAAAGGGAGGACAAAGCUCAUCUUCCAGUUCCUAGAUCCUGAAGAAACUGAACCCACAACCAAACAAAAGUACAGCGCACUUGUGAAGAAUCUUGAGAUGAUCAAGUCAGUUGCCGCUGGAAUCCUUGUCCCAAAAGAAUACAUAUGGCCGGUCAAUAAGAACAACUAUUUGGAGGCUGCCACUACACUCGUGACUGAGGCUCACAAACAAGGGCUAGAAGUACAUGCUUCUGGUUUCGCAAAUGACAUCGUGCUCCCUUAUAAUUACAGUUUUGAUCCAACAGCUGAGUACCUGCAGUUUGUAGAUCAGCCAAACUUUUCUGUUGAUGGGGUGCUUACAGAUUUCCCUCCUACCGCAUCCGAAACCAUCGGUGAGAUAUCAGCCUUUACUUAUCUUUCAUUCAAUUUAAUAGCACCUACUUGACAGACAUUCAUUUCACAAAACAAAUGUUGGAUUUCUGCCCCAAUUAACCUGCCAAUGCUUUCCUGGUGCAGCAUGCUUUGCACAGAACAAUAAUAGUACCAAGCCUAAAAAAGGUAAGAAUAUUCUAGUAACUUUUGUACGCCAACAGUUGUGUUGUGAAUCCUGUAAUAUUGUUGUUAGGAAGUUUCUUAUAGAAUUUUUGACUUUGCAGGACUUCCUUUGAUCAUAACAAGAAAUGGAGCAAGUGGGACCUAUCCUGGCUGCACAGACCUUGCUUAUAAGCAAGCAGUAGAUGAUGGGGCUGACAUAAUAGAUUGCUCAGUUCAACUGUCAAGUGAUGGAGUUGCCUUCUGCUUAGAUACCAUAGACCUCAACUCAGGCACUAAUGCAUUAUCUCAGUUCAUGACCAAGAGUGAGACUAUCCCUGAACUUCAAGCAGAAGCUGGAGUCUUCUCAUUCCAGCUCUCAUGGCAUGAGAUUCAGAGCUUGAAACGUAAGCUUCUUUACUUCAAAAUCUGAUAUUGCUAGUAAGUAGCAAGCUUCUGAAAAUCCCACCCCAUCCCGUUAACGGUUCAUCUUGGCUCUUUUUAUUUCAGCUCAAAUACAAAGCCCGUACGGAACUAAGGAAAAAGUAUAUAGAAACCCAGCUAACAAGGACGUGGGUAAACUGGUGACCCUCUCUGACUUCCUGGAGUUUUCUAAGACAAAGGCAGUUACUGGAAUCUUGAUAAACAUUGAGGCAAGACUUUUAAUAGUUUCAGUCAUUUUGAUUCUCAAACUCUUCUUAUUAUAUAUUCAUUUUUGCUGAAAGUUAACGAUGUUGUGGGAUGAAUUGUCAGAAUGCUGCGUACCUAGCAUCAAAGGCAGGUCUGGACAUUGUGAAAACUGUAACCUCUGCCUUGAGCAAUGCCACAUUUGACAAGCAAUCCACUCAGCAAGUGUUGAUCAAAUCAGAUGACACUUCAGUGCUGUCCAAGUUCAAAGAUGUGAAAACAUACAGAAGGGUGCUCAACAUUAAGGAGAAAAUAAGUGAUGCAACCAAGGCAUCCGUGGAUGAGAUCAAGAAGUUUGCAGACGCAGUAACUGUCACCAAAGAUUCCAUUGUCAAAAUCAGUGAUUACUUCAUUUCGGGGAAAACGAACGUUGUCAAGGAAAUGAAGGCCGCAAACAUCUCAGUGUAUGUCCAUUGGCUGAAGAAUGAGUUCGUCAGUCUCAUGUUUGAUUAUUUCUCCGACCCCAUCAUAGAGAUUGCAUCAUAUGUUCUAGACUACCAAGUUGAUGGCAUCGUCACCGAUUUCCCAGCAACUGCUAACAAAUAUAUGAGUAAGUAUUAUUGGUAUAGUAGUGUUAUUUUUCUGUUUAGUUACCUAAUAAAACCACCCUCACAACAAGUUUUGACAUGAACUUGCAGGGUGCCCAUGUAAUGAUAUGGACCCCAAAGCCAAUAUCCCAUAUCCCAUUUUACCAGUGGAACCUGGUUCUUUGCUGGGUUUGGUAGUCCCCGAGGCAUUGUCACCAGCACAAGCCCCAAGCCCAGCUCUUCAAGCUUCCAAUGUCGCUGACCCCCCCCUUCCUGAAGUGGUGAAGAAAAGCGACACCAGCCCACCACCCUCCAGCAGUAGCUCUGAUUCAACUGAUUCCGGCUCCAAAUCGACACCUGCUCCUGGAUCUCCUGAAAAGUCAAGUGCUUUCGCAAAUGCUGCCAAUCUUUGUCUUUCCUUAGUUGCCAUAGUGGUUCUCGCUUUGCUGGCAAAUUAAGUAACCUUGGCCUUGAGCUUCUAAGAUUACGUGAGUCUGUAAUAUACUUGCAUAAUUUAUAUAGUAUAGUAAAUAUCGCAAAUUAGACAGAUUUAUUCUGACUAGUUAAAUUUAUAUCAAUUCAAUUAUGUUGUUUUCAAGAUUCCAUUCAAUUCAUACCUACCAGUCAAUCAACUCAAACCAACAACACUAAUCUGAUUUUUUUCAUUAACCAUAUCCCUUACCCUUAUUAAGAUCAACUUGAUAUCAAGUAAAGGUCAAAAUUUUAUUACAUCAUUGGAUCAGGUUGAGCAUUUAACAUGGUAAAAGGUAUAAACUUCUACCAAGGGUUAUGGGUCGCUCGCUCUUAAUUUUCCAAGCAAAAUUUAAAAAUAAAAAUAAAAACAGGGGAAAAAUAAUAAUAUUCGAUCAAAUAUGGAAAUCAAUGAAGAGACAACGAGGCUCAGAUUCGCCUUUUUUCAGACAAAAGAGGAAGGAAACGCAGCCUUCCAUGGCUGCGACCACGGGCGCCACCUGUGGAUGAAAGGACAGAAUAGUCAUUUUCACCGACAGAUCAACCGGGUCGCCCCGCCAAGGAAACCGGGUCACCAUUUCCACGGUCUGGUUUUACAGAAGCUAUAAAUAUCAUCACCGCCUCUUGACUUUCGGUAACUAUUACAGAGAGAGAGAGAGAGAGUGAGAAAAGAAGAAGAAGAAGAAGAAGAUGAUGAUGAUGAUGAGGAAGAGGGAGAGAGAGAGAGGGCUGUUUGGUUGCAUCGCAUGUAACAUAAGGUUGGGUGAAAAUCAUCGGCUCCGCUGACAUUCAGAGAGGGGGCAACCAACCCUCAGGAACACCCCAAACGGCCUCCCUGAGAGCAAAGCCUCAUUCUUAAACUAAUGAGCCUUAAACCCUAACCCUCUGCUGCCUCAGGCCUAUUUUAUAAUGCUCCGGACUUGAGGGAAGGGUAUUUUGGUCAGUCUGGUAUCAUGAAACUUUCUGAGACACGAGAUAUUUGGACUCAAUUUGUCUUUGGGUUUUCAUAAUUUUAACUUGAGAAGAAGUUGCAAAACAGUGCUAUUUCUGUUAUAUACAAAAUUUUCUCCUUAUUUUACCUACUUAUUUGGCCCCUAUUUUGGAUAAUAUAGAUUAAGUUGGGUAUUUGUUAUUUCUUUUUAAAUUUCAGAUUCGUCCCGUCUUGUAACCGAAAGAAAAAAGUUGGUAACUGGUAUGAGAGUCCAGAAUUUAACAUGCAUAAUAAAUAUGCAAAAACGUUUUGUUACCAUUAACUAUAGAAAUCGGAAGUCCAUAAUUUGCAUUUGGCAAUGGCUUAGAAUCUUCUACUGAACACCACUAACAGGACUUCUCAAUCUCAUAAUCUCAAUGACAAAAUUUUUUCCUUGUCCAUUGAAAUUCAAAAAUCCGAACGAUCAAGCAUAUCUACCAGAGUCAUCCUCCUUGGGAACCUAGGUGGCAGCCUCAAAUACAUGGCAUCUUCAAUCUCAAUUGGCUGAUGUGUUGCCACAAUCACAAUUCCACCUUUCUUCCUAUGCUCUGCAAUGAUAUAUUCAAGCAACUUCAGCCCCUCAGUGUCCAAAGCAACAGAAGGCUCAUCAAGCAACCAGAUUGGCCUAUCCAUUGCCAGCAACCUCGCGAGCUGCAGCCUUUUCCGCUGCCCCAUAGACAGCAUUCUUGCUUUCUCCUUUGCCAGUCUCCCAAGCCCCAUCAGCUCCAAAGCUGGCAUUGAAUUCCCCUGCUUGCCUUCAAGAACUUCAAACCACUGAACAUUGUCCAGAACUGUGAACUUCUCCUUCACAGCAUCUUUAAGGGAGAGCCAGUUAAGUUGAAGCUUGUACUGGUGGAAAACACCUGAAUCUGUGAUGUCAUGGCCGUUCCACAGGACCUGACCAGCUGAAGGACGAGAAAAUCCAGCCAACAUACGCAGGAAGGUAGUCUUGCCUGAGCCAUUAGUGCCCAUCAGUACAAGUGCUCCACCAUCAUGAAUGGAGGCAUUUACAUGUCUCAAGAUUUGUUGGGCAUUCCUCAUGCAAGAGACAUUGUCGAGAAGGAGACGGGGAAGCGGGGGCUUUCUGAGAGACAUCAGGGUCUAUGAAACAGGAAAACUGCAGCUAAUGCUAGACUAUCAAAGAACUUUUGAAGUGUUUAUUAUCUGCAGUUGAUGUUCAAGUGUUUAUUAUAGCUGUAAUCAGAAAAUUUCUCUAAGAAAGUUAAGGAAAAUAAGGAGAGGAGAGUUAUACUUGGAAUCAACGGAUGAAGCAAAAGAACAUGUUGAAAAUCAAAACUCAAGGUUUAAUUUUUCUCUGAACAAAACUAAAAUCAAACUGUAAUUGCAUCAGGAGGAACGGAGCAAAUUUGAAUGCAAUGCAGUAUCGUCAUAGAAAGUUUUAACCCAAAUGAAAAGAAGAAAAUCCAUUGCAAACUUUCCUGAACGAUUUGAUUACUAUAUCGUCUGAAUAAAAUGCAAAAAUCAAGAGAAACGCGAUCCACAUAUGGAUUGGCAUAACAAAACACAAGCAUCUGGGUAUUAUCCAUAAUCAUGCAGACAGAUUCACUGGGAAAACAAAUAAAAACACAUCAGAAUUCUCAUUGAAUCAAACACAAACAGAGGCAAACAAGACAGACUGAAGCACAAUAUGUUAUCUAAUUAAAUAGAAAAGUUAAUUGAAUAAUUAAAUUUCAUAAAGUCACACAAUUUUGCAAAAUUAAACAAAGCGGCGAGGUCAAAAAGGGUUUUUAUUUUUAUUUUAUUUUUAUUUUUAUUUGAAUAAUAAAAACCCCAUUUGGGAUUGAUGUUCAUAUUGGGUAUGACAGUAACGGAUUCAAAAAGUCAAAAGAGCCAAGCAGAUGUGAGGCAGACGCUGAUGAAAAGGAAGAGCAGCUGGUGCAAGCAGAAGGAAAAAUUGAACUCAAAUCAACUCAACCUAUAACUUUCAUUUUGUAAUAUUUUUCACACUUCUUUCUGCCAGAAAGAAAGUAAACAAUUCCAUGAAAAACUAAAGAAACUAAAAAGGAUGACUUACCGGCGAUAGCUCAGUGAGUCAGUGCUGGCGAAACAGUCACAGAUGGGGAUUCAUUUUAUCUAAUUACCAUUUGAACACCAGCCAGAGAUCAUGAAUUCGAAAGAGGAAAAUCAAAGUUACAGAGAAUGUGCAAUACCCAGAAACCAAAACACAUUAAAAUUGCAAAAACUUAUCAAAGAAUAAGACUUUAUACUAUUAAGUGAGAAGUGAAACCUGGUUGCUGGAGCGUCAAGGUAAGCUUCGUCGUGAGUGAGAUCAGAUGCGACGAUAAGUAAUUGUAAAGAAAGAAGGGAGGGAGAGAGCUGAAAACAAAUGGGGUCUGAUUUGAGUUUGGGUUAAUUUGGGUGGUAUGGCUAUCGGGUGGGUCUCUCUAGUUGGGUAAUAUCCAUUUAACUUUUUCACCAAAAAAUACUUCUAUAAUCUUUUGGGCUUUUUUUGUUUAAUUGCACUUUACUUUUUCACAAAAAAAUAAAUACAAUUUAUUUCCUAUUCUCUCGUUGAUAAAUUUAACAAGUUAUGAUUUGAUGUGAUACUGGUCUUGGUCAUAAAUUUUUCAUCUUUUUUUGUUUGUUUAAUAACUAGCGAUUAGCAUUUUUCUCUGUGCUGUGAUUUUUUUAUUUUUUUAUUUUUUUAUAGAAUCUCUGUGCCUACGAUUCAAAAUUAUGAUAUUUUUUUCUGUAAUCGCUAUUUUUUAACAACCUGGGUUUCCAUUAAUCUGCUUAGUACUAAAGCGAGGCGAUAGAGUAUAUGUGAAAAAGCAAAGAAAAAGGAGGAGGAGGCGGCUUAUAGAAAGCAGAAAUUGUAAAGGAGACUUCAAUAGAAUAGUAAUGAAAGGAAAGAAAUUGCAAUUGUCAUUCGGCCUGCCGUUUACAAAAGGCACAUUACAUAUUUAUAGUUGCAAACAAGGAAACCUAGAUGAUUGGUCCUCUUGAACACAAUUUACAUGAUCUCCUUACCCCUCUGAUGGAGUACAGAUUUAUGCACAACUUCCCCACCUGAGCUAACAAAGUAGGUUACCUGCAGCCCAAAAUAAGGAAAGAACAAAUGUAUCAAACAUGAUAAACAAGGGAUACCUUUUUAAUAAAAUAAAGCUGUAAUGAAACAGCACAAGAAAUGAAUACCCACAAUCUCUAGUGUGCUGACUCUAUGAAGAAGAAACCCAUCCUCCAUUUGGCCCGUGUUCCCAAGGUAGCUCAGGCUGUGUCGUCGGACACUGCUAGCACAACCCUGCGCACUUAAGUAUGCAUUCUGGAGAAUAACAUGUAUUGGUGAGGAGAGGACUUGGGAGUCAGAUUUGGCAUUUUAAUUGGAAUCGGUGCAGAAAUAAGGUAUUAGUGAAUACCAAAAAAAAAAAAAUCUUACCACUUCAAAUUUCAUAAAAAUAAGUUGUAGAGACUCAAAAACUUUCUUUGCUCCCAUUCCCUCCUCACCAUCUUCACAAAUAGCCAAUGGGUGGAAUCCAACGACUAUGCGCCUAUAUGGCAAUACAAGCCAGUUAGACAUUGGAAGAUUAGUUAUCACUUUCUGAAAAAAAAAAAUCUCAAGGAGCGAGGCUAAUUGGAAACCCAUUCUUAAAGUCAUAUCUUCUAUACUGCAGAAAUUCCAGUUCAUGUAAGCAUCAGAAUGAAAACCAAAAUUUUAGAGUUGGAUUGCAAAAAUAACAGCUUCAAAACAGAAACAAUAUGAGUCAUGAAAUAUCAAUUAUCAGAAAACACCAAAAUUGAAAGAACAUUUCACAAUUUCUUCAAGCUUUUUUGUGUUUUUAAGAUAUUGCUAGCACAUAAGAUCAGAAAAGCCAAGAACAUAAAUCAACUACAAAUAGCAGGGCCAAACAACUAAUUAAUUUUACCAGUUACUACUGGUUGCUUCUAGUGUCCUUUUCAGCCAAUGUAACUGAUUGUUUCCGAACCCACCUAAUGAUCCGGUGCCCUUCACGUUGAAAAUAAGUUCAAGUAAGAAAGUAGAACAAAAAGCUACAUAUAUACAGCAACCGUGUAUAAAUAUAUAAAUAGAUGAUAAUAUACAUAUAUAUAUAUAUAUAUAUAUCAACCCUUGGAUGAACUGCCAGUCAAGAAAAGAAGGAAAUCUAUACAGGACAUCUUUAUAUGACUUGAAGAAAAAAAUAAAGAUAAAAAAAACUCCUAAGUCAUUAAACAGACAAACAGCUUAGAAAGCUUACACAAAAUAGGAUCGGAUAGAUAAAAUUGAAAAACAAAAUAGUACAUACCUGUAACAAUCCAGUAUCCACCACAAUGACAUCUAAGGUUUUCUCGUAAGGUAAAUUGAUCUUCUUUUGGAAGUAACCUCCUCCGUGUCUUUCUGAAACUCUAGUGGUGUACCUACAAGUGCUACUAUUCAUGCCUUAACCAGGAAAAAAUAAACAACAGUGCAAACAGCAUAGCUGAACCUCAGACUCGGCAAUAAGAACAUUAUAUUAGAUUAAUGUACCCAAUUCAAAGAAUAUUACAUAGAGGAUAGCAUACCAGGGAAGUUUCAGUGAUGAGAAAAGCAGGGUACCCUGUAAAAGAAUAUAUCCACCAUUGUUACCAACAGUUGAAAGGAACAACUUCUAGUCUUCAACAAUUGUAAUCUAUCAACUUUAUCCAUUUUGUUGAAGUACAUAGUGUUAAGAGUAUGUAGAUCUAGGAUUGUGACAAGUGUCACUUAGUCAUUGACUGAUGCAGACUAGAAGUUGGUCCUUUGAAUCAGAAAGAGCCUUAUAAAGCUUAACUCUCUGUAUUGUAUGGUAAUCUGAGAAAUAAUACAUAAAAGUUCAUCUUCUUCUUAAUUGUCUCUCUAUUUCAGUUUCGUUAACAUGGUAUCAAGAGCCAACAGAGAGUUAAGCUUUAUAAGGCUCUAACUGAUUACAACAGCUUACUAACUAAUUCUAACAUCAGUCAAUGACUAAGUAACACUUGUCACAAUCCUAGAUCUACAUACUCUAACACAUAGAAUAUACCUCCAUUUAUGAUUAAUCCCAUCAUAUUAAGAUUCUUAAAAGAUCCUUCUUCCAUGUUGAGAGAUACAUACUUACAAUAAUCAAGCAGAAUGGUGGCUUUGCAGCUCAAAUGUUUUGAGGAAAAAAACAACCUUACAUUCUGCAUGAGCGGAUCAUCUUUCCCAAGAUCACUAAUGUCCACCACGAACUUUGCCUUGUACUUCUUUACCACCUUCUCCAUCUUUAUCAACAAGAAGAACCACAAUUAAUCCAGGGAAAAUAUUGUCAAGGCCCUCACAACUCUGCUCACUUAAAGUAAUCAAAGGAAAAAGUGGAAACAAGAUUCCUCUGCAAACAAUAUCAUAGUACUACUCCCACAGAAACAGAGGUAACUAUCCGGCCAUUCAGCUGAGCCUUUCAUUUAGCACCAAAACAAAACCACACAUGUAUAACGUAGAUUAUUUCCUUCAAGUUUCCCCAUAUUUCCUAACAUUAACAACAAUCAUAUCCGCCAAGAUAGCAUUAGGGGAGAUAAAAAUCUUCGCUUUAUAGAAUAUAGGCCAAAUUCCUUACUUUGAUUAUUCAAGAAGCAUUAUAACUUAAGAAACUGACCUGUUUGAGAAGAUGGGUCUGUUGAUUGAGAGGUCUGAAGCCCCCUCCAACGCUAAUAAAGUAAAGAUCAAGGGGUCUCGUCCCAUUUGUACCAUGGUACAUAGGCUUCUGAGGCUGACCCAGUUGAAAAGCAAGGUAGAGACUAAAGCACAAACAUGCCUGCGCCACCAAAGUAGGAACCCAAGAGGGUUUUUCCAUUCGAUAACAAUCUCACUCACUGCCUCUCUUUCUGCUCGGUAAGAUUAAGCUAGUACAGAUCUGAAUAUUGUUGAUGAACCUGCACUGCACAUGAUGUGCACGCACUUCACUGUGAGUCUCGGGAAAACCACACAAAAUGACUUGAUUUUGAGGGUAUAUAUAUUCCAUUUCCAUUUAUUUUCAGCAUCUAAAGUUUAUCCUAUGCUAUAUUGAUGCUGACAUAUACUCCAUUAUUCAUUAUUGAUGAUGAACACGUCUUAAGAUUCUGUGAAGGUUCCAACCUAAGAAGUUUCGAUGAUGAACACGUCUUAAGAUGAUGUGAGAUUUGAGAAGUUUCGUCUGUGUCUCGGUAUUAUUUAUUAAAGAGCAUCUACAAUCAUGUUAUUUAUUUUUUAGUUAAAAUUUAGCUAAAAAUAUAUAAAAGUUAUUUUAGAAACUUUUUAUAAAAUUUGAACUCUAAUCAUAUUUCCUAGUUUAGAGAGUCAUAAAUACCAUAAUUAUUUUUUAAUUCAAUAUAAUUGGUCCAUCUCUAUACAAAAUAAUAUAAAAAAAUAAUUUACAUUAAUUAAAAGUUUAAAAUAUGCAUAAAACAAAGCAACAUUAAAUUAUAGGGAACCAUCAGGAGUUCUUUUUCUCUCCUUAGAUUUAGGAUCUCUUAGAACAUCAAUAAUCAUGCUCUCUAUUUUUUAGUUAAAAUUUAGCUAAAAACACUAUAAAGCUAUUUUAGGAGCUCUUUAUAAAAUUUCAACUUCAACCAUACUCCCUAGUUUAAAGAGUCAUAAAUAUUUUUAAUAAAUUUUAAUUCAAAUUUUGAAUAAAGUGUAGACACAAAAGCAAUAAUAAAAAAUAGUUGGCAUUAAAUAAAUACUUAAAAUAAUAUUAAAUAUAGAAGCAUUUAAUUAUACGGAGUCAUUAGGAGUACUUUCUCUCUCCUCAGAUUUAGGAGCUCAUAGAGCUCUCCAUAUUUUAGGAGCUGAAUAGGAAGCAUAGUUGGAGGUGGGUUUUUCAAUUCCUCCCUAAAUUUUAGCUAAGGAGGUGGUUUAGAGAGCCCAUUGUGGAUGCUCUUAAGUAUCUCCAGCUGAUAUGUCAAAUUGUCACAUGGACAUAAAAUGACAAAAAUUGAAUGUUAAAAUUCCUCCAAUCGAAUAGUCAAAUCCUACAUGAAUUUGAAGAUUAGAAGAGAUAUAUCAAAAAUAACAUAUCAAAAAGCUUGAUGUCAAAUAUUAUUUUAAUAUUUUUUUAGUCAUGAACCCCACUAUCAUUUACUCUCUUUUAAAACUUUAUGUAUCAUAUGAGCCCCAUUGUUUUUAAAAAUAUAAUAAAAUAAUAUGGUAUUGGUUGGGCAUUGCGGGUGGAGUUCAAUUUUUUUAGAAGUAUCAAAUUGUCAUAUAAGCAAUCAAAUUCAAAUUUGAUAUCUCCAUUAGAAGUUUCCAUAUUUUAAGAGAUGGAUAGGAAGUAUAGUUAAAGUUGUAUUUUUUCAAUUUAUCUAAAAAUGUGAUUUAAAGAACCCAUUGGAGAUGCUCUAUCCAUUAUCAUCCUAAACAAUUUCACAGCGUUCCUAAAAUACUAGGUCGGGUCAUCCUUAGUUGUUAGGGUCCCACGUAAAACCAAUGGGUUUCCAAGCGAGGUUCUUUCUUUUUUGGUCAAUCGUCAAAGUACUUUUGUGAAAGAAAAAAAAUAUUCCCCCUUCUUUUUGGGUGCUAAGGAGGGCUUUUGUGAAGUUUUUAGCCUAGAACUUAGGACACAUGACCCAUUUUGAUUCGAACUCAGAACGACAAAACAGUGAAGGGCAAUCCAAAUCACCAAUUGCAGCAUCAAUUUAACAUUCAAAAACGAUGAACAUAUAAAGAAAAACCAAGCAAAGGAUCCGAAUCCUAUAUGUAUAUAUGGAACAGAUGGUGACACAAAAGGAAGAAUAACAGUGCUCCUUCAUGCAACUAACACAGAAGCACUGGGACACCAUAACACGUACAAGAAGAGAUUUAUGUAAUUUAGAAUAAUACUACUAAUUAUUCCUUUUUCUAUUGUUCAAUUAACUUUCUACUAAUCCGUUGUUCUUAAAACUCACUUGUUCCAAAAAUACAAAUGGGUUUCAAAUGUCGUGUGUUUCAAGCUCACCACCAGUUCUCUGUUUCUUUUAACCAAAAAGAGAAAAAGGGGUAAAAGAAUUUGAUCAGGAUACAGUAUACAGAUAUAAGUUCUAAUUCAUUUCACCAUCACCGAUGAAGUCGUCAUCUCCAAACAUAUUGGAAAAGCUUCUCUCGUGUCAAUUGGCUCCUCACUCAUUUUCUUCUGCCUUGAAGCUUCUCGCCUGUAUCAAGUUCUUGCGUUGCAUCCCAUGGCGCAAGGCUUCUACAUAGAUCCAAUGAACAGCAUUUGCCGGGUCCGAUCGAUGUCCCUCGAAUCAGGCCAAGAUUAUACCUGAGCAACAAAAUUAAGAAUAGUUGCUAAAAGCAGUCCUGCGCCACAUCAGUGGCCAGUUCAAAGUUACUAUCACCAGUAUAUACAAAAGAAAACAUUGAUAAGUAUGCUGUGGCAGCACGGUUACAAGAUUAUAUUACUGCAGUGCAGAGGUACAUGGCCUUCUAGGGAACCCUACAAAAACCAUUUCAAAACAAGCUGAAUGAUUGCACUGCAAAGGGAGUUGGGAUGCAUAACUUCCCUCGUGCCACAGAAAUUCAGCCAACUAACCUAAGUUCCUUAAUGUUGGAUUCAGUUGCUGAUCCACCUUCUUUUCCUAGCUGGCCGCUCUGGUUUAAUCUCAGAUUCCACAGGAGUCUCACUAUUGGUGGUAGGCAGCACUUCACUCUCCAACUUUUUGAUUGUUGCUGCUUCUUUUUCACUUGGCAUUGGAAGCCUGAAACGCUCACUUCUUUUCUUCAACUUCUCAACUGUGUCCAGGUGCCGGUCCUCCAAUGGUUUUGUGUCUGCAUCCACUUGUUUGGUGUCUGCAUCCUUAAUAUCCUGAUCACCGGCAUCUUUCUCCUCAACCAAUGAAUGUUGAUUAUCAACAGCCUCAACUGGUUUGGAAGAUUCUUCUGGAAGUUUACUGGCAUCUGAGGAUCCUCUGUUGUGGCUCCUAUCAAGCUCUUUCAACUUUAACGAUGAUUUACUGUUGAUACUGAAAUCCCUCUCCUUAUGGCUCGUCCAGCGUUCCAAUUUGGAGCGCCCCCUUCUUAAAUCCUGUUGUUCAUCAUCAGAGGAAGCAUCUUCCUUAUGCCUUUUGGAAGAGUGACGGUGCUGUGGGAUUCCCUCACCAGUUCCUUGCACACGGGUACCUUUCAAGCCCUAAAGGGGCAAAAGAAGCAAUAAUGAGAAAAAAGCCCACCCCAGGAGGAAACAUUCUUCAUCAAUAAACUAGGGUCAAGUACAAAGGACAAAAAGUGAUGAUGAAUAACAAGCACAGCUCUGCACGAAAAUUCCUGGAUUAGUCGGUAAGUUGUCAACUAGUAAAUAUAAAUGUUGUUCCAUUUGUUAUUGUUCUAUCCAACUGCAAUAUGCAGGAGCUCACUUCCGUUUUCCCUCACAUAAUGUGGGUCAGUCAUCCCCUUCAGUACGGCCCUACACUGAUUGAACCACAAGUUGAAUGGAGAAAGAUAGCACGAGCAAACUCAAAUGCAGCUAAAGCAUGAUUAUUAGUCUCAGCAAAGUGUACCAAAUCAUUGAAUAUGUGAUCACUGCUGACCCUGCACAUACAUGUUAUUUGGGCGAAAAUUCCAUGAACAGAAGCUACCACUAAUUAGGAUAAGACAAGUAUACAAUCUUCUGAUUUUAGCACUUGUAAAGAAAGGAGGAAAUGAAAAGCUGAACCCACACUCCAGCUGUGAAACAUAAAGAGAAUAGGUCCACACCAGUGAAAGUCUAUUUUGCAGAUGCUCAGUGUGGAGUAUCCAUUUGAUAUCAGAAUUCCAUUGUUAUGACAAAGAAAAAGAAUGGGAUUUUAUUAGAACUGUCAUCCGAAAUCAAGCUUGCAUCCUAUAUACAUUAUUUUUCAAGGAAGAAAAAAUAUACAAGAAUUAAAAGAUAAAAACAACAAACAAAUUAAACAAGAGAACUGAUGUCAAGAAGUGAACAUACCAUCUCCUUACUGUGACCACUUUGAUCUUCUUGAUGUCUCUUGGAAGUAACUGUAGUGCUGUUAUCAGCAAUCUCAGAUUCUUUAUUCUUCCUUGUAUUAUCUUUAGGUCUUCUAUCAUGGAGCUUUUGGUUGUCAGCACGUUCAUUACGAGUACUUGAUCUCUCCUUUCCAGAUCUCUUCUCAUCAUUAUUUAAUUGAUUUCCACGUCCAUAAACAUCCUCACGCCCCCUAUGAUUCGAGCUUUCUUCCUCAACCCUAUCCCUCCUUUUAGAUGGUUCACUGUGUCUCACAGUGUCUUUAUAUUGGUGCUCCUUAUCAGAGCCUUUGCUUUCAUCCUUUGCCCUAGUAUGGCCCACCCAUGCUUUGUCUUCUGCACCACGCCCACCCCUUAUAGAAGCUCGUCCUUCAUCUCUUUCCCGCUUGGGUAUAUUUUCCUCAUGGGAUUGUUUAACCCUAUGCCACUCCUCCCUUUCUCUUUGCCUAUCACCUCUCUCCCUCUGCAACCAGCUUUCAUCUUUGUGCCUGACAGAGUGUGGAUCAUCAAGAUUAUCUCUAACUCUCUGCUGGUCAUCUCUCUUACGCUGAUCCAAAAUUUCAUCCCUUUCACGCUUUCGGCGACUGGCACUUUCUCUGUGGCCAUGCACAAAAUCUUCUUUAUCUAUAUGGUCUCUCCUCAUAUAUUCCUCAUCUUUCCUUCUCUUGCCGUGGUAAUCAUCUAUACCCUUCAAACUACCUUCUCUUUCCCUGGGUCGUGAGCCAACAUCCUUAUCAUGAUAAACCCUAUAGCUGCCAUUAUCUAACUGUUUUCUUGACUGAAGAUGUUCAUCUUUGUCACUCCGCUCACUUUCUCGAGCCUUACUCCUGUGCCUGGAUCCCAUUUCAUCACCACGCUCUCUCUUCCUUGUUUCUUCAGUUCUAAUCCUUCUGCCAUAAGGUUCAUCAUCUCUCCGUUGCCAUGGCCCGUCAAGAUUGUCCCUUUCCUUUCGCCUAUGAAGCCCAUCAUUUUUCAAUUGCAAUGGAUGAGCCGAGCUAGUAUCCCAGUCCCUAUAAGGAUAAGAGCCCUCCCGCCCUUUUACUACCGUGUGACUUCUAUCUGGUUCCUGUCUACCAUCACGGUUUUUCCUUUGGAACCCUUGUUCAUUUUCAUUAAGGUGCCUCUUGAUGCCCCCCAUGUGUGUUGAACGUCCUUGAAUGACUUCCUCCUCAACCCCAUCCCUCCACUUCUGAUAAUCCUUGCUGCUUCCAGAUCUAGCUUUGCUGUUGUCACUACUUCUUGCAGCCUUUGAGUCCUCGCCAUCAUCAAGUUCUUCAUCAGCAGAUUGUUCAACUCUUGAACUUAAUUUUUUAUGCUUUGGAGGCCCAUCUUGCAGUUCAUCAUUUACAGUAACCGUAGCCAUUUCCUCCUUUUCCAUUCCAGAGCUUCCAUCAGCCAGCACAGGCUCAUCUUGGUCACUAUCUCUACACUCAACACUUGACUCGUGGGCACCCCUAUUUGUGACAGGAGAUGAUAUCUGCGGACUACGUUUACCAUCCAUGCUUUCCACUGAUUCUUCCUUCUGGUUGUCAAGAAAUUUUUUAUCCCUUGUAUUCCGGCUAGGAGUCACACGAGGAGAUCUGUCCCGUGCUCUUCCCUGUGUUCCCCUGUAUUAAUAAUGAGAGAGUUAAAAGGCAUUCAUGAAGUUUGUACUCUAAUCUAUUUAAGUUCAUAUUUAUAAAUGCACCAUAAAAUCAAGCAAACAAACUAUGCUCCCGCACUCUGUACUGAAAACGAGUUUCUCAUUAUUAACCCUGUCCUGGAGUUCUCAAUAUGGGUGGCAAUUUUCAACAUAACAAUCCCAGUACCUUUCCUCAAAAGUGGAACCAAAACUUCCACCAGGAUAACUAGGAGUCUCUCCCCCCGAACCCGUGUAUGGGACUGGCGCUUCUGGAGGGAAGGGCAAGAUUCCUUCUUCUUCUGGUAUGCUAUCAUGGAAUGGAAUUUUUCUUCCAACCGGCUCCCUCUUUCGGUCGUUAUAAGAGGCGGGAAAACCAUCAAAAUACACACUAUCAACCUGCGCGAGGUCUCCUUCACCAACAGCACUUCUACCAAAAUCCUCUCUUGGGCGAUCAUUUUCAGUUUUCUCUGGGAUACCAUUUCCUGCAGAGGAAUCAUCAUCUAAAGAAUCCUGCAAGACAAUCUGUUUACAGAACAGCCAGCAGUUAACUUAUAUUGCCUAGCCAAAAAUAAGAAAUGAACACACAAUGAUGGGUUCAAUACACUAACAGAUUACUACCUCAAUAAUUGCAUCUGAAUCACGAAUUCGAGGUGGUCGGGUAUCAAUGGAGGGGAGACGCUCACCAUAACCACCUUCGACCUGUAUUGCUCUUCCAGUUGGCUGUCAAGAAAUUUAUUCAACCAUGGAGUUAGGAAACGAGCAUGAGCUCCAAAACUAACAUAACCAUUCAUCAGGUCAACAAGAGAUAGCAUUAUCAAUGCAAUUGUACAAGAUGCGCAGAUCAAGAAUAUAGAUAACAGGAAAUACAAGAUCUGUGAGAUAGCAAAACUUAGGGCAAGAUACUGUCUUUAUAGAAAGAAAAGAAGUUCAAAAAUGAAACCACCUAUACAUACUAUAGGUGGAUACAUACUAUAGGUGGACGCAGACGAGCAGAUCCUUUCACUAAAUCACUUUGCCCAACAUCUGACUUUCCAGGAUUUGCAUUUUCAGCAGGAAAAUCAUGAAUGCCAGUUGCUGCUGCUAAUUCUGGGGGUAGAUCUGGAUCAUACUCCUGUGAUGAACACAGGAAAAGGCAAACUUUCCUUUUUCACAUUUCACCAACAUAUGGUUGCAAAGAAUAAAUACUUAAAAACUCAAAUAGCCAAUACAUUUUCUUGAGGUCCAUAAUCACCUCAUUACCUGUUCUGUUCGUCCACUUUCGUAAACACGAAUUUUGCUUUGCAUAGUGGACUCCAAGCGAAGCUGUUCCUGCAAAUUUAAAAUAUAGGGGCAGUUACAGCAUUCCCUUAUACAAAGACAAUAUGCUAUAGGGUUUGAUUGUUACCAGCUGUUUGCAAUAAUCCUUCCAGCUUUCUUCAUUUAAGCCAAAGUUGAAGAAGUCUGAUGUAUCAACGCCAGGAUAUUUCCAAGGUUUUUCCUCAAAACCAUCAAUGUCAACAUCAAAUAUGGUUCUGGAAAACACAAGCAAAUUCAAGAAACAAUAAUGAGAAAAACCAACUUUCAACUACCAAAUGAUUACACGACACUUAAAAUAAUAGAAGACUGAUGUCAGCUCCAGAGAGCGCGCACACACAAACUCCAUCACCCAUUGCACUUUAGCAAUUUAUAAAUAAAGAAGAACAUGUAAUCACUUCAGCAUGAUUUUUCACAUAUCAUAUGCAGUAGUAAAAACUAAACAAUAUCUUCUAACCCAAAAAAAAAAAAGAGAAGAAAACAUGACAGUACGGCACUAUCACGAGUGCCAGUAAAAAAAUAAACAAUCCAGUUCCCCAUGCAUCUUGAUAUCUUAAAAUCAUGAAUAUUACUUGUGCGAAGGAAGCGUGAACUCCAGUCCACCGCCGAAACCGCGACCGCCCAUAUUGUUGCCCCAGCCAGGCAUACCAAAGCCUGAAUGAAAAUUCUUCUGCAGUGGAGUAGCAUUUUUUAAUCCGGUUGGUCUCCAGUCACCUCUACCUCGACCAGCUACAGGACCCACAUUUACAAGCGGACGAACUUGACCUGGGACUCCUCCAGGGCUAGAAGUAGCUGGUCCAGUCAUUGGCACAGCACCUGGUCUUACAUACUGCAUAAGAAGAAACAGUUUUUAGGUAUAGAAGUAGAGCAUUCAAAAAAAUUACCAAAUAACAAAAUAAUAACAUCCAAACUGUUCCUUAAGUUGCUUACGAGAAACAAAAUCAGAAAUGAGAUAUGGUAGAAGAGUGAAUCAACAGCCAGCCACGUGUAGCCUUGGCUCUUUGGAAAAAUAGGGGCUGAGGGUAGUGAAGACCUAUUAUAAAACUACUUUUUAGGAAAGGGGGAACACCCAUGCUGGGGUUCUCCAAAUGAGAGCAGAACGCAACAUAAACAAUGGGACCUGUACUAAAGCUAACAGUUUCCCAACUGGGAAGAUUCACCACAAUUGACUGUUAAGGCAUUUAGAACAAAAGAAUCAUGAAGAUUCAUUAGCACUAAGCGAUGCACUCAAAAGAUAACUUUACAAAGAUAUGAAUCGCAGAAAAUGAUGAAAACUCGCAUGCAGUAAAACUGGUGACUUAACCUGUGAAGCAAUUUAAGCUAAGCUCAGAAAGUUGUAGCUAGUUUGCAUCCUUCAAAAUUGUAUAGGUUAAGUACAGACAAUGAUUUCUCAGUUAUUUUAAGGGCAAAAUAUAACAUGCAUUGACAAUCCAGUGCCACCUAUCUAGUACGGUCUCAACAACUUGCACAAUUACUAGGCUACUAGCAUUUUCCAGAGUUUCAAGCAAUAUGCUUUAUUCGGAAAUGAAGUGUUUCAGUAUGUACUUGUCCAUAGAAUAAUAAUGUGCAAAAUAGCUUAAUAACUGCACCUUCUACUGCAGCAAGAUUGGAAAGGACAUAGGCUAGAGUGCAAUGAAGCCAUGCUACAUAAAAAUUUAUUGUGGUAUAUCAAUUGCAACAACUUUGGAAGUGAGAGUAAUUGUUCUUAUGGAGAUUCAGAGCCCGUUAACAAUAUGUCAGCCUAGUUAAUUCUAAUCCUCAAUUAUAAAGCUCUGUAGUAAAUGUGCCUCAGGCCUCUCUGUAGUUAAUGUGACUCAGAGAGGCAACGCCGAUUAAUCCACCGAGUAGAAUCUAAAUUCUUCAUAUCAUCAUUACAAUGUAAUACAAAUGAUAAUCAAAGAUUUAUGACGGUGAACAAAUCUGAGGAUUGGAAAUUGUGAAGGUUUGUCAAAUAUUUAGGUGUGUUCUCAAACACAUCAUCAUUGCUCAAUAAAUUGCCUGUUGUAGCAAUAUUACUCGAGAAGAGUACAUAAAUAGCACGUUUACUACUGUUCCUCAAUAAGUAUCACCUAAGCCUAGGUAGAAAGAAAUGUAGUUACUGUCUGGAGUAAGGAAAAAUCAAUUUCAUAGCAUUUAAUAUAUAUGUGUCUCCCCCUUUUCUAUUUCGAUCAGUGAAGAUCUUCUGCACACUCCAAACUCCAAAACCCUUCUAUCAGAGGACAAUCUAGACAGCUGAAAGGCAAAGGCAUCUACUUGGUAUUGGGGGAAAAAAUCUUAACACAGUGCACUUCAUCAAGAAGGUAAUGCCCAGCUUAUUUAAAUUAAAUUACUCAAUAGACACAAUCGGAGAAAAAAUAACAUAUAUGAUUCUGUAUUUUGAGCAAUUCCACUCUCUGUAGUGACUUCCAUUCAAAUUUUCAGGUACCAUCGAUUCAAGUAAAUCCCACAAUUCUGAAACAUAUUCAAAUUAUUAAUUUUCACUUCACUGAUAAUCAACUACAUACUCACAUUGUACAAUCAUUACAAAGCAUAAUUUACAAUUCUAAUCUCUCAUCAAAGAAGGGGACAUCACAAGACCCCAGAUACAAAAAGUUCCCUACAUUAAUCAACAUAUUAACAAAACUAAACUAACCUUAAACUGAGAAUGAAAUGGAUGAUACCCAUGAUUGCUAUACCCAACUUUGGGGGGUGCAACCACGCUGCCACCGCCAACAGCCUUCCCGGCUUCACCCAUCUCCUUUCUCUCACCUUCAGCCGCCUGUGCGCCGUCUUCACCCCACUCUUGCUCUUCCAUCGGUUGGUUCAGCUCACCAUCAGCCACAAUAACGAGCCCGUCUUCAUCGUCGUCGUCGUCGCCGCCUUCAGCGUUGCCACCUAUUCCGCCUCUCUCCAUAGCCAUAGGCCCGUGGUCGUUAUCAUUCAACACUAUCUGCAAAUCGUCCUCGCUGUCGUCACUGUCCCAAUCAUCUUCGCCUCUCUCGCCUUCCUUUCUAGAAACUUCCGGGUUUCCUAUAUUGACCGCGGAAUCAUUCACCGGCAAGGUUUCCGAUAGCCCUGGAAUCACCGGGUCCAAACCCAUAUCAUCAGUUUCAUUGUUAUCCUCCUCGAUGUCGAAAUUGACAUCCUUGUCCAUCAAAUCCACAGUUUUACCACCGAUAUUAGAAUCCACGGAAUCGACUUUUGGUAAUUCAACACCCUUAUCCUCCAAACCCCUAGACCCAACUGCUGAAUCCGCAUCUUUAGUCGAAUUGGCGGGGACAGAGUCGGCGGGAGCUAGGGUUUGGGUAUUUGGUGGGUGGGGAAGAGAAGGAUUAGAGUGAGGAGCUGCAUAUAGGAUCUCGUCCUCUUCGUUACGGAGGUUGAGAUCGAUCGGACGGUGAGGUUGGGGUGCAGUGGAGGGUUGGUGGGGCUGCGGCGCAGAAGAUGAUUGGGACGAUUCAAAGGGUCUAAGAACGUCUGUGUAGAGAUCUCCGAAUUCGUCAUCGUCUUCCAUCUAAAGGACGGAGCUUGAGAGAGAGAGAGAGAGGGAGAGAGAGAGGAAGUGUGUGUGUGUGUGUGUGUGUGUGUGUGUGUGAGAGAGAGAGAGAGAGAGAGAGAGAGAGAGAGAGAGAGGGUUUUGAGGUCUGCAAGACUGCAAGAGCCAAAGAGUGAAGCAAUGGCCAAUGUGUAAAACUUAAAAUGGUGCUUCUUAUGUGUUUUCCCCAGUUUACAUUCCAAAUUUCUUUCUUAAAUUCCAAUAUCCAAAAUGUAUUUAUUAAUUAUUAUUAUUAUUAUUUAGGUGAUAUAAAAUUAUAAGCUCCUAAUUUUGGGUUUCUCUUUCCACUUUUGCUUACGGGAAUGGGUAAAACAUGACAUGGGCUGCCAAUUGAGAUGUCCUCUGUUGUUGAUGGGUUAAAAGACUUGACUUGAGAGCGCUGUUGUUGUGCCACUUUUGGGUUGGCUACUUGGGUUGAACAAGCUUUCGUUGGUGUGUGUUGUAACUUGUAACUUGUGUUGGGUUAAUAACCAACGCUUUUCCUUUUUCUUUUCUUGUCUUCUUUUCCUUUUUUUUUUGCCUGAACAAAAGAUCCUCCCUUGGCCUAUUGUUGAAAAGGCAUUGAAUUUUCACCAAAAGAAAGAGGCAUUGUAAAUUGUAAAACAAUACUAUAAAAAAUAAAUAAAUAAAAACUAACUUAUUCCAUCAUUGCAUUCGGGAUUUGAUUUUUAUGCAACAUUUUUAAUUUUAAAAAAACCAUUAAAGCUUGAGCAUGCCUUCUCAUUUUCACCAUUUAAUACUGAAUAUCCAAUUCCAAAAAAUAAAAUCCAAAUUUAAGACAAACCAGCUAGGCCUCAAACUUUUCUGGCAUAAGUUUCAUGGUACUUAUUUUUAUUCUACACAUUCUUUUGUCACCAAUAGCUAGUCUGAUAUUAUAUUGUUUGGUUUUUUCCCCCAUAUAGCAAUAUAUAUAUAACAAUGUCCCCAUAGAUGAAAAAUAAUAACAAUGUCCUUGUUUGGUAGGUAAGAUAAGGAGUAUGAUUGGAUUAGCGUAAUUCAAUUUCAUGUUUGGUGUUAAAAACGAAAGUGAAUGGGAUAACUAAUAAUUUUAUUAUGUGUUUUUUUAAAGAUAAUUGUCUUAUCAAUAAGGUGGGAUACAUAAUCUAGCUAUUCAAAUCCCUUGAUAUCGGACUCAAGUUUUGAGAGUCUACAAACACUCAUGACACUAGUGCCAAUAAAUGAUAUAUAUAUAUAUAUAUAUAUAUAUGUAGUCAGUCCCUUUAUAUUGAGGGACACCAUUUAGGGUAGCGUACAAAUUUUUUUCCAACAAUUGAAACUAUCUAUUUAUACAUCCAAUGGUGUCCUACAAAAAUCAAUGAACAAGAUGUUUCAAUAAAGUACUAAAAUUUCAAUAAUUUAAUUCAGUGGUCAAAUGAUAUUGUAUUAAAGUGAUUUUUUGAAGAGAUGAACUUCGAAUGAAUAUAUACAAAAUAGACGGUUUGGAUUAAUGAAAUACAAUGUAUGAUCAGUCAUACAAGGAUGUCCCUCAAUCGAAGCUCAUUAUAUAUAUAUAUAUAUAUACUAUUGAUACAAGCGAUAUCAUAAACCACAAUGGGAGGAUAUCAUACUCGCAUACACACACUACCAAGGUGUCAUGGAGGUUUAAACCUAAGACCAAUAAAAAAUACAAAUUCUAUCCAAUCCAAUAUAAUACAAUUCAAUCAUAGUCACCAAACAAUAAGGAAAAACAAAUAACACUCAUAAAAAUAAUAUCGGAGAAUAUUAAAAAGUAAAUAAUGUUGAGACACAUAAAAAUUAGAGAUAUUUAGUCAUAUACUCAUUCUUAGCAUUAUGUUAUGAGUUUUUGUAAAUGAAUUUUUGAUGUGUUUCUAAAGUACAUUUUAUAUAAGAUUUUUAUAUAAUUUGGACUUCUAUAUUUGGUAUAACAGUGAAUCUCCCUAAAAAAUUAAAAUUUUAAAAAAACUGCCGGUCCAGACCGGCACAAAGAGGAGCGAGUCGAGUGAAAAUACUGAAUACAGAAGUGAGUUGCAGUGUGUAAAAGUUGUGCUUCCGAAAUCGGAUCUGCAUCACCACCACCAUCUCUGUAUUCUUCGAAAUUCUUGAAAUAGAAGAAGAAAAAGGAAGAGGUGGAUAAGAAUGAUUGGGGUUGGGAAGAUCAAGCAGUACUCUAAUGUCCUCGACAAACCCCUCAGCAAGGGCAAACAAGAGGUCCUCUCUCUCUAUCUCUAGUUUAUUCAGUUUUCAUUAUUUCAUGCAUUUUAUCUGGAACCAAACUGGGUUUCACAUCCUUAUUGCAUCGCUAUGACAUGCUUGAUCAGAUUACCUUAAUCCUCACUAAAUGGCUGCAUUUUGUGGGAUCUCUGUAUGUUGGUACUGGGAUUUAGGAAAGAAAAGUUAUAAUCCUUAAUUAAAUGUUUAAAUUUCAUUCAUUUCGAACUGUUAUGCUGCAAAUUUAUACUCAACUGACCUUUAUCCGAGUUCUGAGCACCUGGGUCUUUUCCUUUAUCGAAUUUUAGGAUAGAUUGUGAUUUGGGCAAUUUGAUCCGGGUUAAAUAUUUACUUGGUUGCCCAUUUUUGCUUUUGAUUUUUGUUCCAGGUCAGUUUGAGUGCGUUUGCAUUCUUGUUUUCGGAGCUUGUGCAGUACAACCAGACACAGGUUGACAACAUUGCCGAGUUAGAACGAAGGUGAUUCAAAUUACUAUCAUAAGUACAUGUACAUUCGAAUUUGGUUAUUAUAAGGCUUCUGUUAGGUUCCUUAAGUUAUAAAUGGUUCUACGACAUGUUCUAAGCUGUGGGCUUACACUUUCAUCUGAAAUGAACUUCUGAGUUUGAUUAGGUUAGCUGGUUAUGCAACUCUUGGCUGGUAAUUGAGUAAUGAAAAGAUUAUUGCUCAGAAUCGUUUGGUUUACUAGUAUUGCCAGUUUCUUCUGCAACCUAAAAAAAAGGGGCCAGAGAUGGAAUUGGAAAAUGGAAGUGAAACAGUAUGAAAAAGAAGAUCUUGAGAUUUGGUGUGAUAGAAACAAUUAGCAAAGACAAUUUCUUUCCUUUUAGCUCUUCAUCGACUUCUCUUGAAAUUCUAAUAUAUGUUUGGAACCAUAGUUCAAUAAUGCUUUAUGUAAAUUGAGCAGGCUGGAGGAUGCAGGAUAUGCUGUUGGGGCUCGAGUUCUGGAGCUUCUUUGCCAUAGGGAUAAGGUAGGAAUUGUUAUUGAACAGAAAUAUCCCUAGAUUUAAGUUUUUAUAAUCACAAUAUCAAGAGACCCUUACUUCAUUUUGGGAGUAAGUAGGGAUGGCAAUUGGGUACCCAUCUAUUCUGGCUAUAACUCUAAUAAGGUUUUCACCACCACCACCACCACCAUCACCUCCACAGGGUUAUAGCCAAAAUAAAUAGGUACCCAAUUGCCAUCCCCAGUAAGUGAGAAAUAAGAGGCAGAUAUCAGUGUUUCUGGUUUAUGGGAUAUUCUCUAUCUAUAAGUUUCUCAGUGAAUAUCAUGCUGGUUAUUUCACAAUCAAUACUCAGUACCAAGAAUAGGUAUCUUCUCCAUUUGUCUAUGUUGUUUCAGCCUGGAUGCAUGAACAUGUGAGGCAUCCAUCUCUUCGUUUAAGUUGGCAAGUUCCCACUUAUUGAGUGUUUGGAGCUAACGAUUACUGGAUAUGUUGUUUUAGUCUCUGUACACUUUGGAUAC
rnacentral:lncRNA from 1 species